UUAGAUCUACCCCUUUGAUCUUUUCCACCAAUUAGAUCAUACUAUUCAACAAGCACCCACUCAACCUUAGAGACCACUAUCAUGCAUCCUAACUAGAUUAUCAUAACCGCACAUCCUUCAUCAACUGCCGAAAAUUUAUGAGUACAAAGGUCUUAUCUCAUAAGAGUAUAGAUAGCCCUAAAGAGGUGGUUGUAUUUCUUUCAUAGUUCCAAAUCAGAUGAAAAAGGGAUUAUGCUCUUGAAUACAUAAGGAACAGAGAUCCUAUAAUAAUAAUAACUGAAUUUAAGCAUUUUGGACUGAUGAUUUGGUUCUAACAGUUAUUAUUAUUAGUAAGUCAGUUUAUUAAAUAGUACAAAAAUCAUAAUCGUAUCUUGAAAUUGCAUAAUAGAAAGAAUAAUAAAGCAAUUAAUUCAAAAUAAUUAUAGUUUUUUUUAUAAUGAUUCAGCCCACUAGAAAUAAUAACUCGUUAUGUUUAACCACCUGCCUAAUUUUUUGACCUACGUACGUAGUAUUAUUAGAAUUCAUAGCCUCUUAUAUAUCCAAUUGCAACUCCCUCUCAUCCGGUAUAGAAACUUGGGUGUCACAUUUUUACUUCCUAAUGUUAUAAGCUUGAAAAAUUUUAAAUGAUUACAUGACGAAUAUAGUCUGGCGGAUCAGGCGCAAUUGGCUCUUCUCUCAAAUGUACAGAUCGAUUACUACUUUCCGACUCAUUUGAAUGAUGUUUGUCAUCUGAAUCUACUUCUUUCAGACUGCCUCCAAACUGUAAAUAAAAUUAGUUAGGUAUUCUUUAAGUAGUCUUCUCAUAAUUAGAAAGGACUUAAUUAUAGAGCAGUGCUACCUGCACACUCCAAAAGAGUACAAAUUUUAUACCUUUGAUGCAACAGAUAUUUUCCAGUGUAAAUAUUUAAAAAUCUAAAAGGGUUUGUGAACUAGACGAGGGGACAAAAUUUACAACCUAAAAAUUUUUAGGAUGUUCAAUUAGAUUAUUUUUUCUUAAUUAUAUGAUAGUCUUUAUCAUAAUUAACAAGAAAAACAAAUGCUAUUAUAUAUAUUUAUAUAUAUAUAUAUAUAUAUAUAUAAUAUAUAUAUAUAUAUUAUAUAUUAUUAUUAGUUGAAGUGUACGUGCAACUGCACGUAACAAUUAUUUUAAUUUAUUUUAAAUCAAUAAACAUUUGUAAAUCAUAUUUAUUCAAAAAUUUAGAAUAAAAUAUUUUCUAAAUUUAUAUGUUACAUUUUAUUAAAAAAUAUUUACAAUAUCAAAUUUAAAUUUUAAUAUAAAAUAGAUGGAUAAAUUUGAUAUCAAAAAUAAAAAAUUUAAUUUAAUUCAAAAUUUAAACUCAGAUUUAAAUUUUAAUGUAAAAUAAAUGGAUAGAAAUGUAACUUUUUAACAUAUUGAACAUAAUAGUUCAUUUUUAGUUUCAAUAUUUUUAAUUAAUUGAUCAUAACCGUUCGUAGAAUUGAAGUUAUAGAUAAGUAUAAAUAUUUUUUUUUAACAAAUUGGUCAUAAUCGUUCGUUGUUAUUUGAGAUAUUUUUUACAAAUUGAUCAUAAAUUUGUACAUCAUAUUAAUUCGAAAAUAUGAUUUACAAAUUUAUCAAUCAAUCUAUCUUUUAAAUUAUUUUCAUUGUAAUAUAUAGAUAGUCCCAAAAUUUUAAAUUUUAAAUUUUAAAUUUUAAAUUAAUUUUAAAUUUUGUAUUGAAAUAUAGAUUUACCGUAAAUAUUCUGGCAAAAAUUUGAAUAAGUAUAAAUUUUUUUUCUAUUUUAGAGUUAAAAAAAUUAAAUAAAUUUUUGAUUAAAAUAUAGAUUCACAGUAGAUAUCUUUCGGUUGGCAAAAAUUUGGAUAAGUAUAUUUUUUUUCUAUUUUAGAGAUAAACAGAAAUUAAAAAUUUGUUUCAUUACGUUAUUUAUUUUACGUAAGAAAUGAGGAAUCAAUAUUUUUUCUGCUAAAAAAUGGGUCUGUCGACAGACCCAAAUUUGAAAUAUGUGCUUUUAUAUAUAGUAUAUAUAUAUAUAUAUAUACAAAUACAUAUAUAUAGGCAAAUAUAUAAUCAUAAUAAUUAUACAUAUAUAAUCAUAUAUAAUAUACAUAUAUAUAUAUAUAUAUUAUAUAUAUUAUAUAAUAUUAAAUGGAAAGAAAUAUUUUGAAACACCUAAUGAAAAUACGUUUACUAAGUGGCUACAUGUUCUAAUUUGAUUAUAUUUCUAAAUAGUAGAAAUGUAAGCAAACAAAAAUUAAAGUAUUGCUUUACUUUCUUUAGGUUGGUAUCUGCUGCAUAUUGGAUAGCGCACUUAUGAUGCAAGUAUUAUCACAUAAAAUAAUAUUAGAUUAUGUUAGGCAAGAAUAGAUAUAAAGGACAUAUUUUUCAAGCAAAUUUAAGGCACAAAACUUUAGAAGGUUGAUUAAUAUAUAGUAAAAUAAUUUUUUUGAUGAUUUAGAUCGUUGAAUUAGGCUACUACGCGUUCAUAUAUAUAUAUAUAUAUACUAUAGUAUAGUAUAUAUAUAAAAAUAAGCUAUUAUACUCAUCUAUUAGACACCAAGCUCCGGAACUGCAUACGUUGUUUUCCAAUCUUAGGGCUUUCAAUAUCAAUCGAACCAGCACCGUUAAAUAUGAUCGCUAAUGGUAUAGAAGUUCUUAAGAAAUAAAAAUUUAGUCUUUUUCGAAUUUCAUUUAUCUUAGUAAAUAAAUUAGCGUAAAAUGAUCAGUGGAAAUGAAUACCUUAAAAUAUUGAGGCAUUAGGACUUAUUAAAUCAAGAUCAAGAAUGUUCACCUUAAUCUACAUAUAGUUACAGUAUUUGUUCUAUCAAAAUUUGAAAGAAAUUUAGAUUCUUUACAUCGCGUUAAACUCCAAACUCGUCAUAAUAAUGCCAUUGAAAUUGACAAAUUGAAUGGUUUAAUCAUAAGUAAACGAAAGCAACUAUGUCGAAAAAAUAUAUAAAUUUUUAUUCUACAACUCUUAGAUACGCCAAAAUCAUUUUAACCGUGUGGACAGUCGAUUCUGAAAACCGAGUCGAUAGAUUGAGAAACACACUUACACGUACUGAGCCUCCGGUACUGAUGAGAUAGUAUUAUGUACCCUACGUCUAUAUAUAUAUAUAUAUAUAUAUAGACUAGGGCUACUAUACUCUUAUAAGUAUAGAUCUCUUUAUACUCAUAAGAGUAUAGUACCCAGAAUAUAUAUAUAGAGAGAGAGAGAGAGGAGAGAAGUAGGCUCCUAUACUUUCGAAAUAAUGAAGACCUCCGUACUUAUAAGUUAUUUUCGAUAAUGGAACAUCUGAUUCAGCGAUCGGUCCCAUUAGACAUGAUUUACGUAUGCUAUUGAACUAUUUAGAAAUCAAAUUUCAUAAUUUUUUGACUUUAUUACCUAGUGAACGAAUAGCCUUAAAAUAAAUAACUGAAAAUAAAAAUCACAUAAAAAAUAAUGAUAAAAGACUCAAAUUUAAAAUCAGAAGUAUUAAUCUUGCUUUAAUGUUAAGUAAAUUUUUUUAUUAAAGUUUCAUAUAAUUUGGAUUGUUUUACAUUGUUAAACUUAAAAUGUGCCACAUCGACCAUUAAAAUAGUGAUUUUUGAGACUUUUUUAUCACUCAGUAAAUAAUGUAAAAAAAUUAUGAAAAUUGAUUUUUAAAUAGUUCCAAUAACGUAGAUUAUGGUUAACAGAGCUGAUUACCGAAUCGAAUAUUCUAUCAUCGAAAACAACUUACAAGUACGAAAGCCUCCAUAUAUGUAUACUUUCGAAAGCACAGGAGACGUACUUUGUAUAUAUAUGUAUAUGUAAAUCUAGCUACUAUCUUUUUAGGAUUAUGGAGUCCUUUAUCCAAUCAAGUUAUUUUUGAGGGAUUUUCAAUCGAUGAUUGGAACAAUUAAAAUUAUUUAGAGUAUUUAAAGUAUAUUUAGAAACCAAAUUUUAUAAUUUUUAAAAAUUAUUUAUAUAGUGAUCAAAGGAUCGAAAAAUUCGAGCGAUUUGAAUUGUUCUACAUUAUUAAAUAAGAAAACGGCUCGUAUAAGUCUUCAAAAACUAUCAAUUGAAAUUCAUUUUGAUAGAAAAUUCUUGGAUGAACAACUAAAAUUCUUUUUGAUAGAAAAUUCAGUCCUUUUGAUCACUAGUCAAAUGGUGCAUACUGAAAAAAUAUAAAAUUUGACUUUCAAAUACUUUCAAUAAGAUGGAUCGUGUCCCAUGCAGCUAAUUGUCAAUUUGGAGGUCUUAUCACUAAAAUAACUUAUUAGCAUGGCGACCUUCAUGCUAUGGAAAAUAUACAAGCCGGACUCUAUGUAAUAAAUCUGUCGAGCAGUUAUAAAAUGAACAAUCAAAUCAAAGCAACCUGCUAAAAAUAAAGGAUCCGGUUUUUAAACUCAAGAUCGACGAUAAAAAUCUUGAUCUAAAUCAUAGAUAGAAUUUUUUAAUCCAAAAUUCAACUGAUUCUAAUUUUUCUAGGAAAACAGUAUAUAUCCUAAAUCAUAUGUAAUGAUGCAAAUCGCCAUUAAUUCAAGUGUCUAAUUAUAGAAAAUGAUGCGAAAUUAAACGGUUUCAUAAAAACUGUAAAGCAUUGGAAGCAAUAAGUAUUCAAGCACUUGAGUAUUGUCGAUUGGAGGGUCCAUGAGACGAUUUAGCCGCUCCCAUUCUCCCCCUUCCUGAUUGAUCUCCCUUCCGUUGAGUUUUUCACAAGUCACGUGAAGGCAAAGCAACAGCAAACAAAGUCCAUACGACCGUUUGGAAGCCUUAAAGAAGAGAUCACUCCUACGGCACUCACCCUUAACUACAAAAGAUUAUUGCAAUUCACAACUUUAAUUUAAAUUUAUUAAUUCGAUCGAGAUAUCCAAAGAUAUAGAUAUGCAUAUCUUUGAUAUCAUGCAUCAUAAAUAUGCAUAUUUAUAACUGUAGAUUUAAUGGACCAGAGAUAUGCAUAUUUUUAACUAACAGAUUUCUCUCUUCAAACUGUCCAAUAAGAGAGCAUCCAAAGAUAUAGAUAUGCAUAUCUUUGAUAUCAUGCAUCAUAAAUAUGCAUAUUUAUAACUGUAGAUUUAAUGGACCAGAGAUAUGCAUAUUUUUAACUAACAGAUUUCUCUCUUCAAACUGUCCAAUAAGAGAGCAUCUUUUUAACAGAUUCGUUUCUCUCUUAAAUAGUAGUAGAAAUGUCCAUGAGUAUGGAUACAUGAAAUUUUAUCCAAAUCCGAAACCAAAGGAAGCGGAUUUAUCCGAUGCUAAACAGAUAUAGUUCGGAUCUUAUGAAUAUAAAAAACAAAAAUAUGAUGGGUUUGGAUUCAUAUAUGAAUUUUAACUAUACCUAACUCAANAUAUAUAUAUAUAUAUAUAUAUAUAGAGUUGAGCUGGAAUACUAUCGGUAGCAAAUGGGCUCCGUUACCAUCCCUUUGUUUUCGAUGAUGGAGCCUCCAAAUCGAUGAUCGGUACCGUUGAAAAUGAUCUAUACCACUUGAGAUAUCUAGAAAUCAAAUUUAAUACUUUUUCGAUAUUGUUCUCUUAUUCAUCAAGUGGCCGUAAAAAUGAACAGCUGAAAAUGAAUAUCCUCUAAAAAGUGAUAAUAGGAAUUUUGUAAUCAAGAUCGAGUGCAUAGAUCUUGUUCUAAAUAGUUUAAAGAAUUUUCUAACCAAAAUUCAAUUGAUUUGAAUAGCUUUACACAGUUAAAUGAGAAAAAGCCUCAUAUCAACCCUUAAAAUUACAAAGUUUAAAACCCUUUGAUCAUUAGGUCAAUGAUGUCAAAAAGAUUUGAAAUUUGAUUUCUAGAUACUUCAAGUGAUAUAGAUCAUAUUCAACGAUGCUGAUCGUCAAUUUGAAGACUCCAUCAUCGAAAACAAAUGGGUGGCAACGGACCCGUUUGCUACCGAUAGCAUUCCAGCUCAACUAUAUAUAUAUAUAUAUAUAUAGAGAGAGAGAGAGAGAGAGAGAGAGAGAGAGAGAGAGAGAGAGAGAACUAGGCUGGAAUACUAUUGGUGCUAUUAGUUUUUUAACCCUUGGAUUGAGAAAUGUGUGGUUAGGAUGAUGUAGGCCCUUAGGGUUGAGUGAGUGGUUGGUUGAAUAGUAUAAUCUAACGAGUAAAAAUAAUCAAAGGGUUAAAUCUAAUGGUGGAAAACUCGAUAGCACUAAAUUCUUGGUGUUAUCGAUAGUAUUCCAACAGGACUAUAUAUAUGUGUGUGUAAUCGAGCUACUAUCUUUUUAGGAGGACGGAGACCUUUAUCCUCCAAGUUAUUUUAGAUGAUAAGGAUUUUGAAUUGAUGAUCAGAACUAUUAAAAUUGAUUAAAAUAUCUAGAAACAAAAUUUCAUAAAUUUUAAAAAUUAUUUACGUAGUGAUCAAAGGAUCACAAAAUCAAUAGUUCUUGACGACCUAUAUGAACUGUUUGCUUGUUUAACGGUGUAAAACAAUUCAAACAGCUUGAAUUUUUGAUAAAAAAAACUUUUAUACUAUUUAGAUAACACUGGAUAACUCCCAUCAUGAAUUAAAAAAAGCCUAAUAUUCAUUUUCACAAGAUUAUUCGGUUUCCACGGUUCAUUUGUUGGCGAAUUUUAAAAUUUAUGAAAUUUAAUUUCUAGACGAUAUAAAUACUCUAAAUUAAUUUCUAGACUUGAUCUAGAGUAUUUGAAGUAUCUAGAAAAUAAAAUUUGCGAUUUUUCGAUAUCAUUUGCCUAGUGAUCGAAGUGGCUCAAAAUCAACGGCUGAAAAUAAAAAUCACAUAAAAAAUAAUGAUAAAAGACUCAAAUUUAAAAUCAGAAGUAUUAAUCUUGCUUUAAUGUUAAGUAAAUUUUUUUAUUAAAGUUUCAUAUAAUUUGGAUUGUUUUACAUUGUUAAACUUAAAAUGUGCCACAUCGACCAUUAAAAUAGUGAUUUUUGAGACUUUUUUAUCACUCAGUAAAUAAUGUAAAAAAAUUAUGAAAAUUGAUUUUUAAAUAGUUCCAAUAACGUAGAUUAUGGUUAACAGAGCUGAUUACCGAAUCGAAUAUUCUAUCAUCGAAAACAACUUACAAGUACGAAAGCCUCCAUAUAUGUAUACUUUCGAAAGCACAGGAGACGUACUUUGUAUAUAUAUGUAUAUGUAAAUCUAGCUACUAUCUUUUUAGGAUUAUGGAGUCCUUUAUCCAAUCAAGUUAUUUUUGAGGGAUUUUCAAUCGAUGAUUGGAACAAUUAAAAUUAUUUAGAGUAUUUAAAGUAUAUUUAGAAACCAAAUUUUAUAAUUUUUAAAAAUUAUUUAUAUAGUGAUCAAAGGAUCGAAAAAUUCGAGCGAUUUGAAUUGUUCUACAUUAUUAAAUAAGAAAACGGCUCGUAUAAGUCUUCAAAAACUAUCAAUNAUAUAGAAUUAGGCUACUAUACUAUCUAUAGUACCGGAACUUCGGUACUAUAGUCUUAUUUUCGAUUUUAAGGUGUUUAAAUUAACGAUCCACACCGUUAAAUAUGAUCUAGGGUAUAUGAUGUUCUUAGGAAUAAAAUUUCAGUUUUAUUCGACAUCGUUUACUUAGUAAAUAAACUAUGUCAAAAUAGACGGUGGAAAUUGAAUAAUCUUUAAAAUUUGAGUAUAGGACUUUUAAAUUCAAGAUCAAGAAUGUUAACCUUAAUCUAGAUAGUUUAAAGUAUUUUCUAUCAAAAUUUGAAGAAAUUUAGAUUUUUCUACACCGUUAAACUCCAAACUCACCAUAGUAACCAUUGAAAAUUGACAAUUUUGAAAUGGUUUAAUUAUAAAGUAAACUAUGUUGAAAAAAUAUAAAAUUUUAUUUGUAAAAACUUUAAAUACCGUAGAUCAGUUUUAAUGGUGUGGAUCGUUGAUUUGAACACCCUAAGAUCAAAAACAAGACUAUAGUACCGGAGCCCCGUGUCAUGGGUCAAUCGUUGGGACUCGUUAGGACUUGGGGAAGGCUUGCCCAUCUUCGAGCAGGAAGGGGGCGCCGCACGAGCUUUACGAAGAAAAAAGUUAUGUCCGUGACACCCGGUACUAUAAAUAGUAUAUUAGACUAGCUCUAUACAUAUAGAGUGCGGCUAGAAUACUUAUGAGAGCACGGAGGGCUCCGUGCUUCCACUUUAUUUUCGAUGUUCGGACUUUCGAAUUGACGAUCGGCUCCGUUAGACUUGAUCUAGAGUAUUUGAAGUAUCUAAAAAAUAAAUUUUGCGAUUGACGAUCGGCUCCGUUAGACUUGAUCUAGAGUAUUUGAAGUAUUUAGAAAGUAAAUUUUGCGAUUUUUCAGUAUCAUUUGCCUAGUGAUCACAGUGGCUCAAAAUCAACGGCUGAAAAUAAAAAUCUUACAAAAUAUGAUGAUAUGACAUUAAAAUUUUAGAUCAAAGUUAUUUAUCUUGUUUUAUAUGGUAUAAAGAAUUUUCUACAAAAAUUUCAUGUGAUUUGGAUAUUUCUACAUCGUUAAACUUACAACCGGCUCACCACGGCCGUUACAAUUAUUGAUUUUGAGCCCCUUCGAUCACUAGGCAAAUGAUAUCGAAAAAUCGUAAAAUUUAUUUUCUAGGUACUUCAAAUACUCUAGAUCAACUCUAAUGAAGCCGAUCGUCGAUUCGAAAGUCUGAACAUCAAAAACGAUUUGGAAGCACGGAGGCCUCCGUGCUUCCAUAAGCAUACCAGCACAACUCUAUAUAUAUAUAUAUAUAUAUAUAUAUAUAAAAGCAGGUAUUUUAAAUUUCGGUCUGUCCACAGACCCAUUUUUUGGCGGGAAAAAAAUUGAUUCCUCUUUCGUUACGUAAAAUAAAUAACGUAUGAAAUAAACUUUUAAUUUCUCUUUAUCUCUACAAUAGAAAAAAAUAUAUUUAUCCAAUUUUUUACCAACCGAAAGAUAUCUACUGUGAAUUUAAAUUUAAAUUCGAAAUUGUUUAAUUUUUUUUCUCUAAAAUAGAAAAAAAAAUUCAUGCUUAUCCAAAUUUUUAUCAGAAUAUCUAUUGUAAAUUUGUAUUUCAAUUAAAAUUUAAAAUUUAAAAUUUUGGGAUUAUCAACAUAUUACAACGGAAAUAAUUAAAAAAAUAGAUUGGUUGAUAAAUUUAUAAAUCAUAUUUUUGAAUUAAUAUAAUGUACAAAUUUAUGAUCAAUUUGUACAAAAUUAUCUCAAAUAAGAACAAAUGAUUAUGAUCAAUUUAUUAAAAAAAAUAUUUAUACACAUCUAUAAAUUUAAUUUUACGAAUAGUUACGAUCAAUUGAUUAAAAAUAUUUUAAAUAAAAAUGAACGGUUAUGAUAAAUUUGUUAAAAAAUAGCACUUCUAUCCAUCUAUUUUACAUUAAAAUUUAAAUUUAAGUUUAAAUCGUGAAUUAAAUUUAAUUUUUGAUUUUUGAUAACAAAUCUAUCCAUCUAUUUUACAUUAAAAUUUAAAUUUAAAUUUAAAUCGUGAAUUAAAUUUAUUUUUUGAUUUUUGAUAACAAAUCUAUCCAUCUAUUUUGCAUUAAAAUUUAAAUUUGAUAUUGUAGAUAUUUUCUAAUAAAAUAUUACAUAUAAUUUUACAAAAUAUUUUAUUCUAAAUUUUUGAAUAAAUAUGAUUAACAAAUUUUAUUGAUUUAAAAUAAAUUAAAAUAAUUAUUACGUGCAUUCGUACGUACACUCAACUAGUAUAUAUAUAUAUAGAGUAAGGCUACUAUGCUAUCGGAAGUACGGAGCCUUUCGUGCUUUCAGUUCGUUUUCGAUGUUACGACUUUCGAAUCGUCGAUCGGCUCCGUUAAACUUGAUCUAGAGUAUUUGAAGUACCUAAAAAAUAAAUUUUAUUAUUUUUCGAUAUCAUUUGCCUAGUGAUCGAAUGGGCUCAAAAUCAACAAAUUUCAAUGGCCGUAGUGAGCCGUUUGCAAGUUUAACGGUGUAGAAAUAUCCAAAUCACGUAAAAUUUUGAUAGAAGAUUCUUUAUACUAUAUAAAACAAGAUCAAUAUCUUUGAUUUAAAAUUUUAAUGUCAUAUUAUUACAUUUUAUAAGAUUUUUAUUUUCAGCCGUUGAUUUUGAGCCCAUUCGUUCACUAGGCAAAUGAUAUCGUAAAAUCAUAAAAUUUAUUUUAUAGGUACUUCAAAUACUCUAGAUCAAGUUUAACGGAGCCGAUCGACGAUUCAAAAGUCGCAACAUCGAAAACGAGCUGGAAGCACGGAAGGCUCCGUACUUCCGAUAGCAUAAUAAUCUCACACUCUCUCUCUCUCUCUCUCUCUCUCUCUCUCUCUCUAUAUAUAUAUAUAUAUAUAUAAUUGAGCUAGAAUACUUUUAGAAGUAUCACCCCCAUGGUGCUAUUAGAUUUUUAGCCAUUGGAUCUACUCCUUGAUUACUAAUAGCCCUUGGAUCAAACACUAUUCCACCUACCAUCACCUAUCACCACCUACUACCAUUAUCUCAACUUCACAUCUCUCCAUCCAAUGGCUAAAAACUCAAAAGCACCACACCUAUGGUGCUUUUGAGAGUAUUCUAGCUCAACUCUAUAUAUAUAUAUAUAUGAGGAGCAAGGCUGCUGUGCUCUCAGGAGCACGUUUUCGAUGAUAGAAUUUUUGAAUCGACGAUCGGCUCUGUUAGACUUAAUCUAUCGCAUUUGAAGUUUCUAGAAAAAUAAUUUUUGCGAUUUUUUGAUAUCAUUUAUCUAGUGAUCGAAAGGAUUAAAAAUCCAUAAUUUUUAAUGGUUGAUAUCUGCCGUUUUUAAGUUUAACAGUGUAGAAGUAUUCAAAUUAGAUAAAAUUUUGAUACAAAAUUUUUUAUACUAUCUACAAUAAAAUUAAUAUUUCUGAUCGAAAAUUUUAGUGCUAUAUCACCACUUUUUAUAGGAUUUUUAUUUUCAGCCGUUAAAAAUUAUUAAUUUUGAAUCUUUUGAUUGCUAGGUAAAUGAUAUCAAAAAAUUACAAAAAAUAUUUUCUAGAAACUUCAAAUACGCUAUAUCAAAUUUAACAAAGCCGAUUGUCGAUUCGAAAACUCUAUCAUCGAAAACGAUUUAGGAGCAUGAAGGCCACCGUCUGAGAGCACAGCAGCCCCGCUCUAUAUAUGAGUAUGAUCUCCCUCGUACUCAUAUUAGUUGUUGUUUAUUUUUGGAAGCUACACGAUAUGAAUAGUGUGGAUUCGAAUUUGGAACGUCCCGCUCAGUUCUCAUUUUUUUUUUUUUUUCCAACACUCUCUCUCCUUCCGCCCAACCUCAGCUACCCCUCGCCCCGUCCUACACCAGCCCUCUCUAGGGUUUCUCUCUCCCUCUCUCUCGUCUCACUCUCUCCAUACAUGAAUGAGGAGAACGCCCCUCCCCUCGGUUCCCGAAUCGUCCACCAUUUCCACUCCACAAAACCUUUUCUCCCUUGCAAAAGGCCGCGCCAAUCCCUCCCCAAGUUCGCAUCUCCUCUCUCUCUUUCUCGCUAAAUUUUCAAUUUGGUUUCCCAUCCCCUUCUCGAUUCUUGAUUCAUACAUAAACAUCUCUGCUUUACCUUCCCAUUCUACAGCUUUUCGAAUGAGCUUAACAACACCCCCCACGAAGCAGAAGCCGUCGAGUGCUCCACUCCGGCGAAGACCCCCAAAUCUUCAAAUUCUGAUCACGGCGUUCUCGAUGAGGACCUCGACGAGGCGUUCCUUCAACAAGUGGACGCUCUAUGCGAAGAGCGGUCAGCCGCGAGGAAGGAGAAGCCGGCUGUCGAGGAAGGCAUAAACUCUCGUGAUUCAGAAGCUGGCGGAGAGGAUCUGCGAUCGGAAGGGCCGUCGAGUGAUGAUUCCGUGCCGCAGAAGUACCGCGAGUAUCUGCGGUCGCUGAAUGACGCGCAGAGGGAAGCUGCUUGCUGCGACACUGCAGUUCCUUUGAUGAUCAUCGCUGGUCCCGGAAGCGGAAAGGUAAUUAUUCACAAUUAUCUAUUGAAAUUAGGGCAUGUUUGGUUCAUGUUUGGAAUGGAAAAUGGAAGGAUGAAUCAUCCAAAAAUAUUUGGUUCACUAUUUGAAUGGAAAUCGGAUGGGAAUCGAGAAUGUUAACAGAGGGUUUGAUUAAAAAAGAGGAGAGCAAUGAAGGAAGAGGAGUUGGAGGUGUUUGUGUGAGAGAAUUUUGAGUAGUUUACUUUGGAAUGAGCCAUUCCCAUUCGGAGUGGAAUAGGAAUCUGAAUCCGAUUCCGGUAAAACACAACAGCUAUCGGAAUCAAUGAAUCCUAUUUUGAUUUCAUAGUCUAACAUAGGUGAACCAAACAUUCCUUAGAAUAAAUAGACCUCUAACUUUGUUUUUGUCAUUCCUGAAAUUUUCUUCAUGUAAUGCCGCACUUCUAAGACUUCGACUAUGGUUGGGCGGGUGCUGACUCUACUCAAAGAGGUAAAGAUUGUAUCAUCUAUAUGUAGCUGCUUGAAGACUUUUUCUGCUUUUAUUUUUUGAUAAUUUAGCUUUUCCUUUUUUUUUUUUUUUUUUUUUUUUUCUUUUUCACAUCUCUUAGGGGAUUGGUCCCUCAAAUAUACUCGCAAUGACCUUCACGACUGCGGCUGCAUCAGAGAUGCGGGAUAGAAUAGGUGCAGUGGUUGGGAAAGCCGUCGCUAAGGAGCUGUCGAUCAGCACGUUCCACUCUUUCUGUCUACAGCUCUGUAGAUCUCACGCCGAUAAGUAUGUCGAUUUCGAGAGCUUACUGUUGUUCUUCACGGGAACUUCCUCACUAUGAUUAUAACCUUAAAUAUCUAGACCUCCUCUAUGGAAUAAAUCAGCCUUGUUCAUAGAGAAUUGUACGGAAUUUGAUUAUGUAGUAUUUUCUUUGACAUGCUAAGAUCACCGGACAAAGAGAUAGCGGAUGACCAUGACUAAGCAUCACACAAAGCAUCAUAGAAGGCUAUGACCUAUUUUCAUGUUUAGCAAUGCCAUUUUUCUUUCGAUUUUAUCACAAUAUAUCUUCUCAAAUCCUUAGGUGGUCUAGGAUAAGUUGCGUGACUUAAAAGGAUUUUGGGUGCUCUGAGUAGUGAUGUAGCUGAUUAGUUUGGUGCUAUGUUAUAAACCCAUUACUGUAGCCAACUUUUAUCCACCCUUUUACUAUUUUAGCUAAAGUUAAUCCAUAAGAUCUAGUCUGGUAUACAGGACACACCGUGGUGGAAUAAGCAACUUGCAGAAAAAUAGAAGCUUGCAUUUGUUUGUUGUCGCUUAGGAUACAAAAAGAGCACUCUAGAAUAAAGUAAUCUAUUUCUACUGUUAGCAUUCCAUGGAAAUUUUGUCUAUUUUUAUAUGAACAAGAUAUGCAUUUCAUCUCUUAACUAUCCAAUAUAAUCUAUUUUCUCUUCACUUAUUUAGUUGUUGAUGAAUUACGUAUGUGAAUCAUCUUCUGAAUUUGCAAUGAUUCCCCCUCUCAUUUUUAUGGUUUUAUGAUCACAUAUGUGGCGGAUUCUACACAAAUCAAAACAAAAUUUUCUUUUGAGAUAGAGAAUUAAUUUAGUGGUAGUGAAUUGGUUCAUUAAGAAAUUAGGAAGACAAAACUUGAGUAGGUGGCAUCUGAGUGGUCGAUUGGACCAUUUACAUGUGCGGAACCCCAAUAGCGACUUAAAUUUGGGAAAGUUAGUGCGAGGACAUUAGCUUUGAGUCUACUUAAUGUAUGACAACCAUUGUAACAAAUCACUGCAUUUAACUUGUUUAUCAAAUUUGUUGUGCUCCUCAUAUGUGCUUCUUAUAUGCUUUUUUUAAAAUUCUUGUCAUAUAUUGCUAUACCAUGAUAUGUGCCUUUUCUUUUUAAGUAUUAACCUCCUCUUGUGCUGAAGGUUGAGCCGGACAGCUGAGUUCCUGAUAUACGGGCAUGGACAGCAGAGACGAGCAGUUAUUGAGGCAUUGCGCUUGGCAGAAAAUGCAAAAAGAAGCGGGCAAGAAAGUGCAGAUUACCAGCUUGACAAAUUUUCUGGUGGUGAUAUUGCAAGAUCAUUUAAAGAGAAAUCAAAGAAGUGGCAGAAGUUUGUGACCCAGGUUCAUUUUUAGUAUUUUCGGUUGAUUAUUUUCAUACGUUUGCUAAUAUCCAUAAUAUGUAAGAACCUAGUAAAUUUUUCUAUACUAAUUCAGAUCAUAAAUGACUUGUGAAAAAUAUAACAAGUCUAUAACAAUUGAAUUAAUAUAUUGAAAUGUAUGCUGAAGACAUGUCUUUGCUAGGCUAAGGCUUCUGGGAGAACACCUGAUGAAUGCGAGAAAAUGGGCGAUGAGAUUGGAGUAAGCAGACAGUUUGCAAUGUUGUCCUAUGGUAUAAAUUUUCUGUCAAAUGUUUAGACUUGUUGCUUUUGUGAUCUGAUUCAGGCUUUGAUUCUUAGACAUUAUAAUGAUAUUCUGAAAUCCUGUGAUGCUCUGGACUACCAUGACUUCAUUAGCUCAUCCACAAAGUUGCUCACUGAUUUUCCAGAAGGUUGUAUAAUCUUUUAUGAGUGUAUAUACACACACAUAUAUAUAUGUAUACAUAUAUACACGUAUAUAUGUAUAAAUAUAUAGACAUAUAUGUAUAGUAGAGCUAGAAUAUUAUUGAUAGUAUGGGAAUAGUUUUUACUAUCAACUUUUUGAUUAUUGAAUGUCUAGAGUUUAGUGGGGGUUGGUAGAAUAGUAAUAACCGAAGGGUGGAAAUCUUGAUGGUAAAUACUAUUCCCAUACCAUCAAUAGUAUAGUAGCUCAACUCUCUCUCUAUGUGUGUGUGUGUGUUAUUAUAUCAAACACUUUUUAUCUUUUUCCUGCAACUUAUCUUUGUAAAUUCUUCAGUGUACCAAGAGUGUCUAGAUAAAUGGAGGGCCAUCGUUGUAGAUGAGUUUCAGGAUACAAGUUCCAUGCAAUAUCGACUUUUAAGAAUUCUCACUUCUCAUAAUCAUGUCACCAUAGUAGGUGAUGAAGAUCAGGUCCGACAAGUUCUAAAAAAUUAUGUUUUUGUUAGUGUAUGAAUGCUAUGUAGUUAUUUAUGCUCUUAAUUAUGAGUUUGCUAUACUAAACUGUCUACUUUUCAAUUAUUUGUCUUAGUCCAUAUUCAGCUUUAAUGGUGCUGAUGUUUCCGGAUUUGAAUCCUUCCGUCGAGAUUUUCCUAAUCACAAGGAGGUAUGUGACUUUUCGUUAUUUUGCGACUUGUUUAUUUAUGUGUUCCUUAUAUAUCUUUAUCUUUAAAGAUCAUAAUAUCUGUGUAUCUGAUUAAAGGUUAGGUUAAUUAAGAACUAUCGCUCUACACGCUUGAUUGUUGAGGCUGCAUCAGCUCUUAUUCACAACAACAUUAAGCGGUGCCAUCUAAAACAAGUCGAGACUGAUAAUCCUACUGGGUGUAAAGUAUCCUAAUUAAAAUACUUAAGGAAAGACCUAUCUUUUGGUUGCAUAUUAUCAUUCCUCAGCAGCUUGUUUAAUUCUUUAACAAUGUUUAGAUCACUGUUAAGGAGUGUCAUAAUGAAGAUGCACAAUGUGCAUUUGUUGUCGAUAAAAUUAUUGAAAUCACGUCUGAUAGUUCAACUCCCAGCUGCACCUUUGGAAAUAUAGCUGUUCUUUAUAGGAGGCAGGUAAAUAUAUUUACAGAUAACACCACAUAUUUUUCAAUUUGUGUAUGCUAUACAAUAUGCUGUGAUGUAAUUACAUGCAGAUGUCUGGUAAAGCUUUCCAGACCGCCUUCCGCAACAGGAAAAUCCCUUUUAAUGUUCAUGGUGUGGCCUUCUAUAGGAAAAAGGUUUUAGACUUUUCUCAUGUUUCUUUUAAUAGUUAAUUCAUUAUGUUUUAUCUAGUAUAAUUUUCAUCCAAAGGUUUAUGAGAUUUUGGAUACAUAAGGUUGCAUCGACGGCUUGUUUAGGAUAUGCUUUACCCAAAUUCUGUUUUGUUUUCAACCUUUUUCUUUUUGCAAAAUGCCUGUAUCAGUUUGCUGUUCUAUAUGAUGUACCUGCUGCCAACAAAGUGAGUUUAUUAGAGCUAUUUGAACAGGUAAUCAAGGCCAUUAUGGCGAUACUUAAGACAACAUUGCCAGAGCGUGAUGAUGGGCCAUCUCGUCAAGCCUUCAAGGCACUUCUGCCAUGUGAGAAGGAUGAAAAGAAAAAGGUGAUUUUCAUUUUCUCAUUUUCUUUUCUGUUUGAUGCAAUUUCUUCUCCUCUCUUUACAUUACUGUGCCCUUUCCUUUGUGUGGAUUGAAUUCUUGUAGUUCAUUGAAUAUGUUGAAAAGAUAUCCUUAGCAAGGAAUUGUAGCUUUCUAUCAGCAGCCAAAGACAUCUUCAGUGCGAAGAUCUCAGGUACCUUCAAAAGGUUUGUUGUCAUUUUUGGCAAUUUCUUUCAGCAGGUACAUUCAUUACUAGGAAAUGUAGAAUAUAAAAUCAGUCUACAGGUACUUCUGCCAUUUUCUUUUGUGAUAUUGCACUUUUUUUUUAAGUUGAAUAACUUGUGACAAAUAUUUUGCGUAUAAACCAUCUUUGAUUUCUAUGUAAUAAGCAGUAUUAAUGUCUUCUCAAAAUCUCAUUGCAGCUAUAACAAAGCAUUAUUUUGAACCCUCUGAUUCAUGUUUGCGAAAUUCUUGUUCAUAUCAAUGAAGAUAACUUAUCAUACUAACUGCACGUGUCAUUGAUACCUUGUUAGGGUAAGAAAAAUUUUUUGAUCUCUCUCUAAUGCUCAUUCUGUUUGGAGGUUGAAUUCAAAACUUGGAUUUGUGUGGAAUCCGGAAUCCUUUGAACAGCACUUCUAGAUUUAAGUUUUUAAACCUAGUCAUACACAAUUUUCUUUGAAGUUAUGUCUAUUCCAAUCUUUAUCAUGCAUAUGGUCACAUCAUAGGUCUUCAUGAUGAUUGCGGGUAAGUAGAAUGUGUUUGCAUAUUAAUCCCUUGGAUCUCUGGAUAUUGCAUCUGAGUCUCUCCAUUCUUGUUAUUAUGUGAAAGUACCUCAAAUCAUUCUCCACUUUACGCUUCACCUUUUCUCAAGUUAGAAAGUUCAUACUAACAAAGUUGUACUUCCCCCAAAUUAUGAAGCAAGCGAGCUUCUCCAUUUUUGUCCUGAACAUGUGCUGAUAUUGAUAAAUGUAGGAGUCAACUUACUCAAGGACGUAAAGUUUUAUCAACUCUAGAUACAAUGUCAAAACUUGUACAGAAGGUAAGAAAUGAAUGGUACUGAAUUCUCUUUUUCUGUAUCCUAUGCUCAGUUAAAUUACUUUAGUAGGUUCCUUCAAAACAAUUGCUAACUAAAUAGAAUACUCAACUUAAACCAGUCUUAAUCCAACAAAUUUUUUAUGUUGCAUAUAUAAAUCAUUUGAAGGAUUUUCGUACCUCCAAAUAAGCGCUGCAUUUUUUUGGUGCUUGCAGGAACAGUCAAUUUCAGUAGUUAUCUCUUCAGCAGCAGAUGUGUUACCUCAGGUUUAGUGUCAGAAUUAUAUGGGUUUUUUUAGGCAAUAGCCUUCUUCUAAAAUUUUAUUCUAAAAAUAGAUCUGUUAAAUUUUUAUUUGUAAAUAUAGUCCUAUAAAAGCGGUGAAUCGUUUACCGCUUUUAAAAGCGGUGAACCAUUCACCGCUUUCUUUCUUUUUCUCACUUCUUUCUAUAUUUCUACGAUUACAAAAGCGGUGAAUGGUUCACCGCUUUUAUUCUUUUUCUACUUCUAAUGAGAAGUUAUGAAUGCGGUGGAUCAUUCACCGCAUUUAGAGAUAUAUUUUUAUAAUUAUUUAUUUACAAAAACUAUUUUUACAAUUAUAAAAAUCGAUAGGAUUAUUUAUAAAAAAAUUUGAAUUAUAUAGCCAAUAAACUUUGGUUUCACUCUCUCUUUUUUUCAUUUUCUUUUGUUCUUUCAUCACUUGCCGCAAAAUAGAUGAUAUGUUGAACUAUCAUUUAUCCAGACGCAUCUACUUUAAUUAGUCAACACCAUUAUGGCAGCUUUGUCAAAGAUAUUUGAUAUUCUUUAUCAUACAAGACUUGAGUGCAAGAAAAUAGUUGUAGUGUGUUUUAUGAUGAAAGUGAGAACAAUCAUUCAUCUACAAUAUACUUCAUCUAACAGGCUGACUUGCAGGUGUUACAUAUGCAAAUACUACUUAUCCCUUUUCUCCAUUAUCUACAUAUUGUUAAUUUUUAAUGCAGUGAGUCAGCAGCUAAUAUAUUGAAAAACAUGAUUCACUUUGAUUAAUGCAUGGGUUUUUUUGUGUCUAAUCAUCCAAAGAUGACAUUGUUUUGAACAACAUGUGCUCAAGUUACAAAAUUACAAUUCUGAUAGCAGUGUCACUGCUAACGUUAGUUUACAUGGUUUAUCUAGUAGUGUUAUUAACUUCUAUUAAGAGAACGUCUUGUGUAAUUGAGCAAAUUUACUACUUGAAGUUUUCAAGAAUUUUUGCUUAAUAAUAUGUAUAUAUGAGUUGUGAUAAAUUUGUUUAGCGCCAUGGUGCUACUUUCUAACAGUAUACUUGCAUUUGAUAACAUGAUUACCCUACUACAGAGCCUAUGCAUAGGUCAAGAGCAAGCAGCUUUGCCAAACUGAACUGUUAUCAUAUUGUUUGUACCUUUAAUUGUAUAACUGGCUAAAUAGACUGUGUUGAUUGCAAUGAUCAUACAUACUUCGUCGGAGCAAUUCCUGUGUUAUUAAGGAACUCUUUCCUAUUUUCCUUCAAUUAUUGCUCUGCAUACAUUCUUUCCAGUCAUUUAUUUGUUAACUGAAAUUGGAUAAACCUUUCUCUCUGUAGAAGUUCCUACUAGAACAGCGUGCAGUAGUUGAUGCAGAAGGUGGAAAAUUGUUGAAUGAAGAUAAUGACUUAAGAUCAGUAAGUUCAAGCUAUAAUAAUACAAUUUUGUUGAAUAACUGAAUUAAUUCGGUAGAUACUGAUUGUUGGAAGUUGUGUUACCUUCUUGGAUUGUUUACAAAUUUAGUCCAUGAAGUUUGACCUAGAUUUCAAAUUUUUCUGUAGAUUUCCGAUUGUAAAAAUUUAAUCCUUAAACUUUGAGUUUGACCUCAUUCAAUUUAGUCCUCAAAAUUCUAAAGCUAACAUAACUGUGUGAUGAUGUGCUUGCAUGACGGUCAACUAAAAGGGCUUUGUUAUGAAAAUUUUUGGAACGAUGGCAUUAAUGAGUUUUUUCCUUUUCAAAUCUCAUCCUUCCUUGUAAGUGACUAUUGUUGUUAGGUGCCAAUGAUAGUAGACUUGUAAUUUGUAUAAAAUUGCUUUGCAGGUCCUUCAGUAUCUAAUGGAUGAUGUUUCUGAUUUUCUGUCAACACAUUUUGCUGAUCCAGAGGCAAGAAAGAUUGAAGAGAAAGGAUGCGCACAUACACUUAAGGCCUUUAUAGACUAUAUAACUCUGAGGGAGUCGGAAAAUUUUCAGUCUCGAAGGAGGGAAAAUCAGAAUUCUGUUACAGUAACUACCAUUCAUCAGGUUAUUAUUGAAGCAUUUUGUAGAACAGAUUAUCAACUCCCAGAAGUAUCAUGUUUUCUGCGACUCCAAAAGCUGGAGGUCCAUUUUGGAUCUUUUCCUUGUACUACAGCAAAAGUUGUUGGUUAGAGUUUUAAGAAGCUGCUAGCGCUUUUUCAAUCAUCUCUACUCAAAAAAUACUUUUAUAGAAGCCCCAGCAGUUGAAACAGAUCUUUACAUUGCUAAUAAUCCUACGUCAAAAUUUCUGCUUUUGCAGGCAAAAGGCUUAGAAUGGGAUAACGUUUUCAUUGUUAAGGUAUAGCUUUUGUAAAAGCUUUCUUACUUUUCACAUUGAUGUACCUUAAUCUCUAUCUGAUUACAGGUUAUUAUUCACAUAAAGGUAAUAAUUAAGUCUUUUACAGGCAAAUGAUUCUGAGAUCCCUUUGUUGCAUGAGUAUAAUGGCAUUGUAAAGGGUGGGGCAACGUUGGAGGUAUACUUGAACUAUUUCACAGCUUUUCCUGCUUCCUGCUCAAUAAUUUUGUUUAUAUUCUGCAUUUGAAUUUUUAUAAUUGUGACUUCAGGAGGAAAGGAGGCUGCUGUAUGUUGCAAUUACUCGUGCUCGGAAAAAGUUGUACAUUUUGUAUAUCACUGUGGAUUGCGAUUGGCAGGUACAGACUUUUCUGGUGUGAUCUAAAUUUCUUCUUUGCUUCAAUAUUUCUGACUAAGCUUACUUAUAUGUAGUUACUGCAACCUUCACGCUUUCUACAUGAAAUCCCAGCUCACCUUCUUGAGAUCCAGGUGUGCGCUAGAAUCAUUUGCUUUUGUUACAGAAGUUUCUAAUCUAGAGUGCUUUUUUUUUUAUCACAUAUUUAAAACACAAGAAGAUUUCAAUCCAAAUUAAAAUUUUCUUUUCUUGCAUGUUUCUUGUCCAGUAAUUAUUUUUUUAAUAGUUUAUCAAGAUCAAUUUACAAAUGGCAGCUAUCUAUAUAGAGAAUAAUCAACCUUUUAUGAUGAAUUCGUGACAAACAAACAGGUCAAUAAAUGUAUAAUUUUUGAAAUUUAGGAUCAUAAAUAUGAGAAAAAUGAACUUUACAAUGAGUAGCAAACGCUCAAGGAUGUAUAUGUAAUUAUCCUUAUUAGCAAUUGUUUGCUUGACUUAAGUUAACGGUCUAAAUUCUCUUCUGAGCCUUUUCAAGUUGUUGUUCUUUACCCCACCCUGCAUUACUGGUAAAAUGCUUGGAUUAUGACAAAGUGGGGAUGACGACAGAUACUUUGACAAUAUAUAUAAUACAGUGUUCAAUAACUGCCUUUACCGAACAUCAUUGGCAUUGCUUGGUGCUGUUGCCAUAAACUAUUAAAAAGAAAUAAUCACAUCUACGCAAUGGAAUGUGCAGGUAGAUGUUGGAUUCCUUGCAAUUUAUACAUAUACAUGGUUUAUUUGGCAAUAAAAAAACAAUAAUUCAGUAGUAACUUAUUUUUUCUUCUUUUCUUUUAUUUUUAUUUCCUUUUUCUUUGGAAGAUACCAUUUCUCAUUCAGCUAAGGUGGCAUCACAAGCUAACCAAUAUUGACAAGAAUCGAGCAGUCUGUCCUUCGCGAACAAAUCCAAUCACAUAGUAUUUGUAUUUAAAGAGAAAAGAGAAAGUAGCAAUAAUACCAAAUGCUACCAUUGUUUACAAUUUCUUCAUGCCUAUUAGAUAGAAGAACAGUUACUUCAAGAUGUAUACCAUUAUUUAGAUACAAGUGAAUAUAUCUCAAAGUUGAUUUUUGUUUUUAAAAUUCAAAAAUUGAUAUUGUUAUAGAUCAGUUUGCUUCUGUUGGACUUAUUCUUUCACCUAUCUAUCAAUAUCCACUUGAAUUUUUCAUAAUCUUUGCUUUUCACUUAUUUUUUGCCUUCUGUAGGGUGAGGAUACUUUAAAAGUGGAACGACAGAAUACAGGAAGUAUUCCUUUCAAUAAAUGUGGAUCUGAAUUAUUACCCAGAAAUCAUAACUCUGGUAUUAAUGAGAGCUCAAAUUUCCCAGUAGAAUUUGCUCACAUGUGCCUUAGUAAUGAUUUUUUAAAGAGGUAAUACAAAAGACUUUUUCCCCCCUUUUUUUCAUGUUUUCAUGUAAGCCUUGUUUCUGCAACAAUUAUACAUUCUUUGUACUAAACAGGUUUGAUAUAGAUGAUAGAUCAACUGUUUCUUGUUUAUUCCACCAUUGGGCAAAAAAGCAGGCAUUUCAACAUCCAAAACGGUUGCUUGACAAGGUAAUUUUUUUUUCCCACAUGUCUGUUUAGUAAGUGUUGCGAGAGAAACUUUAUGCACAUUCCUGACAUUGACUCAAUCAUGCACAAGUGGUGCAAGGGUUUCUCAUGAACAUAACAUAUUCAUGGACAUUACAUACUUUCCAUGAACAACAUCUAAACAUGGUAAAGAGUAUGUUGGUAAUUUUUUUCUUUUUAGUAUGUAAAUCAUGUUAUUUAUUUAUUUAUUUUCUCUCUCUGCUCUUGCAGAUCAGCUUUGUCAUUGAUGAGCGUUUAAGAAGCAAAGCUUACAAGCGGAAGGUUUCACUCUUACCAUUCUUUUAUGAGCUCAAUUACUAUGCUAUUUAGUUAAUAUUUUUUGGUCCUAUUACUCGUAUUCCUGCUACUUUAAAAAUUUACUCUGGAAAUUUUACUUACAGGAUGUUCUAUGUAAACUAAAAUCAUCAUUAAGUGGUGAUGAAGCCUCUCAGUAUGCCCAAUAUGUAAGUGUUCCUAGUAAUUCUGAAAAUUUCUCAGAUGUAUAUUAUUGACUUGCUUAAUUCCUAUUUCAGGUUAUCAAGUGGGAGCAGAUUCCUCUUGAUAAACGUGUUCAUUUGAUGAGAGAGAGACAGGUCAAUUCUAAUGUUUUGGUCUUCUUAGCUCUUUAACAUUUUUAUCUGCUGGAUUCAGCUUUAAAUUUUUUUUUCCCCAGACUUUAUUUUCUCCAAAUGCUUUAUUUCAGUUUCUAUUUGAUUGUGGUUUGAGUCUUCUAAAUUUUUAUUGAUGGAUUAAAUGUUAAUCUUCCACUUCUUGUAACGCAAUUAAGAUGUUUGUAUGGCUUCACUUAGUGACACUACAUUGAUUAACUUACAGGAACAUUUCCAAAAACAGAGAAUAGAGAACUCGAUGGGUUCGUCAGAAGCUACAUCUAAACAGGUCAUCUAUUCAUUGCUGGCGUCAUUUUUGUUGUCUUUUUUUUUGGUUACCUAUGGUAAAUGUUCUCCUAUUCUUUUACUUUUGUUUUUCCACAACAUUCAUGAAUAAUUGUUAAUUUAAGAAUUAGUAGUGUUUUCUUUUGGGGAUUUUGAGAUAUGCUCUUAUGCUUCACUUGUAGCGAGCAUAGCUUACUGUAGUUAUAGAAGAAAAGUGAAAGCACAUUUCAUGUUUUGUUUCCAUGAAAAAUAUGAAUAUUAUCAAAUCUCGUUUUAACUACAUAAGGCCAAAUGGAUGCAUAUACAUUAUAGUGUUCAAUAACUAGUGCAAAACAAUCUUGUAGCAAACAAAUCAACCUCUAUGUGUUGUCCGUCAGCAGUCUCUAUUUAUAGCUGCAAUGUCUUUAUUAUUCCUUGUUCGCAUUAAUAUUUAACUAAUCAAAAUUAUUUUUGUUGCACCUCUGCAUCUUAAGUUAUCUGCUUUUCAUGGCUUGAAAUUUGGAUUGAAGUUUCUUUUAGUCUUUUUUUGUUCUAUCUUUUUUGGUUCCCCAAAUCAAGUAGUUGCAAAAGAGUAGUAUUACUUGAUUACAUGAAAAAAUAUGCUUUUGCUUUUUCUCUACUACUACACCUUGGUUUUAGUUCCAAGAUUAAAACAAAAAAUCAUCCAAUUACUGCGUUAUGGUUAAGAAUGCAACUUAUAUUGAGAGAAUUGAAAAUUGAAAUGGUUACUCAACCCUCAAAUUUUUUUUGAGAAAAUAGGUAGCAAGCUACCCGCUUCAUUCAACCCUCUCAAAUUGAACACAAUUUACUAUUUUGUUCCUGCAGAUUGCAUAUCUAAGGAAUUUGGGGUGCACUGUAGUCCCUACUUCACGCCUUCAUGCAUCACGUCUGAUUGAGCAAUACAAGUCCUUGUGACCCAGAGUAUAAUGUGGAGAUUUUAAGAUGAAACCUAUCUGAUUUUCUCCUAUUAUCUUAUUCUUCGUUUUUUCAUUCUUCUCUUGAGGAACUGAGAAGAGCACGCCGGUGUAAAGCCUGUUCUAUUGAAAAUGUAUACUAACAUUGCCAUGAUAUUUAUGUGAUCGCUGAGUCGGGAAAAUUAAGUUUUGUUUUUUUCUCUGCUUGUUUACUUGUUUGAAUAAAUGAAUAGAACGUGGGCAAUCUCUGUGGAGAGUUCAUUAAGGAGUGCUAUAACUCCAAGUAGGUAGGACAUUCGGGGCAAAACUGGACUUCAACACUACUCAAGGCCAUGUACUAUAGGCCUCGAGUGCAUGAAGAUGUGGAGGCGUACGUGUGGACUUGUAUUGUGUGCCAACAGGAUGAGUUUAAGCGACAAAAGCCAAAUAAGAAGGACAAAGGGCAAAUAGGGCCGCAAUCCAUGGCCUUCCAAUUCACUUUGAACUGUUUGGAGAAGGUGGCUCGUCGAAUGAAGAAGUAGGCUAAUGCAAAGCGGCGAUCCUUGGAGUUCAUUGAGGGUGAUGAAGCCUUAAACAAACUGACACCCUUUGGAAGUACAUUGUGGGCUAUUGCAGAAGUACGAAGGGCCGUUCACCGUGAAGACGGCGGGCAAGAUGGCCUACAAAUUGUAGCUGCCUACUAACCUGCAAAUUCACUCGAUAUUUAAUGCUAGCUACUUGAGGCUGUACAAUGAGGAUGCGGAGGAUUCAAGCCUGGGUGUGUUGUAGCGCGCUCCCUCUACUGACUCCAUCUAUUAACAAGGAGGUCGAAGCACUCUGGACACUGGAACUAGUCGUUGUCAUGGAGUUCUGCCGACUAUCGAUUACCUAGUCAAGUGGAAGAAUCUCUUGCAUGGCGAGACAAGCUGGGAGAAAGUUGACACCCUUUGGAAGUACCAAACCCUAAUUGAGUUUCAACACCAGUGCGCAAUGAGGGCAUCUAUGGAUUAGGUAGAUAGGUUGUCAAUGAUAGAAUUUUUCACACAUUCUCUCCUUUAUAACCGUCCAAACUUCAAAGGAGAUUAUUGGCAAAGGUUUUGUCACAAAUUUCUAGAAGCAUCUAUGGAACUGAGGUUGCGGAUGCGGAAGCCGAGAAGUCAAGUGUCCCUUAGGGUUUCUAGGAGAUGUAAUAAAUAUAAGUUGUUGAAAGCUCGUAGUCUCCUGUUUUGGCUUGGAGUUUUGUGCCACCUAGUGCCUCUCUAUUUGCUCUCUUGGGCGGCAAGUGAUUUAUACAUCCUUGUGGCCUCUACCCUUUUAGGAUGAGUCAGAUGUACUUUUUUCACUCUCAAGUAAAAGAAUAUUACAUACUUCCAAACUCUAUCUCUUCUACUUAAUCGUAGGACAAGUAAAUCCAGGCUAGCAAGUGGAGAGACAAGCUUGCUCACUUUGCAAAAGAAGGCAAAUGCCACAUGGGCUUGAUAAGCAAUUUUGCUUAAAUCCUUGACAUGCCGAUACAUCUUCUUCAGCUUCUACUUUAUUCUUUUUUUAUUAUUUAACUUAUUUUAUUUUUCUUAUGCUUAUACUACUUUUUUUCAAUUUUUUGUAUUUAUUUGCUUCUAUGGAAUCGACCCACCACAAACUAUGGGUACCUUCACCGGUGAUAAUUGAAUUUGCAAUUUAGAUCAUUUGUGUAGGAGAGUAAGGACUAACAAACAAUAUAGUAUGCAGCAAUAUUAACAAAUGAAAACGCAAAGGGUAUUAUAAACACGAACAGAAUUAAUAAAAAACUGCGCAGAGAAAAUAACUAGAAUAGAAAUUAUGGCACAUAGGUAAUUCAAUCAAAUAAUUUUUUUAAAACUUUUCUUUUCCUUGGUAUUUAAUAAUUGGUUAUACAACAUGAUAAAUAAAUGACGUGUUCAUGAACCAUCUUAUUUGGGAGAAACUAGUGAAGGAGUUCAUGCUUAGUAGCGGGUACAUAUCACAAGAAAACGUAAAAUUUUAUAUUCAAACAUAAAAUCACAAUAUUUAUUCUAAUAUAAAUGUAAUACUCUCAGAAAAAUAAUUAAGUAAAAAUAAUAAUAAGCAUGUUAAAUAGAAUAAUCGAUUUUUUUAAAAAUAAUACCUAAAAGGAAGUGUUUGGUUGGAUGUAAAAUCAUAAAAAAUAGUUUUCUGUGGAAAAAAAUUUUGGUGGAAAAAAGUUUUAUGUUUCGUAAUGUUUGAUUUGUAAGAAAAAAAAAAAUUUCCAUCAACAUUUGUUGGUUGAAAGGAAAAAAUUCACAUUUAUUUGGUUUGGUAAAAAGAAUUAAUUAAAAAAGUUUUACAUGGCUUGAGUUUUUGUUUGUCGUUGAAAAUUGGCGGAAAACAAAAAGCUCUAUUUUCAGACCUUUUUUGCAUUUGGACCCCUCAAAAAUUUUUUUUUCACAAAUAACCCAUCAAAUUUAUAAUUAUAAUUUUGGCCCUGUCCCGGCCACCCAGGCGCCACAUCAGCGCCACGCAAGUUGGCUGGGGAGGCGUCUUAAGUUGAACACGGUGAACCGUUUACCGUAUUUUAAACACGAUGAAUCAUUCACCGUAUUUCGUACUUAUAUUUUUCUUUCACCGUGUUUAGAUAUGGUGAAUGAAUUACCGUGUUCAGCUUAUUUCAGCACCUCCACCCUUACUCGCAUGGCGCUUACGUGGCGUCUAAGUGGCAGAGACAGGGCCAAAAUUAUAAUUAUAAAUUUAGUUGGAUUAUUUGUAAAAAUAAAUUUUUUGAGAGUGCCAAAUGCAAAAAAAAUCCCUCUAUUUUCCUUAGAUCUGUAAAAUUAGUUUUCCUAACAAAAAUUUAGUUAAGAAAAUAUCAGAAAAAUAAAUUUUCAAGCUGAAGAGUAACUUUUGGUACAUUUUACGGCAACUAGCAACCCUAUAAGUGUGUGUUUGGUUUGACGUAAAAGCAGCUGCAAAUUUUAUUUUGGGUCCGAAAAUAAUUUUUCUAGCGUUUGUUUCCGUGUAAAAUAAUUUUCCAGGAAUUUUUUUUUAACAGAUUCUACGGAAAGAGCGGCUUUUUGUUUUCCGCCGAGAUGAGGCGGCAAAUGAAAACUCGACCAAAACACGCGGCGCAUGGCUUCUUCUGCAUCACGGUCCACGAGCUUAAGUGAGAGCUCGUGGACCGCGUGCGUGGUCCACACUGGACCACUCACGCACUACUCUUCUCUCUCUCUCUUGUGUGUAAUGAGAUAGAGGGUGAAAAGUUAUUAUAUAUAUAUUUUAUAUUUUUAUUUAUAAAUAUUACAUAUUUUUAUUAUAUAGUAUUAUAUGUAUAUUAUUACAUAAUGUACAGCUACUAUGUUAUCGAAAAUAUAGAGAAUCUGAAGCUUUUUAUAUUUUGACCCUUAGAUCAAGAAUUGUACGGUUGGGAUGAUUGCGGGGGUUGAAAAAUACUCCUAAAAUUGAGUGAUCCCCAUAGUGUAAUAAUAUUAAUCCAAUAGUUAAAAAUGUCAAAAGAGUUGAUCUAAAAACCAUUAAAAGUUUCGUACUUUAUUUAUUCUUCUCUCUUGUUUCAUAUGCUUUUUUUUAGUUCAUUUAUACAUAUUAUACAUAUUGUCUAGGCUUAUUAUGAUAAUCCAUAUUUUAAUUUAAUUUAUGUCCACGCAUAUGCGCCCGCUUUCUGAUCCAAAAAAACAAACCGACCUUAAAAACACGAAAACGCGCUGGCGGGAGUAAGAUAUAAAAAUCAUUUAAGUGCAAGCAAGAAUCAUUUAAGUGAAAGCAGAACUUAAAAGCUGAUACUUUUUUAAGUUUGGACCACCAUAGGACAAACAGAAGCUGCGUUCAAAAGCACAAAUAGCAAAGCAAUUGAUGAUUGGUGCUUCCCCAAGGAAUCAGAUUUAUCUUGCGAUUCAUGAGAGGAUAGAAUAUAACCAACCGACCUACAAGUACAAAGCUUCACACUAGCUAUACUGGUUUUCAAGACCGGAGAUAUGAACCACUCAGCCAUCUCUAUCCCAAUCCAUUUAUCGACGCAUCUAUGUACGCAGCGUGCAUAGAUACAAAGAAAAAAGAGAAAAAAUGAACAAAAAUAAAAAAAAAGGAAAAAUAAAAGUACAGCAAGAUCAGAAACUUGAGAAAGCAUUACAUUUGCUGAAGCAAUAAGAGGUUUGGUCUUAAUAACCCAAUUUUUUUCUUACAUUAUACAUUGUAUGCAUAUACGCCGAUAAAAAUCAACAAUGAGGAGCACAUAGGCCUAAUUCAGCUGGGAAGCCAAGAAAGAAAAAGAAAAAAAAAAGAUUGUGAUGUACAAGUCCAAACUACCAAACUUAGUUAUGAGAGAACUAUUUUGCUUCUCAAUCAUUUUUAGUGCAUAAAUUAGCGACUCCUUGGAAAGACAUGAUGCUUUCUUUUGAUCUCUAUGGGCACCCUGAUUAAUCUGAAGAGACAAUGUCCUUGUCUUCUAUGUUCCCAUGUAUGAAUACCUUUGGCUCUUUCAACUGCAAUUGCCAACAAAAUGUGAUCAGCUUGUGUUAACAUAUUUAGCGACGAUUAAGAACUACGUUUGUACAUAUGGUGAGCCGACUAGAAAUAUAUGCACUUGUCAGAUUGGCGCAUUGCCUACUGCACAGCAACUUUAAGAAGCAACAGCUAGGUAUUUGCAAACAAAAAAUACCAAGCUUUUGCUGUGCUGAGAAGCAAAACUAAGCUUUGGAGCGCCAAAACUAGACGCUCCAACUUAGAGCUUUCGCAAAAGUGUUGUUCAAAAAGAGCCAUGCAAAGAAAAACUAUAUAGAAUUUUUAUCUAAAAUAAUCCUAAACUGACUAUACAGAAUUUUUUUCUAAAAUAAUCCUAAACUGCUUUCCACUACGGCAGAAGCAGGAGUUUCAUAAACAUCUUGUGUCACACGAAAAGCUCCACACUUUUUGUAUGCCGAAUGCCUGUCUGUUUCAGAAGCCGGAUAAAACAAGUACUAAUUAAGCUCAAUAUCCAAUGUCUUCCUUGGCUGUCUUUUGUUAUUAUUAUUUUUUCUUAUUCCUUUCUUUUUAACCCCAAACUCUAUGAGGUUGAAUGUGGCACCAUAUGGACUUCUCUAUAAUGUAACUUUGUCAACUUACUUGUAAACUUGUCUUUUCUUUUCCUUUUUCUUAAAAAAAAGAGGGGGAAAAAGCAAAAAACAAAGUUAUUGGUAAAUACUUUUUUCUAUCGUUUUUUGCCAAAGAAAUUCUGCAGAUAUAAACUCGUCUUUCCUUUCAAAAAAAAAAGGGGGAAAAAGCAAAAAAAAAGUUACUGGCAAAUAUUCUUUUUUCUUUCGUUUUUUUGCCAAAGAAAUUCUGCAGAUGUAAACUCGUCUUUUCUUUUUUUUAAAAAAGGGGGAAAAAGCAAAAACAAAGUUAUUGCUAAAUAUUCUUUUUUCUUUCAUUUUUUGCCAAAGAAAUUAUGUAGGUAUUUAUAGAUUGAAAAAACUCAGCAACCGCAUUCCAUAAGAUGGAAUUUGAAGUUAACAAAAACAUAAGCACAAACUAACAAGGGCUUAAAGUUUCAAGUAAAAUCAAACAAUUCAGACAACUAAGCGUACAAUAGUAUUAAAACAUUCGUCUGAAAAUUAUAGUUCUCUCGAAAUUAACAGUCAUACCAGAGCUAAUGGCGGAAAAUGCCUUCGGAAACGAAGGCCAGAAAAUCCAUUUAUGGCAAACAAGCAUUUGUAGCCAUUGAUGGAAUGAUGCUCGCUGUUUCAUGACAAACACGCCCAAGGAGAAAAAGAAAAAGAAGAUAAGUAAAGCCAACCAACAGACAAAUACAAAAAAUAACAAUACAUUUUUUCUGAAUUCACCAAUUGAAAUGUGGCUUCAUUGUGAAUAUCUCACUAUAUCUGUGUGCUAGCAUGUAGUCAUGAAUUUAUUCAUUCAGACUAAUUUAAGAUCACUCUAAAGUAAAAUUAGAGGAAUAUUACAUGAUCUUUCUCCAACCACAGUGCAGUAAGGAAAUAAGCAAGGAAUCUUAAAUAAAAAAAUCAAGCGAAGAAUAAAUAAACUCAUAAUGUCAAUUUUUCAACAAAACUGGAAUUAGCUUUUGGCUCUUCCUAUUUAAUGUAAGACGAGCCACUGCUUUUGACUGUUUCUACAUAAUGCAAGGAGAGCUAUUGCUUAAUGUCAAAUUUACCGCCAUAUGUGAAUGUUCACUACGUUCUACAUGGUAUAAUUGUACAGAAACCAAAAGUAAGAAUGAGAUUAAGUUGUUCAGAUCUCCCUAAAAGAAUUUGUAAUAUUUGCCAGAAGUACAAUAAGCAAAACCUUUCAUACCAGCAGUAUGGCAAGGCACCAUGGGACAGGUGUACCAGUGAUGGGACUCUUCCUUUUAUCAAAUUUUCAUGAAAAACUAUCUUUUUAGAGUGUUUUAAUAUCUAUAAUAGCUAAAAAAAGAGGCUUUAAAUGUUACAUCUGACACAAUAUAGUAAGAAUAGAUCAUGUAUAUAUGUGCAUGAAAGCCAAACCAAUGUCGCAAUUGGGUAAAAAUCUAUAGAAAAACACCACCAUGGGUAAAUUCGCUAAAGCUAAAAUGAUAGAAAAUUUCAAAAAAAUCUUCUUAUUUAUAUUUUUUAACCAAAAGUUGGUCUAAUCAUGUAAUAGAACUACUAAUUACUCCAAAUGUUAGUAGAGUUAUAAGAUGUAUACAUACAAAGUAUGAAGAAACUUCUAUAAAACUUUGUGCCUCAAAAAAAAAAAAAAAAAUACUACUCAAAAAAGUCAAUACGGGAUCGGCUCAGCUCCAUACCACAUGCCAGCACGGCAUCGGCACAGGCAGCACGAGCAGUCCUCACCCCUUACAGAGUAUUAUCAUGAUAUUCUUCCUAUAAUAUGCCAAUUAUAACACAAUGAAAGUACUCUAUUCAAAACAAAGGCAUACUAUGAUAGGAGAUGAUUAUUAAGUAACAAACGGAAGAGAAUUAAGCUACAUAAUUAUCAAAAUGCAACUUAAAAAACCAUAUCAUUUAGAUGGCUAACAUAAAAGAUGUAAUUGCUUUGCAAGAAAAACUGAAAAUAAGGAUGUGCCAAGUUUAUGACACUUGUCUUGACAUUCGACAAUAUUUAAUUGUUUUCAUAGACAUUAAUCCAGGUAUGAAACUUACUUCAGCAGGUAGGUGAAAUUUCUGUUACCAAAAUGUUCGAUGGGAAUUCCUUCUUCUUUACAGUAUCUAUUCAACCAAAAAAAGAAUUAUUGUAAGAUUAGAUGAAAAAUAAAUUUUAAAAAAUAUUGAUAAGGUGCUUCGAUAAAAGAAAGGCCUCACAACUAAAGAAACAGAGUGCUUAGAUAAAAAGAAAGGCCUCACAACUAAAGAAACAGAUGAGUACAGAUUAAUAGAUGUUAUUAGCAUCAGUUAUCGGAUCCUAAAAAUAGAUAGAUCUGCAGGAACAAACUUACAAAUAGGUUCACUGAAAACGACAAAAGAAAACAAAAGGAUAGGUUGGGAAACCGAAGUCAAGCAGAUAUAUGUAUUAAAGAAGACAAGAAAGUCUCAUCCUUAAAAAUGGUGAUAAAGAUCACUUUUAAUGCUCCCUGUCAUGCCACAGAAAAACUACUACCAUGCAGCAGUUUCAUGUUGAAACAAAUUAGUUUGUAAACACGAUAACAGAUGUCGAUGCACCUUAACAAGUUCGAUGUAUCAACUCAGGCUUUUUACGGUUCUUGAAAGUGAGCUAUAAUUAGAUACUACAGAACUAUCCAAAAAAGUGUGUGUGGUAAUGUAUCUAUGUAUCUUGUUCAGAUCUUGAUCCUUUUUCUUCAAAUUCAAACUUUGACAAGUCAAAAAAAAGAAAGAUCCAAUUAUAUUUUUAGAUGCAAGACUAACUACAGCAAAAUCAGACAUAAAAUGUGUAAUUUACAUAUUUCUAGGAAUUACUCCGCUUACAAGUGCAAACAUUUAUCAAUCUACGGGAAACAACAUUGCUUUGUGGAUCAAAAAAGAAUAAAUAUGAAAGGGCGAAAAUCACACUUAAUUUUCUCUGGCGUUGAACAUAUAUUAUAUUUUCCAAAUGGCUAAGAAAAUCAUACCUCCAAGGAUAUUCAUUUUCAGAAAAACGAGAAACUCCAUUCAUUGCUGUGAAAGCAUCUAUAUGAACCAACUUUUCCUUUGUUGAUGCAUCUGUGGUCAUAAACAUCAUUAAGCACAAAACAUAAUGUCUACAGCAGUGGUAUUCUCUUCAUGACACAGAAAUAUCAAAGUUAAUAGAGGCGAGAAUCCAAAAGAUGAUGUGCUUAGCAGUAGGCGAAACAGUCUGACACGACUUAAAUGCAACCUGUAAUGACUUAAAUAUUCAUUAUGUAAAUUCUAUAAUUAAGUCUUUAUAGUAUCAUAAAAAUUGAAGACGACUAUAGAAUUGAUAUAGGAUAUAUUGUUGAAAUAAUAUAGCUGACCGCUAGUAGGAAGAUCUAGUCUACUGCCCAUUUAAAGUUAACUAUAACCUUAACAGGGAACUAGAUUCAGUCAAAUCCUUGACUUUAAAGGUGUUAGAACAGAAAUGUCAACAAGUGAAGCUUCAGUUAAAGUUACCUUCACAUGAGCAUGUAAAAGCUAUUAGACAAAGCUAACCUAGUCUACUGCCCAUUUAAAGUUAACUAUAACCUUAACAGGGAACUAGAUUCAGUCAAAUCCUUGACUUUAAAGGUGUUAGAACAGAAAUGUCAACAAGUGAAGCUUCAGUUAAAGUUACCUUCACAUGAGCAUGUAAAAGCUAUUAGACAAAGCUAACCUAGUCUACUGCCCAUUUAAAGUUAACUAUAACCUUAACAGGGAACUAGAUUCAGUCAAAUCCUUGACUUUAAAGGUGUUAGAACAGAAAUGUCAACAAGUGAAGCUUCAGUUAAAGUUACCUUCACAUGAGCAUGUAAAAGCUAUUAGACAAAGCUAACCUAGUCUACUGCCCAUUUAAAGUUAACUAUAACCUUAACAGGGAACUAGAUUCAGUCAAAUCCUUGACUUUAAAGGUGUUAGAACAGAAAUGUCAACAAGUGAAGCUUCAGUUAAAGUUACCUUCACAUGAGCAUGUAAAAGCUAUUAGACAAAGCUAACCUAGUCUACUGCCCAUUUAAAGUUAACUAUAACCUUAACAGGGAACUAGAUUCAGUCAAAUCCUUGACUUUAAAGGUGUUAGAACAGAAAUGUCAACAAGUGAAGCUUCAGUUAAAGUUACCUUCACAUGAGCAUGUAAAAGCUAUUAGACAAAGCUAACCUAUUCUACUUGGUUGGAUUGAAUCAUUGAAAUUAGGUGUUGGCAAGACCCUGGACAUGUUGAUGCUUUCAAGCCUACCAACACAGCAAGAGCUUCUGGAUAAGACGAACCCUCGUUUAGGAGGAUAGACUCUGUAAAUUUGUGCUGGAUAAGGUCAUGGAACUAUAUUGAGGUUCUGCUCUGCGAGAUCAAUGAAUGGUGAUUAAUCAACCAAGAAAGCCUGUGGAUGUUUCAAGUGAAUCAGGUUGGCCGACCAACUCUGACCAGGAGCCUUGACGAAUCAAAAUUAUAGUGUACUUUCUGCAGAAUUUUAAGAGUUCUAGCCAACUGAGAUUUUGAAUGCUUUCUGUUGACAAAAAGUGAGGUUCACUUGCUUUAGAGUGGAAAUUGAAUGAUGAAGAUGACUGACUCAACAUGGAUCACUGAUCAAGAUCAUCUGCUAAGAAAGACACUCUUCGCCCGGCGGGUUCGAUCAUUUGAGAUUGAUCAAUACCACUUGCUAUGCUAAAAGGCAAAGAGCCAUCAAUCUGUUUGUAGAAUACAACAAAAUAUAAGAGCUUCACAUCAGUCUAUGAUGUGAAGAACAACAAAAUUAACGCUUUCACAACAAGAGUGAAUAAAAAACAUGACACUUUUGAAAACUGUCAUAUAUCAUUAAUGAGAAAUUCUUAAGACUUAAAAAUACAGGAACGUAAGGAGUACUUCACCAGCUUGAUGUAGAGCCUUCAAAGCGUAACCACCUGGAUAAUUGUUAUAGGAUGCCAUGAAUGUCACUAUAGAGCAUCCUACACUAAAAAAACCAUAAAAUUAUCAUAAAGUAGUAGAUAAGAUAUCCUGUUUAACUCAAGUAAUUGAUGAUCCAACCUGACAAUAAAAGAUCCGAGCAUAAUGACAUAGAUCCAACUCCAUAUUUUCUUCUUCCUAUUAUUAUAUCUGGGAAGAUCACAAAGCAAGAAAAAAAAAUAAUUAAUUGGAAUUUUAUGUGAAAGAAGUUAUUUCCCAACAACAAAUUCAACUUCAAUAAAUCUUUUAUCAUUCCACCAUAACUGCGUUGGAAACCAAAUAAGACUAAAAGUGAUCAUGGCUAUAAUUAGGGCUGCAGCUUCAAAAGAUCAACAUACAAAGAAUGAGUGAGCCCCUUUAAAUGAAUUUACCAAAAACUUGCACUUAUGAUUUGAAUAUAAAGGCUAUACAUUAACAGAUCCAAAGAGGAUGAAAGAGAGAAUCAUUUGCAUGAUUUUGAUAAAUUUUGAUGCUUUUUAAUAUUGUGUUGUACUGCUAUAACUGAUUAUUUGUUGUUAAUUAAGGCACAAGGAAUCUCCAACGCAAGUAAUUUUCUGCUUUGAGGCGGCCUAGAUACAUAAGAAGAGAAUCAAUUUAAAAUGUUCCAUCAUGUAAAUUUAAUUAGUUUAAAACUGUUCGCUAAAAUAUCAAUGGAAAAAUUGGAAGUGUGCAGUCCAACAUCAAUAUAGGCAUUAUUCCCCUGUGUAAGUUUAACAUAAAUGUCUAGUACAAGAAUUUUCUAGAAGUAAAAGGGCUUGAACAAUCUUCAUUACAGCUGUAAUCCAUCCACCACACUAGAAAGUAAUGGGCUAUAAAACAUGAGAACCAAAUCUAAAGCAUGUCAUACACAAUCUGACACAACUCGUUCAUAUAUCCUUGUAUAAGUUGGCUUCAUUGGACAAAACAAUACCUACAUAAGGUUAAUUUUACAAUUCAUAUUGGAGUGUGGCUGGUGCAACUCUAGUGUGAAUUAACAUAAGAAAUUAUGAUGGAAAGCUGGUGAUGAUGUUGAAAUUGAAAUAGAGUAAUGACUAUUGAUUACAUAUGAAUAAACUGCAUUUUAAGAAGAGUAGAUUGGUUGAGCGUACACUCUGCUAGCUGCUAUUGAUGCUGACGCAUUUAGAAUAGGAAUAGAACCAAGUAUGAACCGAAGCUCCUGUAACAUCAGUAAGGUACAUACAGAGAUAGACAUGAGCGGGAAAAACUUCAAAAUGUCAAUUAAGUUGUUAGUAUUGGUAUGCAUAACAAACCUUGUGCGGAAGUUUUGAAUAAAACAAAAUAAAUAAGAAGACUGGAAGCACAUAUCGUCUUAUCCUUCUAUCAAGAACCAUACCAAUCUGCAGAUAAAGAAUAUACAUACGUCAGAUAAAUAUUUGGUAACUUGUCACAUUCUUCGGAAAAUGUAAAUCACAAGAACAGAAUCAGGUACAACAUCAUAAGUAACAAAUGCCAAAGCUUUACAAAUGAAAGAAAGCAGCAGAUAAUAGUUACAAUAACCAAAUUUCCAUCAACAUAUAUUUUCUGACUUACCAUACAAAGAGGAUAUCCUACAAGCAUGGAGCGUGGAAGUGCUGAAGUGAAGUACCAAUGAAGCGGGUGAGUCUAAAUUCACAACUAUAUCAAAGACAAACAACUCGAAAGGAAUUGUUCCAUUCAGAUGAUAACAUUGACAAAUAAACCUAUAUUCCCUCGAACUUCAAGGGUCUUUGAAAACAAUAAGAAAAACAAAUAUAAAUGGCAAGCAAAGAGAAUACAUCCUGUAACCCUAAGCACUGGUUUCAUGAAAGAGGAUAUUAGAGCCAAAAAAAACAAUGUUUUCACUAGUUGAAGACUUACUUUCCCUCUACAUGAGACGAGUAGAAUUCUAAAAGUGAGAGUUUAUGAUGAAAAAUAAAAUCCAGUUUUCCAUAUAUAAAUCAUUGAAUCCUACUCACUUCUUGAAACGAAGUUCUCCUACUAAAUUAUCUUCCGAUAAUUUAUGUAGCAAGAAAACUAGUUAAACUAUAGUAAUAACAUAAGGAUACACCCCAUUCUGAACUACGGUUUAGAACUGAGUUAAACCAGAAAACUUCCAAUUCUGGCCACAAUAUUCUUUGCCACAUUAUUGAAUCAACCAGCACAGAAAUGCCUGAAGAAAAACACAUGAAAACAAAUUAGUUUUCAAUCUAGCACGAUUUAAUUCAACGAGCAAAACAACUUACCUAUGCACAGAAGAGCAGUGAUCACGCAGCAUUUAAUUGCUUCCAGCAGUGAAACAGAUUUACUCUGUUGCAGAAUGUUAGAUUUCAGAAAUAAGAGUAUCCAUUUGAGAGCAUAGUUAGUUAAUUCGGAUUCGGCAAAAAUUCGGUACGGGUAUAAUACGCAUAAAAUUCGUUUUCUAAUUUUUUAAAUUCGUUGAAAAAUUCGGCUUAAAAGACGGAUUCAGUAUAAAAUAUAAAAUAUAAGAUAAUCUAUAUUUAAAUAUAAAAAUUAUAUGUUUUUUAUUCAUAUUUUCAAUAAUUCGGGAAUAAUUCGCGAAUAUUCGGCUAGCCCAAAAAUUCGCGAAUAAUUCUCUCUCUUUGGAAAAAAUUCGUAAAUGGACCGUUUAAUUCGGAUUUUCAGUAAUUCGCGAAUAAUUCGCGAAUUAACCAACAUAGUUUGAGAGUUCUAUGCAUGCAAUAAAUGAAGGAGAAAAUUUAAAUAGAUCAGCAGGGCCAGAGGAGUUAUUGUUGAACGAGUCCACAAAAAAUGUUUGGUUUCCAUGCUCGUUCUAAUCAGAGUAAUAAGAAGUAUGCCACAAAGGCAACUAAGAGAAUAUAGCCGCAUGGAUAUCUAUUUGCACCACAAACAUACAGGAUAAGGAAAUAAAAUUAUGAAUUGUUCAAUUAAUAAAAAAAUAAAGAUCUCAGAAAGCAUACAUUCUAAUAGCGCAAAAAAUAAAAAUGAUGAAAGAUGCCAAUGUCUAAUCAUGUUCGAUAAUCCUAGGACUUGUUGGAAAAACAUUCAAAGAAAUGAAAUGAAAGCAUACCAACAACAACUCAAUGCCAAUAGGACCAAAGAGCAGCAUGGUAUCGCAUCGAAAUACAACUGUAGCAACAGUCUGCAUGUAAAAGUGCGCAACUAUUAUUGAUACUUCCAAAGAAAAAAAAAAACGUGAUGACAUAAAAAUUAUAUACUUCAUUAAAUAUUGAAAAUGACUGAGCAAUCAGCAAGAACAAAUUUAGUACCCAGAUACAAUCUGAAUAAUUGUGUUAUGAUAAGAAAAUCCUCUUAGGAGAUAACAAGAUAAUCAAGUUUCUUGCCAUUGUCCAUUGUGCAUGCCUUGGAUAACAAAGAUACUAAAGGUAAAUUCUCUUAUGGCAGUUUGGCUGAGUUCUUUUUAGCAUUGAGCUCUCUAAAAUGUUGAGAAUCCUAUGUAAAGAUGCAACACCAUACAUUAUUUGGCAAGAAAUACAAGUGUUACAUUAUAAGUCCAUUAUGCAGGUCAGAAAAUAACUCAUCAUACACAUUUGAUGCCCCAGAGAUUAGAUUAUGUAAUCACUUGCAGUUCACAGAAAGAAGAAUAAAGUGAAACUGAUAAAGGAUAUCCUGUAGUGCAAACAAGACAAUAGUAAGGCCAUGAAUAGCCGGAAAAAGAAAAAGGCCCCAAGAACGUUGCACUGUCAUUGAUUAAUUUAAACCCAAGUAAUUUGGCAACUAGCAAGCUAGCAAACUCAGCCAAUUAAGUAAAGCUCCUACUAAAUUGAAUAAAGAAGGUCCUAAGGCAAGCAUUACAAGAAACACAAAAAUUUAAUUGGAGCACCUAAAUUGAUACUGCCCCCCAUGAGAAGCCAAGCAAUCCUACUUCUCAAGCAUAGUAUGAAAAUAUGACUGGACAUAUAAAUAGAGUAAUUUCAGGGGUACCAUCAAACUUUUCCCAUACUGCAUGAUGAUAAAGGUGAAUAAUUAGAUUCUAAGGCAUUGUACUUAAUUAAGGGUAUGAAGACAUAUAAUGGGAACAAAAUCCUUAGUUAGUACGAGAUUCCCAAAUAUCUUCAAUAAAUUGCAAUUCGCAAAAAAAUUGAUGAGAAAACCAAUUAAUACAGAAAUGGCAAGAGAAGAUGCACGAAUGCACAAAAAUGGAACAACUAAACCAGGCAAAAAGUGGAGUAAAUAAAUAGAUAAGAGACAUACCAGGCAUUUCAAAGUAGCUGAGGAAUCUCCCUUAAACCAAAAAGAAUAUGCCAAAUUAACUGCAUGAGAAAAGCAAUAUCAUAGUUGCAACUAAUUAACUCGUAUUCUCCUUGUUAUGCUAAUAAUGAAGAUCAAUAGCGAAUGAUGAGAAGCACCAGAAGGAUCAUCAGCAUACACAAGAACAUUUUGCCCUUUUUUGCCUCUGCUUUCAGCAAUAGCAAUCUACAGUAGGGAGUUUGGCAAAAUAAAAAUCCUUGAGCUUCUGCUGCAGAAAUAGAAUUAUGAGUGUACAAAGCAGAAGCACCAAUUUGGUGCUUCUGAUACUGCCAAAGAAAGAAGCUGUAGCGGUUCGUAGCACCCAUAGUCCAUACUGAACAGACAAGGGACUCUUUGGCUGUACAAGCACCAAGCACUUUACCACUAACGAAUUGGGCUAACGCAUUUUGGGCCGGUGGUUUGGGCCCAACAUAUUGCAAGUACUCAUAUCACUACUUUAGACAACACUUCAUUAAAAACGCUACACCCUACAAUAGGGAAAACUACCUUUUAACAUGACAUUUUCUCCAUAGAAGUGCCCCAAAUAUUAUGAAUCCGUGACAAGGUCUCGAAAGAUAAACAACUAAGUCAACAAAAUUCCAUUUUCUACAGUAUAAGAGAAGAUUGCGUUGACUUGUAUUGUAGAUCUAAAUAUAUGAAAUAGCAAACACAUAAGUAAAUCACAUUGAAAAUAGGCCAGGAAUCCCGUGGAAAUAAGAGGAAGAGUAAUGUUGAAAAUCAGGCAUCUUGAAUGCCUCCGCACAACUUCUAUCAAAUUACUUAUCCUAAGAUCAGGAAUUAUGAAAUGGCAGUGUAUGAUAUGCAAAACAACGUUACCCAACAUUAAGAUUAUGCUUAGAUAAUGUACAAGUAUCUAUGUGACUGUUAAUGUCUUUAAGGGACAUAUAUAGCAUGCUUACCAAAGUAUAUGUCCUCGCCAAAAGCUAGCGCAUCAAAACAAAAUACAUCAGUUGAAUCCCUUUCCAGACUUCAGAAGGAUUCAGAUAAUUUAUGUAAAAUAGGGAGUCUAGGUCUCCAACUGUAUAAUUAGCAACCUAACAGAUGAAGCAACUUAAGAUAAUUCUAGACGUAUCAGAUGUCUAUAUUGGAACUAAAUAGAUUUUAUAAUCAUGCAAAAACUUGCUAUCAUGUAAUGGACAAAAGAAUCAUUUUCAUAAAGCUAACCAUCAUUAAUUUAAAAUAAGUAGAAACUUGAAUAGCAAUAGGCAAUCACCUAAACAAAAAGCUAAAAUGUUUGGAAGAGGCCGCGUUGAAUAGAACAACAAGUGAAAUUGCAAAGCUGUCAUUAUUGCAAAGAAUGCUUCGACAUGAUACCCGAAUUUCCUUCUAACCUGUUAACAAGAAAAUUAGUCUAAUUCAUAUUUGAUAGGAUAGCCGCCGAAAAUAAAUAGAUAUAAUGUGAAUGCACAGUAAAAUGUGCAACAGGAUUGAUGCAGUCACAAAACCAAAAAAAUGCAACCUAACAAAAAGGCCAAAUAAUGCAAUCGAACAAUAGUUGGAGGCCAAAUUUGAAAUUCUCAUUUUUCCUGAAACAGCUAUAUAUAUAGGAAAAUGGAGAAAAAACUGCUGCAGUAAAUUUAUGCAACUGAUUGCAGAAAUCAACCAAGAGUCAAUAUGAGAGAACUCCACAAAAAAGAGAGAUAAAAGAAACCAAAGCAUCUGCAAGAAAAUCAAACUAGAAUAAUUUUUUAUUUGAUCAUCAGUUAUCACAAAAACAGUUCAUGCCAUAAUACAGGACCCUCAAUGUAAUGGCUGAGAUUAAACUACCCUAAGAUCCAAUUGGACAAAUGUUGACCCCAAAAUUUACAUACCCACAAAAUAUAAACUAGCAAAUAUUCAAAAUUUUCAGCCAGGAUAGAUAAUUCUGCAAUCAAGUAUAGCAGAUAAUGCGCAUCCUGUGUCCAUACUCUAUGAGAAUCGACAUGUCAGAAUGUCAUGUUCUCAUCAUAGAAGUAGAAGAGUAACAUUCGCAUAUCUUGGAAUCACAAAUUAAAAAAGAAAAAUAAAAAGAAAAGAAAGCCAUAUGAUACAAUUACCAAAAAUACUGAAGGAAAGAAUGGCAUUUCAAUAAAGUUUUAUAUCCAAAUUCUUGAAAAGAAGAAAAAUUAGAUAACAUAUGCAUUUUAUGGAACACAAAUUUAAUGAAUAGAGAGUACCUGAAGCCGAAAGAGCCUUAAAGUCAGCAAUACAAUGAAACCUAAUGCCAAGCGAACUGAAAAGGCGAAGGAAAGAGAGAGAUGGUUACAUUUUAUAAAUAACUACAACAAGAUUUAAAAAAUCCAUCCUAAAGAUCUUUGUAAGAGGAACUAAAGCUUUAAUUUUGAGUUAAAAACUUAAGAACAUAUUUGCAAAAAAGAAAAAAAAAUUCUGUAAGGAGAGAAACCAUGAGAAAUACAUGUGUUACCUAGUGUGGAAUGCAACGAAGCGCAAUAACUAGAUUAUAAAACAUAUGUUUACUCAGCUGAAGAUUGAAGUAUGUUAGUCACCUGAACAAGGAAAUGAAACAGAAUAAAGGCGUUCCAGAGAUUGCAAUAACAGUACAUGUACUGCUGCACUCUAACAAGAAUUCACAGUAUUUCAAUACUUUAAGUAAGAUCAAGUUCCUUUUACUCAAUAUCAAGGCGAAUCCUUCGAGCAUACAUCCCCCACGUAAAAUCACUGAACCAAGUUGUCUAUAUGACUGAAUAAGUAGCCAAGCCAGUUUUAUAGUUCUCAAAUCUCAAUGCAAUUUAUACAAAAGUGACUAAACUGGUGAUAAUUAGUUCCAAAAAUAUGAUAAAUACCACUUGAAUUUUUUGAAGAUAUCAAUUGCCUUAGGAUUCAAGAAACAAUUACCUGCCAAGAGACUGUAAAUCUUUGGCACAUGAAGAUAAUGUAUUACUGCAACUACUGGUGAUGCUAUAAUGGACACGAGAAAUGCACCUGUAAAAUAGAUAUAUAUUAUUUAAAGGGUCGCAAAGCUGCAAAAGGCUUUUGGACCAAUGUAUCAGAAAAAUAGAAUUGGACAAGAAAAUCGGUAUAGGAAGUGCACAUUGAAGGCACAUAUAUAAAUGAAAAUUAUGUGUUUGAGAUGAAACCAAAAUCCUUCUUUUUUUUGAACAAUAUGAGCAUAAACCAAAAUAAUAUACCAACAUCUAAAUUUAAAAGUGAACAAGGUAGUUGAGUAAAAUAAGCACAAGCAUUUUUAAAGCACAUAAGUUUUACCAAUAAAAGUUCGAGGCACAACACCAGGAAAGUCCAAAUGGUCGUACUGUGAAAGCAUAGACCAAAUGUUACUCAAACCCCAUAAAAACCAUCUCCAAGGAAAUAUACUUAAACUGCAAAGAAGGCCAUAAAACAUGAAGCAUCUGAGCUUGCCUUUUCAAUGUGAUGGUGGUGGUAAAGGAUAUCAUGCAUCGCCUGGAAAAUUAUAAUUUUUUAAUUUCCAUGAGUUCAUUUAUGAGAAGGUAAUUAUUAGGUAAGAAACAUAAAUCACACCUUCAAGUCUAAGGAACAGCAGUGACUCAGAAUUAAGAAAAGCAUAAAAGUUGAUUCAUAAAAUCAGAUGAAUUAACCAACAAUAACAGACAAAGUAAGGCUGAAGGUUCCUAGGAAUAAGAAAAAGUUCUAAACCAAAACUUCCACUAUUUAUUUGUCAAAAGCUCAUUUCAGCUUCUCAUCAGUCAUCACAGCAGAAGCUCCAAUUUUUUUUCUCUCCCAACAUCUAAAUUCAGCUUCUCCAACAGAGAAGCAGCUCUUAAAGCCAAAAUUUACAGUGUUCCAUUCUUGAGUUCCCGUACGAUCAAGCUAUUAGGGCAAAGCGAUAAGUUUGUUGGUUACUUCAAUCAUUGUGAGAGAGAGAGAGAGAGAGAGAGAGAGGAGAACUAUCAUGUGUGCCUAGUCUACUUUCAUGUCUUAUACACCACAUCAGAUAUUUAAAUGUCUUAAAAUCAAAAUUUAAUUCAAUAAAUGUAAUCUAAAACAUCUAAAUAACCUAUUUAUGAAAAAGCAUAUAAAUUUUAAAAAUUUAUAACCUAAGCAUCUAAGGCCUAGUUUGGGAAUGUAGUGGCUAAAAGCACAAUUUUUAUACUAUGGAAGGCCCAAAAAAUUUAAAAGCACUUAUAAUGUUUCCUCCUUCAAUGCUAUAAAAUUGCAGUUGCAACCGCCACCAAAAAAGCAUGUUUAGCAACUACAAUUUUAUAAUAGAAGAGACGGAAAAAAGCGAAAGUGCUUUUAGAAUUUUUGGGACUUUCAUAGACUUAAUCUGGUAUUGAGGCCUAUCUGACGCUUAGAUAAAAUGGAGUUGGGGUAAAAGUAUAUCGGAUAAAAUGGAGUUGGGGUAAAAGUAUACAGGGAUAUGCUUCUACGUUCUCCGGUAGGACAAUAGAAAAUAUAUCAUAACCGACUAAUCGCAAUAUACGAAAUGCAAUAUUACGUACGGAAACAAACGGUAUUUUUCCAUUGUACUUUUCACCGCACGUAACGCAAUCUCCCCGCAAUCCCAAAUGAAGCCAUAGAAUAGAAAUGGUGCUAUCAGCCACCAUAUUACCAAACUAGGCCUGAGUACUAGACAGGAAGGUAGUCAAUUUGCCAGAAAUCGGUGUCCGAAGUUAAUUAGUUUUUAUAUAUAGGCCUUUUAAAUUUCCUAGAGCACAUCUAAUAAAUUAGAUUAUGAUGUUGUGACCUCUAAAUUAGGGUUUCACCCGUGGGGUGUAGGAAAUGUACUUAUGAGAAAGAGAGGGGAAUGAUUCGUGCCUGAACAUUGAAGCUCUCCUCGACCUUGGUGUACGGAACCAUGAACGCGUAGAACGCCGCGAUCGACCCAAGCAUCAGAUCCCAACCUGCGAAAUGGAUCGGCUCCAUCGAUCGAUCGAUCGAUCGAUCGUGUCGCCACGAAACUAAAACCUCAAAAACCCUACACACAAAUCGAAGUAGAGGAGAACUAAGAGAUCGAGUGAGCGAAGAAGCUCACCGAACUCUUGAAGAAGCUUCGAUAGCCUUCCUCUCGACGACGAAGGCGCCGCCACCUUCUCCUCCGCCGCCGCCGCCAUGGCCGAGUUCUGGGCGCGCGCGCUCUCUUCUUCCUCUCGGGUUUUGUCGGGGAAUUAGCGAUCGGUUCGGAGGUGAUAAAAUGCAACGGGAGUUUUGUAAUUGUACGCGGGGUUGGAGAUUUUAGACGCCAAUAAAUAGCACUUAAAAGUCUUAAAGUUCGUGUGACAUGUUCAGCGAAGAAAUAAGAGGGUGUGAAUAGUGAGUGCGGUGAGGUGUGAAUAGUGAGUGGUGUGAAUAGUGAGUGCGGUGCGAAGAAAUAAGAGGGUGAAUUAGAAACGGCGGUUUAACGCACCACGCUGCCGAAUUUAACAGGUAAAGUCGGCAGUCAUGAUGCUUGCGGCGCCGACAGUCUGGAAAUUACAUAGUUCUAUGGAAGCCGGCAUCUAACUACUUAGUCACCGAGUUUAGUUGAUAAAUCGGCAAGUUGAUACAUAAUAUCACACAAAUCUGCAAACGAAUGGUUCACGCCACCAGUUUAAUUAUUAACUACCUUACACCAUUACACACGUAAAUUUUUUUUGUCGCUUAGCUGUUAGGUGGUGGUGGCCGCAGCCAUGGUAUGAACGCCACAUUUUUUUCGAAACCCAAAUAUGUUAAAGCUAUUUUAAGAACGUAAUUUUGAGCCCCCAACCACAAUAUCAAAAUUAGGCAGAAGAAUAUAAUCUAUAUUUUGGAUGCUUGUUGGCUUCACAUGAAUUGUAAAAUUGCUAAAAAUGAUUUUAUAAGAGUUUUUUUCAUGAAGAAUUUUUAUAUGUAUUAGCAUAUGAUUUUGCAUAAAUUAAAAUUAGCAGCUUUCAAAACAUAAUUGUCUCAUUAUUAGCAAGAAAAGAAAAUAGAGGGACAGAGAGACUUUUAGUCAUCAAUUUGCAUUUUCACUGAGCAAAUUUGAAAAACAAUAUGAACUAUCUCUGAGAGGGAGAUAUUUUCACUGGUAAAUUUGCGUUUUAAUGAAAAAAAUUUGAAAAUCAAAAUAAAUAUCUUUCUUAGGAAUAAGUAAAACUGUUUCCUAUUGAAAGAUAUUUUAGGGGGAACAAACAUUAAAAAACACUCAUUUUGCUGCCCUUUUCCACCUGACAAACACCCUUCUACCUCUUUUUCAAUCUACAUAACAACGCAAACUAUGAAAUUUUGUUUAUACAAUACAAAUAAAAAAAAAUUUUGCAACAAAUUUUGGAAUUUGAAAAAUAUACAUUUAUAAACAGCUUCUCGGUGCGAAAGAAAGUUCGAUCCUCAAUGCUAAUUUCAACUAUCCGCUGCAACAAAAGUAUAGACACUUUUCCUUUGCACUUCCUGCUCGCUGUUGAGUUGUUGACCAAGUUUUCUUCAUACUAAUUCCUUCAGAAUCCUCAUUGGCAUCUUUUAUUUUCAAAUCAACAUGGCAAUAAAUAUUACUAGGAUAAAACUUUAUAUAACCAAUCAUACUUUUGUUACAUUUCACUACAUUCUCUUUUGGCUACACUUUACAAGCCUUGAAAAGUUAACCCCGCCAUGAAUUUAGGGUUUCAGAGCGCUAAGACGACCGAGUUUUACAACAGUCAGAGACUAAAUUAGAAUGUUGCACUAACAAGAAUUAAAAUAAAAGCACCUCAGUGCAUUAUCAGCUACACUCAUCAACAACGACUCGCGGCUUGUGAGAGAGUCUAAUAGUGGUAUAAAUCUCCGAAGGCUCGGCCAUUGCACCAGUCCCAUAAUCCCCACAAGCUAGCCAUUUAGCGAUCGGAGGGAUCUGAGUUAUACCGAGCUCGCCGAUCGUAUCCAGGUGGCGCUUCGUGAAUGGAUUAUUCCACAUGAAGGUGUUCAUCGCUGGCGCCACGUAGAGAGGCUUGUUGUAAUCCCAUGCUCGCACGAUGCACGUCAAAAGGUUGUCGCAUAGCCCACCGGCAAUCUAAAUGAAGGAGAGAAGAAAUUCAUAAACGGCAUUAGAAAGAAUUGUAAAUAGGUAAAGGUAAACCACCAAAUUUGGGUGGUUUAAGGUUUACGGUUUAGUGUUUAUACAAGGGGUUUAGGGUUUAAAGUUUAUACAAAGGGUUUAGGGUGCUCGAGGCAUUUUUAAUAGUCAAUGAUGCUAAAGUUGUUUCAAGUAAUUUUGAUAUCCUAAAUCUUCCUUUCUGCCUUUCUUUCUUUUUUUGUUUUCUGAUCUAUGAUCCAUCUACUUGAGCAAUUUAACGUACGACUAAAAUUUAUAUAUGCUGAACAGCUGAUAAUUAUCAUGGCUGAAAUUUAUCGAUGAGACAAUUCUACCAGAAAGUGCUCAGCGUUUAAUUAAGUUUCAUCAUGAUCCUCAACCUUUUGAUCCUUGGGGAUCGGUCCCUAACAUCUUCAUUUACGUAAUCUUAGCUCUUUAAUUUAAUUCCCCUUCAAAAGGAUAGAAAUAUCGACCCACAAUGCAAUGUCCAUGAUCUUAACCCUAACUACAUGCACAAUAGUUGCUUACAUGGCAGCUAGAAAGCAAUAACAGACAUCUCUGUCUAUUUAAAUUUAGAAAAAGAGUAACCUAUGUGCGCUAAGUUUUGAGCAGCAAUCGCAGGAUACAAAAUUUAGAAACCCAAUUGCAAAAACUAAAAAGGUUGAUCACCAAAAUGGAACUUAGCGAAAACCCUGAGAACCUGGCGCACUUUACCCUUUUGUUAAUAAAAAUAGUGGGUCGAUCACAAUUUCAAUCCCUGAAGCUAGACCCUCUCUACAAUUUUAUCCUCGUAUUUUCAAUUCUAACAAUUUAGUCCAUGGAGUUUGUUCUGCAUAAGAAUUAAGUCAUACCAUCUACGAUACUCGACUUUUAAUUCUGGAAUUUGCAACUCUAACGACCAAAUGGAAAUUGGGAUCAAAAUUCAAAGACUAAAUUGUCAAAAAUAAAAUGAGGACAAAACUGAAAUCAAACCAACCUUCAGAGAAUAAAUUGUACAAUUGAAACUUUAAGAACGAAGUUAAAAUAUGGGUCAAACUUCUGGGACAAAUUUGCAAUUAACCCCCAAAAAAGUACCUUUGCAAGGGUAUUUGCCGAUAGUGGGGCAAUGAUCAUAAUGUCUGCCCAUUUCCUCAGCUCAAUGUGGAGUACUCCAUCUCCUAUCUUCUUCCAACUAGACCAUUCAUCAUCAUCAGUGAAAAGCAUCACAUUGCUUGGAAGUGCUUUUUUAUCUAUGAAAUGUAAGGCUGAAUUGGUUGCCACUGCCCUAACUUCGGCCCAUUCAGAAAAAAUCCGACAAAGGCUCUCAAAUUUGAUCGCAGCCACACUCCCAGAAGCAGCGAGGAGGAUCCGAGGUUUGGUGGAUUCCGUAUUUAUCGUGCUUCCAGGUAAAAUCUCUUGAUUGGCCAUCAAUUCUUAGCUGGGACAGUUUUUCUUUGGCUGAAAAUUGACAAAUCAAGAUAACAAUAAGGUGUAGCUAACCACAGCUAGGAAACUUCCAAUACACUAAAUAAGAAAAUAAAUGAGGAUUACAGUGACCAAGAAUGAGAAUUGUUUAUCUACACAAAACAUUGUUAUAGCUAAGUAACACAUAAUAGAUAAUUAUCAAUAUCAAGUUUUAAGAGCAAAGCAGUUUCUCCAAACAAGUGAUGACCGUCAAAUACCUACUAAGAAUUUACUUACAAACAUGCCUCCUAUGCACACAGAAAGCAGAAAAGAAUUAUAUUACCCAUAAACCCGAGAUUUAAGGCAGUGGGCAGUCCCUAAAUAGUAAGUAGUACUUUCAAUAUCAGUAUAGUAACUAGUGGUUCAAAAACUUGGUUGCAGUUUAGGUCCAUCGCCUAAACGAAACAUUUUGAUUGAUAACUUACGCAUUGAUAAAAGGUCACCAAACAUUUCACAAUGAUUCUGAAGAACAAUAGAAAUCUUAACUGCAUAAACAAUAACUGAGAAAGCUAACUUUCAUAGCACCAUCUAACAUAGAGAGAAAAUCAUUAAAUAAAACAAUAUAAAAGAUUCAUAAAGAAAAUAAUUAAUAUAUUAAAAUUAAAUCCUACGAGCUAAUUACAUUCAAUUUUGAUUGACAUUGUAAAACUAACCUUUCUUAGAUCCAACCUAAACGAUAUUGAAGUCUUUCGGUUUAGAACAGUUUCAAACCUGCAUUUCCAAUCAGCACCAACUGAAACUAAAACAAUUUCGUUCAAAUUCGAAUUUCGUAAGAAAACAAAAUGAAUAAUACAAGGUAGCAAGAGAGAAGCACAACAUGUAGCUUGACACCAAGGAAAGUUACAGCAUAGCUCAUUUACUUGAGCUCAUUCACAUGAUCGACAAGCGCAUAGAUCUUUAAGUUCACCGAUAUUUUAGUUACUCAACAAAUACAUUUCUUUGGUUAUAGUCGACUUAAUAGUCCCAUUUUCCAAAAUCUUUGUUACUAAACCAAAAAAAAAAAAAAUGCUGCAUUUUAUUAUAGCUUUAACUUGUCAAGAGCCACCAAAAAUAAAUGGAAUGCAAUUUAUAGAUAUAAUAAUUUCACACAUCGAUCACAUAUGUGUCGGACUGUCGGAUGCAUCAAAUAAGUAUCAAACAACUUUAAAAAUUAGUCAAACACCCGGAUACUCGAGGGGUACUUAAGGAGAGGUGCUUAGUUCUGGAUGUAUUCAUUAUCAAAGUAGCCUAUAUCCAAAAACUUGUUAUUAUUAUAUACAUUAUCGCACAAUGCAUUUGGAUGAAACUCCAUCCGAUAUUCACAGUCGAUAAAAAGUCUAGAUGAAUGUUGAUACGCUUCGUCUUGUAGAUUCAUACACAAAUCUCGAUGUUUAUUCGACUUUGAAAACUUUUUUCACGAGUACUAAUAGCAUAUAUUAAAAAGAAUAUCAUUUUUUUUAACCAUACUUUACAUAUAUCCUGUUCUAAUAUUUUGCCGCAUCUGUGUCGCAUUCCAUGUGACGUAGACUCUAAAGCAUGACACAGAGCAUUCAAACAGUUCGGCUCCUCCCAUGAAAAGCUAGUAAAAACAUUAUCCAACACCAAACAAUGACUCCAUUAUAUUUCCUAAUUUCUCACAUCACCAAACUGUAGAUCGUAGAGAAGCCCAACAUUUCUUGUAACUUAAAAACAAUCAAAUUGAUAGAUAAAUCGCAAGAAACAAAAAAAAAAAAAAACCUAAACUUUGUAGAAACAAAGCCUCGAUUGGCUUCGUCCUGACCUUUCCGAUGCAGUGAGAAAUCUCAAUUUAGUGAUGAACUGUGAGGGCGAGAGAGAGAGAUAUGGGGAGUACCUCGGAUCAAUAGAGGAGCAGGGGUUUUGGAGUUUCGACGCCCUAGAGAGAGAAAAUGAGCAAAAUGAUGCGAGAGAGACCGGAAGAGAGGGAGGGUUUGGUGGGGGUGUUGUCAGAGGAGAAGGGGCGAGCGGAAGGAGAAGAUGCGAGGGAGGCGCGCGAUUUCCAGGCCCUAGAUUGAAGGGCGCUGCUGCUAGAGAUUCCAACGGAUGAAUUUUAAAAAUUCAUAUCCAACUCCGAACCUGACCAAAAAUUUGAAAUCCGAAUCCGAAUCUGAAUCCAAAAAUUUAAACCGGAAAUAAUUAUUUUUUUCAAUAUUUUAAAAUAUAUUAUAUUGAAUCUAAAUUUUUAAAAUACAAAUUCAAAUAUAAUAUCAAAUAUAUAUAUAUAUAUAUAUAUAUAUAUAUAUAUAUAUAUAUCUGUAGCUUACUUAUAAAACCGUGAGUUUUGAGUUUUUCUUCUUUCCAAAAUGCCGAUCUAUAUUAAUAUAAUUCCAAUUACAUACUAAUAAUAUCAUUCAUUCAACUUUAAUGAAUAACUCACAGGCCGUACAAUUUUAUUUUAUUUUUAAAUUAUCAUAAAAUAUCAUUAUUCAUUAGUCAUUCGAUCUAAUCCAAUGACUGACAGGAAUUAAGUAUCUGUCUCUUUUUUACCUAAAUUUGCCCGUUAGAUAGUACGUAUCAAAUUUCACUUUUAUAUAUGGGGUCAUAUCUUCUAAUAACCGCCGCCAACAUAAUAUCAUAUUUUAUCACAAAUAAUAUUCGCAUUUCUUAAAUAUUUCAUUCUCACAUGUAAUAUCGACACCUAUAUAAUAUCCGAAUCACAAUAAUACUUCCACAUAUAUAAUAUUAAUCAUAUAUUUUUACAAGUGAAUAUAUAAAAUUAUCCCAAUUUACCUAAUAAUUUUAAAAUCUGAGAUAUUUUUCAAUAAAAUAACAUAUAAAUUACAUUUAAAUUUUAAAUUUGUUAAAUAUGAUUCACAUAAUUGAUAUUGAUUUGAGAUAAUUAUUAAAAUAAUUGUUGCACAAGACAUACGCCCUUGUUUAGCCGACAAAAAUAUUGCAUUUUAUUUGCGAGAAUAGAAAAAAAUUUAUACUUAUCCAAUUUUUGUCAACCGAAAAGUUAUUUACGCAUCCGCAUAUAAAAUAAUAUUCCAUACUAUUAAAAAAACGAAAAUUCUAUGCAAUAAACAUUGAAAAUAUUUUGUAUUACUAUCUCUCAAUUAGCUACUAAAAAAAAUUAGAUUUGAAAAAAAAUAAUUUAAAUAAGCUUAUAAAAUCAGCUUUAAAUUUUAAAUUUGGUUCAUAAUUCAAAUGUGAAUUAAUAUUGUAGGUGUGUAAACAGUAUUUCAAAUUAUAAAUAAUAUUUAACUUGAAAAUAUAUGAAUUUAAAAAAUAGAUGGGAUAAUAAAUAAUUAAUGUCUUUAAUAAUAUUAUAUGAUCAAAUUAUGGAUUCAAAAUUAAUUUCAAAUUUUGAGUUUUAUUCAUAAAUUAAAUAUGAAUUUAUUAUUAAAUUUAGAAUUACUUUAAAUUUUAAAAACUUGAUACAUAUUAAAAAAAUUAAUUUUAGAAAAAAAUUAAACUGAUAAAUAAAUUUUAUACCAUCCAAUAAUUAUUUAAAUUUAAAUAUAAAUAUAAUUUUUAAUUUAAUUAAAUAUUACGUGCAUUGCACGUGCACUAUAACUAGUAUAUAUAUAUAUAAAUAUAAUAUAUAUUUAUAUAUAUAUAUAUAUAUAUAUAUAUAUUUAUAUUAUAUAUAUAUAAAUAAAUUUGCGUUCGGAUCGGGUCACAGUCAAAAUCCAUAUCCGAAGCUCUAUAACUCGUCGGGUCUUCACUAUUUUUGAAUACAGUAUCUGAUUCAUAACCAUUUAGUAUCACAUAUAUCAGUUUCAUUUCGGGAUUUGGGUUCAGAUAAAAUUUUGAAUAUCAUACCAUUGACAUCCUUACUUCGCCCGUCACUCCCGGACCGGAAAUAAAAAUUGGUAGGAAUCGGAGAUCUAUAUCUAUAGGUAUAAUGUUAACAAAAUCGGAUGUAUUAGGGAUGCAAAUGGGGCCGCAUCUGGGGGCGGGAGCCGGCCCGCCCGCUCGCCGCCCGGACUAAGCAAAAUUCUCGCCCCGCCUCCCGUUCGACUGACAACAUCCUCGGCCCGCCGUUCCAACUUACUGACUAGCAAAUUCCGCCCCGCGCUCCCGGCUCCGAAUCGUAACGGGUUAAAAAUACAUCCAUAAUCCGCGCCGCCUCGUAACCCGCCUCCCGCCGGCCCCGAAUCGCCCCGGCAAUAAUAUUUUUUAUAAAAUUAGUCAUAUUAUUAAUCAAUUUUGUAACUAUAAAUUAAAUAAUUUAAAUAUAUAUAAUAAUUUAAAUAAUAUAAUUAUAAAAUAAAAAAUAGUCAAUUAAGUUAAUUGUAUUUUGAACAUUUUAUUGUAAUAUAUAUUUUUUAGAAUACUUUUUAAAUAUAAAUAAUUUCCGGGACAGAUUCGCCGAGCGGUCAUGGUGGGGCGGAUUCGGGGCGAUCUUGGGACGGGUCAAAAAUUUUCCCUUUCCUGCCCCGAAUCCGUCUCGAUCGUAAAAUUUACCCCGCAUUCUCGCCCCGAAUCCGUUUAUUUCUUCUUUCUCAUUCUACUGGCACCCGUCGGAAACGGAUCGAGUGGGGAGCUCCACAACGACGCCGAAUCCGUUCUGCAUCCUAGAUUGUAUAUGUUAAUGAAAGUAAACUGAACGCGGUUUGUAGAAAAACUGGAUUUUCGGUUCGAUUUUCACUACGUUUCGGAUCAACACUAGAAAUAAACACACAAAUGCUAAAAUGUGGGGCUCAAGUUCAUUGUGCUACAAUGGAAUUAGCAAUUUGGUCUCGGCUUUCGCAUUUCUGCAUAUUUAUAAUUGUAUGCGGAUCAUAAAUAAUUCGAUCUACCCGCUUGACACCACGACUACACUUGCUAACCUUCUACUCUAUAGCACCAAUCAGACAGCGUCUCUGUUUAACCGCUGUUUAAUUGACUUUAAGUUCAUUCAAAAGUGCAAUUUGUCUUCAAGUUUUUUUUAAAUUGGCCACCAAAUCGGGUUUAAAAUUUAAAAAAAAUUUUUCUGUAUCUUUUCACAUCUUUUAUGCUCGAAUUUUGGGGGGCCUUCAAUCUCUUCUCUAGAGAAAAAGAUACAUUCAAAUUAUGAAUUCUCAAAAUUGAGCUUUUCAAGCAAAAAUAACACAUUGUUAAUACUAGAUUUCAUAUUUAGAUUUUCAGAUUUUAAAUUGGACCAACACUAUUUUAAAUUACUGCAAUAGACACUAAAAACAUAUUCUCUAAAGUGCAACAUUCUAUGAAAAGGUACAGGAUAAUUGAUCUUUUUCACAUUAAAAAUUCGAAACUGGCGCUGUCACCCCUCCCUACCAACAUCAGAGUUCGAUCUACUGCACCCACUAUCUUUACAUACAUGCACAUUCCUGGUAAUUAAAUACUUAAUAUGGGAAGGCAUAGUGAAAGUGCAAAAAAUUAAUAGUCAAAUAUACCCCAUGAUCUUAUCAGUAGAUAAGAUUAGAUAUUAAAAAAUUUAUCUAAACUCUCAAAUCAUUAAAUACGCACAGUAAUAUAUAUUUGAGUACACCAUUUAUAUCUCUUUGCUCAUAAAAUAGAACCUACAUUAAAAGUAUGUACCAACUUGCUUGGAAACAUACAAAUCAUCAUAUCAAAUAUAAUUUUAAGCAUAGAAUCAAUCAUAGUAAUAGAAUCAAUAAUAUUCUAUCAUUAAUACUAUCAUUUAAGUGCUUCUUACCUAAAAUAGAUCUAAUAUAAAUAGAAAGAAGUUACUGCACUAACCCGUAAAAUAUCGUGUCCCCAAAAGUGAAUGGAAUCCUUUUCCUGUUUAGACAGAAGAAAGCAGUAAAGAAGGAAGCAAAACAUAUCUUUCGGCAAUGUAAUAUGAGCUAUGCCCCAUAAGAAGAUGCCGCAAGUCUCAUGAAUCAAACUGUCAUUAGAGUCAAAAAAUAAAAUUAGGGAAGCACCAAAAAAUCUAAUCAUGCAAAAUACGAACAAAACAAACACAAAAAAAAUAAAAUAUAGGAAGAAUGUUGACAACAUAUAUAUACGGGUUAGCCAAACCUAUAUAGAAAAAAGGAUAUAUAAUAUUGCAUCCUGAUUGUGUAGUUACGAAGUUUCGACAUUGUGUGAUCUUGAGAGAAAUUAAGAGAUUGCAUAGUGAGUCUACUCCCAAUUCAUGAACGCCUAUGAUGCCACACCAAGAUUACAUCUACAGAUGAGUUUACAAUCAAAUUGCCUACAGAAUACCUUAGAAAGAAUUUAAUGGCAUGAUUCAUAUCAUCAUUUUACUCUACAAAUUAAUAACUACAGCUUAAACCUACUAAAUUAACAUACAACUCUUAAAAUAUCAUUUGCCCGCCAAAAGGCAAAAACGUCGCACCACAAAUCACGACUACAAAAAAUAGAAAAAAGAAGUAAUAAGAAGACCACAAAGAUUCUAAACAUCGGAUUAGGCACUUAACAACUAUUAGAUAUUAUUGUUAAAGGAAAAACUCAUUGUCUCUAUCUAAAUGCAAGUACCAAUUGCGUCUUUUGAUUAUGCAUUUAAAUGUUUAGUUAAUCAUCCACAUAGAAAGAAAUAUAUAGAAUAUCUAUUUCAAAAUCAACAAUAUAUUUGAGUCUGGAAUUACGAAACCAACCUUAAAAGAUUAUAGAAUGGUUUCAAAGGAUUCAAACAAUUUUCGUCUCCAGUGAAAUUUCCUCUAGAUAUAGUUUGCACAUUCAUUUUUUCACGUUAGUUGUAGCUCUAUUAAUGUUGUUACUUUCACAUAAUGAAAAGAGAAUGUGUUAUUUGGCUUGAUUUUUUUUUGUCCUAAAUCUAUUCCAGCUUUUUUAAUUGAUCAGGUUGAGUUUAAAUAAAGCAAAACGAAAGUGUUCGUAGAUACUUCGAUCUUUGGUGAUCCAUAUUGCAUCACAUAGCACAAUCUUCAAUCAUUGCACAAAGAGGAAAAAAGUUAGAAGUUUGAUUUUUAAGCAUUUAUCUGUUAUCUGCCUUUUGAUUCUAUAAACUCAGGCAAAAGUCUUUGUAUUAGAUGAUUAGAGAAUUUUUUUAUAAAUUAACAUGAUUCCUAAAGAAUACACUGUGAAUAAACAUAUAAUAAAAUCAAAUAUAUACAAUAAAAAAAAAUCUAUUAGGAAAGCUUACAGUUUCAAAUUCGUAAAGGUCGCAAAACUAAAAAGCAUGUUAGACCUGCAAUCAACAAAAAUAAAAAAACUUGUGUAGCGAAAAAAUGCAUAAAAUUGAAAAGUAACUGCAGAAAUAUGGAAUCUAUAGGAAAACCAGAAAUAUAAAGGAAAAACCAUUGGACGAGAAAACGCCAAUGAUUCAAUCGCCACCAGUGUAAUUGUUAAGAUUAAAGAGGCCCGCUAAAUUUUUCGCUUACAGGAGAAUAAUUUCGCAGCAUAGAAAGAAACCAUGCCACGCGCCUUUAUUAUAUAAUUCGACAGUUAUAUGCAAACGCAUGAAAGAAACCGUUCUAAGUACUAUGGUCGCAAAAUCGAGGCGGAAACAGAAGCAAUACAGACGGCAACAGAAGGGAUCGAGGGACGGGGCCGAGAUCGAAGGGAUGGGGAAUUGAUGCAAGAGGCAUGAGAGGCCAUAGAAUGGGAUUGUAGAUCGGAAUCGAAGAGACGGAGCAGGAUCGAAGGAUGGGGUGUAGAUGGAUGGAAAAAGUAGAGAGGUAAGGAAGCGGCGCGAUAGGGAGGGGAGCAAGAGGCGGCAUUGAAGAAAAAGAGCAGCAAAAGGCCUUAAAAAAAAAACGUGUGAAAAAAAAAAAAAAAAAAAAAAAAAAAAAAAACCGGUAAAAACGUGCGUGCGAGAGAGAGGAAACGCUCGAGAAAGCGGAAGGGGAAGUCGGGCAACCGCGUAGGAAAAAAAAAUGAGAGAGAAAUAUAAUGGUGGUGGGACCCACAGGCUAAAGUUGAGGAAAACUUGCCACCUGGAUUAAGAUUACGGGGUUUAAUUAGAGUAUAUAUAGAUAUAGAUUUAGAUAUAGAUAUAGAUAUAGAUAUAGAUAUCGGAAAGGCAUUUUGGUUAGAUUGAAAAACAUAAAUUCAAAUUUGCAAAAAUAAAAAGAGCCCAUUUUGCAAAAACACAACUUGUGAAUUAUUUAUGCAUAUUGUGCGGAUGCAUAUCAUGUAUUACAUGUAUAUAAUAUAAUUUUUUAGAUGUUUAUUUUUAUACUUAAUAUUUGCUAAUGAUUUAAUUUAAUAUUUAGUAUAGUUAAUAAUCAAGUUCGGUGUUUCGAUUUCAAAUACGAGUUUUAAAUUUUUUAUGUAGGUUUGGUUUUGUGUUUGAAUUUUUAUUCCCAAUUGGGUUCGGGUAAAGUUAUGAGUUUUGAUUUUUCUUUUUAUUUGGGUUUGGUUUUGGGUUUUGUAAAAACGGCUCUUAUGCCGAUGGUUAACAUUCCUAUUCACACAUAUAAAUACGUGGAGUUUGAUCCUCUAGCCUUCUCAAAUGCUAAGGACCCAUUCGGGAUUGAAUCUCAUCUCAAAGUAGCAGGCAAAACAAAGUUCGAGCGAAAUCACGUAAAGAUAUGCUUUUCUAUUUUCUGGUGGGACUGCAGAAAAUAUGUCAUAAUCAACUUAUUACGAUAUGCAUAUCAAAGUUUGAGUGAACUUAUGUAGAAAUAUUUUUUUUUUAUUUUUCGUGGAGCUGUAGAAAAUAUAUUGUAAUCGACUCAUUACGAUGUGCAGAAUGUGAAACUGCCUAUAUGUAUAUAAUAUAAUUUUUAAAAUAUCUAUUUUAGUAAUUAAUAUAUACUAAUAAUUUAAUUUAAUAUUUAAUAUAUUUAAUAGUCAAGAUCGAUUUUUCAUUUUUGACUAUAGAGUUUUCCACAUCAAUCAAUCAUCAAUUCAAUUCAAUAGAAUACAUGAAUUGUGAACCUAAAAGAAAGCUUCUCCGUGUUUUCGGGUUGUGGGCCCGCCGUUCACAUUAAUGCUUAUAUAGCAUUUCUGUCACCUUAAUGUAGUUGUUAACUACCUUCUCCCUCCCCAACCGUCCUUCUCCUUUCCCAUAUCGUCUAUACAACUUUUUUUUCUUUUCAUAUGCCUCCCCCCCACUCUUUUACCCUCAUCUUAACCCUAACCCCCCACCAGCACCACCUCCUCCUCCUCCUUCCAGCCCUCUCCCUCCUCAGCCUCUCAGUUGGUUGCCAUCGCCUCCACCGUUUCGCUACCGCCGACCUUUAUGGCUAUCACAGUAGAGCAUCGAGUGGCGGUUGCAUCGCUCGUGGUUCUCCCAGCUCGAUUCCCUCAUCUUCUCUCUCCCUCUAGCUCUGUUCUUCUCUGUCUUUCUCUCUCUUCUCUAGGUGGUCCAAAAAAAAUUAGGUAUUAUUAUUAUCAUUACUACUUCGAUCAUGCAAUUCCAUUCUCCGGAGCUCAUCAAAUGCGUGAACGCUCGCUUGACUUGGUAUUUUCAUUCUUCGAUUUUUUUUUAUCUUCACAAUUUUGUUUUUGCAAUUGCGAAGCUAGCAUUCAUCUUUACUAACCUAUUACGUGCCUUUUCUUCUUUGCAAUUGUGUAGGGGCUUAGAUCUGUGAAGACAAGAAGCAAGCCGAAUCUUGGUAUUUGGGCUUGGCAGCAUUGGUAUCCGCUUCUCAUCAUUCAAAGCCUUCAAUUGAAUUAAGAAAUAGUCGGUGAGCAAGCAACUGUGUUUAAUAGUCCUACUAGCUAUAUCAAGGCAAAGCAUAAACUAGGAAUUCUUCAGGAUCCACUGAAGUUCUCAUAGGUAUUUUUGAAUUUCAAACUUUUUUUAAUAGAAAUUUAGAAUUGAGAGUUUGUCUUAUGCAAGCUUUUUGAUUGGAAGAACCACUAAUUACUAAUUGUUGCUAGAAAUUACGAAAAAUUGUUGAAUGAUGUUUCUUUGAGGAUUACACAUUGUGGAGUAUGCUUUGUUGAUGUUGCACAAGGAAUGCACUGGGUAUGCUUGCUGAAUUAAAACCUAUCUUAUUUUUUUAUUUCUUUUUUGGCCAAUUUGCAUAAAAAAUCCACUUAUUUUGGGCUUUUGCAAAAUCGGGCCAUAUUUUUCGUUUUUGCAGAUUCGGUCCGCUUUUUCAGCAAACUGACCAAAAUACUCUUUUUACCUUUUCUCUUUCCUCUUUCUCUCUCCUCUUCGUUUCUCUUGUUUUUUUCUCCGACUCUUCUCCACCGUCUCCGACGACAACGUCUCUCUCGUCCUUCCCCGCUCUUCUCAUUUCUCCCUCUCCCUCAUUCUCUGCCGCCUCCGACGACGAUGCAUCUUCGCCGACGUCGACACCGUGGAGGUCACUGCGGCGCUACAGGCUAGGAGCAGGGGUCCUUAGCAGCGUCGUCGCCGGCACCGUGGCUGUUGGCAGAGAGGGUGACAAAAAAAAUUAUAGAAAAAACAGAAAAAAAAUAAAGUUAAAAAAUUAUAUAAAAAGAAGGAUGAAGAUGAAAUUGCAUCGUUAAUUACAAAAAAAUUAUAAAUUACACUACUUAAGAUGUAAACUGCUGUUUUAAGAUGAAAAUUAUACUCUUUGAACUAAAAUUACACCUUUUCGGUAAUAUUUACACUGUUUCUAUUCUUAUUGCAUUUUUUCAGAUAUAAACUGCAUUCAUUAAAAUAAAAAUUAUACUCUUUAAACGAAAGUUGCACUGUUUUCCUCUUGUUGCACCAUUUCUCCUCUUGUUACACUAUUUUUUAUCUUAAACUGCACCAUUUUAAGAGAUAUUUAUACUGUUUCUCCUCUUGUUGCACUGUUUCUCCUCUUGUUGCACCAUUUCUGUGUAAACAAGAAGAGAAAUAGUGCAACAAGAGGAGAAACUGCAUUGUUUUAAGAGAUGUAUUUACUGUUUCUUCUCUUGUUGCACUGUUUCUCCUCUUGUUACAUCAUUUCUGUGUAAACAAUAGGAGAAAUAGUGCAACAAAAAGAGAAACAGAGCAAUAAGGGAAGAAAUUGCACCCUUUUAAGAGAUAUUAUACUGUUUUUUCUCUUGUUGCACUGUUUCUCCUCUUGUUGCACAAUUUCUGUGUAAACAAGAGGAUAUAUACUGUUUCUUCUUUUGUUGCACCAUUUUUGUGUAAACAAGAGGAGAAAUAGUGCAACAAGAGGAGAAACUGCACUAUUUUAAGAGAUACAUAUACUGUUUCUUUUCUUGUUGCACUAUUUCUCCUCUUGUUGCACCAUUUAUGUAUAAACAAUAGGAGAAAUAGUGCAACAAGAGAAAAAAUAAUACAAUAAGAGGAGAAACUGCACCCUUUUAAGAGAUAUUUAUACUGUUUCUCCUCUUGUUGCACUGUUUCUCCUCUUGUUGCACCAUUUCUGUGUAAACAAGAGGAGAAAUAGUGAAACAAGAGGAGAAACAGUGCAACAAGAGGAGAAACAGUAUAAAUAUCACUUAAAAGGAUACAGUUUAAGAUAAAAAAUAGUAUAAUAAGAGGAAAACAGUGCAACUUUCAUUUAAAGAGUGCAAUUUUCAUCUUAAUGAUUACAGUUUAUAUCUGAAAGAGUGCAAUAAGAAUAGAAACAGUGUAAACAUCUCCCAAAGAGCGUAAUUUUCGUUCAAAGAGUAUAAUUUUUAUCUUAAAGCAGCAAUUUACAUCUUAAAUAGUGCAACUUAUAAUUUUUUUUUAUAAUUAACGAUGCAAUUUCAUCUUCAUCCUUCUUUUUAUAUAAUUUUUUAUCUUUUUUUUUUCUCUUUUUUCUAUAAUUUUUUUUUGUCACCUUCUCUGCCAACAGCUAUGGCGCCGGUGAUGACGCCGCUAAGGACCCCCCGCUCCGAGGCUGUAGCGCCGCAGUGACCUCUGCGGUGUCGACGUCGGCGCCGGCGAAGAUAAAUCAUCGUCGGAGGCGGCAGAAAAUGAGCGAGAGGGAGAGAUGAGAAGGGCGGGGAAGGGCGAGAGAGGCGUCGUCGUCGGAGACGGUGAAGAAGAGUCGGAAAAGAAAAGAAAAGAAAAAAGCAGAAAAGAAAAAGUCGCGGCGCGGCCUUGGCGGGGUCGGAGGCGAGGAAGGUGGGGGGUGCAUGGACGAGGGCAAGGGCGAGGGCGAGAGCAUGAGGGUGAGAGGCCAGACGGACCGUUUCCGCCUCCGCUCUGCCGGCGAGAAAAAAAAAAGAACGAGAGAAACGAAGAAGAGAGAGAAAGAGGAAAGAGAAAAAGUAAAAAGGGUAUUUUGGUCAGUUUGCUGAAAAAGCGGACCGAAUCUGCAAAAACGAAAAAAGUGGCCCGGUUUUGCACCAUUUUCGAUGAUGGUGCUUCCGAAUCGACGAUUGGCUUCGUUAGACUUGAUCUACCAUAUUUGAAGUAUCUAGAAAGUAAAUUUUGCGAUUUUUCGAUAACUUUUUCCUCCAUGGACAUGGUGUAGCAUGCUACAUGAAGCUGAGUUUUGUUGUUCGGAAGAAUUUUCGGAUGCAAAUCAUGUCUUAUAUCCAUAUCCUUUAAGUCAAGACGUGAUCUGAGAUUGUCUUUCGUCCUCGCAUUGAAAUUCAAUAUAGUUCCAAUGAUUAUCACAAACAUUCUUCUCAACAUGCAUCAAAUUAAGAUUAUGCCGAAUAAGAUUAUGCUCCCGAUAUGGUAGAUUGAAGAAGAUGCUUCUUUUUUUCCACGCCUAUUGUACUACACCAAGUGUUGCUAGCUUUUAUGUUCCAUCAUCAUUCUCAACCUCCUCAAGGUGAUGAGCAUCCUCUAUGAAAUCAUCUAUAUUCUCAAACAACAUUGCUUGAUAUUAAGUAUUGACCUUCUCUUCCACUACUCUUUUAUAUAUAGGGUUGUUGAUUGCUCUCUUUUUAGACGAUUUUGAUUUUUUUCCAUACAUAAAGCUAAUGCCCUCUAGUUGUUUUAAAAUAUCAGCUCCCGAUAGAGGAACUGGGGAAUAUUGCAACUCUAUAGUUCCAUCAAACUGAUCCUUCUGAAAUAUAAAAGGAUGGUUUGGAUCCAACCAUUGGCGGUGACCUAUGUAACAAAACUUUCCCCUGUGCUUUAACUACAACGACCCGACCCGCCAGCUAUAAUAACUCGUUGGGCCCAACCACCGGACCAAAAUGCUUAAGCCCAGUUAUUAUUACUAGCGUACGAGAUCUCAUAUACAGAUCACAGAUAGACAGACAAGGACUAGAAUUACUAGGCGAUGUGAGAUUCUAGAGGUGGCUCCUACGGUGGUUCCCACCAAAUCCGUUGGUGUAGCACUUUGUCCCGCAUAACACUUAGCUCUCACACUUUCGGCUGGUAUUGAUACCAAUUGUAACGACCUGACCCGCUAGCAAUAAUAACUCGUUGGGCCAAACCACCGGCCCAAAAUACUUAAGCCCAGUUAUUAUUACUAGCGUGUAGGUCUCAUAUAAACUGAUCGGAAUCAGUAUUCCAUCCGAUGUGGGACUAUUGGGGGCAUUACAAACUCCCUCUGUUUAGACCCUGACGUCCUCGUCGGGUCCAAACCAGAUCACAAACAGACAGACCAGGACCAUUACCAGGCGAUGUGAGAUUCUAGAGGUGGCUCCUAAGGGUUCAAGAGGUAGCUCCUAAGGGUUCAAGAGGUGGCUCCCACCAAACCCGUUGGUGUAGCACUUUGUCCCGCAUAGCACUUAGUUCUCACACUUUCGGCUGGUAUUCGGCUCUGAUACCAAUGCAACGAUUCGACCCGCUAGCAACAAUAACUCGUUGGGCCCAAAUCACCGGCCCAAAAUGCUUAAGCCCAGUUAUUAUUACUAGCGUAUAGGCCUCAUAUAAAUCGAUCGAAAUCAGUAUCCCACCCGAUGUGGGACUAGUGUUUACACCCUGACGUGCUCGUUGGGUCCAAACCAGAUCACAAACAGACAGACCAAGACCAUUACCAGGCGAUGUGAGAUUCUAGAGGUGGCUCCUACGAGUUCAAGAGGUGGCUCCCACCAAAUUCGUUGGUGGGCCCAAAAUGCUUAAGCCCAGUUAUUAUUAUUAGCGUGUAGGUCUCAUAUAAACUGAUCGGAAUCAGCAUCCCAUCCGAUGUGGGACUAUUGGGGGCAUUACAAACUCCCCCUAUUUAGAUCCUGACGUCCUCGUCGGGCCCGAACCAGAUCACAGACAGACAGACCAGGACCAUUACCAGGCGAUGUGAGAUUCAAGAGGUGGCUCCUACGGGUUUAAGAGGUGACUCCCACCAAAUCCGUUGGUGUAGCACUUUGUCUCGUACAGCACUUAGCUCUCACACUUCCGUCUGGUAUUCGGCUCUGAUACCUAUUACAACGACCUGACCCGCCAGCAAUAAUAACUCGUUGGGCCUAACUACCAGCCCAAAAUGCUUAAGCCCAAUUAUUAUUACUAGCGUACGAGACCUCAUAUACAGAUCACAGAUAGACAGACCAGGACCAGAAUUACUAGGCGAUGUGAGAUUCUAGAGGUGGCUCUUACGGGUUCAAGAGGUGGCUCCCACCAAAUCUAUUGGUGUAGCACUUUGUCCCGCAUAGCACUUAGCUCUCACACUUCCGGCUGGUAUUUGGCUCUGAUACCAAUUGUAACAACCCGACCCGCUAGCAAUAAUAACUCGUUGGGCCAAACCACCGGCCCAAAAUGCUUAAGCCCAAUUAUUAUUACUAGCGUGUAGGUCUCAUAUAAACUGAUCGGAAUCAGUAUUCUAUCCGAUGUGGGACUAUUGGGGGCGUUACAUUAACUGACGUGAAUGAGUUGAAUUUCCACAACAAGGGCAAGCAACACACCUUUUAGUGCUCCAACCAGAUAGGUUGGCAUAUGCUGGGAAAUUGCUAAUAGUCCAAAGAAAAGCUCCUCGCAAAUUGAAAUUUUGCUUGCUAAAAGCAUUAAAAGCUACAACACCUUCCCAUAACUAUUUUAAUUCUUUUAUUAGAUGUUGCAAAUAAAUAUCAAUAUCAUUAUCAGGACCUUUUUCACUAGGAAUUACUAUACAGAAGAUAAAUAAUGAUCGUUUCAUGCACAACCAUGAUGGUCAAUUAUAUGAAAUCAACAGAACUGGACAAGUGUUAUAAGUGGAAUUCAUUGUUCAAAAUGAAUUAAAUCCAUCGCUAGCGAGACCGAGCCUAACACUGCGAGAAUCGAAAGCAAAAUCUGGAUAACGAGAGUCAAAUGAUUUCCAUACUAAGCCAUCUGUUGGGUGUCGUAAGUUUCCAUCUUUUGUGCAGCCCUCAACAUGCCAUCUCAUAGAGGCAGCGGUCUUUGAUGACAUGUAAAAUUGUUUUAAUCGUGGAAUAAGAGGAAAAUAGCGCAAUACCUUGACUGCCUUUUUUUUGCGAGCAUAUUAUCCUUUUUACUCAAUGAGUUAGUUUCACAAUCUUUAUUUUUGACCCAUCAUGAAGAACUAUAUAUAUGACAAGAGUCUUGAUUCGCCCUUUCACCCCAAUACAACAUGCAAUCAUUGUCACAAGCAUGAAUCUUCUCAUACCCAAGACCCAAUUCUUUUAUCAGUUUUUUAGCUUCAUAAGUGGAUAAUGGCAAAAAGUGCCUUUCGGAAAUGCAUCUUUUAAUAGUUCAAGCAACAUAGAGAAAGACUUUCCGGACCACCCAUACAAGCAUUUGAGAUGAAAUAGGUGGACAAGAAAAGAUAUUUUUGAGUAACUUUUACAAUCUGGGUAAAGUUCUUUAUCACAAUCUUAUAACAAGUUGCGAUACCGAGUUAUGUCUUUAUCAGAUGAAGGCAUGGACUUAUCGAAUGCACUGUUUGUUGUUGCCCUUCACUAGAUUCACCCAAAUAUUUGAUGUCAUCAUUAUCACUUGAUUGCUCUAAAUUUUCAGAAUUAAAUCCAAAAACAUCUUAAACCAAUUCUCUCAUAGCAUUGUCCUAUAGGGUCUGGCACAUUAGUGGAUCCUAAAUCAGAUUGGAUGUCUUGCACAUUAGUGGAUCCUAAAUUAGAUUGGAUGUCUUGGCUAUGAUGAGCUUCAUAUGAUGUCCCAGACAAUGACUCCUCAUGAAGGACCCACUCAAUGUAGCCUAAAAAAAACCCAUUCCACACCAAAUGUUCCUCAACAAUUUCUAAAACAAAUAAGGAACGGUUAAAGCAUUUUCAACAUGGACAAUAAAUCUUUCCAUUAAUAGAGGCCUUCUCAUUUGCCGAUUUAACAAAAUUAGCAACUCCAUCGAGAUAAUCCUUGGUAUUUCUUGGCAUAUUAAUCCAACUUUUAUCCAUCAUUAAGAAUUAUAACUUUGAAUAUAUAUAAAUAACCUAUAAAAGCAACAAAAGAAAAUAUAAUUAUAACACUUAUGGAGCACACGGAGCUUCCUCCUGCAAGGAGUGAUGUUAUAAAUCUAGUCUAGUUUUUCAGUUUUUUAAAGCUCACAAAGUUAAAAACCAAAUGCAAAACUUAAUUAAAGGAAAAAAUUAAUAUUUGUUGGAGGGCUUAGUUUUUUCUCAUUCUAAAACUUUGUUUUCACGCCGUUUAUGCCCUAACUCACUUCUCAUCCAUCAAAAACUCUAAAAAUUCUUCUCAAAUACUUUCAAAUUUUAUUUUUUCUUGCACUUUGUCAAAAGUGAUCUUGUAUAAAUUGGACGCAAAAUAGUUGAAUUUUUAUUUUCUUUGAAACUUUUGUCAUUCAUGAUUUAAUAUACUCAAAAUAAAUUUAAUUUCUUCAAAUUAGGAAAACUCCAAUACAAAUCUAGCCACUUCACUCGCCAUACAUCUUUGGCUGACUUUGUCAAAUAAUUAUUAUGAUUAUACAAAAAAAUAACAAUUUCACUUAAAUCCUUCUCAAACAAUGAUAUAUAUAUUUUAUUAUAUAUAUAUAGUAUAUAUUACUAUUAUAUAUAUAUAUAUAUUAUAUAUAUUAUAUUAUAUUAUAUAUAUGUAUUAUAUUAUAUGAUAAUAUAUAUAGGCUAAUGCUACUAUCCUAUUAAUAGGAUAGGAGCACUUGUCCUAUCAAGUUGUUCUUGAUGAUCGAGAUUCCAAAUCGAUGAUCGGAACCGUUGAAGUUGAUAUAGAGUAUUUGAAAUAUCUAGAAACUAAAUUUCAUAAAUUUUGAUAAUGGUUUAUAUGAUAAUCAAAGUGUCGUAAAAUCGAACAUAUAGGAUAGUAGCAUAGAUGUACAUAUAGGUUUUGGGUCGGAUUUUUUUAUAAAAUAACCCUCUAAAAUUUUAUAAUUUGCGAAAUAAUCCUGCCAAAUUUAUAUUUGGCAAACUAACCCUCUUUUCGUCACGUAAGAGCCACGUAGGAUUAUUGUUGAAAAGCAGUGAAUCGUUCACUGCGUUCUACCAUGUCUUUUAAAUGCAGUGAAUCGUUCUCCACAUUCUUCAAUUUCUUUUAAAGGUGGUGAAUCGUUCACUGCUUUCUUCCAUUUUUUUUAAAGGCGGUGAAUCGCCGAAUUUAUUAACAUUGUGCAUGGAUUAUAUAGGAAAUAAAAAAAAAAGUGAGGUUGUUAGGAUUAUAUGUGGAUCAUUAGAAUUUUUAUUUGAUUGUUAAGAUUGUAUGGAAGAUUAUUAAGAUUUUCAGGCCAUUAAGAUUAUAUGAAAUUGUAUGGAUAGAUUAUUAGAAUUUUCAAGCUGUUAAGAUUAUAUGAAAUUAUAUGAAUAGACUAUUAGGAUUUUGUUAAGGCUAUAUGAAAUUGUAUGGAUAAAUUAUUAGGAUUUUUAAUUUGUUAAGAUUAUAUGUGAUUUGUUAAAAUUUUUAUAUGGUUGUUAAGAUUAUAUAUGGGGUAUAAAAAGAAAUAGUAAAUAAGCGAAAGGCGGUGAAUCAUUCACCGUCUUUGUGGAAAAUAAAGAAGGCGGUAAAUCGUUCAUCGCCUUAUUGUUUUAUAAAAAAAUCCUUUUGGGUCUGUAUAGGAGAGGGAAAGAGGGAGAGAGCGAGAGAAAGAGAGAGAAAGAGAGAGAUGAGUAUUUUGGGCCUAGAGAGAGAGAGAGAGAGAGAGAAAGGGAAGAAGAUAGGUAAUUACUUAUGACUAGGCCCAGAAAAAUAGUUUGAUAUUUGAAUAGUUUUUUUUUUUUUUUGAGAGAGAAAGGUAGCACGCUACUCGCUUCAUUUAUUUCAUUUAGAAAUAAACUUAGCUGGAAAUGUGAAUCAGCUAGGAUUCGAACUUGGGUCUCGAGUAUCAACCAUCAAGCCCUUUUGCCACUUGCGCUAGGGACAGUCGGUUUUGAAUAUUAUUGAAUAAGUUAAAAUGCAUUUUAGGGGUUGUUUGGUUACAUGUAAAACUGUGAAAAGUAGUUUUUGACGGAAAAAAAAUUUUCUGAGGAAAAUAAAUUUUACGCUCUUUAGCGUUUGGUUUGUAGGAAAAGAAAAGUAAUUUUCGAUUACGGUUGUUUGGAUGAAAAGAAAAGAAAGAAAAAAUAAAUAGAAAACUAUUAUAUGUAUUUUAUCAUAUAUAUAUAUAUAUAUGUAUAUAUAUAUACAUAUAUAUGUAUAUAUAUAUACAUAUAUAUAUAUAUAUAUAUAUAUAUAUAUGAGCAGGGCUGCUGUGCUCUCAGGAGCACGGAGGCCUCCGUGCUCCUGAGCCGUUUUCGAUGAUGGAAUUUUCGAAUCGACGAUCGGCUCCGUUAGACUUGAUCUAGCGCAUUUGAAGUUUCUAGAAAAUAAUUUUUGCGAUUUUUCGAUAUCAUUUACCUAGCAAUCGAAAGGAUUCAAAAUCAAUAAUUUUUAACGGCUGAAAAUAAAAAUCCUAUAAAAAGUGGUGAUAUAGCACUAAAAUUUUCGAUCAGAAAUAUAGAUCUUGUUGUAGAUAGUAUAAAGAAUUUUCUAUCAAAAUUUCAUCUGAUUUGAAUACUUCUACACCGUUAAACUUGAAAACGGCAGAUAUCAACCAUUAAAAAUUAUGGAUUUUGAAUCCUUUCGAUCACUAGGUAAAUGAUAUCGAAAAAUCGCAAAAAUUAUUUUCUAGAAACUUCAAAUACGCUAGAUCAAGUUUAACGGAGCCGAUCGUCGAUUCGAAAAUUUCAUCAUCGAAAACGGCUCAGGAGCACGGAGACCUCCGUGUUCCUGACAGCACAGCAGUCCUGCUCUAUAUAUAUAUAUAUGUAUGUAUGUAUAUAUAUAUAUAUAUGUAUGUAUAUAUAUAUAUAUAUUAUUGAUAUAAAAUAAUUAUCAUACUACAUAUAUAAUUAUUAUAAUUUAUAUUUAUUAAUAAAAUAUAUAUAAAAUAUAUUACACAGUAAAUAUGUAAUGUAAUAUAUAAUUAUAUAUAUAUAUUUAAAUACUAUAAAAUAAAUUAUUAUAUAUUUUUAAAUAAAAUAUUAUAUACUGUUGGGAAUCCGGUACUCGUUCUGGUACCGGAUCUUGUGAAUCCGCAACCUGCUCCGAUACCGACUGCUGUGGAUCCGGUAUCGAUUGUUGGGAUUCCGCAACGGAAGCAUCAAAUCAGGAUUUUACCAUAAAUCCAUCUCCUCAGCGAGAAAAAUAUGCAGAUAAAAUAAGAUUCAUUAAAUAAGAGAAGAUUACACCUGACUCCUCUUCUGCACAGAGUAGCUACAAUCCGAGCCCUAUUUCUUGAAUCUCUUCUACCCUUCUCUCGUCGUCUUCUCUAAACCCACAAAGAAGACCUCUCCACGUGCAAUCGUGCACAAAGUGCACUCAACUCAUUAACACUCUCUUUUGCUCUCUCCGGUACGGCACCCCACAAGGCUCUGCCUACUAUAUAUCCUGAAGCACCAGCCUUAAUUAACUGGCCGUACCAUCUCGAGGCUGAUUAUAUAUAUCCACAUAAAGUGUAAUCCAAAUCCUAGUAUUAUUAGGAUUUCAACUUUAAUUAAUAUCUAAAUCUAUCUUAAUUAAUCUCUAAUAGAUUUAAAUAUUAAUCCUAAUCUAGUUAGAUUUAUCCUCUAAUUCAUAUUUAAAUUUUAAUUUAUCUCCAACAGAUUUAAAUAUUAAUUCUUAUCCAAAUAGGAUUCAACUACAAAUCUAACCAAAUCCUAACAUAUACUAGUAAAUUUAUAAAAAAAUAAAAUAUUAUACAUAUAUUUAUACACACACAUAGAAAGAGAGGUCCAUGGUGGGACCUCUCAGGCGGUCCAUGAGAACAAGCUAUUCUCGUGGACCGCAUCUGUUCCCGCUGCUAUGAGCCACACCUUUUGUAAAGAGUUUUCGUUUUCCGCGUAAAAGUGGCGGAAAACGAAAAGCUAUGUUUCCAUUCAAAUCUGUAAAAAAGAGUUUUCGUGGAAAAUCAUUUUACCACAAUCCAAACAACCGACAAAAAGUUUUUCAGGCUAAAAAACAUUUUUUGGCCAUUUUUACGAGUAACCAAACACAUCCAGUGUUUUUUUUUUUUUUUUGUUUUUGGGUUUCCUAAUCGAAAUCACAAUUUUUAAAUUUUUAUUGGGGAGUUUUUGGUUCGCAUGGCAUCACUCUUUAAAUUUUUUUUCAUUUAUAUUUGAAUUUUUAAAUUCUAAAUAUUAACUGAUAAAUUUUAAAUUUAAAAUUAAGAUAUUAAAUUUAAAAUUUAAAAUUUUAAAUAUUAAAUUUAAAAUAUUAAAAUUUUAAUUAAAAAAUUUUAAAUUUUAAAUUUUAAAUAUCAAAUUUUAAAUUUUAAAAUUUAAAAUUUUAAAUAUUAAAUUUAAAAUAUUAAAAUUUUAAUUAAAAAAUUUUAAAUUUUAAAUUUUAAAUAUCAAAUUUUAAAUUUUAAAAUUUAAAAUUUUAAUAUAGUUUGGGCGACUAUUUUUGGCCGGCCCAAUUCAAAAAGGCGCUAAAUGAAAACAGUCUUUUAAUUAAUUUCCUAUAGUGAAAAGAGCAAGAGAACUAAAUGUGUUAGAUACAAUAAAAAUUAAAUAAUAAAAAAAUCUUGACAAUUUCAAUAACAACGCUUUACAAAGCAUCGGCAUUUAUUAUAUAAUAACGACGCUUGAGUAAAACAUCAUUGAAAAUGCAUCCUUAGCCUAAGAGUUUCUUGUAGUAUAUUGUUUUUCAUUAGCUAAAUUAAUUUUCUUUUUCGAUAACUGUAUCACCAUAUCGAAUCCACCGAAAUGAUAGAAUUCGAACAGUGAGAACCGCACUUUUUGUCCUAACUUGGCAACUAUAACAAUUUCUAUUCUUUUAUUGAAUUUUCAUGUGCUCCUAUUUCGCUAUAAUAGUUAUAUAAAAGAAAGCUCUUGGUAAGUUUUUAUAUAAAAAAUUUAGAACGAUGUGUUCGUCAUUUUUUUUUUUUUUUUUGAGAGGAAGGCAGCAUGCUACUCAUUUCGUUUAUUUCUUUUAUAAAUAAACUUAAAAGAAAGCUCUUGGUAAGUUUUUAUAUAAAGAAUUUAAAACGAUGCGUUCGUCAUUUUUUUUUUUUUUUGAGAGGAAGGCAGCAUGCUACUCAUUUCGUUUAUUUCUUUUAUAAGUAAACUUAGCUGGAAAUGUGAUUCAAUUAAAAUUCGAACUUGAGACCUCGGGUACCAACCAGUAAGCCCUUUGUCACUUGCGUUAGGGACAGUUGGUGCGUUUGUCUUGUUUUGAUGGAAAAAUCAUUGAUUCCUAUAUGUUUUUAAUGUGCAGGGUACUUAAACAAUGGUCGCUUGGCAUCGGUGAUAAUUAUCGAAUUGUGUUAUUAUUAUAUCAUAGAAAAACAUUUAGAUUAUUGGUUAUUGUUUCCUGGUGCUUGGCUUUUGGUGGUUGUAUAAGAAUUUAAUUAGCUUUAGGUUAGCGAGCAUCUUGAUGAUGGUAAAGGGUAUAGUUUUUUGCAUAUUAAUUAUCAUUUUGCUAUGUUAUGUACGUCUUCUAAUAUUUAUGAUUUGUUGGAUCAAACAGCGGAGUUGGCUAUCUCUUUCUUGAUUUCUUACAAUAUAUAAUUUAUGAAGAGAUAUUCUUUAUUUGAUGUACAAGUAGUUUUUUUUCCUCAAUUUAUGUGGUUAGUGUGCACGCCAGGUAAAAGUUUAGGAGCUAAGUUCAUUGUGCAUAAUAUGUAAAAUAUCUUUAACCUAUUAACUAUAUAUAAUCUUUGAUUAUUUCACUAAAUCUUUAUGAAUUGAUAAUCCAAUGUCAAGAAAAAAAAUCUCAAAAAGGUGAGCCUGCUCAAAAUCACUGUUUUGUAGUGCAGUUUUUUGUCAUAUUGUUGUGUUGUUAGUAUUUGAUGUGUUUUGAAAUUUUUUGUUAAUUCAAGGUAAGAAAUGCGUGGUCAUUGGUCUAAAGUUUGAAGGAUCUCUCUCUUAAUUUUAACAUGCUUAUUACGGUAAUAUCUAUUUUGUGAAAUUUCUACAAAAACUAUAUUGCCAUUCAUGUGUUUGAUGAAUUACCCAUUCAUGUAUGUGGUGUUAAUUAGGACCCUUGAAACUUUAGGUUCGAUGAACAAUUAGCAAAGUUGAUUAAUUAACUGAAGAAGUGCGCAAAAUUCAAAUGACAGAGUCAGUUGACAAAUUACAACAACUAUUUUUGAGCUAUCAAAUUAAUUUAUUUUUUUAGAAAAUAUCUUAGACGCUUUGCUCCAGAAGAGGAUACAUAUAAUAAUGGGCUAUUAAUUAGCAAGCUACAUUUAAUACAUAUUUUUUUUCUACUUUUAAUAAGAAUUAUAAUAAGGUCUUUAGCAAUAUAAUUAUGUUUGGCAUAUUAAAUUAUUCGACUAUUGAUUCAUGGUGCUUGAUUAAUAAUAUAAACAAAGUUUUUUUUUUCUAUUUUUAAUUUCUUUUAAAAUUAACAAAUUGGUGUCUUGAAAUGAGAGAAUUAAACUUUUGGAUUUCUUUUUCUCAUAUGACAUUCUGAUAUUAGUUUUUUUUUUCUAAUAUAUAAUAUUAGAAUAUUUAUUUAGAAAAUACUACUUAUACAUUCCAAUUGAAGUGUAUAAGUUACACCCCACCUAUCUAAUGUUUGGGGGUGAACUACUAGUUGCACAUCAAGUGACUAGUAAAGACAUCCCACACCCAUUGGAUGGGUGGGAUGUAGAAUAUAUACCCCAAUUAGGGUGUAUACGUAGCAUUGCUCUCUUUAUUUUAGUAGUUGUACCUUUUAGCAGUAUAUAAAAAAAUUCAUUAUAAUUUUUAAAUGCUUUUUUAUUAGUCUUAUUUUGGUGUUUUUGAUAAUUUAGGAAUCAAGUAAUUUAAUAGCUGUAUUUGUAGCGAUCAAAGUUAACGAGAGCUUCCUUUCAUCUCAACGACGACAAUGGUGUAGCUAACAUCAAGGCUAAAAAAGUAGUGCUUUCACUCCAAUUAAGUUUUUUAUAUUUUUUUAUUUGUAAAUUCUAUACCGACAAUAAUAAAAUAAGCAUUACUUAUCUCUCUUAAUAUUACAAUAAACUUUUCUUCUUCUUCUUCUUUUUUUUUUAUUAGCUUAUUCAUUUUCAUUAUUUAGUUUAGAUAUUUUCAGAAAGAAAGAUACUAUAGUUUUAUUUUUUAAUUUUUAAUUAUUUAACAGCGAGAUAAAAAUAGUAUUGCUCAUAAUUAACAAAAAUUAUAAAUAAUAAGUGAGUUUGUAUUUCUCAAUAAUUAUGUAUUAAUUAUUUAUUAUUUUUUGAUAUAAAUUUUAAUAUUAAAAUCUAAAGAUUAAUCUAUAAGAUGUAACGAUUAAUUAUAAUUAAUAAUAUAUUUAUCGCGCGGAUUUUUUUAGCCAGUGCAGAACAAGGCACAAACGGGCAGUGAUAUAAAAAGUAAAAAUAAAAGUACGUAAAAGUAAAAUUAUAAAGAGCCGUGGAAAUAGCUACGACACUACCAACUGAGUACACAGCCAAACUCAUCAAAACGCAUGAACCCUACGCAGCCCCCAUACAAACACAUCAUCAUCAGUUUCAAUAAACAACAGCAAAUAAUGAAUAAUAAUAAUAAUAAUAAUAAUAGUAUAUAUGUAGCACUGCCUCUCGCCUGCGCCUCUCCACUCUUAGCCCAUCGCCACCGCAAUAUUCCCCACGAGGAAGCCCAGCACGAGCACCAGGGCGCCGUAGAUCCCGCUCCCGCCGCCGCGUGCCGCAGCGCCGCUGGUGGUCGUCGACGACUUCGAUGUGGACGGCGGUUUGGCGGAUGCGGGAGUGGCGGUGGAAGACGGAGAAGUCGUAGUCGGCGUUGUCGGGGUGGUCGAAGACGGCGUGGAGCCUCCGGCGGGGGUCGUGGAGGGGGAGGCGGCGGCGACGGUGACGGCGAGCUUCAUGCCGCUGGAGCAGUGGCCGGGGGUGCCGCAGAUGAAGUAGCGGCUGCCGGGCUUGGAGAGGAGGAUCUUGGUGUUCUGGUCGCUGUAAGACUGGAGGGAGUUGGAUGCCGAGCAGCCGUCGUAGUCCGACUUGCUCACCUCCGCCACGUCGUGCAUGAAGCUGUACUGGAACACUGCAGUCCGUACAAUUAUAGCCUUUAGUCUGAUUAGGGCUACGAUUAAUCCUCCCUCACAGGAUUAAUUUAUACAAAUUUUUUUCUUUUUUUGAACUUUAGCGGUAAAUAAAAUACAAAAUGAUGUGACUUGUGUGAAGAAACUUAGACCAUUGCAUAGAUCAAUUAUAAGAUUAUUAUUUUUAUUACAAUUAAAAUGUGGUUGCUCAUUUUUAUGAGAAAUUAAGGAUUAUAAUUAAUUCUACAACUGCUCGUUUUAGGGUUCGACAGUUUAUCGACCCUUUUUAUAGCUUUUAGUACCAAGAAAAUAGGGGGAGAGGCCGGGAGGGGAGUAAUAAAAGAAUUAUAAAAGAAAAAUAAAUGUUGAAUGGGAUGGUUAGAGAAAAGAAAAAUUAGAGUCUAUUUUGAUUUAUAGAUUUAGCAAUAUUUUUUUUCUUUAUUUUGUAUUUUAUUUUUGUAAGGUUUAUACUUAUUUUGAUAAUUUUAAUCAGCAGUCGAAGUUUAACAAAUAAAAAAAAAUACAGAGAUUUUGCUACAGAGAAAAAGAAGAGUAAAAAUCAGCCUCUAUUAAAGCUGCCUUUAAUUUGAGGUUUUUGCUUCUGCUACAAUGAAAAGCUUUUGUAUGGUCUUCAAUUGGAUAUGUUGUUAAGCACCUCAAAUUUACAAAUAGUACUUGUUAAGAAGAAAUGGUCCAACUGACCAAAUAUAUAUUAGGCAUGCGAUGGCUCUCCAAUGAUGCCUCUUGGGGUAGCCCUCGAUCCGCUGCCACUGUUUAAUUUUACAUCCGUAAGAGUGCGUUGAAUGUUUUUUAACACUAAAAUCUAAAAUAAUUUUUAUAUUUUUUAACAUUAAAAUCAGACAAAACCGACGUAUGAUAAUGGAUCAGAGCUUCUUAAUAAGGUAUCGUCCGGAAGCACUCCACCGAAGUUUUUUUUUAGGCUUUGGAGAAAGUGAAAAUAGUGUGUUAGACAAACAAAAACUUUGAAAACUCCUAUUUAGAGUUGAAAGCUAAAUUGUGGGAUCUAGACCCAAAUAUAUAUACAUGGUGGAAAAUUGCUUGAUAAAUUUUCCUGCCUAACUAAGUCCAAGAUAUAAUAACUUAUUAUAGUUCAAGCAAUUUCAUAAGAGGAAUGCUGAGAUUUUUCACAAAGUUGUUGGUGAAUUUACCCGUAAUAGCAUGUUGUGCAUACCGUCGUGAAUUAAUUAAUUAAAAUAUAAAUUUUACAGUUCUAGCAGAAAUUGAGAAGAAUAUUUUUAUAUGAUUUUGUCUCCACUCUAUUCGGUUCAUAGUAUUAAAUGACUCUCAAUACCAAACAGGCUCAUAGGAAAUGGUGGUGAUUAUUUAGCGAUUAAAAUGAAGAAAACAAUAGAUGUUGAUGGGUCGGGCCGGCAUGUUGGGUUGGCGGGCCAACCCAAAGUAUGAUAAGAAUAGGAUCAUAUUGUUUGGGCCAUUCGGGUGAGACAUGCUAAUAUUUAUGACCCGAAACCAAUCUAUGCGGUCCCAAAUAUGACCCGGCCCAAUUGGUUGUAUCUCCACUGGGGAACGACCAAUAUUACAAAGGACCAUUUAGUCUUACCAUAAAUGAAACAUGAACAAAGACCCGAAGGAAAUGUGACACAUUACAUUACUGAAUAAUUGACUUGAUCCAUCAAAUAAAUAACUAGAAACCAGAAGGAGAGAAGGUAGCGUGCUCACGAAGGGUGUCGCCGACGUUGAAUGUCUUGCCAGCCACCCAGGUGCUGUAGUCGACGCCGCUCGCCCAGCCCUGAGAGUCCCCCACCGUAUAGUCUGUCGCCACCGCCGGACUGACGGCCACAAGAACCAUCAAAAGAACUGCCACUCUAGCCAUGAGCCUAAGUUAAUUAAUUUUCUGCACUUGCCCUUGAAAACCAACGUAUAAUAAUUCUAGGACAAUGAAGUGAAGCGGUGGCAUGCAGAGAGCUAUGUGAUGUUAUAUAUAUAGCCAAUUAUGUAACCACUUUAGGAAUAUGAUAAUUUGGGGGGUGACCACAGGUGGGCUCCCCUCCUUAACCAACCCUAUAUAUAUAUAUAUAUAUUUUUUUUUUUUGUUUUCCUUUUUUAAUGAUGAUAUUUGGUUAGGGUUUGUUAUGUACUUUGAAAGGGUCACUCAUGAUUCACUAAAUGCUACCAGCUCCCCAUCUUUGGUUCACCUAAUGCCUUGAAAGUUGGUUAACUCUGAUCUUUUUUGCCUACCCACCACCUAAUAUGCAACAAACUAGGACGAGUAAUAAUAGGAGUAAAUCAAAGAGAAACUAAUCAUACGAAUGCGUGCUGACAUUAACUUCUACAAAUUAUGGGGGCUAAGUGUUGAAUAUAAAAUCUUAAAAAACACUAUUCUUAUAAUUUAUUUAACAUAAUAUUAAAGUAUAAUUUAAUAUGGUAUCAAAAUAGAAGGUUCUAAGUUUGAAUUUCAACAGGCUCCUAGCAUAAUUACUUUUCUCACAUAUAGCCCAUGUCUUAGGCCUAUCAAAAGUCUCGAGUCUAAAUGUAAGCCUAAACGUGAGAACAAGUGUUAAAUAUAAAAUAUUAAAAAUACUGUUUUCUAUUAACUUAAGUUUUGGAGAAUAAGUUGUUGGUUGAAUAAUAUAAUCUAAUGGGUGAAAAUAGUCAAAGUGUUAAAUCUAACGGCAGAAAACUCGGUAGCACCAAGCGCUUGGUGCUAUUGAUAGUAUCCCAGCCGGACUCUCUCUCGCUCUCCUAUAUAUAUUAUAUAUAUAUAUAUAUAUAUAUAUAUAUAUAUAUAUAUAUAUAUAUAUAUAUGAGUUUUGCUAGAAUACUAAUCAGUAGUAAACGAGCCAUUUUACUACCUAUUUAUUUUCGAUGAUAGAGCUUCCAAAUGACGAUCGGCUCGUUGAACAUGAUCUAUACCACUUGAAGUGUUUACAAAUCAAAUUUCAAAUCUUUUCGACAUAAUUUGCCUAAUGAUCAAAGGGUUUCAAAAUUUGUAAUUUUAAUGGUUGAUAAGAGGCGUUUUCUCGUUUAACGGCGUAAAAUAUCCAAAUCAAUUGAAUUUUUGUUAGAAAAUAUCUUUAAACUAUUUAAAACAAGAUCUAUACUCUUGAUCUUGAUUUAUAAGAUUCCUAUCAUCAUUUUUAAAGAAUAUUCAUUUUCAGCCAUUCAUUUUUCUGUUCACUUGAUGGAUAAAAGAACAAUAUUGAAAGUGUGUGAAAUUGUAUUUCUAGGUAGUUUAAAUGGUUUAGAUCAUAUUUAACGGAGCCGAUCGUCAAUUUGGAAGCUCUAUCAUCGAAAACAAAUAGGUAGUAAAACGGCUCGUUUACUACUGAUAGUAUUUUAGCUCAACUCUCUCUCUCUCUCUCUCUCUCUCUCUCGUCUCUCUCUUUUUAUAUAUAAUAUAAUAUAUAUAUAAUAAUAGUAUAUAUAUAUAGAGUUGAGCUAGAAUACUAUCGAUAGCAAACGGGUUCCGUUGCCACCCAUUUGUUUUCGAUGAUGGAGCCUCCAAAUCGACGAUCGGCACCGCUGAACAUGAUCUAUACCACUUGAAGUGUUUAGAAAUCAAAUUUCAUACAGUUUCAACAUUGUUCUCUUAUCCAUCGAGUGGACACAAAAAUGAACGGCUGAAAAUGAAUAUUCUUUAAAAAAUGAUGAUAGGAGUCUUGUAAUCAAGAUCAAGAGUAUAGAUCUUGUUUUAAAUAGUUUAAAGAAUUUUCUAACAAACAUUCAAUUGAUUUGGAUAUCUUUACGCCGUUAAACGAGAAAACGCCUCAUAUUGACCAUUAAAAUUACAAAUUUUGAAACCUUUUAAUCAUUAGGCAAAUGAUGUCGAAAAGAUUUCAAAUUUAAUUUCUAAACACUUCAAGUGGUAUAGAUCAUAUUCAACGGUGCCGAUUGUCGAUUUGGAGGCUCUAUCAUCGAAAACAAAUAGGUGGCAACGAAGCCCGUUUGCUAUCGAUAGUAUUCUAGCUCAACUCUCUCUCUCUCUCUCUCUCUCUCUCUCUCUCUCUCUCUCUCUCUCUAUAUAUAUAUAUAUAUAUAUAUAUAUACACUAAAUAUCUUAUUUUGGUAACUAAUUUAUCGGGCUUUCGGGUCGGGUCUGGGUUGGGCUUGGACAUGUCCAAAUAGAUCCAAAACUUUUUCAGGUCUAAAUUUUUAAGCCUGACUUAGAUCUAAAGUUAUAAUUUUGAUAUCCGAAGCCCGGCCCAUACACGACCUAUUGUGCCGGGCUUUGUUUAGUAAUUCCACUCCUAGUUGUGAUGUAUUGAGAUUAAGAUGCGGAGCGAUUUGAUUUAUUGAUUCACGUAUUUUAAGAGUACUAUAUAUAAUUAUCAACACAUCAUGAUAUAUAGACGGCAACAUUUCGAAGAACCUAAAGUAUUUUCUAUUAUUUGAAACUUAGAGACAAAGUAAGAUAAUAAAGAGAACUUUCAAACUUCGCAUUUGUUUUAGAACUGACCUCUACACGCCUACUUCAGAAUUUCCUGAUCACUUGGGACUAGCCAUAUAGAAAUUUCAUGUUUAAACUUCUGCUAAUAUCUUCUGUGAUGAGAAACCAUUAGAAGAAUUUUAAUAAAAAUUCAAUUGCUAUAUUUAAAAAGUUAAUAUUAAAAUAACAUCUAUAUAGAAAUUCUAAUCAAACCAAACAUGUAAGACAAUGUCUUGAUGACAAUUAAUAGAAUUUUUUUUUCAAAGAAAAGUUAGAACGUAUGUUUUACCUUUUCUUUGAACAUGUGGUACAAGAGCAAAACAAUACUAUCAUAGAAUUAAAACAUAUGUUACAAUGCUUAGCAACUGGCCGAGCAAUAGAGGUAACUUUGAAUGGCAAAAGAACAUUUGCCUACUUUUCAAUAGUUUAUAUACUUUUGACUGUUGCAAGCAACUUGCUUUUCUUUUUAACAGUGUGGCCAACUUGUUGAACCCUCUAUUGGAAGAGCGAAUGAAGUUGAAGAAUGUUCUGCGAGAAAUGCUUCAAAUUCAGUUCAUCAUAAUGGCAGCUCAAAGUGCAAAAAAUCUAUAUACCGUAAAAAAAUUGUUAGUUCCAAUCCAUUUCUUUUCUCAAAGUUAUGUGCUAAAUUGACUAUUUAAAUUAGCUUUCUUUAACACUAAUUGUAGUAUAUUUACUCUCUUAGAUUUCAGAUGCUUCCGUUUUUCAUCUAUGAUGUUCAUCCCUGGGCUUAUUGUUCAUUAGGUAAAUUUAAUCAUCUUAGUCUUAUUGUAUGUUCAAAACUUAUUCACUGAUCAAUAAUUAAUUCAAAUAUUAUUCAAUGUGCAGAUAUAGUAUGAAGGUAUGAAAUACGUGUUUACUGAUAAUGUUAUAGACAUUAAAUACAUGUAUGACUUUGUGGCAAUUAUAAGUAUUCCUAAUAGUUUAAAGCAUUAGUUGUGUGCUUUUAUUUUCUUUUAAUUUUGUACUGUUCAGAUGAUUUUACCAUAUUUUGGUUGUUUCACCAUUCAGAUAUGACCUUUUUCUUGCUGAAAUAAAAGGUAAUAUUCUAGAUCAUAUUUUGUAAUGUUACUGGAUAAAUGGAUAGAAUAGAACUAUAAUUGUUCUCUAGGCCUUCUAGACCUAAAUGCUGAAGAUAAGUUUGGUCUUUCAUUAAAUAUCAAAGGAUGCUAUGAUGGAGUGUGGCAUUCAUUCAUCAUUUAGUACACAAAUACUUGAAGAAACAUCAUUUUUCUUUCAUUUCUACAUCUCCUGCAAUUUUAUGUUGGAAAUCAAUGAGGUAUUUUCAUGCACACUAUAGAAAUUCUAGAGCAUUUUUCUAGUAAAAGGUAGAGAUUUUUUGCUUUAUCUUUUGGCUAAUUGCAUAAGACACUUUAAACAGUUGUUUUACAUGCACAUUUUUGAUAAAGCACACUAUCAAUGAGGUUUUUGCUUCAUCUUUCAUUAAAUACUAAUCGGUGUUGUAAUGCAGGUUGGUAAGUUUCUUUUGAAGGAAGCUAUUCUACUAAAAUACAACUAAAAAAGGUUCUGUUGAUGACAUGCAUGUGUUGGGCUUGUAAAGAAGAAAAGUGCUUUUAUCAAAAGAUGGCUUUAAGGUAAGUUAUAAAUACUUUGAAUAGUUUUAUGUCUGACUAUGAUAUUUAUUGCACCUUUAUUACUCCUAUAAAGUUUACAUAGUUUUUAUGUGCCGAGCACAUGUGGCAGUAGGCAAAUAAUAUUAUUGUGGGGUUGAAUUUUGUAAUUAUUUUCUCUUGAAACUACUAUUUCUAUCUCAAUAGAUCUUUAAUGGUCGAGUGGUCUUUUUAAAUAUUAGCUUAACCAUGUACAUUGUAUCUUGUUGUCUUGUGAGUCGACAACAUAUCUUGGUAGAGAGAAUGUAACUUGUAUUUACAAUGCUAGAAUUUAAAAUUAAGAAAAAUUAUAGAUAAAAAGAAUUAAUGUAAAAGUCCUGUAGACUACAGAGUGCUUUAUUGGUAUUUGUGGAUUGAUAUGCACUAAUUUAAAAUAGUUCAACAUUAUUCAUUUGAUAGUCGAAGAACUAUAAAUGGUGUAACUUAAUUAUUUUGUGCAGUGUUUCUUGUGUCAAUUUCAUCCGGCAGUUUCGAAUUGGAUUAUUAAUGUUUUGGUACUAAUUUCGACGAAAAAUGAUUAGUUUAAUUUUUACAGAAUUCUGUUGUAUUUUGUUGUUAUGAAACAUAGGCAGUACACUUUUCUUUUUUAAUGCUCUAGCAAAUCAAGGAUAUUACACAAAUUUGAACUAAUUCAGAUGUUAUUCAAUGUGCAGGCUCAAGUAUAUAUUCGCGGAGCCGAUCAGAAUUCGUUUAUGCACUUUUUGAUUUUGUUAUUAUACAAAUUUUGAUUUUUUGUAUUUUUUUCAGUUAGAAAGUUUGAUUUAUUAUAAUUACUACAAUAUAUGAGUGGAUAUUAUUGUUGUGACGUAUGGAUAUUUGGUUUUAUUUUUAUCAUUUUAACAAGAAUUUAAGAAACUUUGUUGAUUGCUUUCUUUUAGUCUCAUCGAUUUAAUGUAAAUGAGAUUAGCUUAACUAAAGUUUAAUACUACAUGUUUAAAUAAAAUAUUAUACUUUGAAUGACAAUGAGACACAUAUAAAAUGUCACUAUAUAAAAAAAUAUUGCUUUUUUUUUUAAAAAAAAAUAGGUAGGCUUAUGUGUGUCAUUAAAAGCAAAAAAAAAGUGUCACUAAACUGCAGCACUUAUUUUGGGAUAUACCAACACUUUGUAAUGUGUCGCUAUAUACCCUAGGGACUGCACAUAUAGCAACACUAUUAUUAGUGUCGGUAUUUUUGCCAGCAGCACAAUUUUUAGGUUUUAGGGACACUUAAAAGUGUCGCUAUAGCUUAGUUUUGUCGUAGUGAGCACUAUCUGCUUUAUUAUUUGGAUACGUAAGAUAAACUAAACUACAGAGGUGAGGCAGCAGGGCCUCCAUAAAAGAAAGAAAAAACAACCAAAGAAAGAAACUAAAAAAAAAAAAGAAAAGAGACAAAAACGUGAAAAAAUACGAAAAGAAAGAACAAAAAGUGGAGUGCUAGGGAACCUGAAUAGCAGAAACAUGCAGAAGGAAUCAGUUGUGAGUUGAACACUUGUCGGGAACAAAAUUCCUCCCACUGUCUCACUAGGGUCCUAACCUUGUUAGCAGCCAUCAAAGGAUCCGACUUUAGUUUCCUCAAGAUCACGUAUUCCUUUCUAUCCAGAUUGCCCACGAGUUCACUGUUAGAACACGCAAACUCCUUGUACCUUCUUGCAAGCCUCUCAUCUCAAUCACUUUUUCCCAAAUCUCUCCGACAUUAUCUCCGGAAUCACUUUCUUGCAGUCCUUCAAGAGUCAUCACCAUUAAGAACCUAUUGAGAACACUCUUUUGUAAAGACAUGAUUUACAAUCUCAAUGGCAUCCUUGCAUAACACACACGUUGAAUCUUCGAUCCAUCCUCUCGCAACAAGGUUAUUUGUUGUAGGAGAUCUAUUUUGAGGACAAACCAAAGAAAGAUUUGUACUUUUAUCGGUAUUUUAAGGCUCUACAUCCUUCAUGACUGUGCAUUCCUUAUUUCCCCAUCUCUGAGCAUUGAAUAGGUCGAUUUGAUCGAGACCACAUGGAUCACAAACUCACAGUCCACCGCCACCAAAUUUCAUCUGGUUUGUUCCCGAUUUGGUCACUAGUCAGCAUUUUCUUAAAUUUCCAUAUAUUUAGUUUCAAGCCCCUGUUCCCUUGCUACAGACCCUCUCAGUAUCCUCCUCCACCGCCAACCUCCAUUAGAGAAGCACUGACUAACUUUGAUAUCCUUUGUCACUAUUUUAUUGUAGAUUUUCAGAAAUUUAGAUUGUAAUGAGAUCUUUUGUUCCACCUAUCUAUCCCAAGAUCUAUCAACCUCCCAUCUCCCAGCAUGUAGCUCACACCAUAUUUACCCAGCAUGUAGCUCACACCAUAUUUAAAAAUCUCUUUAUGUUUGAGUAAAUUCCUCCAUCACGGGGAAGCCGGUCUAUAUGUGUUUCCCUUCUUAAAAGCUUUUAUUUGAUUGUAGUAAAGCGCUCUUAGCAAUUUGUUCCAUUGUAGUUCUGGUUCGGUGAAUAGUCUCCACCACCAAUUAGUUAGUAGGGCACCGUUCAUAAUAGCCAUAUCUAUUACUCCUAGACUCCCUUCUUUUUGGCUUUUGCAUAUGCUCCUAUAGGCCAUUAGGUACCCUUUACAUUUUGUAGUCGACCCUCCUUUCCAGGGAAGUCCCACCGUAGUGCCUCAAUAUGUUUUUCUACCCGUCUCUGCGCUUUAAUGUUUGUGAGAAAGUGUAAGGGUAAAUUUGUGAGCACUGAGUUCAACAAUGUGACUCAAUAUAGUGUCCCUAAGGGUUAGCUGUCAAAUUUACUACAGUAGCAUCGGCUAGUCGACACAUCUAUACAGUGUCGAGACAAGCUGGAGUCGUUUUAAAGCAAAAUAAAUGUGAAAACAAACUCGGAGCACUAAAUGUUAGAGAUUAACCGGCAAAAAAAAAACGCAAUGGAAGAUAGUUUUGCAUUUUAAAACUUUUUCGGUAGCCAAAUGCAUAUCACAAAAUCAAUGAAUCAAUCUAUUGCCGGCAGAUCAUUCUCAUAUUACUAUACAAAAAUUUAAUGUAAGCAAAACUCUUAUAUUCAGUGAUCUUAUCGUGGACCAGUUAAGGUCUCUUGAUCUACAGUACUGUUGAUAUUAUAAGUUUCAAUCUUUGCUAUGAGGUUCUAGUAUAGCUGCGCAUGUGCCCGACCUCUAUGCGUACCCACACAAAAUCGGCACAUAUCCGAUCGAUCUUCAUCCCAUGAAAAUAGAGGAGUCACAGACUGUCACGCCCCGGGCUACAGCGAAAGCUCGCCGGGCGCGUACCCAGACCCGCCGUGCACACCAAAAACCACAAUGUACACAAGGCGUCUACAACAAUCACAGAGAGCAAUAGUAAUCCAACCUAAAUAUGGUAAUCAGAGGGAGAACAUAUAACAGCUAGCUACACAAAUUCUGUAAUUAAUAUCUCAAGACUACAACAACCCAAUCAAGAGUACAACAUAAUCCGAAUGAUCUCAAAUAGAGUACAAUAGAUUCCACUGAACUAAGCCAAAUAAGUAAUCUGCGGGUUCAUCUUUCACACAUCGUGAGGCUCUAACUAGUCGUUGCCUCCCUUGCCACGAUCCCUAGCCUUUCCCGCUGCGGAAGGCUCUGAAACAAAAACAACCAACCAACGGGGGUGAGAAAUAUUAAACAUAGUUCCCAGUGGGUAAGCCGCCGAGAGUGGCGAAAUAUACCACUAGGUCAACUGAGGCGUAGAUAUGAUAUAGGAAGUAAGAAAUGUAAAUGCGAUAGAUAAUAAAACAAUUUCUACUAUAUCAUGCCUCUACAAGAAAUGUCUCUAACAUGUAUAUGAAUUUCAUACAUGUAGUUAGGGUAAAUUACAUUGUUACCCCCUGAACUUUUGGCGAAGUUUCACUUUACCCCUUGAACUCCUAAAAUGGACAUUUAACCCCCUAAACUCUAAUAUUUCAUUCAUGUUACCCCUUCCGUCAAUUUUCCGUCAAGCUCCGUUAACUGAAAACUGAUGGAAGGGGUAAAACGAAUGAAAUAUUAGAGUUUAGGGUAUUAAAUGUCUAUUUUAGGAGUUUGGGGAGUUAAGUGAAACUCGCCAAAAGUUCAGGAGGUAGCAGUGCAAUUUACUUCUAGGACUCUUGACUGUAAAUUAUUUUAUAAUAAUAUGUUAUUUAUAGAUUGACUACUAACCCGCAAGUUAGUGAUCAUGCUUGAUUUUGAAUUUAUAUAUAUUUUUUAUCCUAAAAUAAAUCAUACAAUAAUUUAUUCUAUAUUUUAUUGUAAUAAAAUAAAAGCGAAAGAAAUUAGUUAGAGUGGCUUAAAGAUAAGAAAAGAGCGAUACUAACUACCUACAAUACUCGAACACUUUACUGUUCUGGUGUACUCGCUAAUAUGAUUGAUUUACAAUAGGUGUUCUCAUUCGGAUAUAGAGAUUUUAAUUCUCAGUUAAUUUUCUGUAGUACUCGUUUGUUUCUUUUAUCUUUAGAAGUAUUGUUCUAAAAUAUUAUAACAUAUUAUUUUAUAUUUUUAUAUUAAAAAUCUUUAAUUGGCUGAAAUAAAGUACAAAAAUUUUAUUUUAGCCUACAAUAAAAUUACAUUGUAUAGUUUCAUAAGAAAUAAGUGCAUUUUCUAAUAAAAUAUUAUUUUAUAUUUUUAUAUUAAAAUUUUUUAAUUGGCUGAAAUGAUGUACACAAAUUUUAUUUUAGGCUACAAUAAAAUUACAUUGCAUAGUUUUAUAGAAAAUAAGUGCAUUUUCUAUAACAAUGCUUUUAAAGAUAAAAUGGACAAACGAGUACUACAGAAAAUUAACUGAGAAUUAAAAUCUCUAUAUCCUAGUGAGGACACCUAUUAUAAAUCAACCAUAUUAGCGAGUACACUAGGACAGUAGAGUGUUCGAGCAUCGUAGGUAGUUAGUAUUGCUCUUUUCUUAUCUUUAAGCUACUCUAAUUCAUUUCUUUCGUUUUUAUUUUAUUACAAUAAAAUAUAGGAUAAAUUAUGGUAUGAUUUAUUUUAGAAUAAAAAAUAUAUAUAAAUUCAAAAUCAAGCAUGAUCACUAACUUGAGAGUUAGUAGUCAAUCCAUAAGUAACAUAUUAUAAUAAAAUAAUUUAUAGUCAAGAGUCCUACAGGGUAAAUUGCACUGCUACCUCGUGAACUUUUGGCGAGUUUCACUUAACCUUCCAAACUCCUAAAAUAGACAUCUAACACCCUAAACUCUAAUAUUUCAUUCAUUUUACCCCUUCCAUCAAUUUCCGAUUAACGGAGCUUGACGGAAAACUGACGGAAGGGGUAACAUGAAUGAAAUAUUAAAGUUUAGAGGGUUAGAUGUCCAUUUUAGGAGUUCGAGGGGUAAAGUGAAACUUCGCCAAAAGUUCAGGGGGUAACAAUGCAAUUUACCCUCUGUAGUUACAUGCAUAAGCAAAGGUGUAUACAACAGUAAAGUACUAAUUCAUAUGUAACCAUGCACAACUAUUACGGUACAAGUUUCACAUUGUCAUUGACAUUAAAUUGUUAUAGUCAUCAUUGAGCUAUCUUUCAAUAAUUAACAUCACCAGUGUAGGUUACUACGACUAAAGGUGUCAAUGUAACAAUGUCCCACGAAAAUAUCCCUCUAUUAUGAAUGCAUCAAAUCCCAACAUAGGGUAACCAACCACUGGUAUGACCAUUUAUUAGUUAUGCAUUCACUAGUAUCAAAGGGUAUCAACUCACUUGUAUGUCCAACAUAAUGUCAAGUUUAAUUAACUCGUGGUUAACAUAGUUCAAUUCUUCAGGACCUACACAAGUGUAGUUCGGCUUGUGCCGCUUAAUGACCCCGGGUAGUCCAGUAUUUUUCCUCUUGGAAUGUGACUGUCCCACGGCGACCCAGUAGGAGUUCAAUUCCGCACGGGCGAGCAUCUGUCGCAUAGGCCAACUCCGGAGUGCCGGCUUAUAGGAGCGACCCUCAUAAGCUUGUGCGCAUGAGCACAAUGGCAAGCAAGCAUGAUCAUAAGCAUCCAGUUCUUGGUCACCAUGUCCAAAAUAUGGAAUAAGCACAAACGACCCAAAAUUCAUCUCUAUGUUAUAGUGUAAAGGUUAAACCGUUUACUAAGUCAAAUGCCACUUUAUGACAUUAAUAUUCUCUAUGUCUUGCACAUGUCCCAAGUACAUUAAGGUCCAUAUUUCAUUCAUUCUAUUAAGGGUGGUUCUAUGACUCAUUCAAGAACCUAACGGGCUUCACCCGUAUGCCAACCUAGGAUAUUUCCAUUAUAAUAUAUGCAAAAGGAAUAGUUUUCUAUUGUCAUAUUCAAUGAACUUCACGGGUAUCUAUCAAGUCAUAGUAUAUGUUCUGCAUAUGCCUUUCUACAUGAGGCCUCCACAUCAUGGAGUAUAUAUAUAUAUAUACACAUACAAAGCCAUGCAAAUGUUUGGUUCUUAUUAAACUAUUCAAGCAUGUAUUUUGUCAUUUACAUGUUGUUUACAUGACAUUUACAUAUCAUUUACAUAUUCCAACACAUGAAACUCCUACAUGCCUAAAGCACAAGGUUUCAUCUAUCAACUCAUAGGUCGGGUAAACCAUAGUGUUUUCAAGUAUGUAUAUACCUCUCUAUAUGAGCCUCCUCUACAUAGAGUAUACAAAUUAUCAUGCAAUGAUUAGCUUUCUUUUACUCAUGCAACAUGUACUACAACAUGCUUUAUUACAGAGAGUAUAUCAACCAUCUUAUAUAUCAUAUGGAUAUCAAGUAUUCGAACUACAUCAAUCAUCGUAUCUAAAACACAGAAUCUUAUUUAUCAACUCAAGGGCUCUACUUCAAAUGGUUAACAUGUCGUACAUCAUGCUCAUCUUUAUCUAGCAAGUAAAUUAGUUGCAAAGUCCACUAGUUCCAUUAGCUCUCUAGAGUCUCAAAUGACCUAGAAUUCAUCUCUAUUAUGCAUUCCUACAAUGCACAAAAGGAACAUGUCAUCGUACUUUAAUUUCAUAGGUACAACUUGCAUAAUUUCAUCAAUUGUUCUCUACUACAUGGAGCAUACAAAAUGUUAUACAUAACAUGUAUUUUUCAAGCACCCUAAAAUUCUAUCAUGGCAUAAAUAUCAUGAUUAUGCAACAAUUAAGUCCUAUAAAAUCAUAGGAGAUAUAGAGGGAGUUUACCUAUUUCGGUGAGGUCAAACCCACCGGAUCACAUCCGAACGCUUUCGUUCCUCCGAACGAAGUUGUCCACCAAGUUUCUAGUACCCUAAGAAAAAUUCUAAAGGGUUAAAAGCUUCCAAAAAGCUACUUCGAAAAUCUUCGAAAAUUACACAUGUAAAAAGUGAAAAAUACCUUAGGUCAAGAAGAACUUGAUCAAAGCCCAAAUCGAGGCUAGGAAGCUUCAAAUCUAACCUAUAAGAGUGUUCUACACUCAUCAAUUCCAUCCCAAAAGCUCACACUUGAAAAACUCCAAAAUAAAUCCUAGUUUUCUAAAAACUAGGUUUUAUCCCAAAUCUCAUGCAAAUAUUUCAAAUAGAGGUUAAGAGAAGGUUUCUAUCCUCAAAACAAGCUUCAACUUGAGCCAUCAUGGGCUAGGAUUGAAGUUUGAUCCAUCCACAAGCUCCUCUCAUCACCUCUAAGCUCCAAGAUGCAAGCAACCAUGGAGGAGAGGAAGAAAAAGGGAUCAAUCCUAAAAAAUAUAAGAAUUUAGAUGAGAAAAUCUAAAGAGAAUGAGAGAAGAACCCACCUCUAUUCCCCCUCUCAAGCCUCAGCCAGCUGAGGAACAAAUGUGGUAAAGGGGUAUAUAAACACAUUGUGACAAUAUCCAUUCAAGCCCCUCAAAAUCCAAAAAUUAAAAACUGCAUGAAUUGCAGUUUUUCUGCACUGCGUACCGGUAGUCGGGGAGGAGUACCGUUACCCUGCACAAAAUUCUGCUCAACCCGAGCCUCGGUCAAGCCUCACACUACGACGUACCGGUACUCGGCCGAUGUCGUACCAGUACUCAAGCUCUAAAAUUUGUAGUUUGCAGAUUUCGAGGCCGAAAACCUUUUCUCGCAUCCAAUAAGCUCUAGAAACUGGCAGGUACCAUACAGGCAACCCUUAAAACAUCCCGAAUAUAUUAAAAUACUAUUCUUACACUAGAACCUUGCAAUUUGCAAAAGUUCAGUAUGUUACACAGACCAUUUGGACGGUGCUAGCAAUCCCUUCGUGAUCCACUAGUCGAUGAAGAGUAAAGAAGUUGAUCGGAGAGAAACACGUGCACGGGGAGAGAAAUCAAAAAGACAUUAAUAUCUAUAUGUAUAUUGACCAAAGCUAUAAUGCAUCUAGUUAAUUAAGGUGCGUGGCACCUUAAUUAAGAUGCCCCUAAUCCGUACGAUACCUUGUGCCGUAUGACUCAAUUUUUUUUAAAAAAACUUGUUAUCUACAUAUAAUUCUAUACUAGUAUAGUUACCCGCGCAAUGCAGUGGGCAGAUACUAUCAAAACAAUCAUUAUUUCUAUAAAAUAAAGAAUAUUAGUUUAAAUGGUCUGCAAAAAUUGGUGAAAAACUAUUAAAGUGAUCUUUUUAUACUUAUUAACUAAACAAUCUGUGUAAUUAAACUUAAUAGUUCAGUCAAGAGAAUAAUAAGAUUAUAAGAAAGAAUAAAUAUAUACACUUAUAAAAAUAUUAAGUAUUUCUUCAAUUUUAAAGUUAGCAAUAUUGAAUGUAUGGGUAGCACCACCCAAUUAAUUUAUGAUUGUAAUAUUCUCUUCACAUUCCUUGUAAGAGUUGUAGAUUCUUACUCUCCUGCCAAGAAGUUUAAUUUCAAUAAAAUUUAAAGUGAUGCAAAAAUAAUUCUUGGCUAAAUUUAAAUAAAUAUAAAUUUACUUGCAAAUUUUGUAAACAUAUCAUGUAUCAUAACGGAGAAUAGCUUUGGUCAUCAAUUUUGCUGUAGAGACCUAACUUUUAGUGUCCUAUACAACAUUCGAAAAUAAAUGAAGAUGAAUUUAAAAUAAUUUUUGAAUCAUAAUCCAACAUCUUUAAGAAGAAGAUUAUUUAUACGAAUCAUCUUUAAGUUGGAAAGAGUAUCAGGCACAAAUAGAUUCUGCAGAAAUAAAUAACCUUUGAAAAUCUAAGUUAAUAUAACUAAUCAAUCACUUUAUGGCAUCAUUACUAAAAAAUCCAAAAUACUAACUAUUCUUAUAUAUGUUAUGUAGUAUCCCUGGUGUUGGUUGCCCGUGAGAUUUCAGUAUUUGAGGCUUGUCGAAAUAUUUGAAGAGUGUCGGGACAAGUCGGAGUCGUUUUGCGCGAAAUGGAUGCAAAACGGACUCAGUGCGACGCGAGAGCAGAGUUUGAUAUUGAAAUCUGCAAAGUGCAGAUUUCAGUAUUGAGUACCGGUACCAUGCAGGGGAGUACCGGUACCCCAGUGUAUUUUUUGAACUGCUGCUCUCGGGUUGCGAUAAUUGAUGCUGAGUACCGGUAUGGCAUCGGACUGGUACCGGUACUCCAGCUGGGAUGUAGAGUUGGUAAAGAGGCAUUAUGGUCUUUUUGGUUGGUGGAUUAGCAUGCCACCUACUCCUUCUUUAUAUUUAUCCACUCUAUCUGCUGAGAAAGGGUAAUUAUCCUUUUCCUCUCUCUCUCUAGUUUUAAUUGUGUGCUUGGUGGAGGCUACGGCUUGAGCUUGGAUCGACGUUGACGUUGCACCGGGGAGCCGUUUGAGCACGUGGACGUCACGGUUGCGCAGUUGGAGGCCGGGCGAGCGCGUGUUUUCCCUUCUCUCGACUUCUCGCCGUAGUUGGACUAGCUUUUCGAGGUGGGUUGAAGUUUACCGAAAUCGCCGAAAUACCUCAAAAGUUUUUAUAUCGUCAACAUGUAUUAUGUGUUUAUUUUCUUGCUAGUACUCGAAUUCAUGGAUUAGGCUUAAAAUCUGAAUUUAGAGUUAAGUAGUAGUAGUAUAAUUUUACAUGUUGGACUUGGAAUUGACUUAGGAGAAAAUUAUAAAUCUUACACUGUCAUUUUCUGAAAACUACCAGAUUUAGCAUUAGGUGCUGUGGUUUGUUUGUAUUGCUGCAGUUUGUAUGCGGUAGAUACCCAGAUUGGUGUAGGAAUUGGUUUACGCUCGUGCUGGGAUGCCGAGUUUAUUUUACAGUAGUGUAUAGACUGUUUCGAACUGUCGGGAGUCGUCGCGGUUGACGGUGGACCGAGAUUUCUGUAUUUGCAUCAGAUUGUGCCAAGGGCACGUGAGCUUUGGUUGUUAGACCUAUUUGCUUUGAUUAUAGCCUGUGAGAGCCUGAUUGAGCUCAGCAGAGAUACGCUUGCAUACUCGGUUGGGUAGCGCCCACGAGUGCCACUCCGGAGUCGGGUUUUGUGCUUUUGCUUUGUUGUCGCAGCAGUCCUGUUUGGAUGGUGCUUUAGGACCGGCCACCUCAGUGGUGGUGUGCGGUAUAGCUCGGUGCUUUAGGACCGGCCACCUCAGAGGUGGUGUGCGGUAUAGCUCGAACGCAGGCGGGACAGGCUUGUUGGCAGUCCCUUAACAGUAUAGUCGUUGUUGCAGGGGAUGCAUAUCUACAGGUAGCUAGAGUUGGUUAGUGAUAAUAUAGGAGCAUAUAGUUGUAGGGUUUUCAGCUUUCCUUACUAUCUCUUACAUACCAUUCUGUAGACUUAGUGGGUGAGCCGUUGAGGUCGGUAGCGGUACCCACUGAGGACUACUUCUUUUUGCAGUAGUUCUCACACUUAGUUGUUGACCCCUUUUUGCAGAGCCUUGUUCUGCGGCUGCUACUGUCGCUGAUACUGAUCGUGGAAAGAGAGUCGCGAGCUAGAUCCUUUCCCUGGUUGCGGUUCUAGAGGAGUACCAGCUACAGGUAGUUUUAGUUUUGGUUCAUGUACAUACUUUUGCUAGUUACUCGCUGGAGCGAGGGAUGAUGUAUCUGGGUGACUUUGUAUGUAUAGUGAACUUAAUGUUUAUUUAUAUACAGUUCAGUUUAGCAGCUCUAUACUACUAGUUGUAGUUUUGUAUGAUUACAGAUACAGGUACAGCUAUCGCUUCGUAUAUAAAAGAAAUUCUUUUGUAGACGGCGGUCUGUUGGCAUGCCCAGAAAAACGUAGUAAUCCGGGGCGUGACAUGUUAGAAUUGUUUAACACAAAAUUUUGUAAGAGCAAAAUUUCAAACCAAUGAAUGCAAACUGUUUGUCUUCUUAAUUGAUUGUCUAUCGCCAACGAAAGUGAAAUAAAUUAAACAUUGCACACUUCUUUUGUUCCUACAAAUUGGUAGGAAAGUGCUCAUAUUUUUAGAGUAAAUAAUCCUAAUUGGCUUUUUAAUAUUACUAUUCAACUCAUGAAUCAAAACAAACUUAACAAUUAAUUAUGUAAAAAUAUCUUUAAAAAUGUGAAAAAAGAAAAAGACGCAUAAAAAUACACCUAAAUGAGGAAUUCAUUCUCAAUUUUUUUGGCCCUAGUUUUUAACAAAAGUUAAUUAAAAAAAAAUCAAAUUUUAACUCUAUUAUUAAAAAAAAAGAAUAAAUAAAUAAAUACUCACAAAAUUCGUCACCUCCUCAACAAUACUACUAUUCUCUGCAAGGGAAAAACAAAAAAAAAAACUAAUUAAUCCCAACACUAAAUGUCGGCAAUGUAUGCGAAAUAACUCAAAUUAAAUCCAAAAAAAUGCUCUAAUUAGUCAUGCCAAAUCGCUUAAAUUUAAUCCAUACUAUAAUUAACGUCAAAAUAUCACUAAUACCAAAUCUUGCAAAUUGAACAAAAAAAAAGCCGUAGUUAACGUCAAAAUGUCACCUAUUCAUGCCAAAUCGCUCAAAUUGAACCAAAAAAAUUCUAAUUAAUCUCAAAAUGUUGCUAAUUCUCGCCAAAUCACUCAAAUCUAUAUAAAAAAAUUGUUAUAUUUGAAGAAAAAAUACUCGCGGAUGGGAUCAGACAUAUGAAAGAGCAAUCAAUGGGUCUUGUGAAGAGUCUAUUAUCAUAUAUUUCCUAUAAAAUGUUCGCUAUAUCUUCUUUUAUUGACUCCUAGAAAGUUUGGUAAAAACUUAUGGGGUAACCUAACUAGAAAGUAGCUUUCCUGAUCUCUUUCAUAUUGAAAGGAGAUGUCAAGAGGUUUGGGUUAUCAAGUCGUCUUGUCUUGAAUAGCUUAGUCCAAUCCCCUAAAGAGGUUGUGUUUGCCUCAAUUGGGGCGAAUAACUUUUUAAAUUUAUCCCAAAAAUGAUAAAUCUUUUUUUUUCCAUGUAGAAGGUCUGCCUGUUAUCCUUAAUCAAGCCAACUAUGUUAUUCCGCCACUGUUGUUUUGCUUAGGUUCUCAAUAAAACAUCUUUAUCGAUUACCACUUGCUUAAAUCUAGUUUUCAGCUCCUCUCUUUUAUCAACUAAUUUUUUCGUCAGAUCCUAGUGCUCCUCCAUUUAUCUAUAUAUAUUCUGGAUGUCUGUUAUUAUAUCGCACUGUACAUUCUUAGGAUGCUAUAAAAGUGUGGAACACUAUUUUUUUUUAUUCGUUAGGACAAUAUCUCAGCUUGAGAUGAAAAUAAGUAUCACAAUUUCUUUACUGCAAAUUUCGCUCCACCACUUGGUACUAAGAAUAAGAACUCUUCCCUUUUAGCCACACUUCUUCAAAUCUACAGGGUUUGCCUUUAGCCCACACCCGAUAGAUAGAAGGAUAGAGCAGUAGUUCGAUGUUAUUCUAGGAAGUGCUUUAACUGCAGAAAGUGGGAGAGCCAAAUCCCACUCGGUCGAUACCAGGAAAUGGUCUAGUCUCGCUAAGGUUGGGUUCUUUUACAUAUUGGAUCAUGCAAAAGCUUGUUUUUUCAUCAGCAAGUCUAUAAGUGCUAGCUCUCGGAUGAGGUUGUUGAACAUAUUUAUCACAUUAUGGCUCCAACCCCUACCAUUACGUUCUGUCCUACGUUCCACUUAGUUUCUAGUGAAAUUGAAGUCACCGUAUACUACCCAUUUCCCUUUGCAGUCCUUUUUAAGAGAAGCCAAUUUAGAAUAGAAAACAUCUUCCCUUCCUAAGAGAGCAGUCCAUAUACAUUAGUCACAAAGAAAUGCUGCCUGCUAGCAUUAUAUAUGUAGGAGUCGAAGAGUAAUUAAACGUGAACCUCCAAGAGAUCACCUUAUUGCAUGAGAAUGUACGUGAACUCCAACAAAUGAUCAAACACCCUUACGUACCAUUAGAUUCAAUAUAGUGCCGCUUGUAAAAAUAAGAACAGCUAAGGCUACAUAGCAAGGACGAGAAAAUAUAAUCCAGUUUAGAUUCUUAUAUAUAGGCAAACCACAGCAUUCCUGCCAUCUAAAACCAUCUUUACAAUACCAAAGAAAAACUAGUACCAAGCAUUUAUUAUUGUUUAUAAGUAACAACACACAUCCUUUCAUUACAAACCAAUUCACCAAGCACAUCUAACUGAAUAAAUACACACCAAUAACAACAACGUGGAGAUAAGCAACUUCUACUUCUUAGGGAUUGUUAUACUCAUCAUCAUUUCAGACACACCUUUGAUCUCCUCGUAGGGUGACAUGAUCACCACCAACCCUUCAUCAUUAGAAGAGAAGGAGGAAGGAGAUAUCAUUUGGUAUGUCACAUGAACCGGCUUAUUCUCUUGUGUUAGUGUCAACUCCUCAAUCCCAAACUGGCCCCACUGCACCAUUUUAAUCGUGCCGUCCAAUUGAAGAUCAACUGGCGGUGAUGGCACCUCUGGUCUCGUGCAUGAUUCGAUCCUCAAGUCCUUGGGAACACCAUCGCCGUAGUUGAUCAUGAGGCAGAAUUUGUCUACUACUUUACCUUUGACUCUCUCUGCAGCUUCCUUCAAACAAGCAAAGGCGAUCGCCUUGUAGGGUAAUUCGUCUCGGCCUCCAUUGUAAGAUAUUUUGAACAAAACAGUGACAGUACUUGCAGUAGAGGAAUCGAAGGGGAUAGAUUUAAGGUGCUUAGGGUGGGUGGGUCUUUGGAAGUGACCCAAGUGGAAAAUCGGGGUUUUCGUAAGGAGGCCUUGCGCUAGCAUUUGGGUUUGGGUUUCCGCCCAUGACUUGAGGAAUUGGAUUAAGAACAAAGGAUCAGCUAAAAGGAGGCUGCAGCAUAUCCCAAUAGCAUAUCCAUCGCCUUGAAAUUGUGUCACCUAAAAAACAAAUAAAUGAAUGAUUAAAUGAGCAACAUAAAUGAGAAAUUCAAGUGCAUUGAUCAUGGUUGAUGUGAUACAUGAAUGCCACUUAAUUGUACUAAUAUACUAAGCUAAGAAAUUAUGUGAGAAAUUUCUCGCAUGGACCACAUGUACAAAAUAAUAAAAAAAAAUACAGCAAUAUGUAUUGUACCUAUGUACAUAUGUAUAUGCACUAUGUACUCAAAAGAAUUUAUGUAAGGCACGCAUUUUAUGCAUCAUGUAUUUGUUUCUUGAUGGUUAUACAAGGGCUAUUUGCAAGAUAUUAAUGCGAAGUUUAGAAUGAUUAUAAAUUUCUGUUUUGCUUGCUACAUAUUGUACCAUCACUAUUUGGCACAUUUGGUUAGUAUUCUUGUGAAUACAUUAGAUAUUUUUCAUAUACCAAAUUAUAUCCUCUCCUAAAAGGUACAAGAGGAUAAUCCGCACUUCACUACUACUAGAAGAUAAAAUCCUACAAAAAAUAAUUAUAUAAUUAUGAACUUUACAUAUCAAAGUAAACUUUACAGAUAAAAACUUUACUUUUUAUCCGUGUCAUAUAUAUAUGGGUAAAUAUCUAAUUCUUAUGAUAAUUCUAUAAAUUAUAUUUUAGAAAUUUUAUAUAUUUUUUAAAUAAAAAGUGCAUUCGAUAUUAAGGGAUUUAUUUGUAAGAAAUUAAUCUACAAUUUAAAUAUUUACAAGUUAUCUAGAAAGAUAAAACAGACAAAUCAGAGUCGUCAAAAUUUGAAGUAGAAGUAUUGUUAUACUUUUAUUUAAUUAAUUCUACGCACUUAAUAUAAAAUAUAUAUAUAUAUUUUUGGUACGGUGAGGUCGCCAUUAGAUAGGUGGUGAACAUUGCUCAAAAAAUGAAUUAUAUAUAGAGCAAUCCAAUAAUAUAUAGAAACAAAAUUAUCAUUAUAUGUAGCGCGACAUUUAAGGAGUCACUUAAUGAAAUUUUAUCGAGAUAAUUUGGUGAAUCACCUAACAUUCAAAUCUUAAACAAAAUCUUUUCAACAUAGAAAGUUUUUGUUUGAAUCUCAACACCAUAUUAAGACUGCAAAUUUGUAGAAGGCCCAAUAAAGGAGAACGAAGUCCUCCUCAUUCAUUUUUUUUUUCUAUUAUAUAUGUUCAAAAAUAAAAUAAAAUAAUAAAUGUGGAUGAGGGAAUGGAGUGCUGAUAUAUACUUGGGUUUUUGCCUUUCUAAUUGUAAAUAAUUUCUGAGUCAGUAGGAUAAGGAGAUAAGCAUCAUUUACAUACAGCUGUAUAUGGAUUUUCUACUAUAUAUAGACAUAGAUACAGGUAAACCAAACCCCAACUACCCAGGAACUAAUAGGGCUUGCUCAUUAUAACAAGCAUGAUAUGGAUUUCUCAAACAUGUCAAUUACUUAAAGUUUGGCCACUACAAGGCAUGUAAAAUCUCAAAAAGUAUUUCUUUGUCUGAGGCAGCUCAGAAAUUUAUUUCAGUUUAUUUUUUAUGUCGACGAAAGUCUAUGUGUCAAAUUGUUUUGGAAGUAACCAAAUCAUGAAAGGGUAUCAACCUACUCCUUUUUGCAAAGCAAAUAUUUCACAACAAAUAUGUUUAGAGCUUCUAGAUAAAGAAGACCAUGCAUGCUGAAUUUUUAAAGCAAACAUUUAACAACCAGUAUAUCUAGAGCCUCUCGAUAGAGAAGGCUGCAAAUUUGAUUUUGGAAACCUUAAAAAGCAAAAAAGGAAGCCAAAAUGAGAUAAGGAAUUAACCCCUACAAUUGUUGAGUUAAACUUUUGCUUCUAUUUUAAGAAUAAAGAAAAAGAAUCAACUGCUUAAGAUUAGCCUUAGUUCCUCUACCACAGAGAUCAAAUUAAUAAAAACUACAUCAUGUAAAAUUUAUAUCUGCAAUCUCAUAAACCUGAGAAAACUUAACCAAGAAUUGUCUAAAUGGCAUGCAAAUGUGAAGUUACCAGAAAAAUUGUAAUAGAUAUAUGUACAUUAAUAGGUCUUCACAAGAAUAAGCCUACUCAAGUAGCAGUUAAUUACUUUGCUGGAAACUUCUCCAAUAAUUAGGCCUAGCAACCAUCAAUCAUGAGAAAACUCAACUGCUAUUGCAUCCAAAGCAUACAACAAUUAUAUGUCUUAUGUCCAAAUGAAAUGCUAAAUCUACAAUCCAAAAAUAUUAAUCCCUACAAUUUCUCAUUCAAUUGUUGUUGGAUUGUAACCCUUCUUUUGGAUUUAUUUAAAAUUAAAAUUAUUGUGUGCCCCUAGUGAAUUCUUACAUUAGUAUGCUACCAUUUUAUCAAUCAUUUAUUUCAUCUAAUUGUUCUUCUUCUAUGGUUCAAUGAGUUGUAGCUAGUUUCUUCUAGUUAAGAAAUAAGUAAUUGAAUAAAUAAUAUAAGAUGUAUUUUUUUAAAAAAUAUAUUGCACACAACUUUAUAUAUCUUGAUACAUCAGGUGCAGACAACUAUAUUUUUUGGAAAAGCAAAUCAAACUAUUUGAAUGGUUAGCAAGUAAAAUUAAAAUUUUUAAAAAUUAGAUAAUUAUUUUCAGAUGAUCCAAACUCUAGCACAGUACAAUAUAUGCGAUAUUUUUCAGGUCUAUUCAUGAUGAACAACCGAAUUAAUUGCACCAAUUCCAUUGGUCAACAAUGCAUGCACUAGAGUAAAGGAGAGCGUGAAACAACUGUUUAUUUGCGGAGACAUAAAUUAAGCAGGAGAAAAUGAAAUAAAAGCAAAGUACUGUAAAAUUUGAACUAAACAGUAUUUUUAAUACACUCACCUGCACGUAAAACAAAGCAGAGAACUCAGGAUUCUCUGCAUCUACGUCCACCCAGAACGCCAGCGGCGCUUCUUUCUCUGCCGCAGCAGCCGUCCCUGUGGCGGCGGCGGCCUCCAAGAAUUCCGCCAUGCUGACCUCGGCCACGGCCGCCUGCAGGAGUCGAACCCCGGCAUCGUUCAGCUUCACCUCCCACCCUCCUUCUCCCUCCCCGACAGCAGCCCUCCGAAGCCGCCCCGCCAGCUCCGGCCUCUCCGCCAGCGCCGCGCUCAGCGACUCCUUCAUCCACGCCGCCACCGUCCACGCCGACUCCUCCUUCCCGGCGCUUCUGUAGUAAAGUAUGAUCCGGAACCGGCUCUGAAACAGCGGGGCGGCGUAGGCGGCGGCUGCGGCGAUGCGGCGGGGACGCCGCCCGGGCUCGGUCACUCGGCACGGCAUCGCCGUUUGCAUCGCCUCGAUGUGGAGCUCUUUCGGGAGAAUUCGACCAGCCAUUAAUUAGAACACACAAUUGCAACUGUAUAUGAUGAUUGUGUUCUUUUUUUUUUUCUUUGUCUUUUUUUUUUUUUUUUGGCUUUUUAGCUAUUUGAUUUUACUCUUUUUGGAGGAACUAAUAAGGGGCGAGGGAGUAGUGGAGGAGCCAGGCAGGAGUAAUUAAAAAAAAAAAAAAAAAAAAACGCUGUGGGGGUUAUGGGUUGUGUUCGUGCAGUGAAGCUAAUGCUUAUACGUUUUGAAUAGUCUUCGUAUUAUUGUCGAACACUUAUGAUCUUCCUAAUGUUUCGGUAGAAAUGCGUAAGACUCUCAUUGUAGACGAUUUCGAAAUCACCUCCCUUUUAACAUUUUUUUUAGAAUUAAAUUGCAUAGAUUUAUGUAAUAUAUGUGAAUUAUAAUAUAUUCAUGUAAAGUUAUUCUCUCAAAGUGGGCCCCAUUUGGUUCGGUGGGAUAAAUGGGAUACGAAAGUUAUCCUGCUAUUCUUCCAAACGGGUAUGAAAUUUGGCAAGAAUAUUUUAUUCGGUCAAAAUCUUGCUAUUUCCGAUUAUACCGAAUAGUAAGGGAUUUGCUUUCUACCAUUUUGGUGGAAUAGUUGUUAUUCCAAUGUUUAAAUUUCAAACUUAAUUAAAUUAUAAAAUUAAAUUAAAACUAAAAUAUAUAUAAAUAUAAUAUGUUAGAUAUUAUAAUAAUUAUUUUAAUUACAUAAAAUUAUUAAUUGUACUUAUAUAUAACACAAUUAUUAUAUUUAAAUAUUAUAUAAAAUUUAUUAUAAAUUAUAUUAAUUUAUAAUUAAUUCUUUUUUUUAAAAUUUUAAGUUUAAGUAGAAUUUUUUAAAAAAAUUAUAAUUUAUUAUAUAAAUUAUUUUUAUUAAUUGUUCACCCUUAUUCUUAUUUUAAAAUUUUAAAAAUUAAAAUUUAAAUUUUUUAAAUUUAUAAUUAUAAUCUCAAAAUUAAAGUUUAUAAUUUUAAAAUUUUCAAUUUAAAAUUUGAUAUUUUAUAUUUUUCAAAUUUAAAUUUGAAAUUUGAAAUUUGAAAUUUGAAAUUUGAGAUUUUAAAUUUUAAAUUUUAAAAUUUCAAAGUAAAACUUUUAAAUUUAAAAAUAUAAAUUUAAAAUUUUAAAAAUUCAAAUUCAAAUAUAAUAAGAGAAUAAUAUCAUUACUUUUAUUUAUAAAACCCAUUAUCUUUUUUAUUACAUCUUACCCAACAAAACGCUGCUUUUUUUUAUUUUUAGGAAUAACUCAAUUUUCAUCCAAACGCAAAAUUGAUCUAAUCCCCGCUUAUACCUUAAUUUAUACCUAUCCUUAGAAUAGUCACUUUUUCUUUAUUCCCGAACCAAACGAUACUAAUGUUUUCAGAUAUAUCCCUUCCAUUAGAAUCCAUUAAAAAAGUUUUGUUAACCAUAAGUUAAAUAUUUUACCCUAAUUAAUUUUUGACAUUUUUACCACUCUUAUAUUAUACUGUUAUAUAUUUUGAGGAACAUAUUUGUGAUGGCAAAAUUGAAAAUAUAAAUAGUUUUCUAAUUGUUCUCUAACAGUAAUAAAUUAGAUGGACACAUCUGAAAACAUUAAAAAUGAAGGCCGGUAUAAGCGGGGAUAACGAAAGUUAUCCCCGCUAUUCCGCUAAACGAAAUAAUUUUUGGCCGGAAUAUUUUAUCCCGAUCAAAUCUUGCUAUUCCCGGCUAUUCUAGAAUAGCAAGGGAUUUACUAUUCCACCAUUUUGAUGGAAUAGUGCUAUUCCAACAUUUAAUUUCAAACUUUAUUAAAAUUAUAAAUUAAAUUAAAACUAAAUUAUACAAAUAAAAUAUGUUAUAUAUUAUAAUAUAUUAUUUUUAUUAUAAAAUUAUUAAUUGUACUAUAUUAAUACAUAUUAUUUAUAUUUAUUAAAUAUUAUAAUAAAUUUUAUAUUAAAUUAUAUUUAAAUAUUAUAAAAUAUUAUUUUUAUUAAAUUUAAGUUUAAGUAGAAUUUUGAAAAAUUAUUAAUUUAUUAAUAAUAAAAAAUUUAUAAAUUUAUUAAAAAUUUUAUUAUUAUCAAAUUUAUAAAUUUAUUAUAAUAAAUUAUUUUUAUUAAUUGUUCCCGCCCCUAUUUUUAUUUUCAAAAUUUAAAAUUUAAAAUUUAACAUUUAAAAUUUUAUAUUUUAUAUUUUUCAAAUUUAAAUUUGAUCUUAAAUUUGAAGUUUGAAAUUUUAAAUUUUAAAUUUUAAAUUUUGNAUUCUUCUUCUUCAAAAAAAAAAGAAAAGAAGAUUUCUCUCCCCAUCACUCAUAUUCCUAAAGUUUACUCUUUUCUUGGAGGAUUUGACAUUUGAGUUGUGGAAACUAGUGCAAUUUCCAUAUUGUGAUCUUGCAUUUGAUCCGUUGGAGCGAGUGGUUUGGUUUGAUCCUGUUUUAUCACGAUCUUCGAAUCAGAAUUGAGUUAUUUCAUAGAUUAAAUUUUACUUUCACAUGCUGAAUAAACAAGAAAUUGUGGACAGAAAAAGAGAUCACCCAUUUUCGGUGAUAUUCCCCACCUUAGCCGAACUCUCUACUAAUGGGGUGGGCUUGAUCUCUUGGAGCACUAAGAAUAACCCAAAAAAUGGUUCUAAAACCAUUAGAAAUCCAAAUAUCCCUAUUUGAUAACCUAAAACUAAAAUUCCUAAAAAUUCCAACUCACCUUUCUCUUUUGACAGAGAAUUUUUUUUUCUUCCUCUUAGAUCUUCCUCUUGAAGCUCGUUACCAUCCCUAAUUUUCGGAUGAGAUUAAACCUGAGCUUGGAAGCUGCCCCAACAAUGGUGGUUCUUCUUUGGAGGGUGAAAAAGAGAAAGGAUAGAGUAAGAGAUGGAGUGGAGAGACGACUCCUAUUAGAUGAGAGUAAAUAAUAAGUAUCUCCUUUUAUAAGUUUGCAAUAAUAGCAACUAAUUCCAAACACCAACCCCCCCUCCCCCCAUUUGAUCAAAUUUGCUAAAGUUACUGAUCGUCCCUAGAGCAAGUGGCAAAGGGCUUGGUGGUUGGUACCCGAGGUCCCAAGUUUGAAUCCUAGUUGAUUCACAUUCCUAGCUAAGUUUAUUUCUAAAUUAAAUAAAAGAAGCGGGUACUGUGCUACCUAUCUCGCUCAAAAAAAAAAAAAAUGCUAAAGUUCAAGGCAUGUCAUCUACACCACUAAAACUACUACUAAGAGUUACUGAACUUACAAUAACUAUUACUAUUAGCAAUUGCCAAAACUACUAUUAAAAGCUACCGAAGUUACUUUUGCUUUAAAAUCAUUUUAGUAAUUUGGCAAAUGUUUUUAUGUUGAAGAGAGGGGUCCUUCGUCGUCUGCGUAGUAUUGAUAGCCUCCACAAUUCGAAUCAGAAGUCAACUUUCCUAAAAAGAUCGAAACUUAUUUGAAAACUAAAUCUCGAUAAUUUCGGUUGAAUCCUGCAUGAUAACUAAAAUUGAUAAUCACGGUCAAAUCUCGAAAAUACUAAAUUGUAUAUCUCUUUCCAAAAAAAUUCACUCAUUAGACGACUAAAGCCUCUCAUUAGUUAUGUUUAUCAAAUGACUGAAAUUGCAAUCAACAAUAAUGACAUGAUAUAUUUCACAAAUUACAAUGUGGUAAAUUUUAGUAUUUUUCUCAACCUAUAUUUUGACAUAGCCACUCUAUGGUUUGUAAAGUGGAACUAGGCUACUAUAUUAUUAAUAGCACCAAGUCAUUGGUGCUAUUAGAUUUUCAAUCUUUGGAUGAAAAGAGAUGUGCGGUUAGAAUGAUAGUGGUCCUCUAGGAUUGAGUAGAUGGUUAGUUGAAUAAUAUGAUCUAAUCGGUGGAAAUGGUCAAAGGGGUAGACCUAACGGUGAAAAACUUGAUAGCACCAAGCGUUUGGUGCUAUAGAUAGUAUAGUAGCCGGACUCUGUAAAGUGUAUUACUUUUUUAUCUUACAGUUUAUAAAUUUUAUAACAGCUAGCAUAGGAUCCUACUUCAUAGCAAGUCCUUAAAAAAGAAAAUAGUGAAAUAUUUCAAAUCGCAAAGUAGCAAAUUGAAGAUAUGAUAAACAAUAAAAAGAGUAGACUUGGCAAACGGACGGAUUGGGUAACCCGUGGGCGGGUCAUUAUACCUGCGGGUUAUAUGGGCAUAGGUAACAUUUAUCCACAAACUUUUAGGUAGCCAACAUUUUUACUCAUACCUGCCCACGGGUGGGCGGGUGUUGCCGGCUAUCCCAUUUUUUUUUUCUUUUUUGCUCCUAUGCUUUCUAAAUGCAAAACACAUAUAUAUAAUUUUUAAAAGCGUAACAUAACUCAUUGCUUAAAAUAUCACAACAUACAAUAAAAUGUUUAAAGUCCUAAAGCGAAUAAAUUUCAUAAUAUAAAAAACACACAAUAAAAGAUUAGUGUUAAGGUUUUUAGGAUAGGUAAACAAAAAAAAUAUUUUUAAAUUAAAAAAAUAUAUUAAAAUAAUUUAACAUAUCACAAGUCUUAAAGCGAAUAAAUUUUAUAAUGUAAAACACACGCAAUAAGAGAUUAAGAUUAAGGUUUUUAGGAUACGUAAACAAAAAUAAUUAAAAAUAUAUAUUUUUUAAUUUAAAAAUAUAUAUGCAGGUAUUUAUGGGUAUCCGCAGGUUAUCUUAAAUGCCUGCAACUUAAUCGGUAACCACCUGUUUUAUCCAUAAUUUUUUGAGUAAGAAAAGUUAGUACUCAUACCUACAAAUUUAUGGGUAACCCGCGGAUACAUAUGGGUAUCCGUCGAGAUUGCAAGGUCUAGCUGUUGCUAUGCCUGAAAGGUUAAAAGAUUAAACGUGAUAGAACUAGAGUAGUUUUAGGAUGGAUGACCUCCUAGGAAGCGGAGCGUCAGUGUUAGAACAAUUACUGCACAAAAAAUCUGAUUGUGAUUUAAAUAACUAAAUUUUGUGAUGAAAAUAAAUAAAUCAACUUACAGAUGGUCGCUAAAUCCAAAUAAAUACUUAAUUGAUCCGGAAGCGUGCGAGGCAUUAUCCUAAGGCGUAUUCCCGUCCUUACGUACGGGAUUAAUCGGAAAUAACACUCCAAGGUACGACCGGAAUUCCUCUCCUGCGAGCACGAUCGUGAAGGAGGUUGACGAAGACUCUUUCAACACCCGAUGACUAAAAAAAUUAAGAAAUUGAAUAAAAUAGAAAUUAAAAUUACUUCUUUCUCUUUUUCCUUCUCUCUCUCUCCAAUGUUCAUAUCAUAUGAAUAGUGCAAGAGGCAUUAUAAAGGGACUUGUGAAGGAAACGUUAGAGGUCUAACGUUCCACAAUUUGUUCCGUACGUUCCAACUUAUUAAUUGGAAUAGUAAAUAAUAAUAAUAAAAGCUAAUAAAUGAGAAUAAAAGAGUUAAUAAAUAAAAUAAUAAUAAUUAGAAAAUUUUGGAUUUUUUCUCCAACAAUCCCCACAAAAAAUUCAAAAUUUCGAAAAAAGAAUUAAACUCAAAAAACAAAAUAAAUAAAUGAAUAAAUCACCGGGUGUUUAUACUAUGCAGUAGGUAAGGUGUCUUUAAGAGACUUAACCUCACUUAGUGCAAAUAGUUUUCAUCAGAAGGAAUCAGAGUGAAUUAGGUCUUGAACUACGUUUCUUUAACCCUGACUUCAACUACCACACACACAGUAUAGAAUUCUCCGUCGCGGGUCUGUGUGUUAAUGGCAAUGCACAGUACCUUGAUUUUUCAUAAAAUGUGUAGCCCACAUCACAUAGCCGCGGCCACAUAGGAUACUCUUAUAUAGGUAGUUUCCUCCAAGGAUGUGUGUAGAGUCACAUCUCGCGGAAAUUACCGCCUCGGAUCCCAUUAAGAGCUAUCAGCUCAACCUAAUCUACUACACAGAACACUACUCACCAUAGGGAAGGGAUUGGAGUUAAAGCUCCUCUAUAUAAACUGUAGAAAGUGCUCUUUGGCCAACCCGACAGCUUGUUUUUACCACAUUGAACCUUCUUCAAGGGAUCUCCUAUCACAAAGGUUGGGUUCCCACUGCAGGAAGACCCUUUAUGGGCAAAGUCUCAUCCCCCUCAAUGACUCUAGGACUUUAGUCCUAUUCAGGCCGUUCGUCAAAUAAUCUGUAAAAUUCUGUUCAGAUCUGAUAAAAAUCAAAUAAGUAAUAUCAUGAAAAUAACCAUCUAAUAAAUUUAUGUCUCAAAAUAAUUUACCUGCCAAUCUUAGAAUUUGCAAAAUUCGUUUCCAAGAUGAACGCUAGGAUAAAAUCACAAGAGCAAUUAUAAUAUCAAAAUUUAUUAACAGAUAAAAGUGUAAAUUCGCUUUAACAGUAAAUAGAUGACCCAAAUAAUUUUAAAAUUUUAUCUCAAUUAGAUAUUUUUGAGCAAAUGACAAAUGCAAUCAAAUUAUUAUUUGAUGCUGCAAACAGAGUAUAAGUAAUGCUAAAACAAUAAUAAAGACAAAAAAUAAAUUUGAGCUUUACUGGUUAGGGUUUGCAUCUUAAAAAAAAAAAAAAAUAGAGCAACCAGACUGUAGUUUUGAGUCCCAGUCAAAUCUUUUUAUUUUAUUUCAAGGCCUGUAGCAAAUAUUUUUUUUAAAAAAACCAAUAUCCGUACAACCAGUCUUUAAAAUAUUGUAGCACAUAUAUAUAUAUUACCAAAGAAUUUUAUUGUAGCAAAACUCUAAAAUCGCACACUAAUAAAAUUAUUUUUACUGUAGCAAAAUUAUUUAAAAUUAAUUUUGCUGUAGCAAAUUUUCUUUUAAAGAGCUACAGUAAAAGCAAAAUGAAUUUUUUUAAACAAAUAAUCACCAAAUAAAUUAUAAUUUCAACAGUAAAUUAAAUAAUAUACAAUUACAUGUUAAAAUGCUAAUCUCCGAAAAAUUUAUGUUUGAAUGUCAAUUAUAUAAACAAAUUAACAAACAAAUUAUAUACAUAUAAAAUUAAUUUAAUACGGAUUAGCACUCGUUAGAUUUCAAUCACAAUCAAAUCAAAAUAUGCCUUAGAUUGUUAGAACAAUUACCGCACAAAAAAUCUGAUUGUGAUUUAACUAAAUUUUGUGAUGAAAAUAAAUAAAUCAACUUACAGAUGGUCGCUAAAUCCAAAUAAAUACUUAAUUGAUCCGGAAGCGUGCAAGGCACUGCCCUAAGGUAUAUUCCCGUUAGGGCUGGCAAAUGAGCGAGCCGGCUCGCGUUCGACUCGCGUUCGACUCGAUAUUUGGCUCGCUCGAGCUCGACUCGAAAUUAAAUGAGCCGAGCUUGAACAAAAAAAAAAGGCUCGAAAUUCAUUUCAAGCCGAGCUUGAGCAUUACUCGGCUCGUUCGAAUUAGGCUCGAAAAGCUCGAAACAGCUCGAAUAUAUAUAUAUAUAUAUAUAUAUAUAUAUAUAUAUAUAUAUAUAUAUAAUAUAUAUAUAUAUUAAUAUAUAUAUAUAUUAUAUAUAUUAGAGGCUAUUGUGCUAUUAGGAGCUAGCACGCCUUGUGCUCCUAACUUUCUAACCACUCAUCAAGUUUGAUGGGUGUUAAAUGAAAGAGGGAUGAGAUAUUGGAGAGAAAUUGAAUGUCUCAAUUAUCUUUUCUUAAAAUUCUCUUCAAUAUUUCUCCCUCCUCUUAUUCUAACCACCCAUCAAACUUGAUGGGUAGUUAAAAUUUAGGAGCACAAGAGCUGCUGUGCUCCUAAUAGCACAGUAGCCCUACUAUAUAUAUAUAUAUAUAUAGAGUUGGACUGGGCUACUAUUAGUAGCAAACUUCUAUUGUUCUACCAGUUUUUUAGCCAUUGGAUCAACUCUUUUCAUCAUUUCUAACAUUGGAUUAAAUACUAUAACCGAUGUGGGACCACUCAACCCUAGGGGGACCACUCAACUCUAACUGACUAAUAUCAUCCUAACUACAAUUUUUCUCCAAGGGUUAAAAACUUGAUAGUAAAAAGAGUGUUUUACUACUAAUAGUAUUCCAGCCUAAUUCUAAUAUAUAUAUAUAUAUAUAUAUAUAGUAGAACUACUAUCGAAAAUAUAGAAGAUCUGGUGCUUUCGAUUUUUUGAUUCUUAGAUCAAUCCCUUUAAUCAUUUCUUAUCUUUGGAUUAAUACUAUUAUUACCUUUUAGGGACCACUCAAUCCUAGGGGUAUAUUUAAUCCUAGGAAGAACCUCAAUCAACCAACCAUACAAUUCUUAACAAAAAGUCAAAAAUUAGAAAACAUCGAAUCCUCUAUAUUUUCAAUAGCAUAGUAGUUCUACACUAUAUAUAUAUAUAUAUAUAUAUAUAUAUAUAUAUAUAUAUAUAUAUAUAUAUAUAAUAUAAAAUAUAUGAAUAUAAUAUAUUUAAUUAUAUAUAGGCCGCGUGAAUAAUCUCAGUUUAGUUAAAAUUGGGCCAAUGUUGUUGUCGAUAAAAACAAAUCCAAUAGACAAAUAAAAAAAAAAAGUAAAAUUUUUAACUAAAUUUAUACAUUUUUCCUUCCUUUCUUUCUUUCACAUAUCUCUAAAUUUUCAAUAUGUUUUUCUCUUUUUCUUUUUCUGUCUCUCACCCUAAGUAGCCAAGCCGCAAGCCCUCCAAGUUAACAAGUAACAGUAUAUGCCCGCCAUUGCCUACCUUGCUAUUAAUUGUAUGCUUGAGAAAAUAUACAGAAUAUUUUUAAAAUAAAAAAUUAUUAGUCAUAUAAAAUUUUAAUUUUAGUUAUAUAUGAUUGGAUAGUUUAAUCUAAUAUUUAUUUAUAUAAUUUAUUUAUUUUUUACCGUAUAAAUGAAAAUGAAUAAUAUGGAAAUUGAAGGCGGAAGAGAAAACAUGUGAGAAUGAAAAAAUUAGAUAUUCAACUCAUAAAUUAUUUUUCUUCAUAUUAUAAUACUAUAUUUCAUAUAAUUAUUUUGUACUUUGAACUAUUAGACAUAUUUUUGUAUCAAAUUAUAGAUAAUGUUAUAUACAAAUUAAACUAUUGAUUGUAUGAUUUUGAGAAUUUCAAGCAGCUCGUUUAGGGCUCGAGCUCGCUUGGCUCGAAAUUAGGCUCACUCGAGCUCGGCUCGAAUUAAUUUCAAUCAAAGCUUGAGCUUAAAUUUAGGCUCGAAAUUAAUUUCAAUCCGAAUUUGAGCCGAGGUAAGCUCGCUCGAGCUCGGCUCGUUUCCACCCCUAAUUCCCGUCCUUACGUGCGGGAUUAAUCGGAAAUAACACCCUAAGGUACGAUCGGAAUUCCUCCUCCUGCGAGCACGAUCGUGAAGGAGGUUAACGAAGACUCUUUCAACACCCGAUGACUAAAAUGAUUAAGAAAUUGAAUACAAUAGAAAAUAAAAAUACUUCUCUCUUUUUUCUUCUCUCUCUCCAAUGUUCAUAUCAUAUGAACAGUGCAAGAGGCAUUAUAAAGGGACAUGUGAAGGAAACGUUAGAGGCCUAACGUUCCACUCCUUUGUUCCGUACGUUCCAACUUAUUAAUUGGAAUAGUAAAUAAUAAUAAUAAAAGCUAAUAAAUGAGAAUAAAAGAGUUAAUAAAUAAAAUAAUAAUAAUUAGGAAAUUUUGGAUUUUUUCUCCAACAGUCAGUCGGUAUAUUAUAGCAUUUUGGUCAAUGGAAAGGCCUAAUAAGAGAUUAAGAAGGUUAAGUAUGCUAGUAUUAGAAAUUAGCGGAAAAACAAAACGCAGCGAAAAGAUUUUUUGCAUUUUAAAACAUUUUCAGAAGCCAAAAAUAUAUUACAUAUAAAAACUAAAAAUUAAGAAAUUAAUCCACUGUCGGCGGAUCAUUCUCAUUUUACUAUGUAAAAAUUUAAUCUAAGAAAAACUCUUUAUGCUUAGAGCUCUUAUCAUGUACUAGUUAAGGUCUCUUAAUUUACGGAAUGGUUGGUAUUGUAUGCUUCAAUUAUUACUCCGAGAUUCUGGUAUAGUCACGUGCGUGUCCGUUCUCUACGUGUAUCCAUACGGAAUCGGCGCAUACCCGUGUCACGCCCCGGGGUCCCUUUUAGUUUAAAACAUAGCGGAAAAGCGUCUGAAAUUUUUUUUUUUUUUUUUGAAAAGUCUGACCCCAGAGUAUGACAGAUCCUCCACAAACACAGGGAAUCCACUGUUCACACGGACAGAAUCUCCCCUGUAUUUGCACGGCGUCACACAAGUAUAAGAAGUAACCCAGGUACAACCACAACCAAAUGAAUAUACAAAUAACCAACAAUUAUAUAUUCAUACACCACUCACAUCACAGGUUCACAUUUAUAUAUUCGAUAUUUAAAUAUAAAUCCACAUCUAUCAGUUAAAAUAUUUCCAACCACAGAAAUAGGUUUUGAAAUACUAAGAUGCAAAAUUCACAGAAAACCUUUUGAAAACUGUUUCCUACACGGAAACCUUUAUUCUUUAAAAACGCUACCACGAGGGGUAGAAAACCUUUUAUUUUACAAAAUCCAGAAAUCCGUUUAUUACAUUCACAAAAAUCCAUAUUUUCAAAUGUAAUAAAAGUACUGAACCAUAUAACUAUCUAAGCUAUAACAACUGAAAUAAUAAGGGUAAUAACUAUACCGAAAUAACCUGGGUCGGAAGCUCUAUCGACCGCUACACACGUACCUCACGUCUCGUCCCACUACUCAUCGCCCGCGAUACCUGAAAAAUGGUGGGGGAGGUGAGAACAUGUAAACAUGUCUUCCCUCCCAGUGGGUACCGCAAGCCGAAGAGGGCGUGGAGUACUCACCGGAUCAGGAGGAGCUAUAUAACAACACGGGUCAGUGAAAAUAUAGUAGCAACAAUAAUAACGAAAGAGAUAUGUAAGGUAAUGAGCAGAUAUAACGAAUACAGUAGCAAUAAACUGAAAGAAAGUAAGAACUAGACUGAAUAACGGCUACCGCUACUGUAACUGGAACCGAAAGCAUACAUGAAUGUCUACUAUAGUAGCAAGACAACUAUAACGUAUGAACUGCAAAUAUGCAUGGAACGACUGCUACGAUAGACAUAUGCGUCAACCGGUUAAGAAGUCCAAAAGUAGCCAAUCUGAAACCAAUGCUCUCUUGGUCAGCACCGCAAACCUCAAGCCAAUGCCACUACUAUUCUCCAGUGCAUAUAACCCCUCUAGGGAUCACGGGUUGUCACCAUUCAACCACUUUUUCGGAAAAGAACACUCCUUGCGGUAGAUCAGACCGCCAGUGUUCGUGAAAUGUGACGGGUAUCGGGCGAUCAAUGCAAUAUGCUCAAUGAUCAACCGUCGGCAACCAGCCGACAAUCCUGCCCCCCAGGGCCCAUCGACCGCAUAGGUCGUCAACUGUAAAGAAGCACAAGAACCGACCACUUAGGUCAACUAGGAUGGGACAACAUCGACAUCCUCUCAAACAUAUGCAAAUACUGCUCAAUGAACCACAAGGACUGACCACUCAGAUCAACUAGGAUAUGAAACUCGACCAAUCACGUCACAAGUACAGGAUAUGAAACUCGACCAAUCAUGUCACAAGUAUAGGAUAUGAAACUCGACCAAUCACGUCACAAGUAUAGGAUAUGAAACUCGACCAAUCAUGUCACAAGUAUAGGAUAUGAAACUCGACCAAUCAUGUCACAAGUAUAGGAUAUGAGACUCGACCAAUCAUGUCACAAGUAUAGGAUAUGAGACUCGACCAAUCAUGUCACAAGUAUAGGAUAUGAGUAAAGUAUAAUCAUUCGUCGGCAACUAACCGACAAUCCCACACCUCAGGGUAUACCGAUCUCAACGGUCAUCAGACAACAAAGGUCGAGGAACUCACCGAAUAGGUCACAAAUACUGAAUAUUAGAAUCGACCGACUAGAUCGCUAAUCUCACAGAUAAUCACGGAAUCGCUCUACUAUAAAUAUGAAACAGGAUAUGCAGAAUAGCUAAGUAGAGCAACAAGGAAACAUGGUAUCACAUACAGAUAGACUAUACUCCUACACAUGAUACUAAGCAUGGAAACAUCUGAGUAGAGUAUAAUCAAACAACGUGGGUGUAAUGUAAACAAUAGAGGUGCAAAGCUCAACAUAUAAUAUAAGCAUGGAUAAUAACAAAAGAGCAAGGGUAAGAAACCAUCACCGAGCGUGCACCACUGUACCAACGUCGGAUCGAAGUACCCACCUGUACAACUGUCACGCCUGUCUCCUGACUGCAAAAGAACGUCAACGGGACCUAAGGAGGGUCCACUGGGUUAGUGUCUAACCCACAACUAAGAAACCCUAAGAGUAUAACCCCAUAAAUAAACCCACAAGAAUCGGUUUCCCAAACCGAUCGUCGUAAUACGCCGGAAAUCCCGUAAUCGCACCGAGACUCUGCAGGGACCCACGGACUAUCCCGGAAGGCACCGACUCGUACCACGAGUCACCCGCUGCCCCUAAAUACAAAUUUACGUGUGACUUGGCAGCAUAGACCUUACCUUACUCCAAAACGAUUAUCGUCGGAUAAUCGUUCCGAUCCGGGUUCCCGGAAGUGUCUAUUUCGACACCGGAACCCACCGUCGCUCACCCGUAAUUUCUGAACUCUCGAAACGACGCGAGUGACCAGCCAACAAGGCUCAGCGACGUUACAGUCAAUCACGAGGCACCGUCGGAUGAAUUCCGAAUCGAAAACGCGUUCUAUCGGCGGAUUUUGCCGAAAAAUGCUCCGAAAAUCACUUUUCGAUUUCCGCAAGGGCUUGGGGCCUUGGAUGAUCAGUCCAGAGGUUAUCCUCAGCCCAAACAUGCUGCCAACAGCAUCCGCGAUGAACAAAGUUGCAUAAAAGCCCUUCCGAAUACCCGAAAUCGCAUUAUUUCAUGCGAUUUCGGCGCUUUUAUGGUCCGUCCACGCAAACCAGAGGUCAAUCAGCCGAGCCAAGAUGCCCACUGGCAGGUUUCGACGUACCGGAGGCCGUGCUCACCUUUCGGAGCAAUUUCGGCCACUGAGGCGAGCGCGGGAGCGAGAUGAACUUCAGCGGACUGCGCGCACAGCAUAAAGAACAUGCUUACCUCGCAAAUCAGAGGCUCUCAGACUCCAAUGAAGGUGGCCACAAUGAUCAGCACUGAACCAGGAUCAUCGUGCUCACCUUCAGAAGACUUGGGGUGGCCUCCGUUCACCGGAACAGUGACCGGAACCCUAAGACAAGGUGCAGAAAGCUAUUAAGUAACUCACCGGAGCAAGGUAAGGCACGGGACGGCCGGCGGCGGCCGGACGGUGGGCUAGCCAGCCACGGGAAGGUGCGGCCAGUGCGGGGAGGCUAGGGCGCGCGUCGGCCGACAACGGGAGGCGGCGGAGGCGGCGAACGAUGAUGCCCUAGCCGCACAACCUAUGGAGAGCUCGGGCUCAUCCCGGUUGACAGGGUGCUCCGACGGCGGGGUAGCCGGUGGCGCACGGGUGCGGCCGUCCAGGCGGAGCCGAUGCUCACGCCGGCCGGCGGCGGAAGGCGGCGGCGGCGGUGCUGGGUGUGGCUCGGCCUGCACAGACCCUGCGCGGCCACAGGGAGUGGGAGCGGCGGCCGGCGGCCACGGGGACGGCGGCGAUGGCACGCAGAGGGUCUCAGGAGACCUAGGAGGUCGACGCGCCCGAUUGAGGGCGGUGGUAGUGCGCGACCAUCAAACUGGGCCGAGCUUGGUCCCAACCGGGUCUGGGCUGACCAAGCGGGGCAGGUUUGGUUCCGGCGGCGCUUGCGGGCGGCGGGGAUGAUGCCGGUGGUCGACCUCAGCCAGAGGGAACAGGACUAGAUGAUUGUGGUGGUUCUCCAAGGGUGUGGCAGAGUUGGUCGAGGCAAAUUGGAGGGAGAAGGCAAUAGAGGCCCUCUCCGGCGGACGGAGGAGGUCGACGGCGGCCAGGGUAGGAAUAGCAGGGUGCCGAAGGGGUGAUGGACUCUACUGGGGCGCAGCAAGGGCUAGAGCAACCAUUAGGGUUAGGGUUUCCAUGGAGAAACCCUAAGUUAGUUUUAUAUAGCAUGGCAAAAAUGCAUUUUAAUCCUCCGAAACCUUCUAAUAUCGGUCCAGUCCCUCAUCACGCGUGUAAUAUGCACGUACACCCCUCCACGACCGAUCUCUCGCAAUUUGGUACAUAAAAUAUUAAGACUUUUGCAAAAUUAUCGGUUUUGCCAAUUCGACUCCUCAGCGAACAUUUUGCGUUUUCCGAAAAUCCGUCCGUCGGAUUUUCGAUCCGACAGCGCCAUCGCGUUCAGCACGACGGGGGCAUCGAAACUACGAUUUCGUUUCAUCUGAUUUGCUUGCCGAUUUGCGACAAAAUCUGACCUUUCUCCAACUAAUCCAUAUAUCACACAUAGGCUUUGGUGGAAAACCGAAAUCCUUUAAUUCAAACUCGUAUUUGAAUUCCCUACCACCCGUAGGUACUUGAAACAUCUCUCACCCAUCUCCAGAUCACUUGUACAAAGCACGAGGAGUUUUAAAAUGCACGAAUAGCAAAGAGCGAAAACCCUCCUUUUGUUAAAACUCCUUUUUCUCGAAAAUCGUGCAUCGGAUCUGAAAUCCGUCAGUGCCACUGGUUCCAGAAUAGCUGACCCGAUUGAAACGAGCUAUUGGAUCGCUAUGAACGGAGUUCGAUACGCGGCGAAAGCCAACUCUACUCCGUGGCUUCACUGAAAAACCGGGUUACUAUUCACUUUAAGUGAAAACUAAUAAUCGCGUAACUUCUCCAUUCUAGUUCAUAUUCUCCUGAAACUUGACGAGUGCUUAUGUAACUAAAUUACACACAUAAACAUCAUCAACAGAGAGUUUAUUUGCACUGUAAAAAUCUCAGUCCUUACAACCCGAUCGAUUUUUGUCUCACGAAUCGAAUGAGUCGCAUACCAUACGGAUGGUGUCAAUACUCUCUUCAUGAUUCACCAAUCAAUGAAGAGUAAAGAAGUUGAUCGGAGAGUAAUACGAGUUCAGGAGAAAACUUCGGAGAAAGUUUGAUGUAUAUGGAGUAGUUAUCUCCCAAAAGAGGUUAAGUAACAAGCAUAGCUCCUGGAUUGUCAGAUGGGUGAAUAUAAUAUGGAGAAUAAACAUCGAUUUCGGAUGUAAAAUUAUUAGCAACUUCUUUCGCCAUAGCAUCUUCUUUUGCCAUAAAAAAAAAAUUACUAGGUACAGAACUUCCAAUUCUCUGAUACCAUGCAUGUGAAAAAUGAUUAAGUGGAAAAGAGUAAAAAAUUCAAAUUGGAAUGAUAGACAUUCGUCUCACUUUACUAAAAUUUGAUAGUAUGUAUAAGAUUUACAUCAUGAAUUAAUCGAGAAAGGAAAAAAUAAUACAAAAUAUUAUUGCCUUAUAUGAGCAGUCAUUAAAUCCAUUAUUGCCUUCUAUUUGCCAUCAUUAAAUCUAUUUAAAAAAACCAGCUGAAACCGACGGUUCCUAAAACAAGUGGCAAAGGACUUGGUGGUUGGUAUCCGAGAUCCCAAGUUCGAAUCCUAAUUGGUUCACACAUGCAUUUCGAGCUAAGUUUAUUUCUAAAUGAAAUAAACGUUUUAGAAAUAAACGAAGCGGGUAGCGUGCUAUCUAUCUCUCUCUCAAAUAAAAAAAAAAAAAAAAAACCAGCUGAAUUGGCAAGACAAUUUUGGUCCAAAAUUGUUAGACAAAUCUCCAUCAUUCUCUCCAUCAAAUAUAGAAACUUUAUUUUCUAAUAAUACGAAAUUAAGUGCCGUAUGAUUUGUUUUUUAAUUAAUUUUUAUUUCACAUCCAUAGGUAUACAUAUGUAGAGUCCGGCUGGGAUACUAUCGAUAGUACCAAGGGAUUGGUGCUAUCGAGUUUUCCACUGUUAGAUUUAAUCCUUUGAUUAUUUUUAUUCGUUAGAUCAUGCUAUUUAACCAACUACUCACUCAACCCUAGGGGACCCACAUCAUCCUAACCACACAUUCCUCAAUCUAAUGGCUAGGAAACUAAUAGCACCAAUAGCUUGGUGCUAUUGAUAGUAUUACAGCCUAGUUCUACAUAUGUAUACCUACAUAAAUAUAAAUCUAUUUAGUAAAAUCUUAUCUACUAAAAUUUGCUCUCUUCAAUAAAAUUUUAUAAUUAAAUAUUUAUACUGUCACGCCCCGGAUUACCACGUAUCCCCAGGCACACCAACAGACCUGUCGUAUACAUAGAAAUCUUCAUAUAUACGAAGCGAUAGCUGUACCUAUAAACAAAUUAUAGCUACAACCAAGUGUAUCGAGCUGCUAAACUGAAACAUGAAUAUAUAUAUAUAUAUAUUAUAUAUAUAUAUAUAUAUAUAUAUAUAUAUAUAUAUAUAUAUAUAUAUAUAUAUACAUAAAGGGGGUUACUAUACAUACAAAAGUCCACGACCCAUCUCGCUCCAACGAGUACAAUGAUAACAUAACAAUAUGUACAUAGAAAGCCUCGAAACUACCUCUGUAUGCUACUCCUCUAGCACGGCGACCAGACUGGUAGAGAUCUAGCUCGCGACUCCCUUCCCACUGUCAGAAUCAGUAACAGCAGCAGCCGCAAACAAAAACUCUGCAAAAAGGGGUCAACAACUGGAUGUGAGAAUUACUGCAAAACAGAGUAGUCCUUAGUGGGUACCGCCACCGACCUCAACAGUGUAGUGUUUCUGAGCUUUGGAUAGGAUUGGCUUUGAUAUUAGUGACUGGUCGACACAUCUGGAGAGUGUCGGACUGAGUCGUAGUCGUUUCUGUACGAAUUGGAUGCAGAAAUUGACUCGGCGCACUCAAUUAAGUAAAACUGGAGUUUUGCCAGAUUCGGGCGCCCAGAACACGGUUUAGGUCGCCCAGAAUUGAGUGCUGAAUUUAACUGAAACUGGAAGCCAAUUCGGAUCCUAUAUUUCGGGCGCCCAAAAGUGGGUCCGAAAAUUUUACAUCGUUAAUAUCGUUUGUGUUGACACGUAGCUGGUGGUAGAUGAGAUCCGCCGGAGACGUUUACGGGUGCAACACACCACGAGCGAAGAGUCCGAGGAGGAAGAUUUGUGCAGCCUAGAGGUUUCGGGUGCCCAGGAUUGGGUUUCGGGCAUCCAGAAAUGCCCGUUUCUGCAGGGACACUAGGUUAGCAGCUUUGGAACCUGGGGCUUAUUUUAUCCUUCCAGCACUCUAUAAAUAGGGGGAGCUUGACCUCAGUGAAGCCUUUUCGUCCAAUUUUCACACUGAACCCUUAAAUUGCAUUUCCAACCCUCAAAUCUACUCAAAUUGCUUCAAGAUCCACAACUCCAAGCUUGAUAGGUGCUGAUUCUGCAGUUCUUCAGCGAUGAUCUCCAGUGUUUUGGCUCGUACGCGAUGUAAGAAAGUCGGAUCGCGGUGAAACUUGGUUUGCUGGAUUCUAGACUUCCAGAGGAAUCCAGAAGCCCUGAAUUGCAGAUUUUGGUUGAGGUUAUCUUGGUCGAUUCCAUGUUUUUCUGGACUGCUGUUACUUUGAAGCUGAAUUUGAGUUUUAGUGGUUUUUCAAUGCAAUUCUUGGAUGGAACAGGGGUUUUGGACCUGAGAUUUGUACUCCAUCCUUAUUCACUGGAUUUGGAACUUGUCUCACCUGAAUUGGAGAUUAUUAGGUGAGUUUUGACAUUAGAGUUGAGAUAAUUAAGCUUAAGUGCUGAAAUUUUGGUGAAUUGAUGGAUUUUGGUAUUUUUGGUGCUUGAACCUCGAUGUAGCUUUGUUGCUGGACUUGAGGGUGUUUCGGUUGAUCCAUCAGGUUUUUCGCAGCUAAGAGAGAGUUCUUUUCUGCCAGGGAUUAGCUCUUGAGGUGGGUUUACAUCGGUUUUACUCCUAAGCCCGUAUUAGUCGACAUGUGUGAUUUCAGCUUUUGGUAGAUCAUGUGUUAGCUCAAUUUCUUUGAUUAGAUCAUGUAUGAAAUCAAAAUUGAGAGCAUGAUUAAUAAUUCGAUAAAUAUGCAUGUUGGACUUGGAAUUAGACUUAGGAGAAAACCCGCGUUUUGACCCGUCAUAUGAUUCUACUACCUGAUUUAGCUCUAGGAGCCGUGGUUUGAUUAUAUCACCGCUGUUUCAGCGCGGUGGAUACCUGGGAUAGUUUAGAAUACAUUUACGCUCGUGCUGGGAUGCCGAGCUGAUUUUUACAGCAGAGUCUAGGCUGUUUCGGAUUGUCGGGUGCCGUCGGGGUGGACGGUGGACCCAGAUUCCUGUUUUUGGUCUCAGAUUGUGCCGAGGGCAUGUGGGUUCGGUUUCUAGACCUGUUUUGACCCUAACUACUUGUCUUUGGCUUGUUAGAGUCUGAUUAAGCUCGACAGAGAUACGUUUGCAUACUCGGUUGGGUAGCGCCCACGAGUGCCACUCCGGACUUUGGCUUAGUGCUUUUGCGUUGGUGUCGUUCGUGCAGGUUGGAUUUGCUCUCCACGGACUUGUUAGUGUGGAGGUAGCUGGUUAGUUGCAACCUUGCGGGAUGGGUGUGUUCACAGUCCCAAGGAUGGGUAUGAUUACAGUCCCUAUUCGAGAUUGGGUCUGAGUUGACACUGCUCUACAGUUCGUUAGAUUAGAGCAUGAUAGUAUAGAGGCAGAUAGCUGUAGAUAUGUUCCAGCUUUCCUUACUAUUUCUUGCUUACCCCUGUAGACUUAGUAGGUGGACCGAUGAGUUGAGGGCGGUACCCACUGAGGACUACUUCUUUUUGUAGUAGUUCUCAUGCCCAGUUUGUUCCCAUCUGUUUUGCAGAGCCAUCGUCUUCGGCUGCUGCUGUCGCUGAUCUUAAUCGUGGCAAGGGCGUCGCGAGUUAGAGCCCUUCCAUUCGAGGUGCUGAGCUAGUGGAGGACCGCUGCAGGUAGUGUAGUUUUGGUUUAUACAUACAGAUGUUGUACUCUCGCAAGUGCGAGUGCUUUUGUAUCUUGGAUCUUAUGUAUGUAUAGAACCACAGUUUAUAUUUGCAUGUUUUAUUCUUUUCUCCUAGCUGCUUUAUACUUUUGUCUGUAGUAUUGUAUGAUUACAGGUACUUUUACUUUUCGCUUCGUAUACAGAGAAAAUACAUAUGUAUACGGCUGGUUUAUUAGCGAGCCCGGGGAAACGAGUAAUUCGGGGCGUGACAAACGGUCUACCCACUAAGUCUACAAAAAUAUGUGCAAAGGAUAGUAAAGAAAGCUGGAAAGAACUCUACAGCUACAUGCCACUAAACUAUCGCUAACCAACACAAUUUAAUUGUAGAUAAAAAUAUGCAUCAUACUAACCCAAUCUCACUAGGGCUGCCCAAACGAACUCAUCCUGCCUGUAACCAAACUAUACCAUACACCACCCACGGGGAUGGUCGGUCUAAGUAAACAGUCCAAAACAGGACGGCUGCGACAUCAACGCAAGUAAAAUCCUCACUCUGGAGCGGCACUCGUGGACGCAACCCAACAGAGUGUGCAAACGUAUCUCUGCCGAGCUCAAUCAGGCUCUCACAGGCUGUAGUCAAUGCAAAUGGGUCUAACUGGUCUAAGAACCAAAGCUUACGUGCUCUUGACACAAUCUGAUGCAAAAUAUAGAAAUCUGGAUCCACCGUCAACCACGACGGCAACCAACAGUAUGGAACAGUCUAUACUCUACUGUAAAACGAGCACGACCUUCGAACACGAGCGUAGACUCAUUCUACACUAAUCUGAGUAUCCAGUACGCACUAACAGCGAGGAUACAAAAGAAUUACAGCUCCUAAAGCUAAAUCUGGUAAUUUUUCAAAAAAUAACAAUGUAGGUUUAACGUGUUUUCUUCUAAGUCAAUUUUCAGUUCAACAUAUAAAAAGAUUCUAAAAUUAAGGCUCCAAAUUCAGAUUUCAUGAAAGCUAUGCAAAUCAAUGAAUUGAGCUACUAAAUAUGAUACUAUACAUAAAACCAUACGUGCUGACAAAACUCCAACUUAGGAGGAAAUCCGACGAUUUAGGUAAACAUCAACCCACCUCGAGCGCUCGUCCAACGUCGGCAAGGAAUUGACAGAAGGAAUCCCACGCGUUCGCUUGACCUCCCACGGCUCAACCGAGACACCCACGUGCACGAACGGUCCUCCGGAGAAGCGAUAAAUAAGAAUGAGCUCGAUCCGCGACUCCCCAACGAAGGGCGUUCACCAACUAGAGAGAGAAAGGGAAAAGAAGAAGCUACUAGGUCACAAAGCUUCUACCAUAAUAUAUAUAGGCUAGGGUCGGUUGGGUUGAACGUGUAACACACUGGACCUGUGCAAAUUGCGAUGUUCGAGUGCUUGACUUGGAUUCCGAGAUUUUCCACACUUGGUGGAAGGUCGUAGACUGUAUUCCGACUCAAAAGAUCGAAUUUCUGGAUUUUGGCUAAGUCCUGAGAAUUUUCACUCUCGAGGACCGGUCCAUGGUGGGAGAGACCGAUCCCCCCGGAAUAGUGUUGCGAUAGACUUGAGGCAACCGAUCCCUAGCAGUGAGAGACCGGUUCCCGAGAGCAUGUUCAGCGGGAGGGUCCUGAGGGACCGGUCCCAGCUAGGAGAGACCGAUCCCUCUGGGCGAAAAUUGCCCAGUUCAGGCUGAUGCACAGAUUGGUUUUUUGAGGGACCUAAGUGGAUUUUGUUACAUGAGAAGGCUUUUAGGCCAUUUCCUCUCUCUCUUUCCCUUACUUCUCACUCUCUCACGCUCUCUAGAAAGAGAAGAAGAAGGAGAAAUGAGAGGAGAAGGAGAAGGAGAAGAAGGAGAGCUUGCUUUGUUUACUUGGGACUUCUUCCUUAACCUCUCCUCUCACCAUUGGAGGCUUGGAGCUUGGACUUGGAGCUUUGUGGAGAACCAAUCUUCAACCCUUGAGGAUUUUUAGCUUGGUUUGGAGCAUCCUAGAGGUAAGUGACUAGCUUCCUUCCUCUAGAUCCUAGUUUUGUAGCUUUAAACUAGAUGAAACUCUAGAUUUGGAUUUUGGGGUUUAUUUUGGGGAUUUUUGAUUGGAGGGCUUUGGGACCCAAUUGAUUGGUUUAGAACCUUUUUUUAGGUUGGAUUGGAAGGGUUUUUGCUCUUUUUUGAAGCUUGAGAAGAGAUUUCUACGGGAGGUGAGUUUUUCUCCACCUUAGCUUGAGAUGGUUAAGAUUGAACUUUUCGAUGUUCGUUUUAUUUGUGUAACUCUUGUUCCUACAUCUUUAGGGUGCUAGGAGACUAGUGGACACCUCCGUUCGGCUAAACGAAGAGUUUCAUUUUUCGGUGGGUUUGACUCAUGAAAAUGGGGCAAAAUGGCCCCUAUGCUCUCUAUACUUAUCGUAAAGUCUUUUUGAAUGUAAAUCUAUGUUAGAUAGGAUUUAUGUAAAUUUUAGAAUACUUAAAAUGCAUGUGCUAUGUGUAAGAUAAAUUUCACUCUAUAUAGUAGCACAUUCUGGGUAAUCUUCAUGCAUGUGAGAAGUGUUCGAGAUAGCAAUAAGAAUCAUGUCUCUUAUGUUAAGUUAACUCAUAAUUGUGUAAUUGUAAACAAUACACUAUGAUUGGACUUGGUGAACAAAGUGUCAUAAAGGGGCACUUGAUUUGGUAGACUAUGAAGCUAUUAUAUUGAAAUAUCGCCAUGAUGACAUAGAGAUAGGCCUUGAGACAUUCGAUACCUUUCAUGUUGUUAGACAUGAGGACUUGGUACUUGAGACGGAUCUUACGCUACUUGCCAUUGUGCUCAUUCGCACAUGCUUGUGAGGGUCGCCUCCUACAAGCCGGCACUCCGAAGAUGGCCGUCGCGAUACAUAUUCGCCAUGCGGGAUUGGGCGCCGAAGUGGAUUGCCGUGGGAAAGGCUCAUUCAUAGAGUGGGGAUGUUGACUACCACGGGGCCAUUAGGCUCGGCAUCGGCCAGACAGCCUACGGGUGGGUCUUCAGGAUAGACAGCCUUCGGGCGGGUCUCAUGAGAUUUAACUUUAAGUAGUUAACAUACUAUGUGGACAUUGACUAGAAUAGUAAAUAGUGACAUCUUUACUAUUUAGCUUGUGGACAUCAUACUAAUGAUACUUUGGUACAUUCAUGCCAGUGUAGCCUUUUAUUACUUUAGCAAAAUCAUGCUAAGUAGAGAUAUCUUGUGGUAGCAAGUAUUCUUAUGUAUUUACUCGUUGUACUUAUCGCUCUUACUUAUACUUGUUUACUGACCCCUUUUUGUAGCUUUUGGGCGUAGUGGCGCAUUUCACUGAAGUUAGUAAUUGCCCACUGGGAACUAUUAUUUAAUAGUUCUCACGCCCUCUGUUUUAAGGUUUUAUUUCAGAGCCUUUGGCACCGGCGGAGGCACGGGAUCGCGGCAAGGGUGUUGCCUAGCUUUAUAGAUAGCGGAGCUCGCUUUUGCUCCUAGGUGGUUACCCUUUUUUUUGUGUUUUUGUGUGAGAGAGAUUUUGUACCAUGUAUAGAGACCACCUAUGUAUCUUGUUUAGCUCUUGUAUUUGGGACUCCUAUUGUAUUACUUUAUGGUUUCAUUUAGUGGAUUUGGCUUAUGUUCUUUUCCCUUAUUGUAGCCUCUAGAUAUACUUUGCUCUGAUACUCUUAGAUGUUCUUCUUCUAUUGCCUUAUUUAUAGCUUUGUAUUAGACGCCUUGUAUGUUUCAGACAUAUGGCGGGUUUGGGCACGUGCCGAGCAGGCUUCCGCUGGGUCUCGGGGCGUGACAGAACGACACUUCAAAAGGACAAAAAUAUCACUUACCAACUCACUUUUCCAGCUGGAGUACCGGUACCUAACUUGAAUACCGGUACUUGGCCUCUCAACCUGCAGUCUCGCACGCUGGGUACCGCUACCAGCCCGAUGCAGUACCGGUACCCGAGCUCGAUACCGGUACUCAACAAUAGGUAUUGGUACUCAGUAUCAGUUAUACGCAAACCAGAGAGCAACCUAGUUCUGAAAUCAUGCGGGGGUACCGGUACUCUUCUCUGGUAUUGGUAUUCAAAACUGAAAUCCUAUAUGUUGCAGAUUUCAGUGUCAGAACUCCGCUCUCAUACUGCGCUGAGUCCGUUUUUGCGUCUAUUUCGCGCCAAAAUGACUCUGAUUUGUCCCGACACUCACCAGACGUGACGACAAGCCACAGAUACUGAAAUCACACAGACCGCUAAACACCAGGGACACUACAUAUACUUAUCCAACUAAAUCAAAUUAAGUUAAAAUCUUAUCUCAUAAAAUAUUAUAAAUAUUUAAUUAUUCUCUAAUCCAAUUAAAAAUAACUAAUAAUCUCUCCAUAUUUACUUAAAUCUUAUCUAAUUUUAAUCUUAUCCAAUAAGAUUACUAAAAUAUUUAAAUCUCAUUUAAAUAUCCUUUAUUUAAAUAUUAUUCACUAAUCUAAUAAGGGAUAAAUUUAAAUCUCGCGCAUACCUUUUAAACUGAUUAUGAGAUUCUAAUCCAAUUAGGACUAUCAAUAAUAACUAACUUGAAUAACUAAAUUUAAAUUAAUUAAUCAGCAUCUAAUUUUUAUCGCUUACACUAAACUUUUUAGUGAACUACUCUCAUCUAUACAAUUUAGAUGCACAUAAUUUCUAAUGUGUGUGACUGCAUAGAUUCAUUACCAUUCGACAGUGGUGCUUAACAUCAAACUAUUUAAUAUUGAAUUAAAAUUCUUCAAAUUGAUAAAUAAGAAUAAUUCAAUCCGAAUCAUUCAUGUUCUCUCAUUGUUCAUGAGUGAUACUAGUAAUAUAUCACGGCAAUCCAGAAUGGUGAUGAAAAAUAAACUCUUCAGUUACAAUUGCUGUUUAAUUAAUUCCUUCCAACAUACAAUGUCCCAAUCGAAUUAAGGUCAUCGUUACUCGCCAAACUUUAUUAUUUGACCGUAUGACUAUAAUAGUUAAAUCAACUCAAUAUGAUAACACGGUUGGAAACUCACCACAAAUCAUGUACCCUAGCUAGGGGUUUUUCUAGUCGAGUUUGAUAGACUGCAUAGGAUAUUCUCCCUCAUCAUUGAGAGUGUUGGAUUCUUUGUUGCACAUUCACAUGCCUCCCCGUAUAAACAAUAAUACUACAGCCAAUCAGUAUUUGAACAUAAAUCCGUAAGUAGAGCCAAAGUAUAAGUACUGUCAAAUGGUAGCAACCUAUACAUGAAGCAACUAUGAUGCCUCAGGUCCGAGGAGUAUUUCACACAACUAUAGUAAAGAACUAGUCACAGGAGAGUAUAGAUGUGACUGUUCAACUAAAUGGCCGUGCUUGAAUGCUUGCCCUAGUGUCUCUACACUAAUGACUUGAGAUUCGUCACUCUAAUUAAAAACACAGCAUCCACCAGCCUAUCCGGAAUACCACCGCCUCUGUAAUAUUCCUCUGGCUAGGUGCAUUUAAAGAGUCAUGUAUAAAAGGGUAUGUGUCUCAAAUUUCUAACUCUUACGAAUGUCUUCUUAGAUAAAGACCCUAUGGACGAUUCAUGUCAAUAUUGCACUGUUAGACAAUAGAUAUGAAUAGAAUGCCUGCUCUUUAUAUUAUGAAUUAUAAAUAAUUAAGCACAAAUACCCUUAAACUAGUGUCGUCAGAUUGGCUUUUGGGUAUACAACUAACAGGUAGAGCUAGAAUAGUUUUAUAAUGGGCGACCUCUUGGGAAGUGGGGCAUCACAGUGAUAUCAGAGUCAAUCGCCAACCAAAAGUAUGAGAUGAGUCUCCGCUGAGUUAGGGUAAUAUAGCGGAUAGAGUACGGCUCUCCAGUUGACGAUCGUUGUGGGUAGAGCACGACUAAAGUCAGCUAAUUUUAGCGAGAUGUCUCACGUCGACUAGUUCUUGUGAGUGUACUUGAGUCUUACGAGAACGUCAGGGCUUAAAGUGGCGAUAAAUAUAACAACUAAAGAAUUUGGAGUAGUCUCAUAUAUUAGAUAUAAUAGGGUUAAACCUCUUAACCCAACUAUAGUAUUUUGGGCGGUAAUGAGGCCUAAGAAGUAAAGAAGGUUAAGAGUACUAGAGCUAGAGUAAUUCUAGGAUAAGUUACCUGUCACGCCCCGAGUCCGGUCCUAUUUGGCCGGUUCGAGUACGUCGAACAGACGCUGAACGGACAGCACCUCCCCUAUCCGCCCAAGGCUCAACAACAAGUUCAGAGCAAGUAUAUAAGUUGCAUAGCGGAAACAUAAUUAUACUUGGCUUGGACGAGGGUAAGCAAUAACCAAAAGUGAAAGUACUAAACUAAACCAUAUACAAGUACAAUGAUUAACUUUUAACCACAUACAAGCAUUCAACCACAAGUUACAUUUACUUUUCAUCAUUUCUUUUACAUCAUAUAUUCCCCAAAAUAGGCUUUUACAUUUAACAUCUUUAAUACAUUUGCAUCACUCAUAUAACUCUAAUCAUCAAAAUAUAAAAGAUGAUAUAUAUAAAAAGUGAAUGUAACUACUCAAAAUAGAACCAGCUCGGGUGGUCUCUGUCUAUGGCGCGAUACCUUUACAGCGAUAGUCGGCCGGCUCACUCAGCUCCGGCUCUGUGGAAUAGUGGGGUGAGAACUACAACAAAGUUUGCAGUGGGUUCGGCCGCUGACCUCGCCGACUUUCCAACUAGGUCUAAAUCAGGCAUAAUAGAAAGAUAGAUAGAUAGUAACCAACUAACAAAUGCAGCUAAUAUGUCUGAACAAUAUAAUCAAUGAUUAUGCUCAAUAGAAUGUUCAUGAUGAAUGCAAGGAUUACUUUCUAAUUUUCGGUACUUUUGGCUAACCCGUAGGUUUCACCUCAACCAUCAAAUAUUCCAAUUCUCAGAACUAUUGGCUAACCCGUAGGUUUCGCCUCAGCCAACCAUUCACCAACCCAAAUCCUUGGUAUCGGGAAGAUACUCGCUACAACCCGACGGGACCGUCCUCUGGGGAGAUACUUGCUACAACCCAGUGAUGAUUACUCCGGAGCUCAUCGCUCGUGGGGGAGCUACCACCCACCAAGCCAAGACUUAUAGAUGAGUAUGAUCAAUCCUUAACUUUAAGGAUAUCAAGUUCAAUCCAAUCCUUCGCUAUGGAGAUGCUAUGCUCAUAUGACCCUUAACUUUAAGGUUGCUAUAUCAGAAUGUCAACUAUCUCUCUUUACUUGCACUCUUUAACUUACAUUAGUGUCAUUUAUACUACUUGUUUUUAUACUCAUUCAUAUGCAUUUAUUAAUGCCACACACACUAAGUGUUCAACUCUAGCAUUUAUUGUUUACUAAUGCCACAUAAUCCAUAUGUCAUAAUGUCAUUUUGUUCUUUAUCUCAUCUAGGUCUUUGUCACCAUUUAUGCAUACAUAGGGUUUCACAUGUUAUCAAUAGCUCAUAAUAUUUCAAAUGCAUCUUAUACUCAAAGCAUGCAAUUAUAUACAUUCUACUCACCCUGCAAUGCAUGAACAAAGUAUACAUAUAUAUGCUCAAAAAUGACACUUUAGACAUAAAAGAAAAUUCAAUGAUUUCGGAAGGCACCACCCACCUUGUAUGGUUGUAAAGGUGCUACGGUUCAAAUCUCGAAAAUUUUGGGCUCCUAUUCUCUCGCCUGCGGCAAAACGAAGCCGACUUAGGCUUUUUGCUAAUAACUUUGCGUAGACUCGUGGGAUCGGCAAACCGAGUCCAUAAACGAAUUAUAAAUACCCCCAAUUUGAUUUCUACUAGAUCAAUUUGCCUUAAAACCAACCUAGGGCAAAAGCCCUAAUUUUGGUGCUCUAACAAUGUCAUUUCCCCAAUACCUUGGUUUGAUCUCUAAAACAAGUAAAUGCAAGCUUGUUGAACCUCUAGGAACUCAUCUAGAACCAUUUCUAGGUCAUUCAAACCAUUCCUAGGGCAUAUAAACCGAACUCUAGAAAUCCACCAUGUGUGCACAUGAAGAAAACAUGGUUUUCAUGUGUUCCAUGGCCUCUACUAGGUUUUUACACUUGUAAGAAGAUAAAAACAAAAGAUUUAGGGUAUAAAACACAUUCCUAAGCUCAAUCUUAUAAGAAACCUUACCUUAACCCACUAGCUCUCCAAUGUCCACCUUGUAGGAGAGACCUAAACCUUCAAAAGCUCCAAAUCUCCUCCAAAAUCCUCUUUAAUCUCCUCAUUGCCUCCUUGGGGAAGAGCUUCUAGAGAGAAAGAGAGAGAGAAAUAAGAGAGGAGGGGUGUUCUCAGCUGGGAACAAGAGAAAAGAGGGGUUGGAGUCUUAUAUAGGUUGCUACAAUAGCAAAUAGACCCUCAUUCUUUUCAUAUUUGCAGAAGACUGCAGUUGCAGUUCGGGGCAUGCGUAUUGGUACUACCCGGAAGUGUCACCGGUUACACGAUUACACAGAGGCCAACUCGAGAGCUGCUUCUCUCGGUCAGCAGUCUAGUACCGAUACCAAUUAGAUUUGUCACCGGUUUAACAGCUUGACAGAGGCUAACCCGACAGCAAUUCUGCUCUCGGUUUCUGUAGUGUACCGGUGACGCCCCUGGGCUGUCACCGGUUUAACAAUGCUCCAGACUUGAUUAUUGCAUUGAUUCGAUUCCGUUUCGCGCUGAGCAAUGCUAAAAACGUUUUUAACUCUUUUGGAAUUCAACUUUAAUCCUUCCAACAUUGUUGGAAUGUUAAAUGGACCUUGUCCAACUAUUCCUUUCGCACACUUUAAUCAAUUUGUCUAAAGUUCGAUACACUAUACCGAGGUUUCGGUAUAUUACAUUCUCCACCCCUUAAGAUUAGUUUCGUCCGUGAAACUAACUUAAUCAAAAUCUAAUUCCAUACCUCAAUUCAACUCUUCAAAGAGAUGAGGAUGACGCUCUCUCAUCACGUCCUCAAGCUCCCAAGUGUCUUCUCGAUCGUCGUGGUUGCACUAAUGGACUUUAACAUACGAAAUUUCACGGUUCCGUAAUUUUCUCACCUCUUGAGCGACGAUAUAUGCCAGGAACUCCUCAUAAGUCAUAUUCUCUUGAAGCUCAAACGGUUUAUACGAGAGAAUAUGCUCAGGAUCGUGAACAUACUUGCAGAGAUUAGACACAUGGAACAUAUUGUGAACUCCCGCAAGCCUCGGUGGUAAUGCAAGCUUGUAAGCCACCGCACCGACCCAUUCCAAUAUCUCAUAUGGUCCAACAUACCGGGGACUUAACUUUCCACGGACUCCAAAUCAUUUUACUCCUCGCAUUGGCAAUACUUUCAAAAAUAUGCGGUCUCCAACCGCGAACUCUAUAUCCUUUCUCCGCUUGUCGACAUAUUUCUUUUGCCGAGAUUGCGCCGUCGCAAGUAGUUGGCGGGCAAGGCGAACUUUUUCCUUCGCCUCCCGCACCACAUCGGGGCCAAGAGCAACUCUCUCGCCCACAUCUCUCCAAUGGAUAGGAGAGCGAUACUUCUUUCCAUAAAGGGCCUCGAAUGGCGCCAUCGCGAUACUCUCUUGGUAACUAUUAUUGUACGCGAACUCCUCCAUCGAUAAACGAUCAUGCCAUCCGCCCUUAUAAUCAAGUACACACGACCGAAACAUAUUCUCAAGACUUUGUAUUGUUCUUUUCGAUUGACCAUCACUUUGAGGAUGAAAUGUCGUGCUAAAGUCGAGCCGUGUGUCCAAAGCGUCUUGCAAGCUCUUCCAAAAAUGAGAUGUGAACCUAGGGUCUCGAUCCGAUACAAUUGACACCGGAACCCCAUGAAGUCUCACAAUCUCGUCGAUAUACACUUGAGCUAACUUGUCUCCCGACCACGUGGUAUGGAUCGGCAAAAAGUGUGCCGAUUUUGUCAACUGGUCCAUAACCGCCCAAAUCGCAUCAUGCCCGGCUUGAGAUUUAGGCAAACCGGUGACAAAAUCUAUCGCGAUAUUUUUUCAUUUCCAAAUGGGUAUAGAUAAGCUUUGCAACUUUUCCGCCGAAAACUGGCGCUCCGCUUUUACUUGUUGGCACGUGAGACACUGCGCCACGAACUCCCCAAUAUCUUUCUUAAUGCCCGGCAACCAAUAGUACACUUUCAAAUCUUGAUACAUCUUGGUGCUGCCCGAGUGUAUGCUAUAGGGAGAUUGAUGCGCUUCUUGCAUGAUUACCCUCCGAAUGUCUUCAUCUUUCGGCACACACCAACGAUUUCUGAAUCGAAGUGCACGAUCGGUCCCAAUGCCAAAUUAUCGGCACAACGGCUCUCAACUUCACCCCACACCUUUUGGAGAUAAGGAUCGGAAGCUUGUAGAUCCCUAAUCUUCUCCAACAAGGUUGCACAACCAAAGCGGCAAGUGUUGUCGGCACUUCCGACGCUACUACUUCAAGAUCAAACCGUUGCAUCUCUUUUUGCAAUGAUGGUUGGGGUGUAAUUGGCGAAGCCAAGUUUCCACCGAUUUUCUACUUAGAGCAUCGACCACGACAUUUGCUUUUCCGGGGUGAUAUAGAAUAGUAACAUCGUAGUCCUUUAGCAACUCUAACCAUCGCCGCUGUCGCAUAUUAAAUACCUUUUGGGUGAACAAGUAUUUGAAACUCUUGUGAUCCGUAUAAAUCUCACAAUGCUCACCGUACAAGUAAUGUCUCCAUAACUUUAGCACGAAUAUCACCGCGGCUAGCUCAAGAUCGUGAAUCGGGUAGUUCUUUUCAUCACUCUUCAAUUGGCGCGAAGCAUAUACAAUGACUCGCCCAUUUUGCAUCAAAACACAUCCGAGGCCAAUAUAUGAGACAUCACUGUACACUACAAAGGUCUCCCCCGGCGUCGGCAAAGCAAGCACCGGGGUCGAUGUCAAUCUUUCCUUCAAUUCCUCAAAGUUCCGAUCGCAAUCGUCACUCCAAACAUACUUCACUCCUUUGUGCGUGAGACGCGUUAGUGGAGUGGUUAUUUUGGCGAACCCCUCUACAAACCGCCGGUAGUAGCCCGCUAGUCCAAGAAAACUGCGGACCUCCGCUUCAUUUGUCGGGCGAGGCCAAUCUUUAAUUGCCUCCACUUUCUUCGGAUCCAUCGAGAUGCCAUCACCCGAUAACACGUGGCCUAAGAAAGUGACCUCCGAAAGCCAAAAGUCACAUUCCUUUAGCUUAGCAUAAAGCUAAUUUUUCGGAGUAUUUCCAACAUGGUCCUUAAAUGUUCCUCGUGUUUUUCCUCGCUCCGUAAAUAAACCAACGCGUCGUCAAUGAACACCACGAUGCAUUGAUCCAACAACGGUUGAAAGACUCGAUUUACCAAGUCCAUAAAUACUGCCGGGGCAUUAGUAAGCCCAAACGGCAUUACCGUGAACUUAUAAUGGCCAUACCGCGUACGGUAUGCCGUUUUGUGCACAUCUUUCGGCCGGAUCUUUAACUGAUGAUACCUCGAUUGAAGAUCAAUCUUUGAAUAUACCUUCGACCCUUACAACUAAUCGAAUAGAUCAUCAAUCCUCGGCAAUGGAUACUUGUUCUUGAUCGUCACUUUGUUCAACUCGCGAUAAUCUACGCAGAGUCGCAGUGUGCCAUCCUUUUUCUUUACAAAUAGCGCCGGAGCUCCCCACGGUGACAUGCUUGGCCUCACAAAGCCUUUAUCGAGCAAGUCUUGCAAUUUGGCCUUUAACUCCACUAGCUCCACCAGUGCUAUUUUAUACGGAGCCUUCAAAAUUGGCGCUACCCCGGGAAUCAAAUCAAUGACGAGCUCGAUCUCCCGGUCCGGUGGCAAUCCCGGUAACUCCGCCGGAAACAUAUUCGAAAAUUCACAAGCUACUCGGAUAUUCCCAAGUUCCGGGUGCUCCUUUUGAGUAUCUACCAUUGUUGCCAAGUAGGCCAUAUAUCCACCUUUGAUCAUUUUCCUCGCCCUCGCCCUCGCCGCCGAUUCGGUCGCCGCGAAGCGCGAGUUUUUGCAUGCACGGUAUACCAUUUCCUCUUGAUUAGGCACACGAAAUGUGAUCACCUUGCUUUCACAAUCGAUAACUGCAUAAUACUUGGAGAGCCAAUUGAUCCCCAAGAUUACAUCGAAUCCCCAUAUUUGAUCCCCAAGAUUACAUCGAAUCCCCAUAUUUGGUUUAGCACCAACAAAUCUAUUGGCAUAAUCCAAUCGCCUAUCUGAACUGGACAAGCCAAGCACUGCUCAUGCACCCUAAAUGAAUGCUCAGGUGCAUUGACCCACCAAUAAUCUGGGUUAUGUAUGAUCUCUUUGCCAUGAGUUUUUGCAAAUGAUGCACCAAUGAAUGAAUGAGAUGCACCUGUGUCGAAUAAAGCUCUAGCUCUAGUGCCAUUGAUCAAGAUAAUACCUGCCACGACAUCUCAGGAACCGCAGGCUGCUCCUCCACCUAAGUGGCAAAAAUUCGUCCACUCGGUGCUCUAGAUCCCUCCGGCUAACGCGGUGCUGAUAAGCGUCCAGCAGAUAUAGCCGGUGGUAAUCCUGCAAACUGUCUCAGGGUAGAAGGAACUGAUGCCACCGACGGUGCAGACGGUGCCCAUCUCUGGCAAUCCCGAGCAACAUGCCCUGCUUGGCCAUACUUAUAGCACUUUCCUUCGCGUUGCGGGCAACUCGGUGGUCUAUGAUCACCGCCACAAAUAACACACUGAGUCGGCCCCCAACUCCUCGACUGCUGCCAUGAAUAACGGGGGAGCUUCUUAGAAUUCGCCCGACCCUCGCUACCACCUGCAGACCGCUUCUUUUCUUUGUCCCUCUACUCGGCCAUGGACUCGCGCUCCUCUCGCACGUGGGCAUCGCCAUGCUCCGCCCACAAUACUCGAUCAAAGACUUCAACAAAGGUCGUGAGCUUGAACAGCUGCACGGCCCUAUAAACCCCAAGCCUAAGUCCUCGCAAGAACCAGUCGGCCCGGUCCCGGUCAUCUCGAACAACCUCCGGGACGCAAUCAAUGAUGUCGGAGAACUCCUACUCGUAAGCCGCCACCGAUCGAUCACCUUGCCUUAGCUUGCAGAAUUUUUCUUGUACCUCCCGCUUCACCGUGUCCGGGAAGUAGUUCGCGAACAUCACCCUCUUGAACUCCUCCCACAAUAUAGGCGGAAGAUCGGAAGACCGAUCCCGCUUUACUCAUUUCCACCACACUUUCGCCGCCUUCUCUAAACAAUGAGUGGCAAGGUGCACCUUGUCUUUUUCCGAAGUAUAUAUGUCAUCGAAGAGCGACUCUAUCGAGUCGAUCCAUGACUCCACCAUUGACGGCUCUACCUUUUUCCUGUCAAACGUAGGUAGGCUAAGAGCCGCAAGUGCACGAUCCCGCUCCGCCUCUACGGCCGCACUAUCGGAAUUUGAGGUUCCCGAUCCGGCCGGUAUCGCCGUCACUGGUACGGCCGCGACCGGCGUCGCCAUCGCCGCUACUCCCUCGACCACCAUCGGCACCACUGCAGGGGGCGCAGGAUGCUCGGCGCCCACUUGCGCCGCCGUCGCCUGUUGCCGCUUUAAGGCCUCUUGAAGCCUUUGGAUUUGCUCCCCUUGGCGCUGCAUAGACUCCGCUUGCUGUUGCACUACUCCAAUAAGCGCGGCCAUUUGCUCUCGAAGCUCCCCGUCGCCACUUGCUCCAGGUUGCGCAGGAGCCGCACUCGAUUCCUCGGGCAUAGAUCUCGUUCGGGGUCGACCACGAGGCAUUGCUUCCUGAAACAUUAUAACUCACAUUAGUUACUCAACCGAUAAACUCAAAUAUACCCAAUACCGCGAAAACAAACAAGUGUAUUUAUUUUCCUUCCAAAGCAUUAUAUCGUCGGCCGCCGAUCACAACACAAGGAAUAGAAAACAAAUAUCAACUUGAAUUUAGCCCCUAACCACAUUAGAGACACACUAACAUUAACCCAAUCACAAGCUUUCACUAUAUUUUGAUCCCACGUCACUCACGUUUCCUAGAUCCUUAAGGUUCUCAUUCCUAAGGGUCUCUAGGUCCAUCCUAUACUUUUACUUUUAGGCUCUGAUACUAUUAUAUCUGUCACGUCGAACAGACGCCGAACAGACAGCACCUCCCAUGUUCGCCCAAGGCUCAACAACAAAUACCGAGCAAGUAUAUAAAUUGCAUAACGGAAACAUAAUUAUACUUUGCUUGCACAAGGGUAAGCAAUAGCCAAAAGUGAAAGUACUAAACUAAAUCAUAUACAAGUACAAUGAUUAACUUUUAACCGCAUACAAACAUUCAACCACAAGUUAUAUUUACUUUUCAUCAUUUCUUUUACAUCACGUAUCCCCAAAAUAGGCCUUUACAUUUAACAUCUUUAAUACAUUUGCAUCACUCAUAUAACUCUAAUCAUCAAAAUACAAAAGAUGAUAUAUAUAAAAAAGGUAUGUAACUACUCAAAAUAGAACCCGCUCGGGUGGUCUCUGUCUAUGGCGCGAUACCUUUACCGCGAUCGUCGGCCGGCUCACUCGGCCCUGGCUCUGUGGAAAUAGUGGGGUGAGAACUACAACAAAGUUCCUAGUGGAUUCGACCGCCGACCUCGCCGACUUUCCAACUAGGUUUAAAUCAGGCAUAAUAGAAAGAUAGAUAGAUAGUAACCAAUUAACAAAUGCAGCUAAUAUGCCUGAACAAUAUAAUAAAUGAUUAUGCUCAAUAGAAUGCUCAUAAUGAAUGCAAGGAUUACUUUCUAAUUUUCGGUACUUUUGGCUAACUAGUAGAUUUCACCUCAAUCAUCAAGUAUUUCAAUUCUCGGUACUUUUGGUCAACCCGUAGAUUUUGCCUCAACCAACCACUUGCCAACCCAAAUCCCUGGUAUCCGGGAGAUACUCGCUACAACCCGACGGGACCGUCCUCUGGGGAGAUACUCGCUACAACCCAGUGAUGACUACUCCAGAACUCAUUGCUCAUGGGAGAGCUACCACCCACCGAGCCAAGACUUAUAGGUGAGUAUGAUCAAUCCUUAACUUUAAGGAUACCAAAUUCAAUCCCAUCCUUCGCUAUGAGCAUGCUAUGCUCAUAUGACCCUUAAUUUUAAGGUUCCUAUGUCAUAAUGUCAACUAUCUCUCUUUACUUGCACUCUUUAACUUACAUUAGUGUCAUUUACACUACUUGUUCUUUAUACUCAUUUAUGUGCAUUCAUUAAUGCCACACACACUAAGUAUUCAACUCUAGCAUUUAUUGUUUACUAAUGCCACACAAUCCAUAUGUCACAAUGUCAUUUUGUUCUUUACCUCAUCUAGGUCUUUAUCACCAUUCAUGCAUACAUAGGGUUUCACAUGUUAUCAAUAGCUCAUAAUAUCUCAAAGGCAUCUUAUACUCAAAGCAUGCAAUUAUAUACAUUCUACUCACCCUACAAUGCAUGAAUAAAGUAUACAUACAUAAGCUUAAAAAUGACACUUUAGACAUAAAAAAAAAUUCAAUGAUUUCGGAAGGCACCACCCACCUUGUAUGGUUGUAAAGGUUCUACGGUUCAAAUCUCGAAAUUUUUGGGCUCCUAUUUUCUCGCCUGCGGCAAAACGAAGCCGACUUAGGCUUUUUGCUCAUAACUUUGCAUAGACUCUUCGGAUCGGCGAACCGAGUCCAUAAACGAAUUAGAAAUACUCCCAAUUUGAUUUUUAUAAGGUCAAUUUGCCUUAAAACCAACCCAGAACAAAAGCCCUAAUUUUCGUACCCUAACAAUGUCAUUUCUCCAAUACCUUGGUUUGAUAUCUAAAACUAGCAAAUGCAAGCUUGUUGAACCUCUAGGAACUCAUCUAGAACCAUUUCUAGGUCAUUCAAACCAUCCCUAGGGCAUAUAAACCGAACUCUAGAAAUCCAUCAUGAGAGCAUAUGAAAAAAACAUGAUUUUCAUGUGUUCCAUGGCCUCUACUAGAUUUUUACACUUGUAAGUAGAUCAAAACCAAAGAUCUUGGGUAUAAAACCAAGCCCUAAGGUCAAUCUUACAAGAAACCUUACCUUAACCCACUAGCUCUCCAAUGUCCACCUUGUAGGAGAGACCUAAACCUUCAAAAGCUCCAAAUCUCCUCCAAAAUCCUCUCUAAUCUCCUCCUUGCCACCUUAGGGGAGAGCUUCUAAAGAGGGAGAUGGAGAGAAAUGAGAGAGAAGGGGUGUUCUCAGCUGGGAACAAGAGAAAAGAGGGGUUCGGGUCUUAUAUAAGUUGCUAUAAUAGCAAAUAGACCCUCAUUCUUUUCAUAUUUGCAGCAGACUGCAGCUGCAGUUUAGGGCAUUGCGUACAGUUCUACUCAGAAGUGUCACCGGUUACACAAUUACGCAGAGGCCAACCCGAGAGCUGCUUCUCUCGGUCAGCAGUCGGUACCGGUAUCAAUUAAAUUUGUCACCGGUUUAACAGCUUGACAGAGGCUAACCCGAGAGCAAUUCUGCUUUCGGUUUCUGUAGUGUACCGGUGACUCCCCUGGGCUGUCACCGGUUCAACAAUGCUCCAGACUUGAUUAUUGCAUUAAUUCGACUCCGUUUCGCGCCGAGCAAUGCUAAAACCUUUUUAACUCUUUUAGAAUUCAACUUUAACCUUUCCAAUAUCGUUAGAAUGUUAAAUGGACCUUGUCCAACUAUUCGUUUCGCACACUUUAAUCAAUUUGACUAAAAUCCGAUAUACUCUAUCGAGGUUUCGAUAUAUUACAUUACUUUUUUGGGAGACGGGGCAUCACAGCUGGUAUUGAAGCCAAUCACUAGCCAAAAGUAUGAUAUAAGCCUCAGCUUAAUUAGAGUCGUAUAGUGUGUAGAAUAUGGCUCUCCCUAGUGUUAUGGGUAGAGCACCGCUCCCCAUAAAGUCAACUAAGCCUACUGAGACAAAUCUCACAUCGUCUGGUGUUUGUAAGCGUGUUUUAGCCUAAUAAGGACGUUAGAAUUUAAAGGGGGAAAGAAAUAUAAUACCCCUAGGAUUAGGAAUAAUCUUAUAUAUUAGAUAUAAUAAGGAUAAGCUUUUUAACCCGGCUAUAAUAUUUUGAGUGGUGGCUAGGCCAAAGAGUAACAAGGGUUAAGCGUGCUAGAAUUAGAGUGGUUAUAGGAUCGGUGACCAUCAUGGGAAGCGAUGCGUCACAUAUUCAAAUUAAACAAAUUAAAAGGUUAGAUAGUAAAAUCAAAAUUUCGAAAUAUUGAGUAACCAAAUCAAGAUUGCUCAUUUUUCAAAUAAGUUUAUAUACUUUCACAUUUUAGUAAAUAAAACUUUACAAGUCAACAAGUACGAAAAAAAUACUACCUUGGGAUGUAUGAUGUACACUUUAACCAUCUAAUGGGUGAGGUUUAUUUACUUGUCACAUGAUGUGACUAAUAAAAUAACCUCAAUCAUUAGAUGGAUGAGAUGUAUAUCAUACACCCAAAAAUGAUGUAUGAAAAGCGUUGCUUCAACAACUACUACUUCACUAGCUAGAGAGCUAUUAAAUUUGAGGAAAUUUUGAAUUAAGUGAGAAUAGAAAUUUAAAUAAAAAGAUAGAAGCUGAUGCAGAAUGAGUAAAAUACAGCACGAAAUUAAGAGGUCCAUUUCAAAUGGCCAAUAUUAAAAUGGCCAAUACUAAAUUUAUUUUCUAAUCGUUGUCAUGUAUUACAAUUUAGUCUUUGGCUAAUUAAAAAAAUAAGUACUAAACGAUGGAAACGAAUUUAGGCGCAUUGAAGAAUUCGUAAAACAAACCGAAAUCAGAUUCAGAGAUAAUUAUAUUAAAAUAUAUGAAAUUUAUGUGAAUUUUAUAAAAAAUUUUCAUAAUAUUUUACAAAAACUAUACAAUUCAAUGGCUGAAUUUUAAUCUUGAAAUUAUAAAUAAUACUAAUCUUCUCGUGAUUUACACUUUUUUACCAAUUAAAUAGUGUCACUAUACUAGUUUGUAAAUUUAUUGUAAAUAUAACAUUAUUCAAAAACUAAAAGACAACCAAAUUGUAAUAUCAAUAUUGGUGGGAGGCGGAACGCUCGGAUCAUGGCUAAUGGACACAUACACAAUUCUAAACUCCCAAUUCAUAUCUCUUUGUUGAUUAUUGAUUAUUGAUAUCAAAAUUAAUUAUUGAUGAUUAUUGAUAAGAGGUUGGGCCAUCCUUACCAAUGGAUUAAAAUAUAGAAGAACCCUCUAAACUUUAACAUUUGUGCAAAUAGAUAUAUAAACUUGUAAUUUUGUCAAUUAUACUGUUUAAAGUUUAUUAAAUAAUUUAAAAUAGAUUUCUUUCCUAAAUUGAAGUUACUAAUAACUAAGUUAUUUUGGUCGCUCGUUUGAAAAUCUGAAAUAAGAUUUUCUUCUCUUCUAACAUGUGAUAAAAGUAAUGAAAAUGGAAGAUUAUGCAUCUGCAAAACACGUGAUUCAAAUGGCCGUUCGAUUUGUAAAUUUACUUGAGGGAAGGUACCAAUUGACCUAUAUAUUCAAUAAACUUUAGAGGGUUUUAUUGCCAAAAACUAAAUGUUGAGGGGUUUAAUUGCAAAAAGUGCUGCAGUUUAAGAGGACUAUGGUCGAGUUUAAAAUUGCCCCUUCAACUUCUACUUAUUUCAUUUAUACACCGUACUAUCCAAUUAAUUGUCUUAAUUAGACUUCUCUUCCAGUAAAAAAGUUAGAAACUUUUUAUGUUCGAUCUCAAUUAUCAAUAACUAUAUAGAGUAACGAGAGACACAGGAGCAGCUGAGAUUUAAAACAACAGCGGCAACAAUAAAAAACAAUAAUGGCAAUAGACUUCAGAUAUAAAUGAAAGUUCAGCUCCUUCUCACGACAACAUUGUGUUGUCUCAAUUACUUUCCUGCUUUACAUAGGUUUUACACAUUCAUCGAUUAUUAAGACGUAAAAAUAUAUUUUUUUUCUCUUUUUUUUUUUUUUUUGACAGAUAGGUAGCAUGCUACCCGCUUCAUUUAUUUCAUUUAGAAAUAAACUUAGCUGGAAAUGUAAAUCAACUAGGAUUCGAACUUAGGUCUCGGAUACCAAUCACCAAGCCCUUUGCCACUUGCUCUAGAGACGGUCGGUACGUAAAAAUAUUUUCUAAUUAUCUUAUUGGUGCAGGAGCAUACCUAAAACAAGUUGAUAAAAGGUAUAAAUCAAAACAAUAAGGGAUUAUUUGGUUCAUCUAUUUUAAACUCUGAUAUCUAAAUAAAAUUCGCAAACUCGGAUAGCUGUACAUUGUCUAUUUUACAGAAAUCGAAUUUUAAUUCUCAUUCCAUUCUGAAAUGAAAAUGAUCCGCUCUAUUAGUAGCUCAAUUUGACUUUGAACUCUGAAUUGACGCAUUCAAGACUAAACUACUCAAAACUCUCUCACAAAUAUUUUCCUCUCAUGUUCCGUCAUCAUUCUGUUCUCAUUUGAUCAAAACAUUCUCUCAAAUCCUAAAUGACCCAAAUGUUCAUUCCAAUCCAAUAAUAAAUAAAAUAUUUAUGGAUCAUUCGUAUUCUACUUUCUAUUCUAAUGCAUUUUAAUUUAAUUUUCUAUACACAUUCUAAUCAUGAAUCAAACAUAUUCUAAAAACUAGUUAUGUACAUUUUUGGUUAUCAACAUAUGAGUCACGUGACAUUUUAGUUCUUAAAUUUUAAUAAGUCUGGCUUAAAUUAUGAGGUACGUAAUAUUUUAGUCACCAAACUUUAUAAACUAAAGUAAUAUCGUAAUUGAUAAUACAAUAAUAAUUAAGAUAUUACAUCACUUCGAUAUCAAUAAUUCGUCAAUACUUAUUCAAAAAAAAUUUGAAUUGUGAGAAUUAACUAUAAUAACUAAAAAACUUUGAGAAUUAAAGUAUCACACACACCUUAUAGUUUGAACCAGAAAUUACAACUAAUUAAAAUUUAAGGACUAAAGCGUCAUAUGUCUCGUUGUGCGAGCCAAAAAUUGCGACGAGUUAAAUUUCGAAAACUGAAGUGUCGCGCUAACGGUAGUUUGAGGAUCAAAAACACAGUUUACCUUGUUGGAAAAGUUGAGUGAAGGUGAAGCAUUUUCAAACUGAGGUACAGAACAGGAGUCACCUACGUUUUGCUCAGCAUUAAUAAUAAGUUGGGGUGGGCUGGUGGUGCCCGGUGGACUGUGAAUGAAUGCCGCAAGAAAGCGGCUCGUUUUGGUUGGAUUGAUUGACGGGCGAUGGCGAUGUCAAGGAGGACAGAUCCAACGGUGGCUGGCUGAGGUAGGCUCAUCGGGCGGCUGAGAUUGGUCGUGCAGUGGUCACAAUUGGGGCAAUUAAUAAGCUGAUCCACCUCCCACCAGCCUGCGUGGUAUCUUCCUCGCUAAUUAAUUUGAACCAGGUGUCCAAUUAAUAAUUAGAGCCUUUUUAAAAAAAAAAAAAAAAAGAAUUUCUUGAUUUAUUUUCAUUUGGUUUCAUUUAUUGGGUUAAAAAUAUAUACGUGCACGGCACCGUCUGCUUCGCACUCGUCCGUCGCGGUCACUGCUACCGUUGUAUAUUUAUUUAUAUUGAAUUUAUGGCACAACUUAGACUGCAUGAGAUAAUUAAUAAGAGAAUGAGACUUAUUAUAUAUAAAUAAAUGGAUUCAUAGCUAUUACAUUUAAGCUUUGACAUCGUAUUGAUGAAUUUUAUUUGACAUGUCAUUUUCUUAAAUAUGUGUGGGCUUAGGUCCGAUGNACCACACCAUCGACAAUGUAGGCAUUAAGUCAAGGAUUGGGGACCUUUAAUUGUACCAAAAAAGUAAAAAAUAAAAAUUACGAGGCUUCUAAAGUUUUUAAUAAUACAUAAUUUAUUUUUACAACUCAUAAAAGUUGUACGUACUGGUUGUUUCUAUGAUUUUUAGAACCAAGCAAUUAACCCUAAUUCUGAGCCUCUAUAAUUAUUAUUAGUUGAUUCCUCUUGUUACUAUUCAACUGAUGAUCAUAUGAGAGUCAUUCCCGCUCUUAAUUAGAUGCAGUUUAAGUCACGCCAUGUCUAUUAAAAUCUAUCUAGUAAUUAUUGCGACUGUUCAGAGUUUUCAUUCAGACUUCUCCGUUGGCUAAUUUUCAGUCAGCAGAAAAAAAAAAAAAAAAAAAAAAAAAAAAAAAAAACAGUUUAAUCGAUUUUUUCUUCAAUUCCUUCUCUAUUAUCUUCUAUAUAUUUUUGGGUCAUAUAUCUUCUAAGGACUCUCUUUUCUUUGAUAUCUGUUAAGAUUUUUGGAUCUCCUUCAAGAUCUUUUAGAACUCUCGUGAUGAUCGAAUUUAAGAGUUAUUCUCUGUGUUUGGACUAGAGUUGGAUGUUGUUGAAGAUUUGGUGCUUGAUAUGAAAUUUGAAUAUCUUUUAUUUCUUUUUUUUUUUAUUUGGGCUUAAUGUUGGAGUUUUUUUUUAUUUUUAUUUUUUUGAUUAAACAGGGAUUGACCCUAUUUGAUAGAGAAUGUUGGAGUUUCAAUUUACUUUUUCUUCUCUGGAUUGAGAACUAACAUCAAAUUAUUUUCUUUUUCUUUUUCUUUUCCUUUUUUUCUAUCUUCGUAUUGAUUGGGGAUCGGCAAUAGAUAGAUUCCUAUUAUUUUACUUUGAUUAGUGUUGAAUCCAACGUCUGAACUUUUUUUUUUUUUCUUUGGUUUAUUUUGAUUAGGUUAGAAAUCGUCAUCAAUAUCUCAUCCUUUGUAGUUUGUAAAGAUGGAGUGUGAUUGCUUUCCAGUUAGAAAAAGUAGCUGUUUGGCCCGGCACUGUUUGGGGCGGCCAAACUGCACUGCCAACGAUGCAAAGUCAGGCCAAACUGCACUAGCCCCCAUAAUGCGCUGUUUGGCAUCGGCUGCGAGCUGAUUUUUUUGACCGCUGACUCGGUCGAAACCCUCCUUUCGGAAAGUGCGCGAGGAGGUGGAGUGGCUAUGAAUGAUGACUUUCGAAACUUACGCCCACUGUCGAAUCAAGUGAUUCGACUAAUGAGGGAUCGGAUUAGGGGGUGUAUGGCCUAGCUUUUAAAAAGCGCUUUUGGGCUGAAAAGUGAUUUCCGGCUCAAUAAAUUAUUUGGCAACUCACUUUUAAAAUCUGAUUCUACUUUUUAGAAUCAGAAAACUCAUUUUGAAGACUCCAGAAUCAGAAGCAGUAAAAAGCUGUUUCUUGAAAUCUGAUUCUGAUUUUAGAUUUAAACUUUAAAUUUUUAUUUUUAUUUUAAUUUCAAUAUUUAAAUUUAAAUUUAAUUUUAAUUUUUAAAUUUCAUAUUCAUUUUUGAAUUUUUAAAUUUUAAAUUUUAAAUUUUAAAUUUUGAAAAAUAGAUUUCAAAUUUUAAAUUUUAAAUUUUAAAUUUCAAAUCUCAAAUUUUAGAUUUUCAAAUUUCAAAUUUCAAAUUUCAGAUAAAAUUUAAAAUCUGACAUUUUAGAUUUUAAAAUUUAAAUGUAAAAAUUUAAAAUUUUUAAAUUUUAAAUUAUAANGCUACUAUAGUUAUAUGCGUCAACCAGACGAUAAGUCCAAAUAUACCCAAUCUGAUGCUGCUAUAUUGGUCUGCAGACCUCAAGCGUUGCCUGUCAUAGAGCAGACACUGCGAGCUUAUUCAUGCGUCACCGACAACCUAUCCGGAUACGUACACCCCUUGGUUGGAGGCCAAACCAACCUGGUGUCUAGAAUACACAGUGCUGUGACUAGAUCAUGCUGAUAUGCUCAAACGAAACCCGGCUAAAGCCGGUGCCUAGGCUGAAGCCAGAAACCAGGGCGUACAACGCCGAACCUCGAUCAACCAGAUCGAAACACAUGACGAGAGAGUCGAUGUGUUACUUGGACCCAAAGUCCACAAAGUCCAACCGACCAGCAAGGUCACUGAUACGAAGAACAAGAACCGACCAACCAGGUCAACAGAUAUAGAAUGCAACAACCGACCAACCAGGUCAACAGAUAUGCAUAUAGAUAGAAUUACUCUACUCCUACUCAGGAUACUAAGCAUGCAAACAAUGAGCAGAGUAUAAUGGAAUAAUAUGGGUGCAACGCUCAAUAUGUACUAUGCAAUAGUAACAAUAGCAGAGUAAGGGUAAGAAACUAUCACCGAGCGUGCACCACUGUACCGACGUCGGAUCGAAGUAUCCACCUGUCACUGUCGCGUCGGAACACUGGGUAUGCACAAGUCAACCGGACCUACGAAGAUCCACCAGGUCAGUAUCUAGCCCACUAACCCAAAGCACGAGACUCACAACCUCCACAAAAGAUCCCUGUAAUCGGUUUCCCAAAACCAAUCACCGUAACUCACCGGAAGUCCUGAAAACUACACUGGGACGCCGUCGGGACCCACUAAGUGUCCCGAAACUUGCCGAGCGUACCACGAGUCACCCGCUGCCACAAAACACUCCUGUUUGGAUGUCUUGGCAGCAAACACAAGAUAACACCGCUACACAAUUAUUGCCGGAUAAUUGUACGAAUCCGGGCUCCCGAAAGUGUCUAUUUCGACACCGAAACCCACCGUCGCUCACCCAUCAUCACCGAACCCACAAAAUGAUGAUGGUGACCAGCCAACAAGGCUCAGCAAUAAUUUACAGGAUAACCAAACCACGUCGGAAGAAAUCCGAACCGAAACCGCGUUCUUUCGGCGAAUUUCGCCGAAAAAUGCGCCGGAAUCGACUUUUCAAUUUUCGCAAAAGCUAUCAGAUCAUGGACAAUCAGUCCGAAGGUCACCACACACACCAAUGCACUGCCCACAGUAGCCACAAGGUGUACAAAUGCAUAAAAGUCCCUAUGUUUACAUAAAAUCCAUCAUUUUAUGUAAAUCGGGCGACUUCUAUGGCUCGUUCUCACAAACCAAGAACUUCUAAGUUCCGCCGAGGCACGUACUGACAGGUAUCGACAUGCCGGAGGCCGUGCUCACAAUCCGGAGGGCAACGGCUCACUGUGGGAAGCGCGGGAGCAACCCGAAUGUUCAGUGAAUAGCGCGCAGUCGGGGGAAAUCGCACCGAACAGGCCGAUAUGACAUCCGCUGAUCCAAAGUAAGGUGAGCACUAUGAUCAGCACUGACCAACGAUCACCGUGCUCACCUCCGGAGGCAUCGGAAUAGCCUCGAAUCACCGAAAAAAUGCACGCAAGCACGGAAUAGCAGCCGAAAAGGCUUAAUAGGGUCGACACCGCCGAAACAGCGAAACGGAGUCUCCCCGACAAAAUAUAAGGUGAGCACGAUGAUCAGAAAGUUGCCACGAUCACCGUGCUCCCUUCCUCAGAGGUCGGGGAGCCUCGGGUAGCUCGGACCAGCAAACCUACUCGACUAAGCCCUAUUUCGGGCUUGGCCGGAGCAAGCUUGCUCCGGCCGGCCACCGGCGGCACGGAGGGUUGCGCGCGGGCCAGGGAAGGUUGCGGGGGAGGUGAGGAGUACCAAGCUCACCUCGGGUGGCGGCUGGAAGCAGCGGCGGCGGCGGUGGAAAAAGGCAAGCCCACACGAGCUAGGACACGGGUCCAGGGGCUGCUGCGGCCACGGGCAGGUCGGGGACGUCGGCGGCGGGUCCCCAGAGGCCAGAGGGGGAGGAGGAGGCGGUGGGCGACGGCGGCGGCAGCCCGCGGCUCGGGCGCAACCGCGCCGAGCUUGGCUCAGUCUUCAGCCCUGGGCGGCAGCGCCCAAGGCGCGUGGCGGCGGCGGUGACCCUUCCGGCCGGGGGAGGGGGUGCCGGAGGCCGUGAUGGAGAUCGCAGGGGUGGACAAGGGCGGCUGCGGCGCGGGGGUGAAGCUACCAGGUCUGCUCGGCCCGAGCAGACCUGGGGCGGCUGUAGGAUGGCCGCGGCGGCGGCGGCGGCCCGCAGGGGCGGCGGCGGUCGGCCGGGGAUAGUCGCCGGGGCUCCAGGGGAAGCACUAGAGAGGAGAGCAACCUCGGGCUUGCCCCUAACCUGAGAUAAAGAAAGGUUGAAGGAGAGAGAGAUGGAGAGGGAGGAAGACAAUGGCUCGGCGGCGACCGGGGCUCAGCCGCCCACGGCCGGGGGCGUGCGGCUAGGGCAGGGGAGCGAGGUGAAGGUGGCUGGGGCGACUAGGGUUAGCUAGGGAUGGCUAGGGUUAGGUUCCAAGGUAGACAACCCUAGGUACACUAUAUAUAUAAGGUGCAAAUUGCGGAAAAGCCCAUCAAACUUCAGUAUUUAAUACUGAGUCCCUCACAGCGCGUGUAAAACACGCGAAUACCCCUCCACGUACGAUCUCACGCAAAACGGUACAUAAAAUGUCGCGACUUUCGCGAAAAUACCGUUUUGCCCUCACCGACCUCUUCUCAUCAACGCACGAUCUCCGCAGAUCCGUCCGUCAGAUUUGCGAACGGAUCGCACCAAUGCGAUCAGCACGAUGGAGACAACAAAUUCACAAUUUCAUUUCGCCUCGAUCCUUCACGGAUUCGCGACGAAAUCCGAUCCAUCUCUCCAACAGAAGAACUACGCACAAACACGUAUUUUCGGAUUUUCUCGAAAUUCGUGCGUCAAACUCAAAAUCCGUCAGCUCCAUCGGUUCUAGAAUAACCAAACCGUUCGAAACGAGCUAUUGGACUGCUAUGAACGAAGUCCGAUACGCGCCAGAAGCCAACUUCGCACCGUGGCUUCUCCGGAAAACUGAGUUACUAUUCACUUUAAGUGAAACUUGGAGAUCGCGUAAAAUCUCCGUUCUAACUCGAUUUCUCCUGAAACUUGACGAGUUCUUUUGUUAUUAAAUUACACACAAAACAUCGUCAACUGAGAGUUUAGCUACACUGCCAAAAUCUCGGUCCUUACACAGCACUGCUGAUCCCUCAAUGUUUGUUUGUCAUUCUUCCUCUGGCACUCUUGUUCUCCUCUUGAAUGUUGAUGAUAUUAUUGUCACCGGUAGUUCCUCAUCUCUUCUCGAUGCUCUUAUCAUUACUUUACAACGCGAAUUUGCCAUGAAGGAUCUCGGACCGCUGCAUUAUUUUUUGGGUAUUGAGGUUCAUCUUUCUCCCUCUGGUCUUCAUCUAUCUCAACAAAAAUAUGCGCAUCAAUUGCUUCAGCGACAUGGUUUUCUUGAUAGUAAGCCCGUUUCUACUCCUCUUUCGCCAACAUCUCGUCUUUCUUCCCAUGAAGGGCAUCUUCUUGAGGAUCCAUACACUUAUCGUCAGAUCGUUGGUGCUCUCCAGUAUCUCACUUUCACCAGGCCGGACGUUUCAUAUGCCGUCAACUCUGUUGCCCAGUAUCUUCAUGCACCUCAUGAACCACACAUGCAAGCAGUCAAAUGUAUUCUGCGUUAUAUUCGGGGGGCGCUGACUUAUGGCCUUCCUAUCUCUCACUGCGACAGUCCUUCUCUUGUGGCCUUCGCUGAUGCUGAUUGGGCUGGUUGCCCAGAUACAUGUCGCUCUACUUCUGGAUAUUGCAUUUUUCUUGGGCCAAAUCUUAUCUCCUGGUCCGCUAAGAAAUAACCCACCAUUUGUCGUUCUAGUUCUGAAGCAGAAUAUGGUGCUGUAGCCUACACACUUGCUGAGACAGUCUGGAUUCGUCGUCUCCUCGUGACCUUCGUGUUUUCUUAUGGCGCUCUAUCAGUAUUUAUUGCGAUAAUCUCAGCACCACCUAUCUUGUGGCCAAUCCUGUUCUCCAUGCUCGCACGAAGCACAUUGAACUUGAUCAUCAAUUUUUGCAGGAAAAAGUUCAGUCUGGUGAUUUGGCCUUAAUUUAUAUCCCUUCUGACAAGCAACUUGCCGACAUUUUCACCAAGCCCCUGUCAUCCUCUCGGUUUUCGAUAUUGCGGCUCAAUCUUCACAUCCGACCACCGAAUGCUUAGCUUGCGGGGGGAUGUUACGAUAUAUUUUAUCUAUAUUAGGAUGUUACGAUAUAUUUUAGCUAUAUUAGGAUAUUGUGCAUUAUUGCCUUAUAUAGAGUAGUAUCAUUGCCUUUUAUAGAGUAGGAUUAUAUAGUAUGUAAUCCUAGUUAUACUCUUACUAUAGUAGUCAUUGUUACUAUAGUAAGACAAUCUCUUGUACUAUAUAUUCGUUAAUACAACUCAAGAGGGCAUGCACUUUAGCCCUUCUUUCAGUUAGAUUAAGCGCCUAAGUGGUACUUUGAUCUAGGCUUGUACGGCCCAUGGAGUGGGAGCUCCGCCAUAACAUAUAUAUCAUUCUGUAUACACUUGUCGAUUAGUUAGUACAAUGAUACAAGUUCUCCCCUCUAUGUCAUUGUGUGAGCAAUAAACCUUUUUUGCUCUCGACUUAGAACUGCAUUAUGAAGUAGAGGUCUGAUGUAACUAACAUAACAUAUAUCUCAAGGUCAUGAGAAUACGAUCUCACGGAGCAAGUCUAGUAAAAUGCUUAGACCGACAUAAAUUAAUGUGACAAGUUGCGGAAGAUAUUUGGAUAGCACACAUAUAAGUCUUGUAACUCAUUGCUCGGGUGGUUAAUUAUCUCAGUUGUGUUGCUUGAGAUAAUUAUGAAUAGGAGAAAUGAUUGUGGGAUCGAGCUCUAUCGUUACUGGAGACGGAUUUGUGAUGCUUGAUCCGGUGUGUAUUGAGAUAUCUAGGACAUAGAGGAAUUUAGUCAAUGAUGUGUUACAUUUGUUGGAUGUUGAAAUAAUAUAGCACUCCUAUAUUACGCUUUUUCGUCAAGUCGCAUGCCUCAUUACCUUUAUGAUGAGUAAAAUGUAUAAGAGAAAAUUGGUCAAUAUAGCCAAGUGGGGGAUUGUCGCCAUGUGAUAUGUCCAUAUUGGUCGGUUAUGUUUCAUCCCUAUCCAAAUGAGAUAUGGAUUAUUAUUUAUACUAAUAAGUUAAAGAUAUGAAUAAAUUAUAUGUUUCUUAUUUAUUAAGAAAUGAUCUUCUAAUAUCCUAAUUGAUAUUUUUAUCCUUAUCUCUAUAUGAGAAUCAGGAUAUCUAUUCUUAUCUUUAUCUCUUUGUGAGAAUUAGGAUAUUUUAAGGGAGAUUUAGACACGACGUUCGAUCGAAGAUCCAGAAGGUCGUCGUAGAUCGAGGAUGCUAUAAGACGAGUACGACAAUCUGAUAAGUUCUUCUGCUGAAGCUACGACAAGUAUAAGGUUUUAUAGCAGCUUUGCCUACACUUCUAAAUAUUCAUUAAUUGCUAACAUAGUAAGACUCAAAAAAUUAGGACACUGCCCUUCACAGCCAUCUUUACAAAGCCAAAGAAAGAAUAGUACCAAACAUUUAUUAUGGUCUGCAAGUAACAACAAACAUCCUUUAUUACAAAUCAAUUCUCUAAGCACAUUUAAUCCAAUUAACAAACACCAAUAAUAGCAACAUGGGGACUAGCAAUUUCUACUUCUUAGGGAUUGUCACACUUAUCAUCAUCUCAAACACACCUUUGAUCUCCUUGUAGGGUGACAUGAUCACCACCAACCCUUCAUUAUUAGAAGAAAAGGAGGAAGGAGAUACCAUAUGGUAUGACACAUGAACCGGCUUAUUUCCUUGUGUUAGUACCAACUCCUCAAUCCCCAACUGGUCCCACUGCGCCACCUUAAUCGAGCUGUCCAAUCGAAGAUCGACAGGUGGUGACGGUACCUCCGCCCUUCUGCAUGAUUCUAUCCUCAAGUCCUUGGGAAUACUAUUGCCGUAGUUGAUCAUGAGACAGAAUUUGUCCACUACUUUACUGUUGACUCUCCCUGCAGCUUCCUUCAGGCAAGCAGAGGCGAUCGCCUUGUAGGGCAAUUCGUCUCGGCCUUUAUUGUAAGAUAUAUUGAAUAAAAUAGUGGCGGUAUUUUCAGCAGCGGAAUCAAAGGGGAUAGAUUUGACGUGCUUGGGAUGGGUGGGCGUCUGGAAAUAGCCCAAGUGGAAAAUUGAGGUUUUCGUAAGGAGGCCUUGGGCUAGCAUUUGGGUUUGGAUUUCAGCCCAUGAUUUGAGGAAUUCGAUUAAAAACAAAGGGUCAGCUAAGAGGAGGCUACAGCUGAUUCCAAUAGCAUAUCCAUCGCCUUGAAAUCGUGUCACCUAUAAAAAUAAAUAAAUAAUUGAUUAAUCGAGUAACAUGUGAAAUUCAAGUGCAUUAAUUAUCUUUUGAUGUGAUACAUAAUGCCACUUAAUUGUACUACUAUACCAAGCUAAGAAAUUAGCUGAGAAAUCCCUCGCAUAAACCAUAUACAAAAGAAAAAAAAAAAAAAAAAAAAAAAAAAAAAAAAAGGAGGAAAAAUGUAGUAAUUUGUAUAUUGUACCUAUGUACAUACAUAUACGCACUGUGUAUUUGUUUCUUGAUGCUUAUACAAGUGCUACUUGCAAGAUAUUAAUGCAUAUUAAUUUUUGAAUGAUAUAAAUUUUAGUUUUGAUGCUACAUGUUAUACAAUCACUUUUUAGAGUUGUUGGUUCAUAUUUUUAUAGACAAAUUAGAUAUUUUUCAUAUUCCAAAUUAUAUCCUCUCCUAAAAAGUACAAGAGAAUAAUCCGCACUUUACUAUUAGAAGAUAAUAUUCUAAUAAAAGAAUUAUGUAAUUUUGAACUUCACAUAUGAAAGUUACUUCACAGAUAAAACCUUUACUUUUUAUGCAUGUCAUAUAUUGGUAACUAUCUAAUUCUUAUGAUAGUUCUAUAAAUUAUAUUUUAUAAAUUUUAUAUAAUUAGUACAUAAAAAGUGCACGAUAUUAAGGGAUUUAUUUGUAAGAAAUUAAUCUACAAUUUUAAAUAUUUAAAAGUUAACUACGAGGGUAAAACAGUCAAAUCCGAGCUAUCAAAAUUUGAAGUAGAAGUAUUAUCGUAAUUUUAUUUUAUUCUAAGAAAGAUAUACAGCCUAUGAAAGAUAUAUAUAUAUGUAUAUAUACAUACAGAGUAGGGCUAUGAUACUAUUAUGAGUAUUGCGUCAUUCGUACUCAUAAGUUGUUUUCGAUGAUGGAGCUUCCGAAUCGACGAUCCACUCCGUUAAAUAUGAUCUAGAGUAUUUGAAACUUCUAAAAAAUAAAUUUCGUAACUUUUCGAAAUCAUAAUAAAGUCCAUCAAGCGGGCAUAAAAUGAAUGGUCAAAAUCGAACAAUGUCUUAAAAGUGGAUGAUCGGAUCCUUUAAUUUAAGAUCGGAGUUAUUGAUCUUUAUCUAGGUAGUGAAUAGAAUUUUCUAUCAAAAAUUCAACCUAUUCGGAUUCUUUUGCACCGUUAAACUAGCAAGUAUUCCAUACCAGCCGUUAAAAAUUGUCAAUUUUGUGAUCGUAAGGUAAAUGAUAUCGAAAAAUUAUGAAAUUUGAUUUCUAGAUGUUUCAAAUGCUCUAGAUAACAUUUAACGGUGGGGAUCUUCGAGUCGGGAAACUCUUAUCACGAAAUAACUUAUGAUACCGAAGGAGCGGUCGUACUCAUAAUCAGUAUAGUAGCCGGACUCUAUUACGCAUAAUAAACAUACAUUAUAAUAUAUAUUAUAGAUAUAUAUAUAUGAUAUAUAUAUUAUAUAUAUAUAUAUAUAUAUGUAUAUACAGUAUAUGUUAUAGGCUGGCGCUAAAUAAUCUUAUGGAGUUAGAACCACUUGUACUCAUAAAUUUGUUAAACCGUUGAUUGAUGGAUGGGGUUGCUAAGGUGGCGAUUGAUGAUGUCCCACUUAGAAUGAUAGUGUUUUCCUAGGGUUGAGGGGUAGUUGGCUGGAUAGUAUGAUCGAACGGCGUGAAGAAUGGAUGAUAGAAUAAUCUAACAGGGAUCGAAACUUAUGGCUGCGUUGUUCGGCGUAUAAGUAUAGAACUGCUUUGUUCUUAGGGAUAGGUACAAGUGCAGGUGAUAAGCAGGCAACUAGCACCAAUUUUGCGUUUGGAUGAAAAUUGGGUUUCCUUAGGAAUAAGCUAAAUAGUGUUUGGAUGCGUUAGAUUGAAACAAGAGGAAGAAGGUUAUAAUUUGAAAUUAAAAUUAUAUUAUGCUAAUAUACGUAAUAAAAAUAUUACUUAAAAAAUAAAUUAGAAAUAUAAUUAUUAAUAUUAUUAUACAAUAAUAAUAUAUUAUUAAUAAUUAAUUAUAAAUAAUAAAUUAAUAUAUGGCAUUAUCUAAUUAAUAUAUCUAAUAAUUAUUAUUAUUAAUAAAUAAUAUUAUUAUUAGAUUAUUCUUAUUAAUUAUUAUAAAUAAUAAAUAAUAAUAUAUGGAUUAUCUAUUAUUAAUAUUUAAUUCAUAUUAAUAUUUAUUUAAUAAUAAUAUGAAUAAUAAUUUAAUUGAUAAAAAUAAUAAAUGAAUAAUAUAUCCAUUUUUCUAAUUAUUAAGAAUAAGAUUAUUAUUAAUUAUCAAUAAAUAGAUAAUUAUAUUAAUUAUUACUUAUUAAUUAUAAAUAAUAAUUAUAAUAAAUAUCGAUUAUUAAUUAUUAAGAAUAAAAAGUAUUAAUAAUUAAUAAUAAAUAAACAUAAGUUAUUAAUUAUAAAAUUAAUUAUAAUAAUAAGUUAAUAAUAUAUAUCGAUUGUCAUAAGAAUAAUAUUAUUAAUAAUUAUUAAUAGAAAAAAUAAAGAAAUAUUAUUAAUUAUUUAUUAAUGAAUUAUAAAUAAUAAAUUAAUACAUAAUAAUUAUGUAAUUUUAAUAUUUAAUUAUAAAUAAUAAAUUAUUUAAAUUAUUUAAUUAUUAAAUAAUAAAAUAAUGAUUAAAUAUAUUAAUUAGAUUAAUUUAAUAAUUUACUGCCAUUAACAAUUAAAUUUGAUUUUGAAUUAAUCUUCGUUUCAUGCAAGGAACAAGGCUCUGGUUCCGAAAAGCGGGGGGGGGGUGUCGGCCUGGCGGGGGAGGCCACAGCAGUCUCAGCUCGGGUAUACCUGCUCAGUUCAGCAUUCCGCGAAACUAGCUGUUCCCGGGAAGCCAACAUUGCGUGUGGGAACAUAAGGCGGGGAACAGAGCUUAUUCCCCCCUUGUUUCCCGAACGCAAGGCCACCUACCUAUGAGUAUAAGCGGAGCCAAUACUGAUAAAAAGUAUAGUAGCCGAACUAUAUGCUAUAUAUAUAUGACAUGUAUUAUUAUGUAUAAUAUUAUAUACUAUACUAUAAGUAUACUAUAUAUAGUGACCUGUAUAUAUUAUAUAACUUAUAUAUUAGUACUGUAUACUAUGUAUGAUAUAUAUACGUAUAAGUUGUAGGGUAUACUAUAUAUAUAAUUGUAUUAUAUAUAAUUCAUACGAUAUAUUAGUAGAUACUAUAGUAUAAGCAUACCAGUUAUAUAUUAUUAUAUUACUUAUAGGCAUUACUACUAUAUACUUUAUAGUGUUACAAUUAUAUAGUAUAUAUAUACUAUAUUAUAUGAUAGUACUAUAACUACUAGUAUUGAGGCCUUCGUGCAGAAUGGCACGGUUUAACAGAUGUUAGUUUAUAUGAUUUAUUUUAGAGGUAGAAUUUCAACUAACAUUGAAAUAAAUCAAUAUAUUAUAUCAGAAGUAUUUAGACUACAAUUGUGUUUUCUAAAUGUUCAUAUGUUUUGAUAUUUAGUAGAUAAAGGAUUGCUAGGUAUAUUAAAUUUAAAUUUUAAAUAUAAACUGGGAGUGAUUAUCGAUUUUGCAUAAUUCGAAACAAUCAAGAAAAUUAAACUUUUAAGUUCAUCAAUUUAGUAUAACUCAACUCUUAAUGUUUAGUAAAUUAAUAGCGAUAGAGAAGUGUGUUACUUUUUAACAGCAUUGAUAAAGUAAGAGUUAUUUGUAUUUCUCAUACUUUUUUAACCAGUUGAUUAUAACCGGUUCAUAAGAUUGAAGUAUAAAUAAGUAUGAAUAAAUUUUUUUUAACAAAUUGCAUCAUAAAUUUGUAAUAUUAUAUUAAAUUCAAAAAUAUGAUUUUAACAAAUUUAUUAAUCCAAUCCAUUCUUUUAAUUAUUUCCCAUUAUAAUAAUAGAUAGUCCGCCAAAGUUAUAAUUUUAAUUAUAUUUAAGUUUGAAUUGAAAUAUAAUUUAUAGUAAUGAUUCUGGCCAAAAAUUUGUGAAUAGUCAAGAAUUUUUUUUUCAUAUUUUAGAGAUAAAAAUAGUUAAAUAAAAUUUUAGAUGAACCAAUUAGAAUUCACGACGUUAAAUAUCUUUCGGUUAGCAAAAAAAUUGGAUAAGUGUAUCUUUCUUUUAUUUUAAGAGGUAAACAGAAAUUAAAGUUGUUUCAUUAUGUUAUUUAUUUAACGAAAGAACAGAGGAAUCAAUAUUUUUUUUCCACCAAAAAAUGGGUCUAUCGACAGACGAAAUUUGAAAUACGUGCUUUUCUUUAUAUAUAUAUAUAUAUACUAUAUAUAUAUAUUAUAUAUAUAUAUAUAUAUAAGUCGGCACUUGUGCUACCAAGUUUUAUCGCCGACGUUAGCUUACCUUUUGAUCAUUUUACCGUUAGAUCAUACAUAUUCAACCAACCACCCACUCACCCGUAGGGAGACGCACAUCAUCGCUACCACAUCUCUUAAUCCAAUGUGCCAAAAUUGGUAGCACCAAUGACUGGUGCUAUUAAUAGCCAUAGUAGUAGUCGUUAGUAUAAUAUAUAGAAUUAUGCCUGCGAUACUUUAAUAGUUAAAACGUUCUUUAUUGUAUCAAGUUUUUAACCUUGGAUUAAAAAUUGUGUAGGCGUCAAGAUGUAUUAGUCGGGUUAGAGUUGAGUGGUCCCCCUAGGGUUGAGUGGUCCCACUGGUUUAUAUAUUUAUUCAAGUUAGAAAUAAUGAAAAGGUUGAUCAAAGUUUUUUCCUGGUAGCAACAAUGAGAUUUUGCUACUAUGAGUUAGCCCAGUCAACUCUCUCUCUCUUAUAUAUAUAUAGGUAGGCUGGUAUUUAGUGGGAAGCAUGGAGCCCUCCGAUGCUUCAGCUUUGUUUUCGAUGCUUCGGACUUUCGAUAUCGGCUCGGUUGAGUUGAUCUAGAGUAUUUGAAAUACCUAAAAAAUAAUUUGUGUGAUUUUCGAUGUUCAUUUGCCUCGUGAUCGAAGGGGUCAAAUAUCAAUAAUUUUAAUGGCGGUGCUGAGCCAGUUGCAGUUUAAUUGUGGUUGAGAAUAUCCAAAGUCACAUGAAUUUUGUAUAGAAAAUUCUUUCUACCAUAUAAAAGAAUCAUUACUUGAUCUAAAUUUCUAAUGUUAUUUCAUCAUAUUUUGCUAAUUUUAAUUUCAGCGUUGAUUUUGAGCCACUUCGAUCAUCAGGCCAAAUGAUAUAAAAAAGCACAAAAUUAUUUUCUAGUAUAUUUAAAUAGUCUAAGAUCAAGUCUACAAGUGGCGAUCGGUCGAUUCGAAAGUGCACGAAGAAAACAAAGUGGAAGCACGGAGGCGCUCCAUACUUUCCAUAAGCAACCAAACGCAUACUUAUAGUAAAGUACCAUUAAUAUACAUUAUAUAUGAAUAGGUAUAUAUAUACGUAUAUUAGAUGUUACUAUAUAUUGUUAUAGUAUGCAUUGUUAUAUGUGUAUAUAUAUUUAUAUAUAUAUGUAUAUAUAUAAUAUAUGUAAUAUAUAUGUAUAUAUUAUGUAUAACAUAUAUAUAUACAUGAUUUAAGGCUACGAAUACUUAUUUAUUAGUAUCGAGCUCGGUACUAUGUGUCUGUUUCGAUCUUAGGGGUUCAAAGAUCAACGAUCUCACACCGGUUAAAUAUGAUCUAGGUUAUAUGAAUUUUUAAGAAUAAAUUUUAGUUUUUUUCGAUAUCGUUUACUUAGUAAAUAAAUUAUAUCAAAAUGGAGCGCGGUCUGGAAAUUGAAUAAUCUUUAAAAUUGGUAUGAGACUUUUAUAAUUCAAGAUCAGAUGUAUAACUCUUAAUUUAUAUGUUUAAAGUAUUUUGCUAUCAAAUUGAAGAAAUUUAGAUUUUUCUACACGUUUAAACUCCAAAUCGUCAGUAAAUAGCCAUUGAAAUAUUGAAUUUUGAAUAGUUUUGAUCUAAUAAACGUAUGUCGAAGAAAUAUAAAAUUUUGAUUUCUAGAAACAUUUAAUACCCAAGAUCAGUUUUAACGGUGUGGAUCGGUUGAUUUGAACGCCGCUAAGAUCGAACCAAAUACUAUGUACCGGAGCUCGUACUAUAGAUAGUAGUAGUAGCUCAGCUUACUACAUAUAUAUACAAGGUAGAUUAUAUACAUCUAUAUGUAUAGUAUACAUAUACAUAUAUCAUAUACUAUUACAUAUACAUAUACAUAUACAUAUUACAUAUACAUUAUACAUAUAUACAUAUACAUAACUACAUAUUACAUAUACGUAUACAAUAUACAUAUAUUACAUAUACACAUAUACAAUAUACAUAUUAUCAAUAUAACAUAUACAUAUAUACAUAUACAUUAUAACAUAUAUAUUAUAUAUAUAUGUUAUAGCUAUAUAACAUAUAAUAUAUGUAUAUGUUAUAUACAUAUAUAUAUGUAUAUAAAUAUACAUAUAUAUAUGUAUUUACAUUACCGAUAUAUAUAUGUAGUAUACAUAUACAUAUAUAUAUGUAUAUGUAUAUACAAUAUUAUUAUGUAUGAUGUAUAUACUAUAUUAUAUGUAUAUAAUAUUACAUAUAAUAUAUGUCAUAUAUUGUAUACAUAUAUAUGUAUAUUAUGUAUAUGUACUAUUGUACAUAUAUACAUAUACAUAAUACAUAUAUAUGUUAUACAUAUAUAUACAUAUAUAGAUACAUAUGUUAUAUAUAUAUGCUCAUCGAUAUGUAUAUAUAUACAGAAGUAGGCGGCUUAAAUACUUUACAAGUAAUCGACCCAAGUCGAAUACUUGUGUGUUUUAGCCAUUGGAUUUACUUUUUUAUACUAAUAGUCUUGGAUCAAACACACUAUUCCACCUACACCAGCUACCACCACCUGACCACCAUCAUGCUCAACCUCACAUCUCUCCAUCCAAUGGCUAAAACACAACAAGUAUCAAUGGGGGAUACUUUUACAAGUAUCACUUGGGUGUCUCAAAGCACAACCUCAGCAUCCUCUUGCUUCCAAUAGCCACGAGUAGCUCCUCUCUGAGUAUCUCUCUCUCUCUCUACAUAUAUAAUAUAUAUGUUAUAUGCUAUAUAAUAUACAUUAUAUAUGUACAUAUAUACAUAUAUACAUAAUAUGUACUAUAUAAUGUUAUACCGUCACUAUACAUGAUACUUACCUCACUAUACACACCACCAUAUAUACCAUAAUAAAACCAUGUAUAUAUGAUCUACAUAUAUGACAUAUAUACAUGUAUAUACUGUCGGUACAUAAUAUACAUGUAUAUAUGCUUAGGCAGGGCUGCGUGCUCUCAGGACACGGAGGCCCUCGUCGCCUCCUAAGGCCGUUUCGGUGAUGGAUUUUGCGAAUCGACGAUCGGCUUCGUGUAGACUUGAUUCUAGCGCAUUUUGAAGUUUCUAGAAAAUAAAUUGUUGCAGAUUUUGUUCGAUAUCAUUUACCAGUGAUCGCAAAGAUUCACAAAUCUAUAAUUUUUAAUGGUCUGAUGCUGGCUCUCUCGGAAGCAUAAGAAAAUUGGUGCUUCCAACUUUUUGGCCCUUGGAUCAAUCCUCUUGACUAUUUCUGACCUUUGGAUUAAUAUUAUAACCUUAGAGGGACCACUCAAUCCUAGGUGGACCACUCAAUCCUAAGGAGGACCACUAUUAUUCUGAUCCUCUACCCCUAGAUCCAAGGACCAAAAGGUCGGAAGCACUAAUUUCUUUAUACUUUCGAAAGUAUAUAUAUAUAUAUAUAUAUAUAUAUAUAUAUAGGUUGGGGAUGCUAUACUUUUAUGAGUAUAGACACCCUUGUACUCAUAAACUUUUAACCGUUGAUUGAUGAGAUGUGUGGUUAGGAUGAUGGUGGCCCCCACUUAAAAUGAUAGUGGUCCCCUAGGGUUGAGUGGCUAGUUGGUUGAAUAGUAUGAUCUAACGGCCGAAAACUUAUGAGUAUUAGGAAGCUAAUACUCAUAAAAGUAUAGUAGCCGGACUCUAUAUAUAUAUAUAUAUAUAUAUAUAGUGUAGAGCUACUAUGCUAUCGGAAGCACAGAGGAUUUGAUGCUUUCGACUUUUUGACCCUUGGAUCAAGAAUUGUACUGUUGGGAUGAUUGCGGUCCUCCAGGGUUGAGUAAUACCCCUAGGGUUGAGUGGUCCCCACAGGGUAAUGUAUUAAGCCAAAGGUUAAAAAUGAUUAAAGGGAUUGAUGUAAGGGCCAAGCACCAGAUCCUCUAUGCUUCCAAUAGCACAGUAGCUCUCUCUAUAUCUCUCUCUCUCUCUACAUAUAUAUAUAUAUAUGUAUAUGUAUAUAUAUACAUAUAUAUGUACAUAUAUACAUAUAUACAUGUAUAUAUGUACAUAUAUACAUGUAUAUAUGUACUACAUAUAUACAUAUAUACAUGUAUAUAUGUAGAGCAGGGCUGCUGUGCUCUCAGGAGCACGGAGGCCUCCGUGCUCCUAAGCCGUUUUCGAUGAUGGAGUUUUCGAAUCGACGAUCGGCUCCGUUAAACUUGAUCUAGCGUAUUUAAAGUUUUUAGAAAAUAAUUUUUACGAUUUUUCGAUAUCAUUUACCUAGCAAUCGAAAGGAUUCAAAAUCAAUAAUUUUUAACGGCUGAAAAUAAAAAUCCUAUAAAAAGUGGUGAUAUAGCACUAAAAUUUUCGAUCAGAAAUAUAAAUCUUGUUAUAGAUAGUAUAAAGAAUUUUCUAUCAAAAUUUCAUCUGAUUUGAAUACUUCUACACCGUUAAACUUGAAAACCACGCGAGAUAUCAACCAUUAAAAAAUUAUAGAUUUUGAUCCUUUCGAUCACUAGUUAAAUGAUAUCGAAAAAUCGCAAAAAUUAUUUUCUAGAAACUUCAAAUGCGCUAGAUCAAGUCUAACGAAGCCGAUCGUCGAUUCGAAAUUCCAUCAUCGAAAACGGCUUAGGACAGCGCGAGGCCUCCGUGCUCCUGAGAGCACAGCAGCCCUGCUCUAGCAUAUAUACAUGUAUAUAUUACUACAUAUUAUACAUGUUAUAUAUGUAUAUAUGUAUACAUAUAAGUAUAUAUGUAUAUAUGUAGUACAUAUAUAUAUAACAUGUAUAUAUAGAUUAUACAUAUAUAUGUAUAUAUUAUAUAUAUGUAUAUAUUAUACAUAUACAUAUAUAUAUAUAUAUGUAGGAGAGAGAGAGAGAUAUAGAGAGAGCUACUGGCUAUUGGAAGCAUGGAGAUGCUGAGGUUGUGAUUUGGAACACACAAGUGAUACUGUAAAAGUAUCACCCAUGUGAUACUUGUGUUUUUAGCCAUUGGAUGGAGAGAUGUAGGUUGAGAUGAUGGUGGUAGGGGUGGUAGUGGUGGUAGGUGGAAUAGUGUUUGAUCCAAGGACUAUUAGUAAUAAAAAAGUAAAUCAAUUGGCUAAAAACACACAAGUAUCACUUGGGUGAUACUUGUAAAAGUAUUCUAGCCCUACUCUGUAUAUUAUAAUAUAACAUAUAUAUAAAUAUACAUAUGUAUAAUAUAUGUAUAUAUAGUAUAUAUACAUAUAUAUGUAUAUAUGUAUAUGGUAUAUAUGUACAUAUAUACAUAUACAUAUUAUACAUAUAUAUGUAUAACAAUGAGUAAUAUAUUAUGUAUAUAUAUAUAUACAUAUAUAUAUUAUAUACAUAUACAUGAUAUAUAUGUAUAUACAUAUACAUAUAUAUUAGUAUAUUAUAUACAUAUAAUAUUGUAUAGUGUAUAUACAUAUAUAUAUGUAUAGUAUGUAACAUAUAAUAUAUUACAUAUAAUAUAUUGUAUAUACAUAUACAUUAUAUAUAUAUAUAUGUAUAUAUGUAUAUGUAUAUACAUAUAUAUGUAAUAUAUUAUAUAUGUAUAUAUGUAUAUGUAUAUGUAUAUGUAUAUUAUGUAUAUGUAUAUGUAUAUGUAAUAUGUAUAUGUAUAUUAUAUGUAUAUAUGUAUAUGUACAUGUAAUGUAUAUAUGUAUAUGUAUAUGUAUACAUAUAUAUGUAUAUUAAUGUAUAUAUACAUAUAUGUAUAUAUAUUGUAUAUAUAGAGCGAGCUACUAUACUAUCUAUAGUACGCGGACUCCGUACUAUAGUUUGGUUUCGAUCUUAGGGCGUUCAAAUCAACGAUCCACACACCGUUAAAACUGAUCUUGGGUAUUUAAAUUUCUAGAAAUAAAAUUUUAUAAUUUUUUCGACAUAGUUUAUUUUAUAUCAAAACUAUUUCAAAAUUAUCAAUUUUCAAUGGCUAUUAUGACGAGUUUGGAGUUAACGUGUAGAAAAAUCUAAAUUUUCUUCAAAUUUUGAUAGAAAAUACUUUAAACUUAUAUAAAUAAGGUUAACAUUCUUGAUCUUGAAUUUAAAAGUCCUAUACUCAAAUUUUAAAGAUUAUUCAAUUCCACGUCCAUUUUGAUAUAAUUUAUUUACUAAGUAAACGAUAUCGAAAAACAAAAAUUUAUUCUUAAGAAAUUCAUAUACCCUAGAUCAUAUUUAACGGUGUGGAUCGUUGAUUGAACGCGCCUAAAGUCGAAAACCAACACUAUAGUACGGAGCUCGAUACUAUAAAUAGUAUAGUAGCCUAAUUCCUGUAUAUAUAUAGUAUAUACAUAUAUAUAUACAUAUAUAUACAUAUAUAUAAUAUAUAUAUAAAAAAAUAAUAUAUAUACAUAUAUAACAUAUAUAUUCAUAUAUAUACAUUUAUAUUACAUAUAUAUAUAUAUAUAUAUUAUUAUGUAUAUAUAAUGUAUAUAUAUAGUGCGUUUGGUAUGCUUAUGGAAGGUAUGGAGCGCUCCGCGUGCUUCCACUUUGUUUUCGUGUGUCGACUUUCGAAUCGACGAUCGGCUCUGUUAGACUUGAUCUAGAGUAUUUAAAAUAUCUAGAAAAUAAAUUUUGUGGCUUUUUUAUAUCAUUUGCCUAUUGAUCGAAGUGCCNNNNNNNNNNNNNNNNNNNNNNNNNNNNNNNNNNNNNNNNNNNNNNNNNNNNNNNNNNNNNNNNNNNNNNNNNNNNNNNNNNNNNNNNNNNNNNNNNNNNNNNNNNNNNNNNNNNNNNNNNNNNNNNNNNNNNNNNNNNNNNNNNNNNNNNNNNNNNNNNNNGGCCCCGGGGCGUGACAAUAUAUAUAUAUAUAUAUAUAUAUAUAUAUAUAUAUAGAAAAAUACGCAUAAAUAUAUGUUGAGCUAGAAUACUAUCAAAUACGCUAAACCAACUCUGACGCCAGCCAAUCGUUUUCGAUGAUCGAAAGUCCGAAUCAACGAUAAACAAAGUGGAAGCACGGAGCCCUACAUGCAUCCAGAAGCAUCAUAGAAAGCAAAUCUCAUACUAUAUAGAUAUAUAUAUAUAUAGACAAACAGAGAGAGAUGCAAAAAUGAACAGCUGAAAAUAAAUAUACUCUAAAAAGUAUCAUCAUUAUGGAGCUACUAGCAAUCAAGUCAUCGAGAGUAUACAUUUUGAUUAUAAAUAGUCCUCAGAUUAAACACUAUUCUCACCAAAAACCAACUGAUCACCACCUACCAUCAAAACGCUAAACCACAAAACGUCUCACAUCCAAGGACUAAAAACACACAAGUAUGAAACCCCAUGAUACUAUUACAAGUCAAUCAAGCCCAAAUAGAUAUAGAAAUAUAGAUAUAUAGAUACAUAGAGAGGUAUAGAUGCAUGUACAAAGAUAUAGAUACGUACGUAUGUAUGGAUGGAUCCAUGUAUAGAAAACGAAUGAGUGGCAACGGAGUCCGUAUGCUAUAGAUAGCAUAUCAGCUCAACUCUCUCUCUAUAUAUAUAUGUAUGUAUGUAUGUAUGUAUGUAUGGUUUAUGUGAACCAAAGAGAGGAUGGGUUUCGUCGCGAAUCUACGAUCAGUUCAGGCGAAACAAAAUCAUGGUCUUGAUGGUUCGGCAAUGCCGGAAGCGCUGGUGCAGUCCAUUCACAAAUUCGACGGACAUAUUUCUUGAUAUUGCAUGAUCUUCGAGAAAGGGUCGAAAUGGACAAAAAUAAAAAUUACGCAAAAGCCCCUAUAUUUUAUGUACCGAAUUGCGUGAAAUCGUACUUUGAGGUGCGUGCGCGCGUUUUACACACGCUGUGAGAGACUUAGCUUGAAAUAGUGGGAAUCGGAGGACUUACAUGCAAAAUAGCAUCAUUGUAUAUAUGCCAACCUAGGGUUUUCAUGAUCCAAAAUCCUAACGCUAGCAGCAUUGUACUCAGCUGAGCCCCCAGUCUUCUCCCCUCAAUCCUCCGCCUGUCUCGCGCGCUUCCUGGCUUCCGGCGACCAUGUUUUGGCCGGCCAAACGCCUCCACACCAUCAUCCAACCUCUCCCUCUCCUUCUCCACUGCCACAUUUCCCUCUUUCCCUACUUGAGAGCAAGGCAGGGUGCUAUUUCCUUUUUGGGCCCUUCACCGGCGACAACCCAGACCUCUGGCGACCUUUUCCAUCGACCAUAGCCUUCCCAAGCGCCGCUACUGCCGUUUGCUACCAACCUGGGUUGCGCGGGCAGAGGUAGCCGCGCCUCCUUACAACUCCGCUGCCUCUUUCCGGUCUUAAGAGACGUGUCGCUGCUGCCCCUUUGUCGUCCUGGCCGCCGCCGUCGCUGACAAACCUUCCCAGGCUGAGCCCUAGCUCGGGCGGGCUGAACUUUUCCCAACAUCGCCGCCACUGCUUCCCAGCAUUGGCCAAGGUGAGAGUCGCACUCCUCUUCUCCUCCGCACUCGACCUUGAGGUGCGUGCAGGCUGGAGCCUGGUUGCUCAUAGCAGGCUCGGAUAGGGCUGUUUUAGGGUGGUUUUCACUGUUCUAGGGACGCGAGGCAAUUUCGGCGCCUUCGAAGGUGAGCACGGUGACCCCUGGUCAGAGAUGAUCAUAGUACUCACCUUAUUUGCUAUCAGUGAGGUUCGGAUUAGCAUGUUGGGCCCAGUCGCUCCCCGUGCGCAUCGCUCGUUGAAGUUCAACUUGCUCCCGCGCAUUCCACAACAACCCGCAGUGCUCCGGACAGUAAGCACAGCCUUUGCCUUAUCGAGGCCUGUUAGCCCGUGUCACGGCUGACCCCGAAAGUACUUGAUUAGCGGCAAUGAGCAAUAAAACCCCUCCAAUUGCAUGUAUUGUUGUGAUUACAUGUAAUAGUAGGGUUUCUUACACAAAUUGUCACCUCUCAGCUGCUGUGGGCAGCGUGUAUAUGUGGUAGAUGACCUCUGGAUUGAUCGUCCAAGGUCUGAAAUCCUUCGCGGAGACCAAAUAUCGGUUUCGAUGCAUUUUUCAAAGAAAUUCGUCAGUAGACGGUUUCGGGUCAGAUUUUAUCCGACGCUAUUGGAACACCCUAAAUAUUGCCACUGAGCCUUGUUGGCUGGUCACCUACAUUAUCUCGAAUGUCCAAAGACGACAGGUAAGUAGCGGAGGGUUUCAGUAUUGAAAUUGACACUUCCGAGAACCCGGAUUGGAGCGAUUAUCCGACGAUAAUCGUUUCGACAUGUGACCUUCGUGUUUACUGCCAAGACAUCCAAAGUGAUGUGUUUUGAGGCAGCGGAUGACUCGUAACAUGAGUCGGUGAGUUUGGGACACUUCGUCGGUCCCGGCGGCGUCCCGGUGUGAUUUUCAGGACUUCGGGCGAGUUACGGAGAACGAUUUUUGGGAAAUCGAUUUCGUGGAAAAUUUUGGGGAUUGUGAGUGUUGUGUUUUGAGUCGUUUGGGUCGGACUCUGACUCUGCAGACCCUUUGUAUGUCUAGUUAACUAUCCUACGCAUCGUAGGGCAGACGCGACAGUGAUACAGAUGGGUUUUUCAAUCCGAAGUCGGUUUAGUGGUGCACGCUCGGUGAUGUUCCCUCCACUCUCUCUCUCUCUUUAUGUUCCUCACAUUACCUAUGAUUGUUGAGCCUAACACCAUAUGACUUCAUUAUAUGAUGCUCUACUCAGUUGUUUUUGUAUUAGAUUAUCAUAAUCUACGAUAGGGCGGUUGUUGAGUAUAUCUGUGCAUGAUGUGAUACCAGUUGUGACCUAGUUGGUCAGUAUUUUGAUUCUGGCUGUUUGAGGACCUAUUCGGUCGGCACACCUUGAGGGGUUGAUUGUUGGCUAAUUGCCGACAGCUACUGAUCAUAUUUGCAUCAAUCACCACUGCUCGUACUCAUUUUGUGUACACUAGCAGUAUGGCCACUGCAACUGUGUUCUUUUUCAAAAAAGUGGUCGGACUUUUGAACCAUGAGCCCAGGAGUUUAUGCUAGGGUCAUAUGCCAUUUACAGCGGCGUGGCACUUGCCUAUGGUUCUUAGACCGACACAGCGGAUUCUAGAUUGGGUAUUUUGGACUGAUCGUUCGAUUGAUUAAUGUUAUUUACAGUAGCGGUAGUUGCACAUCUAUUUUGUUUUCUAUUUGACAUUGCUACUGUAUUACUUUUCAUAGCUAUCUUUUGGUUACCAGUGAGCACACUCGUCCUCGUCGGCUUGCGGUACCCACUGGAAGACCCUUGUUGGUUUCUCACCACACCUCCCCCCCUCCCCCCAUUUCAGGUGAUCUUGGCAAACUGAGUCUGGACGAGGCAUGAGGUGCAUACAUAGCGAGAGUUAGAGUUUCCAGCUUGGCUACUUAUCGGUUUAGUCUCACCCCUCUCGGUUCAAUAAUGAAUUAGAUAGUAUGUGGUUCAAUUUUAUCUCUAUUUAACUUUAUUUGAUUUUACUCUGACAAUGGCAUGACUUAGAAUACUAAAUGAAACUAUUUUUGUGGACUUCAUGUGGAUUUGUAAAAAUAAUUUUCUAUCCCUCGUGGUAGCUUGCUUUUAAAAGAUAAGGGUUUCCGUGUGGAAAAUGGUUUUCAAAAAGGUUUUACAGUUUUCGUGAUUCUAGUAUUUCAAAAUAAGUUUUCGGGUGGGAAACGUUUUCAACUGAUAAAUGUGAUUGUAUAAAGGUACUUGUGAUCGUAUGUUGUGAAUGGAUGUGGUUGUAACUUCUAGGAUGUGUGACGCCGUGCAAAUACAUGAAAGACUCUGUCCGUGUAGACAAAGAGUUCUCUAUAUUUGUGGCGGGUCUGUCACCCUUGGGGUCAAGGUUUAAAAAAAAAAAAAAAAAAAAAAGGCACUUCCGCUAAUUCAAAGCGACGGCACAAAGAAUUUGGUCAAAGAUUUCUAUCUUCUCUAUUUUCGUCUUCUCGAUUACGAUUUUACAAAAAGCUUUUUUCGGUUAUAUUUUGGAGAUUUCAUUGAAGCAAGAGAAAGAUUGCAUUUGUUGGAAAAUCUUUCUGAUCUUCUAGUAAAAUAUUCUUUAAAAGCAAUUCAAAAGCUUAAUUUUAAUUUUAGAAAAAUUUUGAAAAAAAAUUAAAUAAUAAAUACUGUAGAGAAAAGGAUAGGAUAACUCCUGUAGAUCGAGGCAUGUAGAGUACUGUCUAGAAGUGAAAUUGCCCCUCCACGUGCGAGGCUUUCCGACAAUUACUUCAAGGUGGCGCAAGAUGAACUUGACAAGCUUUAGGAGUCCAGCGAAAUACUAGAAAGCUUAGCGAAAAUCAGUGCAAAAGUUCAAUAGCGAGAAAUAGAAGAAACAGAGGUAGCGGUUAGGGUUUUGUUCUUAGGUAUGCCUAGGUUCAAGGUUGAACUCAUGCAACCUCCUCUAAUAUAUAUAUCCAAGGCAAAGAUCUUUCUUCAACGCGUCAAUUCCAUAUAGCAUGAGAUAAGUCUAAGAUUAUACGGGAUACGGAUUAGAACUCCCACAAGAAUUAGGAAUAAGCCAAAAAAAAAAAUUAAAAUAAACCGAGUACCUGGACAGCGUGCGCCACCCGCCCGGCUCGGCUCGUAUGUGUUUAGUCGAGGGCAUAACUCUCAUUUUCUCCCAAGCAACUAGCUUGCGAAUGAAAGAGUAUAUAAAUAAUAACAACAUACUUUUAGUUUCCAAUAUGAGACUGAUCCUCACAUAUGAAAACCUUAAUAUGGGCUCCUAGGUAAGGCCCAUCAAGUAUUGGGCUGCUCAAAAGGCUUAAUAAGUUUUAAAUUACCAAAAACCCAAUAAAAUCUAACAAGAUUCACUAUAAGACUCUUGAUUUUUUUAUCUAGAGAAGACAUAAGGUAUAACCUUGUAUUUCUAUUUCCUCAUAUAUAUAUAGUGGAAUACAUCUCUCUCGCUUUUUUCGUUAACGUAGGCAAUUACAGAACCACGAAAAAUCUUGGUCUAUUUUUUCUGCAUUUAUUUCUAUGGGAAUUUGGUUAGAUUAGUAAUAGAUUUCUAGUUGAAUUAGGAAAAAUAUUUAAAUCUAUUGAAUAUAAAUUAAAAUGGAUUUACAUAUUGAUUAGAGUAUCCAUCAUAAUUAUACUGGAUUUGGGUACAUUUUAGGGGCUUUAUUAUAUAUAGCAUAGGAUGAUUAAUUAAUCAGGAAGUAUGUGUUACGAUUUGGUUAAAUUUUGCAGUUGAAUCCUAAUUGAAUUAUGAUUAAUAUUUAAAUUUGUUGGAAUAAAUUAAUUAAGAUUUAAAUAUUAAGUACAAUAUAAAUAUAAUUGUACUAGGAUUUGAAUACAUCUUCCAUAGAGCCGUAUAUAUAGGGCCGUGUAUGCUAAUUAUUGUAUAGCCUACGUAGUGUACGGCUAAGCCCGAAGCUCUUUUUUGGCGUGAUCGUACCAGGGAGAAACUAGGCCUAGUUUUGUGCACCUAGUGCAUGGAUGCAUACGGAAAUUUGUCUUCUAGAAUUAUAAAAGACGAGAGAAGUGUGGGAGAGAUUCAAAAAGAGGGCUCGAGUUGAAGCUACUUAGUGUAGAAAGGACUCAGGUGUAAUCUUCUUUUGUUUAAUGAAUCUUAUUUUAUUCGUAUAUUUUUUUUUCUUUAAUUUUUCUCAUUUGUGGUUGUACCAGCUGUUUGCCGAGGAGACAAGUUUAUCGAAAAAUUCAAUUUGACGCUUCUGUUGGUACCAAUCAACAACAGUCGGUAUCAAAGCGGGUUAUAGAUUCUCAAAAUCUAGUACCAGGCUGAGUACCAGAUUCCCAACAAUUAGUAUUAGAACUUAAGUUUAUCGAUUCUCAGGAAAGAUCAACUGAGGUGGCCACAAAAUUCAAAAUUGAGAAGUUCGACGGUAAGAACAAUUUUAAAUUGUGGCAGAUUAAAGUACAAGCAAUUCUCAUACAAUAAGAGUUGGAGGCAAAGCCAGCGGAGCUCAUGGAUGCAAUAUAGAAGAAGAUGGGGUGAAAAGUAUUAAGUCACUACAACAGAAUUAGGUUAUAGAGACACAUGUUUGGAACAUUUUUGUGUAAGUGUCCCAUUUAUACCAAAACUUUAAAAAAAAAUCUACUAAUGUCUAAAUAUAAAGCUCAAUCCAACAAAAAUAAACGGUUACCCUACUCAACCCACCCCACCGAGCCGAUUUGGCCCGAUUACAAACAGAAAAGAAAAAAAAAAGAAAAGAAAAAUCGAUUACCAUCUCCCAUUCUUUCCUCACUCAAUCCACUGAAAUCCUAGACGAAGAUCCCUUCCUCUCGUCCUCUUCCGCCACCGCAGCCAACGAGGUAGAGUUUCGGCGGUUGCUAAAUGCUUAAAUAAGUGUUUGUAAAUUAGCAGCACUCUUUUUAGAUUAUAGCGACACUCUUUAACUCUCACUGUAUACCUAGCGACCCCACAUAUAGCAACACUUUUUAAAAGUGUCGGUAAUUUAGCCAGCAACACUUUUUUUGACAUAUACCGACAUUUAAAAGUGUCGUUAUAGACCAUUUUUGUUGUAGUGGUACGCUUUAUCUAUCGUUAACAGAUGAGGUUCUCUCCUACGUAGCCAGCAAGUUGACACCGACGAAGUUGUGGAAGAAGUUGCAAGAUCUGUACACGACCAAAUCCUAACAAAUAGGCUAUAUUUGAAGCGGCCACUAUUCAAGCUAUGGAUGCAGAAAACGGCGAGCCAACACGAAUAUCUAAACAAGUUCAAUAAAGUGGUGGCUUAGUCGACUAGCAUUGGAGUCAAUUUUGAUGGUGAGGACAAGGCGCUAAUUUUACUAUCUUCGCUACUGACGGUAUAUGAGUAUUUAGUGACCAAAUUGCUAUAUGGCAAGGAGACCAUAAAUGUGUUGGCGGUCACGGCGGCGCUUUUCUCUAAUGAGAUACGAAAGAUGACUCAGGAGUCUAGCAUGCAUAGCCAUGAUAUUGCUCUGGUUGUAAAAGCGAAGAAUGAUGCGAAAAUAUCAGUGACCGCAAAAAGACAAAAGAAGCCGUUAUCUGGGUGUAGUUCUUCUACUGUAAUAGGAAAGGGCACAUAAAGUGUAACUGUCAGAAUCUUUAGAAUGAUCUGAAGAAGUUGAAGCGAUAGAAGGAGAAAACUACCAUGACGAGGAUGAGGAGACAUUAGCGAUGGCGCAGGCGACAGAAUCGAAGAUGAUCAAUUUCGAUGUGCUCUAUGCAGCGACCGGAGGUGCUAAAAUUUUGGAUGAUGCGUGGGUGCUUGAUUCAGCGUGUUCCCUUCAAGUCUGCCCAAGGAAGGAGUUUCUUGCCACCUCUAAGACGAUUCGGGUGGAAAGGCUCUGACGAGGAACGGGACGACGUGCAAAGUUGUGGAAGUCGGCACAGUAAUGAUCUGGAUACACGAUGGAGUCGUGAAGAUGCUGACAAGUGUGCGGCACAUUCCUAGUUUGAAGUAGAAUUUGAUUUCGCUAGCGUGUUGGAUUUGAAAUGUUGUGAUUUUUCAGCUUCAGGUGGAGAUAUGGCGGUACGAAAAUGAGAUUGGGUCGUGUGCGAGGCCUACAAGCACAGGAAUUUUUAUAUUCUGAACGGGAGUACAGUCAUAAUGGGAGUAAAAUCAGUUUGGGUUUCAAAAGUUCGUGGAGAUUCUGUCGCUCGAGAUGGAGUGGCGAAUACAGUGACAUCGAGCGGAGGAGACAAGCUCAAGGUGGAGCUUGCAUGGUAAGUUUGACGUAGCAGUUGAAAACUACAAAUCAAACUAAGGUGGUGAUUGUUAAGAUCUGGUCAGAUCUAUAGUUAAAUCCUAAUUGGAUCAAGAUUAAUAUUAAAAUCUGCUAGAGAUAAAUUUAUUAAGAUUUAAAUAUUAAUUAGAGUAUAAAUAUAAUUGGACUAUGAUUUGGGUACAUCUUGGGUCGAUCCUUGUAUAUAGGGCCAUGUAGUCAAAUUAUUAUAUAGCCUAGGUGUUGUAUAAGCCCAAAGCUCUUUAUUGGUGGUGACUAUACCAGGGAGAAGCUAGGCUUGGUUUGGUGCACAUCGUGCAUAAGUGCACAUGGAGAUUUGUCUUCUGAAAUUAUAGAAAAAUGAGAGAAGGGUGAGAAAGAUUCAAAAAGAGGGCUUGAGUUGAAACUAUUUUGUAUAGAAGAGGAGUCAGAUGUAAUCUUCUCUUAUUUAAUAAAUCUUAUUUCAUCCACAUUUUUUGUUUGAUUUUUUUCUCUUUUUUGUGGUUGUGCCAGUCAUUUGCUAAGGAGAAGGGGUUAUGGUAAAAAGUCGAUUUGACACUUUUAUUGCAAAAUCCCAACAACUGGCAUCAGAUCAACACCAGUUGUCAACGAAGUGGAUUACAGAUUCUCAAAAUCUAGUACCAAGGUGAGUACCAGAAUUCCAACAGUACAGCCAAGCCUAAGGUCAAGUUCAGCUCAAGUGGUGAAGCUUAAAGAGAGCCUAGGUGUCCGUACCAAGUUGCAGAUAGAGAGAGUCAUGGCCAUUGUUGCAUUCACUUAGUGCACGGAUGGGUUCAAAGAGAGUAGUCUUCUAAUUUUUUAUAGAAGAGGCUUGGGUUGAAGCUACUCUAUAUAGAAGAGGAGCCAAGUGUAAUUCUUCUCUUAUUUAAUGAAUAUUAUUUUACCUAUAUAUUUUUUGUUUGGUCUUUCUCUCCUUUGUGUUGUGCUAGUAAUAGUCUUUUUGUUGAGAAGGUAGAUUUAUGGCAAAAUUCUAAUUUGACACUUUUGUUGCAGUAUCCCAACAACUGGUACUGAAUCAACAGUAGUUUGUAUAGGAGCGGAUUGCGAAUUCUCAAAAUUUGGUAUCAAAGUGAGUACUAGAUUCCUAAUAAUUGAUAUAGAGCUUAAGGUUACCGAUUCUCGUAAGAGAUCGAAGGGGAUAGCGAUAAAGUUUGAUAGCAAGAACAAUCUCGACUUAUGGCAGAUUAAAGUACGAGCAAUCUGUGACACCCCAAUAGUACACACAUCUGAUAGGAAUGUGAUUGGGUAUAUAAGAGACCAUGAACAGUAGUAAUAAAAUUUGGGCAUAAGUAUUUCGGGCUGGUGGUUUGGGCCCAACGAGUUAUUAUUGCUAAAGAGUCGGAUCGUUACAUUUGAUAUUAGAGCCAAUUACCAGCCAGAAAUAUAAGAUGCAACAGAGUUAGGGUCGGAAUGAUAGGCUAAGCCAGGGUCUCGGAAUGAUAGGCUAUGCUAAAGUCAGAAUGACAAGGCUAGCGAGACAAGUCUCACAUUGCUUGGUGACCUUUGGUUGUGUGCAUGUGAUUAGGCUGACGAGGACGUUAAUGCCUAAAUUGGGGGAGUUUUUGACACUUCAAUAGUCCCACAUCAGAUGGGAAUGGGGUUGUGAUUGGUUAUAUAAGAGACACUAAAUAUUAGUAAUAAUAAUUAGGUUUAAACAUUUUCGGCAGGUGGUUUAAGCCCAAUGAGUUAUUAUUGCUAGUUAGCCGAGUCGUUACACAAUCGUCGUACAAAAGAGUUAGACGAUAAUUGAACGGGAAAGAGGUGAAGCGGGCGAAGGUCAUAGAUUCAACAUAGGAGAAGAUAGAGCAGAAGGUAUUGAGUAUGCUUCAUCUAUUAUUUGCAUAUGAUGUUCUUUACAAUGUAACCAAUAAGUCGACAAAGAAGUUGUGGACGAAAUUGGAAGAUCUGCAUAUGACCAAGUCCCUGACAAAUAAAUUGUAUCUGAAGCAGCGAUUGUUCACGUUGUGUAUCCAGGAAACAGCGAGCCUACAUGAGCAUCUAAAUGAGUUCAACAAGGCGGUGGCCUAGUUGACUAGUAUUGGAGUCAAUCUGGAUGACGAAGAUAAGGCGCUGAUUUUACUAUAUUCGCUACCAGUGACAUAUAAGCAUCCAUUGACCGCGUUAUUUUAUAGUAAGGAGACCAUAAGCAUGGAGGCGGUCACAGUAGUGGUUCUCUCAAAUGAAUUGCAAAAGAUGACUCAGCAGUCCGACAUGCAGAGCCGCGAUAUAGCUCUGGUAGUAAAAGCAAAGAAAAAGACAAAACUAUUUAUAACCGCAGAUAGACAGAAGAAGCCAUUAUUCGAGGUAAAGUGCUUAUACUAUCAUAGGAAAGGGCACAUUUAGUGCAAAUGUCGAAAUUUGAGAAUAAUAUGGAGUUGAAGCAAUAGAAAAAAAUACUAUUGUGGACCAAGACGAAGAGACAUCAGCGACAAUGCAUGCAGUAGAGUUGGAGAUGUUCGAUUUUGAUGUGCUAUAUGUAGCGACUGAUGGUGCUAAAAUUUUGGAUGAUGCGUGGCUACUCGACUCGGCAUGUUCCUUUCAUGUUUGUUUAGAGAAGGAGUCUAUUACCACCUGCAAGUUGAUCAAAGGUGGAAAAUGUCUUAUAGGGAAUAGGAUAGUGUACAAAGUUUUGGAAGUCGGCACGGUGAAGAUCCAGAUGCACGACGGGGUUAUGAGGAUGUUAACAAGUGUGCUACACGUUCCUGGUUAAACUUGGUAGGUCAAUGACAUGAUGACAUUCCUUCGAAAAUAGAAGACCUGAUUGGUCGGACAUUGUUGUAUUUUCGGCUAUUUGCAGAUGUUGACUAUUAAGCAUGUUGCAUCGAUCGCUUCAGCUCAUGAGCAUUUCACGUACACGAGCGGUCUGAUCCACCGUAAGAAGGUUUCUUUUUCAGAGAAGUGGUUGUACUUUCGACUUGUGACCUAACACAGAUUAUUUCUCAGGUCAUAUACUUAAUAAAACAUGUGUGAGAUAUAGCUUGAGGUCUAUAGACCAAUAUGGUGGAUGAUUGGGUAUGUUUGGACUAUUCAUCCGGUUGACGCAUUUCUAUUUUCUAUUUACAUGUCAGUAGUGGUUGUUUACACCUUCGAUUAUUGCUGUUAUUCCAUCCUAAUUUUUAUUGCUAUUGUACAUGUAUAUCUUUUCAUUAUACUUGCACAUUUUUAUUCAUCUUUAUCCUGUAGUAGUGGUUAUAUAUGCAUAUGAUAUUCCUUUCCUGUUUCUAUUGUUGCUGUAGUUAGUAUUUUUGUUUUUACCGUCGAUUAUCAUAUCUCUUGUUUGCAGGUGAGUACAGUUUGCUUUCGUCGGCUUGCGGUACCCACUAAAAAAUCUCAGGUUGGUUUCUCACCCCCUCUCUUCUCAGGUGGCACGGGCGGUGAGGGUCAGGACAAUGCAACAGGACGGUUUAGAUACUGGUAUCCCGAGCAUUGACUAUGGACGAUUCUUGAUGUUCCUGUAUUUGGUUUAGUUUAUUUCUAGUCCAAAUAUUGGUCGAUUUUGUUGGAUUAGUUAUACAUUUUUUACCUACAUAUUUAGUCUAACUCUUUUCCUACUGUUUUUCGUGAUGAUUGAUGAUUGUGGAUUUAUGUAAUUUGGAUAGUUGAUUUCUAUUUGUGGACGAUGUAUAUCCUGUAGUUACCUUUAUGUUAGUUCUUUAGUUAUUCUACUCUUGUAUCUCCCGUUUCUCAUUGUUCUGUAUUGUUGUUGUGUGGUUGGUAUUUGUAUUCAGGUGCUACGCUGUGCAUAUACAAGAGAGAUUUUGUUCGUUUGUUUAGGAGACCUUUCGUCUAUGUGGCGGGUCUGUGCGUGUUCCCAAGGGUGUCUUUAAAGGUGUUUAGCAAAAAAAUUUCACAUUUUUUCACUAGUUUUCUUAAAAUGGAUUUUCAAAAAGAACCCCAGAGCGUGACAGGGUACUGAUUAUAAUCUUUGUUGGCUUUUCCUAGGUGCAGGUGACUUCUAGAACCAUCGGUUGAGUGGGACUCGGGUACUUGGUGAGGUGGAUGCCCCAUUUCGAAAUCAGUAAAGUUGUAUAUUACUCAGUUUUGCUGUGAAUUUCUAUUGCUCUGCUACACUCAUGGGUAGUACAACUUAUCUUAACAUUCUACUAUUACUUGCGUUACUCUACGUGUCAGCUACGUGAUCUAUCUAUUCUUUGUAUUGCUUGUAUGAGUUACCAUGACUGUUUUUCCGUCUCUAUAGUACUAGUGACAUGUAGAGAAAGGUUCUAUCCAGUGUAUCUAAUUAUAAUAAGAUCUAGUAGGUCGGAGGUUACUCGUUGCUGAGAUUUGACUAUAUAGGUCGAAUCUAUAUAUGACUUGAUCUGUUAGGUCGGCAAUACUCAUUUGCUGGGUUUGGACCUCAUCGGUCGGCUGUUCUUCUAUGUAAGAUUGGACCUCAAAAGUCGAUACUUCCUUUAUGAGAUUGACCGUUUAGACUUAUCGUGUUCGUGGUUGAGACCUCAGCAUGCUACGUAUCUUUUUUCUUGUGUUUAGCAUCAUGUCCUUUGAUACUCGCGUCGUGUAGCAUACUAGUUGACUUGAGAUUUCCUCUUUGUUCCACUUGUCACCUACAGGCAGGGAUUUAACUGUUGAGUCUAAAUUGUUGAAGCUUUGAAUAUACGUAUAUGACUAUAGCUUGUGAUGGUACUGUAGAUCUUAGUUAGGGUUCAUAACCCUAGGUUCUUCAAUUGCCAACCGAGUGGGAGGUGUUGUUUCUUAGACAGGGUUUGCCACCCUGAGUGCUUCACUACUAGAUUUGAUGUAUACGUCAUUUAGACAGAGUUAGUAACUUUGGGUACUAGUGGUUGUGUCCCUUCAGAGUGUUACAUGAUUUUUGGUCUUCGUGACCAAGUGGACGAGCUUAGGCCGGAUCUUGAUGAUAGACCAUGGUGAUUAGGUAUACUUCGGACUAUUCAUAUGUUGAAUUGAUGCGUAGUAUCUUUAUUUGAGUUGAGCAUGUCAUUCUAGUAGGCUGUUUGGUUUACAAUAGCGGCAUCAUUUGUAUAGUGAUUCAUGAUAUUCUAUAUGUACUAUCUUACUACUGUAGUUUGUGUUGUUCUUUCAUUUAUAUAUGACUUUCGUUUACAGUAGCAGUAUCUUUAGGGUUGCUUGUUCAGGACAUUUAAUCAUUUACUAUCUUGCUACUGUCGUUGGUUUUAUUCAUCAUAUUAGUAUUUUUAAUUCAUGUUUAUAGUAGCGGCAUUACAUUGUAUUUCACUUCAUGAUAUUUAUCUAUCUAUCUUUCUUGCUACUAUAGUUAAUUACUCCUCAUCUACAGUUAUUCAUUUAUCAUACUCCUUUUGUUUACCAGUGCAUACAACUUACCCUCGUCGGCCGAUUGCUCCCACUGGGAGACAUAUUUAUGUGCUUAUUACCCCACUGCUUUUAUAAGUGUGAGAUUCCUGGUGUUUGGCUGUGGGGGCUUGUCGACAGCUCUGGAGAGUGUCGGGACAAGUCCGAGUCGCGUUGGCGUCAAAUAGACGCAAAACGGACUCCGUGCGACGCGAGGGCAGCAUUCAGCGAAGGAAUCUGCGAAACAGCAGAUUUUCCUGCUUGCUGUACCGGUACAAGUGUAUGCUGUACCGGUACAACCAGCGCGGGGAAUGCUUGCUGUACCGGUACAAGGGUUUUCUGUACCGGUACAAGCUACGCGCACAGAUUUAGCUGCUCUCGGGUUGGCUCUUGUACCGGUACAGGAGCCCGUGUACCGGUACAAGGGAGUUGGUGGAGGGCUAAAUCAGUAAAAUUCCACCUCGUUCAUGUCACCGUCUUUCCCUCUCUCUAUUUAUCUGUGGAUUGAGCUGAGAGAGAGAGAGUUUUCACCAUCUCCUUUCUCUCUCUCUCACUCUAGGCCGGUUGGGAGCACGGUUGAGCCGGGGAUUCGCCGACGUCGCGCCGCGAGCCGUUCGAGCGAGCGUUUGUUGCCGGGGCAUUGCGAAGAGGCCGGGCGAGGGUGCGUCUUCGCCGUCCUGGACAUCGCGCCGAGGAUUGUCGCUGUUGAGGUGAGCAUUUGGUCGCAAUUGCUCCGAGUACUUCGGGUAUCGUUGAUUUGAGCUUAAGUGCUGUUUUCGCAGAAUCUACCGUCGACUGUUAGUAUUUCGGCUCGUUCUCCGCGUAGGAGCGUCGGAUCGCGACGAAACUUGGUUCAUUGGAUUCUAGACUGCGAGAGGAUUCCACGGAGCCCUCACUUGCAAUUUUUGGACGAGGUUAGCUUGGUCGAAACUUGGUCUCUUUCAGCUGCUGUGAACUUAGGCUGAUUUGUGAUGUUUUGGUCGUUUUAGCUCGGCGACCGGUCUAGGUGGUCCCUGAGGAAUCCAGCAGCAUCGCGGGUGGCCGAGGCUGAGUUCGCUGCCAGGAAAUUGCACUUGAGGUGGGUUACAUCGGUUUUAUCUCCUAAGUUCAUAAUCGUCAACAUGUAUAGAUCUUGAGUUUGAUAAUUUAUUCUAGCUCGAAUUCAUGGAUUAUAUGAUAGAAUGCAAAUCUGAAUUUGGAGUAUGUGGUAAUAAAUUAAGUAGAUUAUAUAUGUUGGACUUGGAAACUGAAUUAGGAGAAAACCUGCGAUUUGGACCUGUCACCAGUUUUAACUACCUGAUUUAGCUCUAGGAGCCGUUAGAAAAUUGUACUGUCGCAGUUUCUUCGAGACGAGUACUCCAGGUAGUUUAGAAUGUAUUUACACUCGUGCUGGUUCGCCGAGUGGAUUUUUACAGGGUCGUUCAGGUCGUUUCGGACUGUUGGGUGCCGUCAGAGUUGACGGUGGACCCGUAUCGCCUUUUUGGCGUCAGAUUGUGCCGAGGGCACGUUACCUGUUGGUUGUUAGACCAGUUUGAGUCGAUUACUUGACUUUGGCUAGUUGGAGCCUGAUUGAGCUCGACAGAGAUACGCUGCAUACUCGGUUGGGUAGCGCCCACGAGUGCCACUCCGGAGUCAGGCUUGUGCUUUUGCGUUGGUGUCGCUCAUGCCAGUUGGACUUGCUCUCCACGGACCAGUUAGAGUGGAUAGAGCCCGAUAGUCGCAACGGGGCAGGGACGGGUGUAUUCACAGUCCCGGGGACGGGUAUGCUUACAGUCCCGAUUGGAUUGGGUCAGAUUUGACAUUUCCUACAGUUGGUUAGUGUAGAGCAUGAUAGUGUAGUGGAUGAUAGCGGUAGAGUAUGCUUCCUGCUUUCCUUCUAUCCUUGCUCCCUUCUGUAGACUUAGUGGGUGACCGAUGUUGUUUUGGGCGGUACCCACUGAGGACUACUUGUUUUUACAGUAGUUCUCACGCCCAGUUGUUACUUAUGUUUUGCAGAGCCACAGGUGCCGGCUGCUGCAUCUUCUGCCGAUCAGGAUCGAGGCAAGGGCGUUGCGAGCUAGAGCCCUACCCGACAGUCAGAGCUAGAGGCUUUCCCCUACUGCAGGUAGUUUUGUUUUGGAGUUUAUGUACAUAGUUGUUUAACUCGCCAGUGCGAGUAGCUUUGUAUUUUGGAUUCUAGCUAUGUAUAUGAAACUCAGAUAUUUAGCUUAUUUUUUUGGGCAGCUCUAUGCUACUGUUUGUAGUAUUGUAUUUCUACUGGUACUUUGACGCUUCGUAUACAGGGGAAAUUCCUUGUAUACGGCGGAUUUGUCGGCGUGCCCGGAGAACGAGACAUCCGGGGCGUGACAAAUUAAGUUGGUAUCAGAGCUUUGCUAUAGGUUGUUGGGACCUAGGAAACCUAAGUUCGGCAAACCUUAGGAAAGCAAGACGCGAGAGGCGUAAUUUAUUGCGAAAGUCAAUGAUUAGCUGUUCUAACUCCUCCUAGAGUGGGGGAGUGACCGAAGGAGUUCCUGUUUUGGCCUGAGGAAUUAUGUUGGCUGCAGACGACAUAAUUUUGGAGGAAAACAGGGACCGCCUUCCAGACUUUCGUUGAUUGUGUCGAGAGUGUUGUGUUGUAUUUGACCCCGAUUUAUUCCUUUCAGCUAUGUAUCGUCGUCGAGGUCGACCGUCGUUGCGGGAGCGGGCCCAGUUGGCGCGGGAUCAUGCUCGACCUUCUGAGAGAUCUGAGCAGAUGGAGCAGAGUACUCUGCAGGAGCAGGGUGACAGACCGGAGGCGAGUGCACCCCCUGUUGUGUAGCCGAGUGCGCGACCUGAGGCUAGCGCACCCCCUGAUCUGAGUGCACAGUUAGCUGCCCUGACCGAGGUGACGAGGCAGCAGGGGGAGUUGUUGCAGAGGUUGUGUGAGAAGAUAUCUCAGUCACCGAGUUCAGCACCGAGUGUACCAGAGCAGACUGUUUCACCACCGACUACACCAGUGACCGUACCAGCUGCAGCAGUCCCUCCGACAGCAGCAGUUCCAGUAGCGCCAGUUGCGUCGGCUGGGGGGCCAGUACAGUUGACUGAGGCCGAGCAGGAGCGGUGGACGGAGAGGUUGGCUCGUUUUCGCCGAUUUGAUCCAUCGAUUUUUAUGGCAGAUGCACUGAGGCGUGGGUUGUUGAGGGAUGGGUCAGUGCGAUGGAGAAGCUAUUUGAGGAUCUGUUCAUUCCGGAGGGGGAGCAGGUACCACUGGGAGUACACUGUUUGUCAGGUGAUGCACGUGAUUGGUGGCGGAGAGCGAGGCGAGACCAGGGACUGGUGGCGGCGCAACUGAGAUGGGAUGAGUUCUGUGGAAUGCUAUUUGGGAUGUUCUUUCCCAACAGUGUGAAGCAGAAGCUCGAGGAGGAUUUGAGGAGACUUCAGCAGGGAGAUCGCCCAGUGCAGGAGUACGUUCGGGAGUUUACUCGACUCCUGAACUGUGUACCAUUUGCGGCCAGAGAUGAGGCGCACAGGGUAUACAUGUUCGAGCAGGGGCUGAGAUCGGACAUCUUCAGGUUAGUGCGGGCGCAGAGGUCGAGGACCCUGGAUGCGUCCAUAGAGCAGACCCUAUGGGUGGAGAGAGGUGAGGUGUCGCUGCAGGAGAGGACUCAGAUUGUGGGGCAGAGUCAAGACAGGAAGCGCCCCUUUCCAGAUCACGGAGGGCAAUCGAGCAGCAGACGUCCGCCAAGGCCUCCACGAUCACGUUCUCAGGGUCGUGGGUCUUCGGGGCGUCAGCGUUCCAGGGGAUUCCGUCAGCAGGGGCAGACUCAGAGGACGCCACAGUGUGUGAUCUGCGGGGGACCACACUGGCCUCGGCAGUGCGAGCAGAGAGAGGGCAGGUGCUACGGAUGUGGUCAGCCGGGACAUAUGAGGGCAGCUUGUCCCCGAGCAGCAUCUCCAGCACCGUCAUCAGCUUCGGCACCACCAGCACCACAGCAGUCUUNNNNNNNNNNNNNNNNNNNNNNNNNNNNNNNNNNNNNNNNNNNNNNNNNNNNNNNNNNNNNNNNNNNNNNNNNNNNNNNNNNNNNNNNNNNNNNNNNNNNCUUCUGUAGACUUAGUGGGUGACCGAUGUCGUUUUGGGCGGUACCCACUGAGGACUACUUGUUUUUACAGUAGUUCUCACGCCCAGUUGUUACUUAUGUUUUGCAAAGCCACAGGUGUCGGCUGCUGCAUCUUCUGCCGAUCAGGAUCGAGGCAAGGGCGUUGCGAGCUAGAGCCCUACCCGACAGUCAGAGCUAGAGGCUUUCCCCUACUGCAGGUAGUUUUGUUUUGGAGUUUAUGUACAUAGUUGUUUAACUCGCCAGUGCGAGUAGCUUUGUAUUUUGGAUUCUAGCUAUGUAUAUGAAACUCAGAUAUUUAGCUUAUUUUUUGGGCAGCUCUAUGCUACUGUUUGUAGUAUUGUAUUUCUACUGGUACUUUGACGCUUCGUAUACAAGGGAAAUUCUUUUGUAUACGGCGAAUUUGUAGGUGUGCCCGGGGAACGAGACAUCCGGGGCGUGACAAUAAGUGUCACUAACAUUGCGGGUCGGGAUGCAGUGUGAGAACGCAGUCAGUUAGCACCUAGAUAAUUCAUGAUGUAUAUAGGCCUUGAUUUAGUCCCGAAUUUAUUCUUAUUCGUUAUAUUCAUAUCUGUGGAAAUUAUAUUAUUCUGUUUGGGGGAUUUAAGUUUAGAUUCUACUUUUGAGUUUUCCUAUUGUAGUGGUUUGGCGGAUUCCUGGUUUUUACUUGUUAAUAGUUGGAAAAACUUCAGAAACCCCCCCGUGGUUUCAUAGUUUCUCACUUUGCCCCCCUGUGGUUUAAAAUGUAUCAAAUUGUCCCCCUGUGUUUUCGUUUUUAUCUUUUCGGUAGCUUUUUCGUUAAUAUUUAAUUAAAUUAUAUACAAAAAACUUCAGAUACCUAUCUAGAUUUAUCAAAUAUUCACUUUAGUACCCUUUAAUUUUAACUUUAUAACUGAUUUAAGAAAAAAAAAUAAUAAAAUUGAUAAGAAAAAGAGAAAAAAGAAACCACAGGGGGGCAAUUUGAUACAUUUUAAACCACAGGGGGGCAAAGUGAGAAACUACGAAACCACAGGGGAGGUUUUUGAAGUUUUCCCUUAAUAGUUUUCCUUCCAAUUUUGGUUGCUUGUGGUUGUGUAUCUGGACAUCUAUUUGUAUAAGGUAGACUAUGUCUACAUAGAAAGAGAAAACUUUGUGCAUAUGACGGAUCUAUACACAUCUCUGGCGAGAUUUCAAAAAAAAAUUCAUAUGCUUUUCCGCAAAUUAUACUUUCAAAAUAGAAGGAUUUCCAAAAAUGCUUUUCAAAAAGGGCCGAUGCAUGCGUGAUAUUAAAUGUUAAAAAUAUUUAAUAAAAAAAGGAAUUAAAGGUUAUUCAUUAGAAAUUUUUAAUAUAUAUUUGAAAUUAAAUGUUAAUUUAAGUAUGUGUUUAAAUUAUGAUAUAAAAAUAUUUAAUAAAAACGGAAAGAUUAUCUAUUAGAGAGUUUUAAUAUAUAUAUGAAAUUAAAUGUUAAUUUAAGUAUGUGUUUAAAUUAUGAUAUAAAAAUAUUUAAUAAAAAAGAAAAGGCUAUAUAUUAGAGAAAAAUCCAAAUUAAAGUUUGUUUCAUUACGUAUCCAUUCCUACCAGUUCCUAUUCUUAUCCUUAUAUUUCACUUCUUAUUUUUAUAUUUUUUAAAAUGGUCUAUUGACCGACCGAGUGAAAUUUGAAAUACGUACUUUUAUAUAUAGUAUAGAUAUAGAUAUAUAUCAGAGAGAUUGCAAUACUUACAUAUUGUCCAUCCAUUACGCUUGCCAUAAAAAAUAAUCAAGAAUGAUUCGAGAUUUGAAAUUCAAAAAUAACUUACAUCUGUUGGUUCCCUUGCAAAGGACUCGGUCGUUGAUCCCAUGUCUACUUACUUGAAGAUGAAUAGAUCUUGAUUAUCUUUAUUUAUAUAUGAUGGAAGAGAUGAGGGACAUGAUAUAACUAAUGUAAAAGUGCGGGAAGGAAAUACUUAUUUCAUGAAUAUUAUGCUCCCACACAUAUUUUAAUGCUUAUUUGAAAAGAAAAAACAUUUUGAAAUUAAUUUCAAAUUUAAUUGUUUGUUACAGUUAAUAAAAAGUUAGUAUAAUAAUAAUAAUUUGUGACAGCCUAAUAGUCCCAUAUCGGAUGGGAAUGGAGUUGUUAUUGGAUAUAUAAGAGGACUCCACCUUAAUAUAGCCGAGUUUAGGCAUUUUGGAUUGAUGAUUUUGGCCCAACGAGUUGUUAUUAUUGGCAGGUCGUGUUGUUACAUUUGGUAUCAGAGCCGAUUCACCAGCUGGAAGUGGAAGUGUGAGAUAAGUCUUAGAGCCAGGGUUGGAAUGACAGGCUAAAUCAGGGUCAGUGAAUAAUAAACUAAGUCAGAGUCGGAAUGAUAAAGUUAACGAAACGAGUUAUUAUUAUUAGUGAGUAGGGUCGUUACAUAUGGAAUAAUAUAUUGGGGCAAUUGCCUAUAUACCCCUGAAAAGNUUGUUGACAACAACUAUUUAAAUUUGAAUUAGAGUAUGACGGGUAAUAUUAUAUAAUAAAUAAAUUUAUUUUUAAAAUAUUAUAAAUUUUUGAAUAAAUAUAAUGUAUAAUUUUUUAUUAAUUUAAAAUAAUUAUUAAAUAAUUAAUUGUUACGUGCAUUUGUACGUACACUCAACUAGUAUAUAUAUAUAUAUAUAUAUAUAUAUAUAUCUUGAUACAUCACGUGCAGAUAAUUAUUUUUUAAAAGGCAAAUCAAAUUAUUUGAAUGGUCUGAAAUCAAAGUUUUUAAAAUUUAGAUAAUUAUUUUCAAAUGAUCCUAAUUAAUAUACCUCGGUUUUCACGUCGAUUCAACAUGAUAAUCGAACAACCUAACUGCACCAAUUCUAUUGGUCAACGCCUUACGUGCUAGAGUAAAUGAGAGCGUAGAACAAUUUUUUUUUUAUUCUCAGAGAUUUAAACUAAAGGUGAGAAAACAACGACAGAAAACAAAAGCAACGACAUUUGAGGGCCAGAGGUAAACAGUAUUUUAAAUAUCUAUAUCCAUAGAUAUAUUAAAAGUUGGGUUUUCGGAAAGCUCCACGUGGUAGCGGAUGGGCGCGCACAAGGGUCGCGGGUCGCGUGUGGCCGGGCGGGCGCGGUGUGGACGCGCACGAGGGGCGCGAGCGGGCUCGGUCGCGCCUCCUCUAAUUCUCCUCUCUCUCUCUCUCUCUCUGUCUCUCUCUCUCUCUCUCUCCCCGCGAGCGAGCGACCCUGCAGUUCCAUCUUGCCCUUCCUCCCUGCCCCCUGGUCUUUUAAAAUAUCAUAUACACCAAGUCUCUUUUUAUUGUUAAUAUUUUAAAAUUUAUACGAUAUAUAAUCCGGCAGUUUCAUCACAUUAUAAAAAUCUUUAAUAUUAAUUAUCAAAUAUUCUAUCAAUCAUCUGAUAUGCUUUGAUAGUGUAUGAAAUAUUAAUAUACAUUAAGUGCAAGUAAAGAUUUCUUCUCUUUUUCUUUGAAUCAUGAAUGCGUUAUAUUAAGCAUUCUCUAUAUUGGAUGUAUAUAAGAAUAUACACCACAUACUUAAAAUAUUUAAUAAAGAUUUUAAAAUUUAAUUCAGUAAACAUAUUUAAAUUAUUAAACUUUAUAAUUUAGAUAUAUUUAAUUAAGUUUUGAUAUUAAAAAUUAGUCUUUUAAUAUAAUUUGUGGUGUAUGGUGUGUUAAUAUACACCAGGUGCAAAUAAUAACUUUUUCUUUCUCCAAUCAAUAUUAAUUAGAUAAGGAUAAUAUCAUAUAUUUACAAUUUAGAAUAAGUUCUCCAAUUUUAACUCUUUAAUUAAAACUUUAUUUAUAGAAUAGCUACUAAAACUACUAAAUUUGAUUGAAUUUUUAGGUGAAGUUAUUAGAAUAUUUUAACUUUACAAAUACUAAAAGUUAAAAAAUAUUAAUAAAAAAAUGUUAGCUUUAUAAUGUAUAGAAGGUUAUAUAUAUCUUUAUUUUUUAUUAUAUUUUUUUAAUUUUAAAAUAUAAUAAUUAUAUAUAUUGAUUGGCUGAAAUAUUAUUAAUCUGUCGCGGAAUGCGGGCCCUAAACUAGUACACUAUGAAUCCUCAGUUUAAAAGAUUCAACGUGGCAUUUUGGGGCGGAGGCGGAGAGGGGGUGUGGGGUGCGGCCCAUCUCUCUCUCUCUCUCUCUCUCUCUCUCUCUCAUUUUAACAGAGAAAAAUAAAAUUCAUCAUUUUUUUAAUUCAAUCUAAUUCUCCUCUCUUUUAAUAUAAAAAGGCCUAAUUUUAAAAAAAAUUUAGGUUGCAUGCAUUAAAUAUAAAUUUUGAUUUUAUAAUAUUGAUCAAAAAAAAAUGGAGUUUAAAUUAAUUAGUUAUUUUAAUAAAUUUAGUUGCAAGAGUUGUAUGAAAUAUAAUAAUUAAAUUUGUAAAGUUAAAUAAUGCAUUGAAAUUUUAAAAUUAAAGUACUAUUGACUGUGUAGUGUCUCUGGUAUUCUGCUGCUCGUGGGUUUCAGCAUUUGAGGCUUGUCGACACAUCUGGAAAGUGUCGAGACAAGUGGGAGUCGUUUUGGACAAAUUGGACGCAAAACGGACUCAGUGUGAUGCGAGAGUAGAGUUUUGACAUUGGAAUCUGCAAAGUGCAAGAUUUCAGUAUUGAGUACCGGUACCAGAAAGAGGAGUACUGGUACUCCCAGUGAAAUUCCAGAACUGAUGCUCUCGAGUUGCGCCAAUCUGAUGCUGAGUACCGGUACCGACCUGUUGAGUACCGAUAUCGAGCUCGGGUACCGGUACUCCAUCGGGCGAGUAUCGGUACCUUGUGUGCGAGCUUGCGGGUUCAGAGGCCGAGUACCGGUAACCAAGUUGGGUACCGGUACUCCAGCUGGAUUUUUGAGUUGGUGAGGGGCCUUUUGGUCAUUUGUUGUGUCGAUCAACCCAAUGUUACUCCCAACCUAUAUAUUCACUGUGAGAGAGUCUAAGCCGGUUCUUCUUCUUCUUUCUCUCUCUCUAGCUGGUGGACUCGUAUGUUGUAGAGGUCGCGGCUAGAGCUCGGGAGGUUGUCGCCUCGAUCCAGAGGGCCGUUCGAGCACGCGGGCGUCGUGGUUGCAUCGUUGGGAGGCCAGGUGAGCACGUGGAUUCCCUUCUUUCGACUUCUCGCCGUUGUUGGACGAGGGGUUGAAGUUUACCGAACUCACCAGAUUUUCUUCUAAGUUCUAUCAACGUCAACAUGUGUUUGUUGGUUAUUGGUUAAUCCUGCUAGUACUCGAAUUCAUGAAAAUUAUAGAUUAGGCUAUAAAAUCUAAAUUUGGAGUUAAGCUAGUAUUAUAUUCAUGCUGGACUUGAAAUUGACUUAGGAGAAAACUAAUAAAUUCUAUACUGUGAUUUUUCUGAAAAUUAUCAGAUUUAGCUUUAGAUACUGUGGUUCGUUUGUAUCGUCGCUGUUCGUAUGCGGUGGAUACUGACAUUAGUGUAGGAUGAGUUUACGCUCGUGCUGGGAUGCCGAGCUUAAUUUAUGGUAGUGUGUAGACUAUUUCGGACUGUCGGGCGCCGUCGCGGUUGAUGGUGGACCUAGAUUUCUGUAUUCGCAUUAAAUUGUACCAAGAACACGUGAGCUUUUGUUGUUAGACCAGUUAAACCCAUUUGAAAUGAUUAUAGCCUGUGAGAGUCUUAUUGAGCUCGGCAGAGAUACAGUUGCAUACUCGGUUGGGUCGCGCCCACGAGUGCCGCUCCAGAGUCUGGUUCUUUGCUUUGCGUUGAUGUCGUUGUUGUCCUAUUUGAAAUUGCUCUCCAUAGGCAGCCCUCGGGGUGGUGUUCGGUGUAGAUUCGACAGACGCGACGGGUGUAUUCACAGUCCCUAGUGAGAUUGGAGCAGAGAUAGUAUUUCUUUUAUCUAUAGAUAGUUAGUGUUGAUUAGCGAUAGUAUAGUAGCAUAUAGCUGUAGGGUUUCCAGCUUUCCUUACUAUCUCUUGUACACUUUUUAGUAGACUUAGUGGAUGAGCCGUUGAGGUCGGUGACGGCACCCACUGAAGACUACUAUAUUUUGCAGUAGUUCUCACACUCAGUUGGUGACCCCUUUUUGCAGAGCCUUCGUCUGCGGCUGCAACUGUUGCUGAUUCCGACCGUGGGAAAGGAGUUGCAAGUUAGAUCCCUACCAAGCGUGUCGCCGUACAAGAGGAGGACCCUCCGCAGGUAGUUUUGGAGUGUUUUGGUUCAUGUACAUAUUUAUGUUGGUCUACUCGCUGGAGCGAGGGUUGGUUGUAUCUCGGAAACUUUGUAUGUAUAGUGAACCUAUUGUUUUAUUUAUAUGUUCAAUUUAGCUACUCUUUACCUUGUGGUUGUAGCUUGGUUUUGUUUACAGGUAUAACUAUCGCUUCGUAUACAGAAAAAUUUCUAUGUAUACGGCGGGUCAGUUGGUGUGCCCGAAAAAAUAUGAUAAUCCGAGACGUGACAGACUGACUCAAAUCUACAUAUUAAAAUGUUGGAUAGAAGAAAACAAAAUUUUAAAAGGUUGGAUAGCUAAUUCAAAAUAGUUCAUAAUUCAAGAAAUUUUAAUGUGUUUUAAGUUUGAUUUUAGUAUCAAACUUCAAUGUUAUUUUCGUAGUCUGAUAAGCGAUCAAAUUUCACGUUUAAAUCUUCUAGAAUAUCCAAACCAUGAUUAGUUGACUUUUAAUUUUAAAAUUAGACAUCCUAAAAUUUAUUAGAUAGUUUAACAGAUUAUUUUGUCAAAUGAAAUUACUAACUAAAUAAUACCGAUGAAUGUUGAACUCUGUCUUCGUCCAGAAAAAAAUAAAAUAUAAAAAAGAUAAAUUACACUUUUGGUUUUCAAACUAUAAGACAUAUGACACUUUAGUCCUUAAAUUUUAAUGUGUUAUAAUUUUUAGGUCAAACCACGAGACACGUUAUAUUUUAAUCCUUAAACUUUGAUAAGUUUCAAUUUUUAAUUUGCACAAUGAGGCACAUGACAUAUUUUUGCAAAAUUUCUGGCUUACACAUUACAUGUUAGUCUUACACAUUGCAUGUUAGUCCUUAAUUUUUACUACUACUAUAAAUAUAAUUUAUUAUUUUUGUGAUUUUUUCUUACUUUUUUUAAUCUUCUUAUAUUUUUAUUUUUAGGAUUUUACUGCAGUAGUUUCUUUUAUUUUUUAUUUUUUAUUUUUUAUUUUUUAUUUUUUAUUUUUUAUUUUUUAUUUUUUAUUUUUUGACUCUUAUUUUAUUUUUAAAUUUUUUUAAUUUUAUUUAUUUAUUUAUUUAUUUUUUGAAAUUAACCCGCAGCAACAGGUGGCUGCCUGCACUAGCAAUACUAUGAAACCUCAGUUUCAAUCCACCUUGCAAAAGGCACCACAUAAUCAAUAACAAACCAAUCACCUUUCUUCUUUUCAAACAAAAGUACAAUAAAAAUACUUUUUUAUAAUCAUGAUGGGACAUAUAUUUUUAAAGAGAGAUUUUUGAUUGGUUUAUUACACCACGUCACCAAUAUACCCGUUGCAUUCUAAAAUUUUUCCAAUAGGAGGUGAGUGCUGGUGGGGUGGUGGUGCCGUGGGGCCCAGUCGGGUGGGGGAGGGUAGUUUCUCUCUCUCUCUCUCUCUCUCUUUUGGUGUGGAGAUGAGGAUUUGGAACUUUUUUUUUUUCAUCCAAUCUAAUUUUUUUUAUUAUUAUAGAAAUUUAAAAUAUAUAAUUUUUUUACGUAUAAUUUAGAAAUAGUUUCGACUGUAUUCAUUAAAUAAAAAAUUUAAUUUUAUAAUAUUGAUCACUUAGAUAUAAAUUGUAUAAUAAAAUAUAAAAAAAGAUUAAUGUAGUUUAAGUUAAUUAUUUAUUUUAAUAAAUUUAGUUGUUAGAAUCAUGUGAAAUAUAUUAAUUAAAUCUGCAAAACUAAGCGACAUAUUCAAAUGUUGAAGUCAAACAAUUAUUGACUGUCUCACAUCUAUCAUAUGAAAAAAGCUGAAUAGUAAAAAUAAAAUUUUGAAAAGUUGAAUAGCUGAUUGAAAAUAGUUCAUAGUUCAGAAAUGUUUUACAUAGUUUUACUUUGAUUUUAGUAUUAAACUUUAAUAUCAUAUUUAUAGUCCAAUGAGUGAACAAUUUUACAUAUAAAUUUUUUUAAAAUAUUCAAAAUAUGAUUGGUCGACUAUUAAUUUUAAGAAUUAGGCAUUCUAAACUUUAUUUGAUAAUUUAACAUAUUUUUUUCUCAUAUAAAAAUACUAAUUGAAUAAAACCAAUCAAUUAAUGCUCAAAUGUUUUAUAUAUUUCUAUUUUGAUUUUAAUAUUAAAUUUUAAUAUCAUAUUUAUAGUCCGAUUAAUUUCACAUUUAAAAUUUUUUAAAAUAUUCAAAAUAUGAUUGAUCGAUUUUUAAUUUUAACAAUUAGUCAUUUUAAAAUUUAUUAAAUAGUUUAACAUUAAUUUUUCUCACAUGAAAUUAUUAAUUGAACAAAACCAAUCAAUAUUCAAUUAUGACUUCGUUUGAAUAAGAAUAAAAUAUAAAAAAAAGGAUAAAAACGCUAUUGGUCCUCAAACUAUAAGACGCAUAAAACUUCAGUUCUCAAACUUUCAUUCGUUACAAUUUCUUAUUCAAACUAUAAGGUUCGUAAUACUGUAAUCCGUAAACUUUAAUUAGUGAUAAUUUCUGUCUCCAAUUACGAGGCAUAUCAUAUUUUAAUUUUCAAAUAUUCUUAUGGCAUUUACAAAUAUAAUUUAUUAUUUUUAUUAUUUUUUUAUACUUUUAAUAUUUUUAUUUCUAUGACUUUACUGCAGCAGCCGCUGCUUUUUCUUUAAUUUUUUUUUAUAUUUUAUUUAUAUUUUUAACUUUUUUCUUAUUAUUUUUAGUUUUAUUUAUUUAUUUAUUUUCGUGGAAUCAAUCCGCCUGCAACAUGCAAUACCUUCACUAAUUUACAUUGAUUCGUACGUACUGACCUGCAUGUAGAACAAAGGAGAGAACUCAGGACUGUCCCCAUCAACGUCCACCCAGUCCGCCAGCGGCACUUCCUUGUCUGCCUCAGCCGUCGCUGUGGCGCCCUCCAAGAAUUCCGCCGUGCUGACCUCCAUCACCGCCGCCUGCACGAGCCGAACCCCGGCGUCGUUCGGCUUCACCGCCCACCCUCCUUCUCCCUCCCCAACAGCAGCUCUCUGAAGGCGCCCCGCCAGCUCCGGCCUCUCCGCCAGCGCCACGCUCAGCGACUCCUUCAUCCACGCCGCCACCAUCCACGCCGACUCCUCCUUCCCGGCGCUACUGUAGUAAAGUAUGAUGCGGAGCCGACUCUGAAAGAGUGGGGCGGCGUAGGUGGCGCCGGUGGUGAUGUGGCGGGGACGCCGCCCGGGCUCCGUCACUCGGCACGGCAUCGCCGUAUGUAUCGCCUCGACGUGGAGCUCUUUCGGGAGAAUUCGAUCAGCCAUUAGAACACAGAAUUUAAACUAUAUAUAAUGAUCGUAUUCCUUUCUUUUUGGCUUUUUUUUUUAGCUUUUUUUAGCUAUAUUUGAUUUUACUCUUUUUGGAGGGAACUAAUAAAGGGCGAGGGGACUGGGGAGUGGAGUGGUACUUGAAAGGAAAAUAAAGAGUACUGCUGUGGGGAGUACCCCUCAACAGUAGACAACUUUAAAAUCACCCGUACCCCCUUAACAUUUUUUUUUCUUUUUUUAAUUUGCAUAGUUUUAGUAAUUAAUUUAUGGAGUUAUUCUCACUCAGUUCAGUUGGUCCUGGGACUUUUCAUUAAUUUAAAUUGCAUAGCUUUUUUUUUUCACUUUUUAAUAAGGUAAAAAACUUACCAAACCUAUCGAUCAAAACUUUGGACAAUUUUGAUUUGGCUAUAAAUCUUUAAAAAUUUUAAUUAAACUAUCCAGAUUUUGAAUUUAUUUUGAUUAGUUGGAGUCGGACAAUGUUGUAAAAUAUUUGAUCCGUUUUCUAAUUAAUUUGAAAUAAUUCAUAAAUGAAUUAGUAAAUAAAUAAAUAUUUAUAUAAGUAUAUAAUAAGACUAUGCAAGAAAUAAAUUAAAAUCGGGUUGGCAUGGGAUGAGGCGUGCACGAAGCACUGUCCUAGAGACGAAAUUGCCCCUCCACGGCGAGGCUGCGUGGCGCGCAAUUCACUCUAGCAAUACAACUCCCUCGAAUUCCCGAAUCUCCUCCGUCGGCGCGGCUUCAAAGAAGUGCUAAUUGAGUCUAUUCCAGCUUUAGGGAUCUUAGUUAGAAAACAACUUAGAAAAGAGGAUCAAAGUAAUUUCUCAAAAAAUUGUAGUACUGAUAAUGCAUGAGGGCUCCGUUCUUUUUCUCUCUCAGACUCUCUCGGACUCUUUAAAUUAUCCAUAAAUCUAACAUUCCCCACAUGAUUUAAAAUUUUAUAAAAUUAUUAAAAAUAAUUAUCGAAUAAAUGAAAAUUAUGAAGCUCGUGAAAGAAAAAAAUUGAGAUCCUUAUACUUCACAAUCAGCAUAGGGUACUUUUCAAUUUGAACCCUUGCUUAGUGUUAAUUGUGUACAUCAGCGGGCUCACUAUGCCUUAAAGCAGGCCGGUGGUACAGAUUUCCACAUAUCACACAUGAAGUACAGCCAGUUAGACUCGAGCGGUGUGCGCUGUUAGCGGCCAUGCACAAAGUAUCGAUUCAUGUGUGUUUUGAAAAAUAUCCCAAUUUUCACAGCCACGAUCUCACGACUCCACACAUAUAGUAAGUCCAGUAAGAGGGUGAAUGUAAGGUAACACCCUGCUCCAUAGAUGCAUAUAGCUGUAGAUUUAUUCUAGCUUUCUUACUAUACUUGUUUAAAUCUGUAGACUUAGUGGGUGAGAGGUCGGUAGCGGUACCCACUAAGGACUAUUUCUUUUUGCAGUAGUUCUCACGCCCAGUUGUUGGAAUUUUUUGCAGAGUCUUCUUUUUCGGCUGCUGCUGCUGCUGAUUCAGACCGUGAAAAGAAAGUCGCGAGUUAGAUCCCUUCCCAGUUGCUACUGAGCUAAAGUAUACCAGCUAGCUACAGGUACCGGUAGUUUUUGAGUUCAUAUCAUACUUUUGUUGUAUCUCGCAGGAGCGAUUGUUUUUUAUACCAGGAUGCUUGUAUGUAUAGUGAACUUAUGUUUUUAUAUAUAUUAUUUCUUCUAGCAGCUCUAUACUACUGGUUGUAGUAUUGUUUAAUUACAUGUACAGCUGUCGCUUCAAAUACAGAAAAAAUUCCUUUGUAUACGACGGAUUUGUCGGCGUGCCCGGAAAAACGAGUAAUCCGGAACGUAACAGGUAAAAUAGUAAUUUUCCAGAGAUAACGGCAGCUCACUAACGGAACUUAACUCCAGGAAUAUAUUAGAAAGACUUGAAACAUAAGAAAGGUAUUUUCAAUAUUAGCGUUCUAAGAGGGGUAAAUAAGAAAAUCAGAAACUUUUCAGCAGUUUAUAGGAAUUGCCCCUUAAUAAAAUUACCUUAUAAGAUGAAAUUUUAAAUCACAAAAUAAUACUAAAUCUAACAGACAAUGACACUUUGAUGUUCAAAUUUUGAAUUCAGUUUGACUUCCUUAAAGUAAGUAAUUAGAUUUGACUAAUUCAAAUCAAAUAAACUGAGAGAGUAAAUAGUAAAAUUAAAAUUUUUAAAAUUUUGAAUAGUCAAAUCAAAAUUGCUCAAAUUUCAGAUAAGCUCUACACGUUUUCACCUUUUUAGUGAAUAAACCUUUACAAGUCAACAACUACUACUCCCCACUAGCAAGUGAGCUAUUAAAUUUGAUGAAAUUUUGAAUUUAAGUGAGAAAAAAAAUUUAAAUAAAAAGAUAGAAGCUGAGGGAGCGUGAGUAAAAUACAAUACGAAAUUAAGAGGCCCAUUUCAAAUGGCCAAUACUAAAUUUAUUUUCUAAUUGUCCUCAUAUAUUUCAAUUUAGUCUUCGGCUCAUAAUUACAUAAAAAAAAAAUUCUUUUCGCUAAAAAUUAAUCUUUUCAACUCUAUUUUGAAUAUAAUUGAAUAAGAAAGUCAUUUUAUAAAAGAGACAAAUGUCAUUGUAUAAACCGUUAGAAAUAAAAUUGUUAUGUAUGUAAAAAAAAAAAUAAAGAAAAAAAAAUACUUUGCUUACAAACACAAUCUCAUAAUAUUUUACAAACAAUAAAAUUUAAUGGUUGGAUUUCAAUCUUGAAAAUAAAUCAUGCUUACUUUCUCGUGAGUUACACUUCUCCAUCAAUUAAUUAAUACCGUCGCUAUACUAGUUUGUGAAAUAUUUUAAAAUUUAUUUGUAAGUAUAGCAUUGCUCAAAAAUUAAAAACAACAAAAUCGCAUUAUCGAGAUUGUAGAGCAACCAAUAAUUCAUACAACUAUCUGUAGUGAGAAAAAGAAUAGAGAGAAAAAAAAAUCUUUCGUUGCACUUAGUGUACACUAAAGCUCCAUAUAUCGUAUGAUAUAUAUAAUGUUUAUCGUAAUAUUUUAUGAUUAAUAUCACAAACUAAUAUUUUUAGAGUUGGUUUACAGCAUACUGGGCGCGUCGAAUAUUCUUUUCGAAUAUGUUUCAUGCUCCUAUUGGCUCCUCCCUAAAACAGUGACAGGUGGCUCAAUGUGGAGCCAUUUUUCUUGAUGUGAUGAAAGUGCCAAAUUAUGUAUUCCAUUCCAUACACCAUACGGUAUAUAUAAUUGUUAGAUAUAUGAUGAUUAAUACAGCAAAGUAAUAUAUCAUAUACUAUGUGUAAUAUAAAAUAUUUAAGUAACUUAUUAUACUACGAAGAUUUUCUGUGCAUACUUUUAGAAUUAGGCGUGUCCAACAUUCUUUCUGCAUAUGUUGCAUGCCCCCAUUGGCUCCUCACUAUAACAGAAUUAGAUUAUAAGGACACAUAUUUGGAAUAUUUUUGUAUAAGUGUUCCAUUUAUAUCAAAACUUUAAAAAAAAAUCUACUAAUGUCUAAAUAUAAAGUCCAAUCCAAUCAAAAAUAAAAAGUUACUCUACUCAACCCAUCCCACCCAGCCCAUUCGGCCCGAUUACAAACAGAAAAAAAAAAAAAGAAAAAAAAAUCGAUUAUCAUUUUCCCUUCUCCCCUUACUCAAUCGACUAAAAUUCUAUACGAAAAUCCCUCCCUCUCGUCCUCCUCCGCCACCAGCCAACGAGGUAGAGUUCCGGCGGUUGCUAAAUAUUUAAAUAAAUGUUGGUAAAUUAGCAGCACUUUUUUAGGUUAUAGCGACACUCUUUAAUUGUCACUACAUACCUAGUGACCCCACAUAUAGCAACACUUUUUAAAAGUGUCGGUAAUUUAGCCAGCAACACUUUUUUUGACCUGUACCGAUAUUUAAAAAUGUCAUUAUAAACCGUUUUUGUUGUAGUGCCUCCCUUAAACAGUGAAGCGGCUCAUGCCAAAUUAUGUAUUCUACAAUCAAACGAGUAAUCAAGAAAUGUUAUAUAACGUAACACCUCUUCACGUAGCAGUACCAAAAUAAAACUUCAUUGAAGAGCGCACUACACCUGAUUGCGAGACCAAAUAUCUAAUUACUGCUUGCUUGGCUUCGACUUUUUCUAGUUAGGCAUUUGAUAGGUAGAUAUCUUGCCCUUUAUAUACAAAUAAAGGAUGGGCCAUUCCUUGCUAUUUAUCAAUAGAUUAAAAUAUAGAAUGACCAUCUAAAUUUGUGCAAAUAGAUAUAUAAACUUUUAAUUUUGUCAAAUUAUAUUGUCUAAAUUUUAUUAAACAGUUUAAUAAACUUUUCUUCUUAAUUAAAAUUACUAAUUAGAAAGCUAUUUUGGUCGAACUUAUUGUAUAUAAUCUUGUAAUACUUUAAAAUUCUACAAAAAGAAAAAUCAUUCUCUUCUGUACAUAUGAUAAGAGUAAUGAAACUUGAAGAAUAUUUAUGUGGAAAACAUGUGAUUCAAAUGGUUCUUCGAUUUAUAAAUUUAUCUGCAUGAGACCAUUGAACUAUUUGAUAAAGUUUAGACAACUCUAUUACCAAAAACUAAAAGUUCAGAUAUUUAAUUACAAAAAUGCUAAAGUUUAAGAAACAACGCUACCGGUACACCCCAAAGUAGGGUGUACAUUUUACACCCGCUCCAUUUCAAGAAAAAUUAAUAAUCUACCUCUCACAUUAACUUCUUUUGUUUUUAUUAAAAAUUAUUUAGAUUUUUAUCAAUUCUAGGAUGACGAGGGUGAGUUAUAUACCCCUUUUUGGUUGUACAAGAAGUAUUUUUUAAGUUUAAAAUUAAGGACUAUGCUUGAGUUUAAAACUGCCCUUUUAAAUAGUAAUAUGAAAUUCCUCUAAUUUAAAUUUCACUUUUAAAUUUUAAGUAUUUAAUUUUUAAAAUUUAAAUUUAUCGUAUUUAGAAAUAAAACUAUUUCUAAAAUUUCUAUAAUUUAAAUUAAUGCAUAAUUUGAGAAGCACUAAAACAUUUAAAGUAGAUUCCUAAAUUAAUGCCUAAUAAUUACAUAAAUUUGGUUAAUCAAUUAAUUUCCUAAAUUAGUGCUAAUUAAUGCAUAAAUUUAGGACCUCAAUUAAAAAUUUCUUUAAAUAUUGUAUUAUUUAAUUACCAAACUAACCUUGAAUAAAAUAAUUCUUUUACCUGCUAAGUAUUAAAGUUAUAUUUUUAUACUCUAUUAAUCAACGGUUAAGAUUUUUUUUUAAAAAAAAAAAAAAGUACCGAAUCAUUUCUCUUCCUUUAUACAUCACACUAUCAAAUUGUCUUAAUAUUAGACUUCUCCACCAGAAAAAAAAAGUCAACAAUUUUUUAUUUUCUUAAUUAUCAGUAGUAACUAUAUAGAGCCACGAGAGACACACGAGUAGUUGAGAUCUAAAAUAACAGCUGCUACAAUAGUUAACAUGGUGUCCGAGAAAGGUCUCAAUUAAUUACUUAAUUUCCUCCUUUACACAGGUUUCACAUGCAUUGAGUAUUAAAAUAUAAUAAAAUUUUCUAAUUAUUGGUGAAGGAGCAUAAUUUAUAUCUAUAAAAUAUAUAAAUCUCCAUCGUAUCACCAAAAAGGCUCUUCAAUGAGUCACGCCUCCACUUAUGGCAAACAACCAGUGAGUAGGUUCGGCUUGAAAUUAAUUUCGAGCCUAAAUUUAAGCUCAAGCUUGGAUUGAAAUUAAUUCGAGCCGAGCUACGCAGCGAGCCUAAUUUCAAGUCGAGCGAGCUCAAGCCUAAACGAGCGCUUGAAAUUCUGAACAUUAUACGAUCAAUAGUUUAAUUUGUAUAGAACAUUAUCUAUAUAUUUGAUACAAAAACAUGUCUAAUAGUUCAAAGUACAAAAUAAUUAUAUGAAAAUAUAGUAUUAUAAUUAAAAAAAAUAAUUUAUGAGUUGAAUAUCUAAUUUUUUCAGCCUCACAUGUCUUUUCUUCCGCCUUCAAUUUCUAUAUUAUUCAUUUUCAUUUAUGCAGUCAAAAUAAAAUAAUUUUAUAGAUAAAUAUUGGAUUAAACUACCCAAUCAUAUAUAACUAAAAUUAAAAUUUUAAUGAAUAAUAAUUUUUUUUACUUUAAAAAUAUUCUAUAUAUUUUUUCAAGCAUACAAUAAAAAGUAAGGUAGGCAACGGCGGGCAUAGAUGUUACUUGGUAACUUAGAGGGCUUCUGGCUUGGCCACUUAGGUGAGAGGCAGAAAAUGAGAAAGAGAGAAAAAUAUUGAAAAAUUAAACUCUAUAAAGAAAAGAAAGAAAGAAAGAAAGGAAAAUUUAUAAAUUUAGUAAAAAGUUUGCUCUUUUAUUUGUCUAUUGGGUUUGUUUUUAUGGCAACAAUAUUAGCCAAUUUUAACUAAACUCAGAUUAUUCACUCAACCUAUAUAUAAUUAAAAUAUAUUAUAUUUAUAUUUUUUAAUAUAUAUAUAUAUAUAUAUAUAUAUAUAGUGUAGAACUACUAUGCUAUCGAAAUAUAGAGGAUUUAUUGUUUUUGAAUUUUUGACUCUUUGAUUAAAAAUUGUAUCGUUGAGAUGAUUGCGGUCUCCCCUAGGAUUAAAUAAUACUCAUAGGAUUGAGUGGUCCCUAUAAGGUAAUAAUAAUAUUAAUCCAAAGAUAAGAAACGAUUAAAAGGAUUGAUCUAAGAAUCAAAAAAUCGAAAGCACCAGAUCUCUAUACUUUCGAUAGUAUAGUAGCUCUACUAUAUAUAUAUUCGAGCUUUUCGAGCUUUUCGAGCCUAAUUCGAACGAGCCGAGUAAUACUCAAGCUCGGCUUGAAAUGAAUUUCGAGCCUUUUUUUUUUGUUCAAGCUCGGCUCAAUUAAUUUCGAGUCGAGCUCGAGCGAGCCAAAUAUCGAGUCGAACGCGAGUCGAACACGAGCCGGCUCGCUCAUUUGCCAGCCCUACCAGUGAGAACUAACUUACCACAUAGCUAAUAGGACUUUUUGAUUAAUGUACGGUAAACCGAUUAUAAAAUAUGUAUCAAAAAUAAAUUUUUAUAAUACAAUAAAUUAUUUAAAUAUUUUAUAUUACACAUACUAUAUUGAAUUUUAUUUUAUAAUACUAAUUAUCAAAUAUUUUAUCAAUCAUUCAAUAUGCUUUUGUGGUGUAUAAAAUACUAGUAUACACUAUUGAAAGCAAAACUUUUUUCUCUUGGAAUUAUGAGUGCACUCUAUUAAACAUUCUCCACACCAGAUGUAUAUAAGUAUAUACACCACAUACUUAAAAUCUCCAACAGGGAUUUUAAAAUUUAAUUCAGUAAAUGUAUUUAAAUUAUUACAUUUUGUACGUUAAAUAUAUUUUAUUAAGUUUUAAUAUUAUAACAGCCUGACUAGCUAGCAAUAAUAAUAACUCAUUUGGCCCAAAACAUCAACCCAAAAUAUUUAAACACAGUUAUUAUUACCAGUGUCUAUGGUCUCUUAAAUACUCAAUUAAAACUCCAUUCUCAUCCAAUAUAGAACUAUUGGAGUGCCACAAACUCUCCCCAUUUUGGGUUCCAACGUUCUCGUCAACCCAAUCACACACACAUCCCAAAAUCACAAGGCGAUAUGAGACUUAUUUUGCCAACCUUGUUAUUCCGAUGAGAACUUGCCACAUGGCUAAUAGGAAGUUUGGAUGCACCCAGUGCACCGUAAACCGAUUAAAAAAUAUGUAUCAAAGAUGAAUUUCUAUAGUAUAAAUUAUUUAAAUAUUUUAUUUUACACAUACUAUAUAUGUCGUAUUUUAUUUCAGGGGGCUCUACAGCUGGUGUUACACAUGAAUAGACUUGGGGGGAUUUAUAUCCUCCUCGAGAAUCAUUAUAGCAGCUUUUACCACGGAGACCCCCCCCCCCCCNCCCCCCCCACAUCCUUCUUCAACCAUGACCUGACACCUUCGGCACUUGAGUCUGUGUUCCCCUCUCUCGGCAUUUUCUGCCAAUUGUGCAAACGGGCCCACCCUGGCUGCUCCUCUCGGGUUGGGCCUUCCAGGGUCUGACGCUACUCCACGAUCGGGUGUAGUUUCGAUCAUCUGGCCAGCUUGGGUCCACACUUCGUCUCCUUGGGUUUGUGCUUGGGCUUGGUCCUGCUGUAAACCGAACUUCUGUAAACCCAACUUCAAUCUGCUUCGGGCCAAAGGUAGCCUCAACCUCAAGUCGGUUUGGGCCGGCUGCAGGAUCGACCUUCGAAGGCCUUCUGACUGCCGCUGAGCCCCCACUCUGCUACUCGAACUUCAACGGGCCACUACUAUGCAGCCAAAUACAUAUUCUACUCGGGUAUCCUGCAAUGGCCGGGAUGGACUUCGGCAGCUCACUACCCGCUACUACGAUUGCAACCUCUCCCUGUUACUCACUCCCAAUCAGACCCCCACCCUGCGAACUGGGCUCAUCCUCACUUACGCUGGACUCGGGGACUCAACCUCUCGACACUGCUUGUGAAGACAACAUCGCUCUGUUUCAACCAAGAUCGAGUGCACGCCUUUAGAACCAAAGGGCGAGCUCUGCUUUAUGCAAGACUAUGCACAGGAAAGCGCGCCUUCUUGGGGACGAGACUGCUGAAUCCGGGACAGCUUCGCGCAAAUGGUCAAGGAAGAGGGUCAAGGCGAAAAGUCUUUUCUGUGGUGUGAAGCUGUCUGAUGCUGGUGCUAAGGAGUUCCACAACUUCCUAUGUGGGAAGGUCUAGGCUCCCGACAUCCAAGGUGGUUUAGAUGUCUUUCUUGUGCGUGUUGCUGUUUUUGAUGUUUAAAAUAUUAUGUUGGAAUGUCCGAGGUCUUAACGACGCCUCUAAGCGACGCUGCGUCAAGUUGGUAGCUUCUAGCUUCUUUAGUGCUGUCGUUUGUUUACAAGAAUCAAAAGUGGACUAUGUUUCUCGUUCCUUUCUUCGCUCUUGUUGUGGCUCCUCCUUUGAUAGGCGUCAAUUUAUUCCCGCAUGCGGGGCUUCCGAAGGCUUAAUCACUUGUUGGAGUUCCAAAUACUUCUCGUGGAGCGAGGUCAUCGUCAGGAAAUACUCUCUUUCCCUUCGUUUAACUAAUCUCACGAGCAGGACGACCUUCUUUCUCACGAAUGUUUACAGGCCUCCUACCUGGGACGGAAAGGAAGAAUUUUGCUCCGAACUUCUAUCUCUACAAAAUGUAUGCACUUCAAACUGGGCUAUUUGUGGAGAUUUCAACUUCACCAGAAACCAUUCUGAACGAAAAGGAAACUCCUGGAGCACUAAAGCCAUGACUAUGUUCUCGGAUCUAAUAAUCAACCUAUCAGUUAUCGAUUUACCCCUGUCUAACCAAUGUUUCACCUGGACUAAUAUGCAACAUAGACCCUCUAUGGCAAAACUUGAUAGAUUCCUUAUCUCAACUGAAUGGGAUCAUUCCUUCCCUCAUUGCAACGUUAAGGCACUACCUAGGAUCACCUCCGACCACUCUCCGAUUGUGCUGUCAACUGGAUCUCAUCACUCACCCGCACCUCGGAGAUUCCGCUUUGAACGUGUUUGGCUCACCAAAGAGGAUUUUCACUCAAAAGUGCCUACCUGGUAGGACGAAAUUCCAGCCAAGGAUUCGGCAAUUCUAACGAUCACAGCCACACUCAGACACUGCAGAGCUAGAAUAAAGGAGUGGUGUAAGACGAACUUCCACAGCAUUUCCUACUCGAAGAGGCAGCUGCAGGAGGAAAUUCUUGCUAUUGAUCACUUAGAAGAACAGCACGAUCUACCUCUGGAGCUAAUAGAUAAAAGGGCGAUUCUUAAAUCACGUCUCCACGUAAUCCUAGAGAAGGAAGAAAUCCUGUGGAAAACUAGGACCAAACAACUUUGGCUAAAAGAAGGAGACGGGAAUACUAAAUUUUUCCAUGCGAUUGCUAACGGACGGAGGCGCAGCAACUUUAUUGAUGUCAUCGAAGACAGCAAUGGCAGAGAAAUCUCUAAUGAAGAACUUAAGAGAUCAUGUUUCUUCCAAGCCUUCAAGCAACGGUUCGGUCAAACAGAAGCUAACCCACCUGCCUAUGGAGAUUGGAGCAGUCUUUACCACUCUAAUAGACUGAGCAAUUAACGCUGGCUCCCUAAUGUCACCAUUCACUCUAGAGGAAGUUAAAUCUGCUACAUUUUAACUUGGAAGUGAUAAGGCCCCUGGACCAGAUGGCUUUUCUCUUACUUUCUUCCAAACUUUCUGGGAGACGGUAAAAGCCGACAUUUUUAACGUUUUCACUGAUCUAUAUGACAACAAGGUUUUUAUUGGCCCAUCUGACUAUUCUACUGUGUGCCUCAUCCCCCAAAAGAAGGAGCACGCAAGGUUAACGACUACCGUCCGAUAAGUCUCAUUAACAGCAUUCAGAAAAUUAUUUCUAAGGUCCUUGCCAACAGGCUCGCUCUUACUCUGCCAUCCAUAAUCUCCUCAACGCAAUCGGCAUUUCUUAAAGAUCGACUACUGACUGACUCGUUCGUCAUUGCUAGUGAACUAGUCAACUGAUGCUCCAAAACUGGCAAGGAUUGCAUAAGCAUCAAGAUUGAUUUCAAAAAAGCUUUUGAUAACGGCAGCUGGGCCUUUCUGAAAAGUAUACUGCAUUGGUUGGGAUUCAAUGACAAAUGGUGGGCCUGGAUCGAACAGUGCAUCUGUAACGCAAAAGUCGCCAUCCUGGUCAAUGACAUCCCGACCUCGUGGCUUAAAACAAGAAAAGGGCUCAGACAAGGCGACCCUCUCUCCCCCUACCUCUUUAUCUUGGUGGCCGACUGUCUGGCUAGGCUGACCAACAUCGCGAGGGACAACAACCUACUUUGUGGAAUCGGACCGUCGAUCGACUGUCAAACAGUGCUUCAAUAUGCGUAUGACACAAUCUUUUUUUCCGAACCUAGGAAAUACAUCAUGCGGAACCUACAGUUUAUUUGGAAAAUCUUUGAAUGGGUAUCUGGACUCUGAAUUAAUAUGGACAAAUAUGAGCUAUACUACCUGGGACCGGACUCACAUAAAGCAGACAGACUCGCUAAUAUCUUAGGAUGUAAAGUCGGGAACCUACCGGUUCGCUAUUUGGGGCUACCGCUGUACAAUAAGCGCCUCCGUAGAGAGGACUGGGCGUGGUUAUCGACCGUAUAACUGCACAAAUUGAAGGGUGGAAAGCUAAACUCCUCUCCCAAGGGGGUAGAAUAACACUAGUCAACUCGGUCCUUACUAACUUACUGUUAUUCUAUCUAUUCAUCUUCAAAGCGCCGCAGUGGGUUCUACACCGGAUAGAAACUCUCAGAAGAGCCUUCUUCUGGAAAGGAGGCGACAUCAUCUCUGGAGGAGCAUGCCUUGUCAAUUGGACAAUAAUCUGUAAGAGCAAGAAAGAUGGUAGGUUAGGGAUCAAAGAUAUUGAAUCUAUGAAUUUGGCACUUUUAUCGAAAUGGUGGUGGCGCUUCUUUAAUGAGCCGCAUCUACCUUGGUGCAAAAUCAUCAGGUCUCUUUACUACACUAGGAGAAGGCCCCUACACGAGGGUCGAACCUUUGUUCCUUACUCGCAAUGGUGGAAGAGUGUGGUUUGUUGCCAUAACAUCUUUAAAUGUGGUUUAUCUUUCAAGCUUAGUGACGGACGAAAUAUCAGGCUGUGGUCUGACAUCUGGACAGGGAAAAUGCCCUUAGGCACCUUGUUUCCAAAAAUCUAUGCAACUAUUGUGCACAAAGACACUCAAGUAUCAAAGUGCAGGAAUGCAAAUGGAUGGCAUUGGCGCUUUAUCACUAGGGGUUUCCAGGCAUCUCAAUCAGCCCAACGCCGAUCACAGCUGGCGCUGCUCAAAGACUUGCUUCUGUACAGCAGACCUGAUUUACCCAAAUGGAGAUGGACCUCCAACCAACAGUGUCACGCCCCGGGGUCCAUUUUCGUUUGAAAACACAGCGAAAAUAGCUAGAAUUUUUUUUUUUUGAAAGACCUGACCCCAGGGUAUGCCAGAUACGCCACAAAUACAGAGAGUUCACUGAUCACACGGACAGAGUCUCCCCUGUAUUUGCACGGCGUCGCACAAGUACAACAAUUAAACAGGAUACAACCACAGCUAAAUGAUUAUAGAAACGACUAUACAAUCAUUCAUUCACCAUUCACAUCACAGUUAUAUAUUCAAUAUUUAAAUAUAAAUCUACAUCUAUCAGUUAAAACAUUUCCAACUCAGAAACAGAUUUUGAAAUACUAAGAUACAAAAUCCACAGAAAACCUUUUAAAAACUACUCCCUACAUGAAAACUUUUAUCUUUUAGAAACGCUACCACGAGGGGUAGAAAAUCAUUCAACAUUUGAAAUCCACAAAUCCUUUUUAUUACAUCAUAAAUCCAACUGAAAACUCAGAUAUUCAAAUAAUAUAACAAAACUGAACCAUAAUAUAUCUAAGUUAUUUAUUCAAGCAUGAAGGAUAAAGAAUAACCGACACGGGACGAAGCUCUAUCGUACGCUAGACACGCUCCUCACCAGCUGUCCCACUCGGACCUGCGACGUCACCUGUAAUGGGGGCGGGGGGGUGAGAGCAUGUAAACAUGUCUCCCCUCCUAGUGAGUACCCCUCGCCCACCCCAAUAGUCCCACAUCGGAUGGGAAUGUAGUUGUCAUUGGGUUUAUAAGAGACUUAGACACUAGUAAUAAUAACUGGGCUUAAGUAUUUUAGGCCGGUGGUUGGGCCCAACGAGUUAUUAUUGCUAGUGGCUGGGUCGUUACAUUUGGUAUCAGAGCCGGUUCACCAGCUGGACAUGUGUGGCGAGUCUCGGCUGAGCCAGGGUCUAGAUGACGGGCUAGCGAGACAAGUCUAACAUCGCCUGGUGAUCUUGGGCUGUGUGUGAUUGGACUGACGAGGACGUCAGGGCCUUAACGGGGGGAGUCUGUGACACCCCAAUUGUCCCACAUCGGAUCGGAAUGUGGUUGUCAUUGGGUUUAUAAGAGACUUAGACACUAGUAAUAAUAACUGGGUUUAAGUAUUUUGGGCUGUUGGCUAGGCCCAACGAGUUAUUAUUGCUAGUGGGCUGGGUCGUUACAAAUAGUUUACAGUCAAAUCCUCAUAUCAGCUCCUCAAUUAUGGUUGAAUUCGAGACCGGAUGAACCAACACCUUUGGGGAUUGAAAAUACCAAUCAAAAUCAAAAUCUUCACCUGGCUCUUACUUCGAAAGAGACUACUCACUGCAGACAGGUUGCUCACCAGAGGCAUGGCCCUGGACCAACACUGUGUGUAUUGUGCGGUGCUACCAGAAAGCUGUGAUCAUCUUUUCUACAACUGUGUUUUCGUUCGCUUCUUAUUUUUUUUCGUGGCAGGCCUGGACGUAUCACCUGAUGCCCUGGGGGACGUCCGCGAGCUUUGGUUCAAAGUAACCGAAACUCCCGACGCCACGGCUAGAACUAGAGGCUUAACCUUCCUGACGGCAAUCUGGUCGGUCGUCUGGACUGACAGAAAUUCGACUAUUUUUCGAGGCAUUUCCCACAACGGCGUUCGAUCUUUUGAGCACAUCAAACUAUUGACUUCGGACUAGACCUCACUUCACUCAGCUAGCACUCCCCCCCUCUUCUGCUCUCCCUCUCUUUUUUUAUUUCUAUAUUUUUUUGUUUCUUACUUUAGAUUUUUUCUGUACUUCUUUUUGGACUCGGAGGCCUCAGCUGUCUCCAUCUUGUAUGCUUAAUUCAUCUUGCUUUAUGAAUAAAGCAGGUAGCUUGCUACCUAAUUCUCAAAAAAAAAAAAAAAUACUAAUUAUUAAAUAUUUUAUCAAUCAUUCAAUAUACUUUUGCGAUGUAUGAAAUUUUAGCAUACACUAAGUGAAAGCAAAGAUUUCUUCUCUCUUGAAAUUAUGAGUGCACUCUAUUAAGUAUUUUCUAGACCGGAAGUGUAUAAAUAUAUACACUACAUACUUAAAACCUUCAAUAGAGAUUUUAAAAUUUAAUAUAAUAAAUAUAUUUCAAUUAUUACCCUUUGUAGAUUUGAUAUAUUUAUUUAAGUUUUACUAUUAAAAAUUAUUCCUUUAAUAUAAGUUGUGAUAUAUAUUGUGUUAAUAUACACCAAGUGCAUAUAAUAUUAAUUUCUUUUCUCUCUAAUCAAUUUUAACACGGUAAGGAUAAACUCAUAUAUUUGGUAAUUUAGAAUAAGUCCUCCAAUUUUUAUUGUUUAGUUAAAAAUUUUAUUUAUAAAAUAGCUAUUAAAACUAUUAAGUUUGAUUGAAUUUUUAGAUGAGAUAUUUGAAAAUUUUAAUUCUAUAAAUACUGAAAGUUAAAAAAUAUUAAUAAAAAAGAUUAGUUUUUAUAAUAUAUAAAAGGCUGUAAGAGCUUUCUUUUGUUAUAACUUUUUUUUAAUUUUAAAAUUUUUAUAAUUAUUGACUGAAAUAUCUGAAAUAUAUCAACUCUCAGCGAAGCGCAAACCUUAUACUAGUUAAAAUAAGUUGAUGAAAGAUAUAAAUCAAAUCGAUAAGGACUUGCUUGAUUUAUCUAUUUUAGACUCUUAAAUCUAAAUAAAAAUUCACGGACUUCGAUAGUUGUCUUAUGUUUUACAAGAAUCGAACUCCGAUUCUUAUUUCAUUCUGAAACGAAAAUAAUCCAAUCUAUUUCUAAUAUAGUUUGACUUUGAAUUCUGAAUUAACGCAUUUCAGAAUAAACUACUCACAACUCUCUCUCCCACGAACGUCUUUUUUCUCAUCUUUCUUCAUCAUUUUUUUCUUGCUUAAUCAUAACAUUCUGUCAAAAUCCUAAAUAGCCCAAUUGUUCAUUCCGAUUUUCAUUCCAAUAAUAAAUCAAAUAAUUAUGGAUCAUCCAUAUUCUACUUACUAUUUUAUUGCAAUUUAGUUUAAUUGUCUAUUGGCAUGGUAGUCAUGAAUCAAAACUAACAAAGGGUAAAUUAUACUUUUGGUCCUCAAAUCAUGAAACACAAGACAUUUUAAUCCUUAAACUUUUUGAAUUGUAGCAAUAUCGUAAUUAAUAAUAAAAUAAUAAUUAAGAUGCUAUAUCAUUUAAAUAUUAGUAAUUAAUUAAUAUUUAUUCAAAAAAAUUAGAUUGUGAAACUUGAUUGCAGUAAUUUAAAAUAUUUGAGAAUUAAAAUGUCAUAGGCCUUAUAGCUCGAACUAGAAAUGACAAAUAAUUAAAAUUUGAAUACUAAAGUGUCGCGCGCUCAUAGUUUAAGUCAGAAAAUUACAACGAGUUAAAUUUCGAGAACUAAAAUGUCAUGCCUCCUGAUAUACACCCAUUCAAUCUAAAAAUGAAAAUUUUUUUUACUAGUUACUAGUCACAUAAUAUGAGUAACGAAUAAUUUUGCACUUAUGAAUGAGUACUAGGAUGUAAGAUGUACAUCAACUUUUUGAUGUACAACUAUCUUUUUUUCAAUUCUAAAAAUUGAAUGAGUUACCGAUCCUCCCUAGAGCAAGUGGCAAAGGGCUUGGUGGUUGAUACCCGAGGCCCAAGAUCGAAUGCUAGUUGAUUCAUAUUUCUAGUUAAGUUUAUUUCUAAAUAAAAUAAACGAAGUGGGUAGCAUACUACCUAUCUCUCAAAAAAAAAAAAAAAAAAAAAAAAAAAUUGAAUGAGUUGAUUUCAAAGUAAGGUACAGCACAGGAGCCUCCAAUUUUUUAACUAGAUAUGAAUGCUGCAAAAAGCGUGUCCUUGGUUGGAUUGUUGGGUGAUUAACGGCGAUGGCGAUGCCCAGGAGGAGAGAUCCAACGGUGGCUGGCUGAUGUAGACUCAUCGGACGGCUGAGAUUGGUCGAGAAGUGGUGAGGCAAUUAAUAAGCUGAUCCACCUCCCACCAACCUGCGUGGUAUCGUCCUCGCUAAUUACUUUGCGCCACGUGUCCAAUAAUUAGACGUUGGAUUGUUUAAUUUUCAUUUGGUUUUGUUUAUAGGUUGCAAAUGCGUGCACGGCACUCGUUCGUCUGGAAAUGUCACCGGGUACGGAUAUUCGAAAUUUUAUCUAAAUUCAAGUCCGAAUAGAGCGGAUAUAUUCAAUACUAAAUGAGUACGGAUUCGAAUAUAGAUAUCAAAAAUAAAAAUUCGACAGAUAUAAAUUUGGAUAUGAAUGUUGACCGUACCCAUAUCCGAAUCUGAAUCCGAUCCGAAUCCGAAUUUAUUUUGCAUUAUAUAUAAUAUAUAUAAUUAAAUUUGAUAUUAUAUUUAAAUUUGUAUUUUAAAACUUUACAUUUAAUAUAAUAUAUUUUGAAAUAUUGAAAAAAUAAUAAUUAUUUCGGGUUCGAAUUUUCGGGUUCGGAUUCGGAUUCAGAUUUCGGAUUUUUGGUUGGGUUCGGAUUUGGAUAUGAAUUUUUAAAAUCCGUCGGGUUCGGAUUCGGAUCUCAAGUUUGGAGUUAGGUUCGGAUUUUUUAAAAUCCGCCCCGAAUCCCGCCAGUUGACAUCUCUAGCUUGUCCGUCGCCUUUGCUGCUGCCGUAGUAUGUUUACGUUGAAUUUAUGACACAACCAGAGUCUGCAUAAGAUCAUUAAUGAGCGAAUAAACAUUACUCUAUGCUAGUAGAUUCGAAGUUAUUAAACUUAAGCUUUUACGUUAUAUUGAUGAAUUCUAUUAGACAUGUCAUAUUCUUUAAAUAUAUGUAGGCUUAAGGAGCGUUUAGUUCGGUGUAAAACGUACCAAAAAAUUAUUUUCGGUAUGAAAAAUAUUUUUUUACUUGUUUGAUUCGACGUAAAAGUAUUUUUACCGAUUUCAAGAAAAAUUAAAAUUUUUCUUUUUCACUGUUUUUUGACUAAAAACGAAAACAUAAGCUGCAUAAAGCUUUUUUCGUUCAUUUUUUUUCAAGCAAACUAAACAAAUGUGAAUUUUUUCAUUCAACCAAAUGAAUAUUAAUAAAAAAUUAUUUUAUUUUCCUACAAGCUAAACACUACAAAAUGUAAAAUUUUUUCAUCGAAAUUUUUUUUUUACAUAAAUUUAUUUUUUACGAAUUUACGUUGAACCAAAUGGACCCUUAGGUCGGAUAAGGAUUUUCUGGCCUUGCCAUAUCACCGUCGACAACAUAGGCAUUUAAGCCAAAGAUCAGGGAUCUUUAAUUGUGCAAAAAAAAAAAAAAAAAUUACGAGGCUUCUGAAGUUUGUAAUAAUACGUAAUUUAUUUUUACAAUUCAUAAGGUUGUACUGGUUAUUUCUAAGAUUUGUAGAACCAAGCAAUUAAACCUAAUUUUUGGGCAUCUAUAAUUACUAUUAGGGUGCGUUUGGUUCGCAUUAUGAAAGAUUACUAGGAAUAAAAGAUGUCCGAGAAUCUUAUUCCUAUUCAUUCUAUUACUAAGAAUGUGGAAUUCCUGUGUUUGGUUCGCACGGUAAUAUUAAUUAGCCAUGUUAUUUAAUAUUGCAAAAAAUAUACAAUUAAUUAAUUAAUUUAUUUAUUUAAUUUUAGAUAAUGUUACCAAAAGUUUCAACAUCUUUUUAGAAAAAAGGGAGAGAGAGUAUAAGUUAGAGAGAGAGAGCAUAAUUAAAAAAAUAGAAAAAAAAAUAUAGUCGAAAUUAGAGGGAGUGAGAGAGUUGAAAUUUUAGAAAGAGAGAGAGAGAGAAAGCUUAGUUUAGAGAGAGAAAAAAAAAGUUGAAUUUUAGAGAGAAAAAUAAGUUUAGAGAGAGAUAUAAGGUUAGAGUGUAAAGAAAAAUAAUAUCAAUUAGCCAGCGGAUAGGAAGAAAGAAAGAGAUUAGACAUAUUAUGAUUACCCCAAUCGAUUAAUAUGAGGAUACCCGCCACCCUCAAGGGAAUGAGAUUAGUACUUUGGGGUGAAUCUUAUUCUCAAGUGAAUCCAAUAUUACCAACUAGAUUACUUAGUGCGUUUAGCCAAAUACCGUCAUAUUUUUUUACUCUCAUUGAAUUACUAGGAAUCUUUAAAAGAUAACGCGAAUCAAACGCACGCUUAGUUUAUUCCUUUUGUAACUAUUGAUUGAUCAUAAGAGAGUACUUCCCACUGCUAGAUCCAGUUUAAGUCACCACAUGUCUAUUAAAAUCCAUCCGGUAAUUAUUGUGACUGUCCGAAUUUUCUUUCAGACUUCUCCGUUAGCUAAUUUUUAGUCAGCAGGAAAAGAAAAAAAAAAAAAAAACUUUUUAAUCAGCUUAAUUUCUUCUUCAAUUCCUUCUCUAUUGUUUUCUCCAUAUUUUUGGGUCAUAUAUCUUCUGAGACCUUUCUUUUCUUUCAUAUAUGCUAAUUUUUUUCGGAUCUUCUUCAAGAUCUUUUAGAACUCUUAUUGGUUUAUAAGAGCCUUUUUUUAUGAAAUGAUCGAAAUUAAGAGUUAUUAAUUCUCUAUGUAUGUUGUUGGAGAUUUGGUGCUGGAUUUCAGUUUUGAAUGCUUUUUAUUUUUAUUUUUAUUUUUUUAUUUAUUUGGGCUUAAUUGUUAGACUUUGAAUUUAUUUUUAGUUCUGUGGAUUGAGAACCAACAUCAAAUUAAUGCACCAUUUAAACUUCUUUUUUCCUUUAUUUUAUUUUGAUUAGAUUGGAAUCGUCAUCAAUAUCUCAUCCUUUGUAGUUCGUAAAGUUGGAUUGGACUGUUUGGCCCGGCCAAACUGCAUUAGUCCCUACGAUGAGCCGUCUGGCAUCAUUUUUGGAACAUGUUUUCGGAGGAUGGAAAGCCGCCCAAGUACCAGGGAUGUCAGCAGGUCAUAUACGAGGCGGAUUUUUAAAAAUUCAAAUUCGAACCCGACUAUCGAGCCCAGAAUUCAAAAAUGAAACCAAAUUUUUGACGAAUUUUAAAAAUUCAUAUACAAACUGAAACCCGAUUAAAAUGUAAAAUCCGAAUCUAAACAUGAAUCCAACAUGUUUCAAAACAUACAUUAUUAAUUCUAAAUUUUUAAAAUACAAAUUUAAAUAUAAUAUCAAAUAUUUAUAUAUAAAUUAUAUAAUGUAAAAUUAAUUCGAAUUCAGAUCGGAUUCAGGUUUCGGCUUGGGUCGGGAACAAACAAAAUCUUUGCCUGAAUUCAAAUCCGUUGAGUUUUCGUCUUUUCAUAUCCGUAUCCGAAGCUAUAACCGUUUAGCAUCGCAUAAAUCCACUCAGUUGAGAUUCGAAUUCGGAUAAAAUUUCCGGAACGAAUACCCAUCAACAUCCCUAUGCCCAACCACAGAAGCAAACCUAACGGAGCUUCUGUGGUGAAAAAAUGGGGUUAACCCCAACCUUGGAAUAUUUUUCAUUUUUUGUUCCAGCUUAUUUUGUAGAGGUUAGUCUCUUUUGGUUUAGAAUUUAAAAUUUAAUUUAAAUUUAUGCUUAUAUUUUAUAUGUAAAUUAAAAUUUGAAACUCAAAAUUAGAUUUUUUUAAUUCAAAUUUUAAUUUUAAAAUUUGAUCUUGGAUUCCAAUUUCAAAUGUAAAUUCUAAUUUCGAAAUUGAAUUUUAAAUUUUUGAUUUUAGAUUUACAUUUUUUUAAUUUGAAUUAUUUGGAAUAGAAUUUUUAAUUCAAAUUCCAUUUUUUUACUUAAAUUUAAAUUUAGAUUUAGAUUUUAAACUUAGAUUUUAAUUUAAUUUCAAACUUUAGUUUUGAAUUCCAAAUUCAAAAAUUAAAUUUUGAAUUUAAAUUUUAAAUUCAAAUUUAGAUUUAAAAUUAAAUUUUAUAUUCAAAUUUUAACCAAAUUUUGAAUUUAAUUUAAAUUAAAUUUUAAUUUGAUUUUGAUUUCUCUCUCUUGCCGUCUCUCUUGUUAAUUACUUUUAUUUUUAUAAUUAAUUUUUGUUAUUGAUACCUGUUGAACUUCUAGCUUUUUACUUUAAAUUAUAGUAAAAUAAAAAAAAAUUAUUUGAUAUAAAAUUUUAUUAAAUAUUAGCUACUAAUGGUCUUAAAUCUAUUUGCUAAAAACCAACUAAUAUUAAUAACUUUGAUAGAAUUUUUGAAAAGUUUGAGAAAAUUGUUAAUUUAAUAGAUCAAUUAUUUUAAAUGGGAGGUUAAUAAAUAGAGUCCGACUACUAUACUCUUACGAGUAAAAACUUUUUUAUACUCAUAAAUUUUCGACCAUUAAAUUUAUCUCUUUCACCAUUUUUAUCCAUUAGUUUAUACUAUUUCAACCAACCACCCACUCAUAUAGACCACUAUCAUCCUAACCGGACGCCGCUAUCUUCUUAACUGCACAUCUCUUUAUUAAACGGCCGAAAAUUUAUCAGUAUAAAAUAACUUAUACUUAUAAGAGUAUAGUAUCCCUAGCCUAAUAAAUAAUAAUUAAUGAGACCUUUUAAUUAAAUUUAUAUAUAUUUAAAUAUAUUUUAAUUUGUUUGUGAUAACUUAAUAAAGUUUCAACCAAACAACUUUUUAUAGCGGACGAUACUUUAAUAACAAAAACAGUCAAACGCUUUAGGUAUCGUUUGGUUCGGGUAUAAGCAAGAACUAGCUAUUACAGGGAUAGGUACAAGUAUGGGGAUAAGAAAAAUAGCGUUUGGAUGAAAAUUGGGUUGUUCCCGAGGAUAAGAAAAAUAUUAGGAAGUUUUAUAUAGAAAAUGGAGGUGUUGGUGGGGAUAACCGAGAACUACUAUUCUCGGGUAAAAAUUAGCGUUUGGGUAUAAAGGGGGGGAUAAGGGCCUAUCCCUAUCCUUAUUCCCAAACCAAUACAGUUUUUGUUUACAGCACUAUACUAUUUUAUACAGUGCCUUUUUAAUGGCAAACAGGGCCAAAAGUACAAUCCAAUUCAUCUAGCCAGUUCUGAGUCUUAUUUCAAAUAAUUUAUGGGCCUAGAAUGCGUAUAUAUUUGCGAACUAGGCCGAGCAAAUUUGAACCGGCCCCAAAAGAAGCCCAACCCACCCAGUAUCUACUCAGAUUGUUACACUUUAUAAGUACAUCAUAUAAACUACAUUAUUAGAACCACAAAACAAGAGUCUAAGUCGAACCACAAAACAAGAAUUUUUGCACACACCUAUUUACCAUGAGUCAAAUAUUGAUCAUUUUAGUACCAUCAUUGAUUGUUCUGAGCACUUUUUGACUCUUUUUACUUUUUAUACACGUAAAUCUUUAAAAUAGUAAGGACUACACAAAUUACAUAUAAUAAAAUUGAAGCUUGAUUUUGAUGUUAAUAAUUGAAGGGGAAACUUCAAUUCGCCUCUCUCUAGUUUUGCCUAUUUUCACUUAGCUACCCUAUUAUUGUAAACUUGUUGAAAUAUUUUAUUUUAAUUACUGUCUUAUAAUUUUUAUCGUUCUAAAGAUUUACUAUUGAGUGGAGUAUCAGAAUAUUGGGUCCCUUCCAUUUUUUUUUAAUACUUUUUUAUUUUUAUUUUUUCAAAAGAAAGGGUCAAAAAAAUUUAAAAAAACUACUUAUCUCUUUUUCUUCAAAAAAUAAUUAUUUAAAAAGUUUUUAAAAAAUUGGCAUAAUUAUGUAAAUUAAAAAAUGUAAAUCAAAAGUUUAUAAUUUAAAAACUACUUUUCUCUUUUUCUUAAAAAAUAAAUUUAAAAAAAAAUACAAAAAAGGACAAGAAGAAAGGGGAAAAACCCGGGUUGGCACGAAACCCGGCCCAGGCCGGGCCUUCCCCUCUAAGUAAAUGGGCCGGCACAGCCCAGCCCGGAUUCCUAAUUGGGGCGGGCCAUGCCGACCUUUGGCCCGAAUCGGCCCGAAAAAUGUGGGCCGUGCCAGCCCGGCUCGGACCACAUUACACCCCUAGUUACAGGAUUGCAGAGUGAGUACAUAUGUGGUUAUUACCAUAGUUAAGGGGCUGAUUAGUGUUUAUUCUUAGGGCCUAUUUCAUUUAUAGUACUUUUUAAGAUGUCUAGAAAUGACAUUUGAAAUUUUAUGUUUAUUUUAUUUUAUAACAAUAAUUUGAUGUGGCAUGAAUUAUAAUUUUUUCCGAAAUCUUAUAAUCCCCUCUAUAACAUAGGAUUAGAAGAUCCACCUCUUUCCUUGGUAAUUGUUUUUUUAAAAAAAAUAAAUGAUUUAAAAAGGCUAUGUAUUCUUUUGUUAAUUUUAUACUGGUUUUUUCCAUACAAAAUCCACUAGUUUUGGGUUUUUGUAGAAAAUAGGCCAUAAUUUAUGUUUUUACAGAUUGGGUCGAAAUUUUUUGAAAACUAACCAAAAUAUCCACGUGCCUUAAACAUCUCAUCUCUCCCUUUUCCACUUCCUCCUCGUGCGCCUCUAUCUCCACUGCUGCCGAUAGCCUCGAGGACUCAUCCUAACUUCACCACCUCCUUACCACCCGUCGUGCGUAACUACGCCAUGGUGUUACUGAUGAUCAAGAGAAAGAUAACAAGUUUAAGCUGCUCGUCAUCAUGGCCACUCAAAGCUUUGCCAGAGAUUGACAUGAAGGUGGCAGAAGAGGAGGGCGGCGAUUGUUGGUUGAGAAUGCUUCUAAAGCAUAUUCAUGGCACGAGCAUGGGUGACGAUGGCCAAAUGGUGGCGGUAGUGAGAGAGAAAAUUCUAGCAGACAAUGUGAUGUUGAACUAUUUAAAAAAUAUAUUGUUUGGACAUAUGUUAUACUAUUUAAUAAAAAAAAAACUUAUACUAUUUUACAGUUUAAUAUGCAUAUCAAAUAGGGAAACUUUUUUGGUAAAUUAUGCAACAUAUGUUCGAAUAGUGUAACUUUUCUAAAAUAGUGCAACAACGUGUCGUCCGUUAGAUUUUUUUUUGCAUUCACUACCACCACCACUUCAUCGUUGCGGCCCCGCUCACAAAUCCGCUCACGAGCCUACUUCAGGUGCAUCCUCGACCAAUGAUCAUAGCCUUUCUCCUCUGUCAUCUCAGUCUCCAUCUCUACCAAUGCUCUGAGCAGUGGCACCGUUGUCUCUAUAGUGACGACAUUGCCGGAAAAACGUUGAGAACGGCCACGACCAUGAGCUACUCAAGUUUCAUCAUUGUCCUUUCACUCGUGCAUGAGAUUGAUUGGGGAGGAGUGUGGCAGAGACGUUGGUUGGUGGAUGAGAAGUGAGAAGAAGCAGGAGGAAAAGAGAUCAGGGAGAAAGAGCAUACAAAUAUUUUGGUUAUUUAAAAAAAAAAUCAUGCUGAAUCUGUAAAAUCGAAAAAAGUGACCUACUUUUGAAAAAUUGCAAAACUAGUGAAUUUUUUUAUUCAAAAUUACCAUUUUAUAUUUAUUCUAAAAUUUUAAAUUGAUCAUAAAAGACAAAUAAAAUUAUUAAUCUUCUAAAUUUAGGACUAUUUACAUAGAUUUUAUAUACUCAAAUAGUUAUUAUUUUUAUACGACUAAUUUUGUGUAAAAUAAUAUAUAACCAGUGAAGGGGCCACGCCUCGCAGCAAAUAGUACGAGAACAUCAAAAUAUUCUCUUGUGUACCUCACUUGCCACACCUACCAAAGGUCCCUAACUGUUGGCGGUGGAGAUGGGUUUGACGAUAGCUUGUCUGACAAUGGUAAUAGUCACGGCAACGAUGAUCCCUUCGGUCGCGCCGAAGAAGGGAGGUGGGCGCUCAUUAGUGAGAGAAAGGGAGAGAGGGACACGGCGAUGUAGAAGGAAAGGUGAGAGAUAUUGGAGAGAUUGUAGAUGGCAUUAGACCGUUUAGAUGGAUUAAUUAAAAGUCUGGUGAAGGAGAAGGGAAGAGAAAUGAGAGGAAGCAACGUGAAAUGUGGAUUAUUAUUUAUCUGUCACGCCCCGGAUUACACUUUUCCCGGGCGCGUCAACAAAUCCGCCGUAUAAAAAGGAAUUUUCCCUGUAUACGAAGCGAUAGUUGUACCUGUAAAUCAAACACUACUACGAACAGUAGUAGAGAGCUGCUAGAGAAAACAGAAGCUAAACAAACUGAGUUUCAUAUACAUAGUCCAAAUCCAAAAUAUAAAACUACUCGCACUGGCGAGUUAAAGAUAGGUAUGUACAUGAACUCCAUCAAAACAACUACCUGCAGUAGGGCGCCUCUAGCUCUGUCAGUCGGGUAGGGCUCUAGCUCGCAAUGCCCUUGCCUCGAUCCUGAUCCGCGGAAGGCACAGUAGCCGAAACCUGUGGCUCUGCAAAAACAUAGGAAACAACUGGGCGUGAGAACUACUGUAAAAACAAGUAGUCCUCAGUGGGUACCGCCCAAAACAACAUCGGUCCACCCACUAAGUCUACAGAAGGGAGCAAGAAUAGCCGAAAAGCAGGAAAUAAACUCAACCGCUACACAUCACUAUACUAUCAUGCUCUACACUAACCAACUGUAGGAAAUGUCAAACCUGACCCAAUCCAAUCGGGACUGUAAGCAUACCCGUCCCCGGGACUGUAAAUACACCCGUCCCUGCCCCGUUACGACUAUCGGGCUCUAUCCACACUAACUGGUUCGUAGAGAGCAAGUCCAACUGGCAUGAGCGACACCAACGCGAAAGCACAAAGCCUGACUCCGGAGUGGCACUCGUGGGCGCUACCCAACCGAGUAUGCAGCGUAUCUCUGUCGAGCUCAAUCAGGCUCCAACUAGCCAAAGUCAAGUAAACAGGGUCAAAACAGGUCUACAAACCAAACCCACGUGCCCUCGGCACAAUCUGUGACCAAAACAAGAAUCUGGGUCCACCGCUAACCCGAACGGCACCCAACGACCCGAAACAGCCUACACUCUGCUGAAAAAUAAGCUCGGCAUCUCAGCACGAGCGUAAAUGCCUUCUAAACUACCCCAGGUACCCAUCGCAACGAUACUGCAACGAUACAAUCGAAUCACGGCUCCUUGAGCUAAAUCUAGUAGUUUAAGCAUAUGACGGGUCAAAACGCAGGUUUUCUCCUAAGUCAAAAUUCAAGUCCAACAUGUAUAAUAUAAACAUUCAUUUCAGCAUGCUUUUAUAUUCAUAUUACAUCCAAAAUGCUAAUCGAUGAAUUAAAGCAUGAUAUACAAAAUCGAACUAUACACGUCGACUAAACAUGUACUUAGGAGCGAAACCGAUGAUACACCCACCUCUAGUGCAAUUCCUGGCAGCAAGAUGGUCUCGGAUCACAAGCAACACUGCUGGAAACACCUCCAAACCAGCAACAAAGCCCCUCAAGAUCUGGAUUUACAAUUCACCCAAAAAUCCAAUAAAACCAUCAAUUUACCAAAAUUUCAGCACUUAAGCUUAAUUAUCUCAAUUCCAAUAUCAAAACUCACCUAAUGAUCUCCAAAUCGGGUGAGGACAGAUCCAAAUCUAGCAACUACUGAUGGGUGAUCAAUCUCAGGUCCAAAAUCCCACUGCCUACAAAGUUAGCAUCAAGAAAAGCUCAAAAAUUCCAAUUUCAGCUCAAAGUCAACAGCAGUCCAGAAAAAUCUCAGUUCGACUAAGCUAACCUCAACCAAAAUCUGUAAUUCAGGGCUUCGUGGAUUCCUCUGGAAGUCAAGAAUCCAGCAAACCAAGUUUCGUCGAAAUCCGACCUUCCUACGUCGCGCACGAGCCAAAAUACUGGAGGUCGUCGUUGAAGAACUGCAGAAUCAGCAC
rnacentral:lncRNA from 1 species